CUUUAGGUGAUUUCUUCUCCUGUUCUGUCUUUAUUUUCUCUCUAAUUGAAAGCAUUUCAAUCAAAUUCUGUACCAGGAAUACGAAAAAUUUACUAAUAUUUUAUUUCCAUCUGUUUGCAUUGAUAACUUGGCCGCAUAUGUACUAGUUAAAGAACAAACAGAAGCAGAGUUCAGGAAAAAGUUUCUUCGGCCACCAUAUUUGAAAAUGAAACCAUUUCCAGGAAGCAGUUGGCAGCAAAUUCAUACAAAGUAUAGACGAUGAUGAGCAAAAAGGUGAUUCGCAAUUACAUUUUUUUUAAAAUGAAAUUAUUUGUUAAGUUGGAGCUGAUAUUGUUAGAAGGCCAUUGAGCUAACCUAUGACACUGCUUGCCUAGAUUGCAGGAGGUCAAGACUCAAAAGAUGCACUGAAUUUUAAAAGGCAUGCAAUAAUUCUUAUGGCCAUUUGUCAAUGGUGGAAUGCUUUUAGCUUCUUUUCCUUUCGUGCAUUUUGGGGUUCUAUCAAGCGACAGCCGUAUGUAUGGAUGGAUAUAGCUGCUGCGUUGAUUUCUAAUGCGUUGUAUGAUGUUAUAGCAACUAUCUAUCUGGUGAAUUUUUCAAAAGAAUAAGACACAGGGAAAAAGAGAAAGCAAGUGGCCAAUCAAGUAUUCAUGUCCCAAAGAAAAGAAUGAUUCGACAAUAGCAUUAAGGGUUAAUUGGACACAAGAGAAGUGUUUUAACCACUUCAAGGAAUGUAAAUGUAAUUUUCUAUUCUAAAGAAAAAGUAAAUAAAUGCACUGUCAAUUAAUCUUUGGUCAACCAGCAACAUUCAUAAUUUCGUGUAAGUUUCAUUUCUGUUUGUUGGAAAUAGCAGUGUAUUUCUUAGAGUUUGUAAAAAAUGGAAAGAUUUUAAAAUAUAAAUUUCACAUCUGUUUAUUACUGUUGUUUGAUCUAUUUUCUUAUGUAGAAUUUUCGGAAUCUGUAGGACAUUAAUUUAAAAACUGCUCGUUCCGCUGGUUUCAUACAAUGUCAACUAGAAACAUCAUACUUUCGUGUAAGUUCAUUAUUGUUUCUUGAAAAUAUCAGAAUAUUUCUUAGAGUUUGUAUAAAAUGAAAAGAUUUUAAAAUAUAAAUUUAAUAUUUGUUUAUUACCGUUGUUUGGUCUAAUUUCCUCGGGACAAUUUUCAGAAUUUAUAGGACAUUAGUUUAUAAUUUUGAAAUUUUGUAACCUAAAUGUUUUUUUUUUUCGGUUACCAUUUUGUUUUCCUGCUUUAUCUACGUGUAUGUUGACUAAAACUAAUCUAUUUUGUUAAACCUUUACCACUCUUGACAUUGCACUAAAUAUGAGUUCCUGAUGCUUGCAUUUUAUUGAUGCUGAUGAUUCGUUGAAUAUUUUAUGUUUUUGAUUUUUAAGUAUUCCGGAUCGAAGUUUGUGUCUACGCGGAAAUUGUAAAGGCAGCAUAUAAAGUACUCGUCGUUCUUUAGAUUUUAUUGAGUACACUUUUGUCACAUUUAGCGUAUGCUAUACACUACUGAUUUGCGCAUUGACAUAUAUCUUAUUUUAUCAUUUUGAAUGAAUUGCACGGCGAGGCUUAUCAACUUUGGAUGAAUCCUCCAAUUGUCACAGUCCAAGACUGGCUGCAGUGAGUGAAAAUUUACCCAUAUAUAUGCUGGCUAUUUUUAUUGGCGACGAAUUCGUUGUAGUUGGUCCAUCUUGCUAUUCUCGGACAAUAUUAGAGAAAAUAAUCAUAUUAUUUCGCGUGAUGUGACCUUCCAUAACUUAUCAAUUGAAUUACUGUAAAAUUAUUGUGUAAGUUUAGGCCCAAUGGCACUUUAGUUCAUCACAUGAUAGCCUGGAUUUAAAAGGAAAACUAUAUUGCAUUGCUUCAAAAAAAAAAUUUAAUGUUUUUAAUAUGAAUAUUUUUAACUAUAUUCAGUUAAAAUAAUAUAUUCUUAAUAUUAAUAUUCAUAGAUGAAAUUCUUUUGCGGAUUUAAGAAUAAAAUAUCAAAUAGUUUUAUUUUUCUUUUGUUGUGUAACUUGGACCGAAAAAGAAAAUGAGCUUAACAUGACCCUCCUUCCGGCACUAUGCAUGUUUUUCUUAUAUUGAUGACAGUGCUCUUGGUGCUUCUCAUCUGCUUCUUGCUUUGGUUUCAAACAAGUCUUUCUCCGUCGAGACAUUUAUUGUAAUUUGAUUUGGAGACAUCUGUCGUUCAAAUAUAUUUCAUAUGCAAGCUGUUGAUAAUUCUGCUUGAGAAAGCCUACAAAGCAGCUGUGUGAUGUAAUAGAAGACUAUAUAUGCAAACGGUCAUCAGUUUCUCUUGAAUUCUUUCUUGAGUUUCUUUGAAUUAUUUGUGAAUGAGUUCUUAAUCGGCUGCUGCUCUUCAGGAAAAGGAAAGUGUUGCAAACUGGUGAAGCUGAUCGAUAAAAGCAAUGUACCAUCUUUGCUGCCAUGGAUCGAUGCCAGUGAGUUUUUUUAUUUGUCAAACUACUAAUGAGUUCUCCAUGCAUAUGUGUUUCUUCAACUUGAAGCGGCAUAUAAGACGAAAGAAGUGAUCUUUAAAGCAUUCUAUCGCAUUAUCCUUUCCUAUUAUAUAUAUCCAAUUGCUCCAAAUUAUUUGUAAAUUACUGAACACGAAUGCUGAUGAAUAAACUGAUGGCUCUAUGUAUGUAUGCACAUGCAUGGAGAAAUUUUAAGUCAGACAUUCUCAUAUAUAACUCGUGGUACCGAAUCAUUAAAUAAUCUUGAAAUCAAAGUAAUAAUUAAAUACAAAUAAAUUGCUCGAAUUGUACAUAUAUCUGAAUCAUGUAGUGAAGAAAAUACAACAACAACAACCAAUGGCUCAAAUUCCCCAUCAACUUCUAGUCUCAACACUUUUGAGUGUCAGAAGCAUUACUCUGCUACCAGUUAACAAACAUAUAAUUAGUAAUUAGCUAUUCACUUCCCUUUUAGGCCUACCACAUUUUCUACAAAGGAGCCAUAGAGUGAACUCAGCAGGAAACACUCAAUUUCAACCAAAAAAAAAAGAAGUGUGCAAUAGCUUAUCCUAUCCUAUUGCUACUAGAAAGAAAGUGAACAAUUAAUUUCAGUGAAUAAAUUAAAAAAAAAAUCACUUCUGCAGAUACUCAAGCUAAGAACACAUUAACCCAUUGAAGACUCCAAAUUGCAUCAAACAAAUUGUUGUUAAACAAGUAAAACAAAGAAAGAGAGUUAAGGAAGCUGAACUAGUAGUAGGGGAGCUGAAGAAAGACUGCCAGUGAAUGUAAGAGAAAAUAAAAUGCAAGAAAUGGUGAAGUGCAGCUUUUCAUGUCAACUUGAAAUUGAUUUUUCUGUUUUUUUUUUUUUUUUGGUAAUCUUUUGGAUUUUUCAAACAAAGAAAAUGAGGAGCAACCAGGGAGAUAAAAAGGGCGCCAAGGCAACUGUCCACUACUGAUGAUAUAACAACGAACCUUUGUUUUUUUCUUUUUUCUUUUUUAAAAAAAAAAGAGUAACAAAAUAUCAUUAGAGAAAUGAAAAUAUUAUCUAACAUCACCCUACUGAUGAUAUGAAAAUAUGUAUGUAUGUAUGUAUGUAUAUACGUAUGUAUGUAUGUACAUAUAUACAUACACCUAUGUAACAUUUACUUAUACAUUCUUUUGAGUUUAAAUCUUAAUACACAUUUUCAUGAAAUUUUUAUUUUAUUAAGUAUACAACUACAUACAACUACAUUAAUGUAUAUAUUUUUUUACAUAAGACAUGCCGUCCUAUUAUUAAUAAGUCAACAAUGUGUUGUAAAUAGUGUUCGUGUCUCAAAGUUGACUUUUCGUCUUUUAUUUUCAGACGCAGACGCUGUGUCAUUUUGUAAUCUUCCAAACAUAUACAGAGCAGAAUUGGUGUUAUCUGAUUUUGUGAUGCAAUAAGAUUUGCACUUCCUGUGCAUUCAAUGGAAUCAUUUCUUUGUAACUAAUUGGGUGGUGGAAUGGUGGUCAAAUCUCGAACGAAGACAGAUCUAUCAAACUCCAGAAACAGGGAAACCAUGCCACGCUAGUAGACAAUAUGCUAGUUUGAACAAACUUGUUUGAAUGGCAAAAACGACAUGACCUGCUGUAGUAUUAAUUCUUUCCCGAACCAACGGGUGAUUUGCUACGUUGGAUCAUGAAAAUUGAAAAAAACAAUUAACGAAAAUAAAAAUUCUUAAGGAAUUAGUUAGUUAAUUGAUUGAUCGAAUUUAAUCUAAAUUUGAAAAUGAUAAGAUAAAUUUAAAUUUAUUAUUAUUAUUAUUAUUAUUUUAAAGUGGGUGGGUUUAUACAAUUUGAGCGGUGGAAAUAUCACUGCUGAAUUAUUAAAUAUACAGUGUAAAAUUUUGACCUUUAAAAUAUUCCCUUUUUUUUUUAUUUAGCACUAUAAGUUUAAAAAUUUAACAUUUUACCUCAAUAAUUAAAUACUUUUAACUUUAAUCUUCAAAUAUUUACCCUACAACAUUUGGACCUAAAUUUUUAAUCCGACUCGGCCCCUGACCCAAGUGGGAAGAAGAUCAAGCUUAUAACUAUCACCAACGUAACAUCUUCUGGAAAAUAAUAAGAUUACUCACCUACAAUUAUGUGAUCAAACUAAUGGUAAGCAAAAUAGAACAGCGUUAUUUCAGUCCCCUUUCAGUUUCUUUAUCAUUUUUCUUUUCCUAUUUAUAAGCUUAAUUCGGUCCAAUAUCGGCUAAUUCACUUUGAUUUCACUUUUCUUUCUUUCGGUUCAAAAAAAUUGAAUCCAUUGGCUGUCAAUUCAAUUUUGUUGAAAACCAACUUUGCCUGAAUUUGAGUAAUAAUAGAGGGAAAAAAAAUGAGUACUUAGCAGAAGAGAUUUCUCAUUUUUUUCUCAUUCAAACUUCUAAAAUAAAGGGAAAAAAAAAACAAGAGUAAUUGUUAAUUAUCAAAAAUUUGUUUAUACUAUUCCACCAAGAAAAUUAUAAAAUUUUUUUUAAAAAAAUUGGAGAAGAAAUAUGAGGUGAAAUACGUGGAUGGCUUAGACUAAUAAUGUGAACAAAUUCCUCUCGGAAACAUGUCAUUGUUCAUCCGGACAACACGCGGUGAUGAGAUUCAAGAAUUAAAUGAUAGGAAUCAACUGUAACCUCAUAAACAAAUGGCCUUGGAGUUGUAAACACCAAGCUCGGCAGAUUAAUUAAACAAGAAUAUCCGAAUUUUUUUAUGAUAAUCUCUAGGAAACGAUCAGCUAUAAUGUACGAAAUUAAAAUAUUGCAUAUAUUUUUGAACUCAUGCAUUAAUUUCAAAAAUUAUAUCGUAUUAUAAUUUAUUCACAAAAGAAAGAAAAAUUCACUAAUCAAUUGAAAUCGUACUCUUAUUGAAAUGAAUUCCAGUAAUUGGAUAAAUAUAAGUAUUUCUUCCAGUGUAAUUUUUGUUUAAUAGAAAAUCUAUUUGAGAUUUUGUGAGAAGAAACUCAACAAUAAAGUGUGAUAGACUUUGUGGGUAUUAAGAGUUUGACAAGUAUUUGAAAUCUGAAGUUUACGAGCAAACAAACUGAAAUCCGAAGUUUACUGAAGUUUACUAUCAAGAGUUUCAAAACAGUGAAAAAGAUGAUAUAGUUGAUGACAAAAACCUGAGUUAUCCAUAGCGACAAGUAACAUACUGAAGUAAGCCGUUGGGAGCUGGCCUGUUCAUGGGCUAUUUUUCUCUGAUGAUCUGCAUUUUUCUUCCUUUUAAAGUGAACCUUGACUCGUAUCAAACCUGUCAAAAGAACAGUUCAUCAACUGAGCUGAGAUUUGCUUUCCUUUUUCAAAACCCACCUGAGAUAUUGUAAUUCCCAAAUUUCCCUCUCUCAGCUACACGAGCAAGCAGCCGCUUUUUCACUUCAUCGAAGAAGGUAAGCGAUAUAUCUAUUUCGUCCGAUUGAUUUCUUGUUUCCUUUUCAGUGUUCGGGUAAAUUAUUGGCAUGCCUGACUUUUUGACCAUUACAUGAUUCAUAAAUUUCUAUUAAUUUUGAUUUUGAGUUGACUGGUUACUUUUAUAGGUUUGCUUAUUUUGACUAGGUGACCAAUUUCUUGUAACUUAAUUUAUGACGUGAUGCAGGAAGCUGGGCAGAAUAUGAAAUGAGAAUCUUAUUAGUGGAAGGAUUGCCAGUAACAGAACCCAAAGAAAAUGAAACCAUUUCAAGGCAGCAGUUGGCAGUUGGGAGUGAAUGGAGGCCCCUGACAAAACUUCAGUAAACUUCAGAUUUCAGUUUGUUUGCUCGAAACUUGCAUGGUGACAAGGAUACUGGCAAGGAUAAUGAGAUAGUUUUUGUGUGAAUGAAAUUACGACCAUCCUCAGCCUCAGGUAAUUUCUUCUCCUGCUUAGUUGUUAUUUGUUACCUAAUUAAGAAGCAUAAAGUAUCUUGAAUCAUUUUCGUUGUCUGGAAUAUAUGGAACAGUUUUUAAAAUUUUGAUAUUAGUGUAAUGAUUGUAAUUUCUGUUUUCUGUCUGUCAUCGAAUGUAAGACAACUUUAUUAAGACUCUUGAACCGAGUCAUUUUUGACAAUUGAAGGACAAGUGCUGAAGAGUGGGAAUGCAAAAAGUUUUGUUGUUUUUAGCCUUGUUUUCUUUGAACCAGCGCCUGAUUCACAAGACUCCAUUAAUUUGGCUUUUGAUCAGCUGAUAGAUAAAUGUUCAAUUUCUUUGGUGAUAAAUGUAUAUGUGAAGCAGGCAGCAGGGCAUGACUGUGGAAAAGAGAAGAUUUUAGUGAAAGCCGAGACUCAGAUAAUUCUACGCGUUUUGGCUGAUUUAUAUAAUUCGUGAAAUUUUAUUUCCAUCUGUUACAAGAUCAAACUGCAAUUAGCAAUUUAACAUUCCCUUAAAACCACUAGCUACAUUUCAUCUUUGCACAAUUACACUUAAAAUUCCACUAAAAGAAACUCUUGAGUUGCUCGCAAGCUAUAUAUCAUUAUCCAUUGAAUUCUUACCACAUAUAUCUCACCUUUCAAUCAAUUGUUGAAAAAUUCAAAUUUGGAAUUCAAAUACAUGCAUUCAAAUUUGGCUAAUACAUCAUUUGACCAACUUGCAUACACAUGCAUGCAUUCAACUUUGGAGAGGCAAAUUUGAAGACAAAUUCCUAUGGUAGGUGCCUAAUUUUUGUUGACAAUUUUGUUGGGUAGGUGCCUAAUUUAUGUUGACAAUUUUGUUGGGGUUGGUGCAAUAGUGCACCCCAUUUUUCCUUAUAAAUAGAAGGCAAUUCCUCAUUUGUUAAUCAUCCCAAUUUUGAGAGAAGUAGAGAGCAAUUGCAAGUGAGUUCUUUAAGAGAAUUUGAGAGAGCUUCCACUUGAGUGUUCUAGUGAAUUGGGGUUGUGGGUUUUGUGAGUUUUUUCCACUUUUGUAAAUUUCCAUUAUUAGUAAAAUUAUCUUUCAGUCUUUACCCGUGGAUAUAGGCAUUACGCCGAACCACAUGAAUCAUUGUGUUAUAUUUUCUUUGUAUUUGUUUAACACCACAUUUAUAUUUCUUCAGAAGUUGCAGUAUUAGUAAUUGCUCAACCCACGUUUCCGCAACAUCAAUCACAUAAUAAUCAAUAUACCUAUUGUAAGAAUUCAACAAAUGGAGAACAUAAUAUACUAUAAAAGCAUCCAAAAUUUUUCCAUCUCAAAUUAUUACUAAGCUUCUUGAACAAGUUGAAGAUUGGGGGGAAAAAGUGCAAGAAGGAAAAGCAUUAUUCUACUAGCUUCUGGGUUUCUCAUUUGAACAGAAAGAUUAAAUAAAAUAUUUGUGUAUGGCUGUAGUACUACACGGUAUCUGCUAGAAAGCAAAACACCUUCUGCUGAUUGCACAUUGGAAUGGGAAUAAGUUGGUAAACAUAUAAGUUACAUAAAUUAUUUUGGAUAAUUCUGCUGGUGAAUUAAUUAUCUUAAAAUCACCCUUUUAUUUUUUAAAAAAUCUUAAGUUAUUUUUCAUAUAUGUUAAGAAGACAAACAAACUUUCAUCAACUCUCCUUUUUUAGCUUUUCCCUUCAAUUUGUUAGAAGGCCAAUGAGCUAACCUAUGACACUGCUUGCCUAGAUUGCAGGAGGUCAAGGCUCAAAAGAAGCACUGAAUUUUAGAAGGCAUGCAAUAGUUCUUGUGCCAUAUGUCAAUUCAUGCAAGUUUGAAUAAGUUUAUUGGUUUGAACGCUGUUAGCUUCUUUUCCUUUCGUGCAUUUUGGUAUGCUAUCAAGUGACAGCCGUAUGUAUGGUUUGCAUAUAGCUGCUGCUGGGAAAUGUGAGGAUUUCAUGGCUGGCCGUGUUAUUGUCUUAAAUUAGAUGUGAUAAGCUGUUGCUUGGAGAUUCUGUUGCCAAGACUUUGCUCACAUCAGAAGCUGUGGAACCUCAACCCGUCUCUAGAUAUCAAAUUUUUCAUUGUUUUAAAAUUCUCAGGAUUGAACUUGAGUAACUUUGUUCGGUUGUCUAUAUAAUCAUGUAUUGAGUAAACUCUCAGGAUACUGAGCAGGGAAAUGCCAUAACUCGGUUUGUUCUUCAAAAAAUUGUUUAAGAUUCUUGACAAAGCUGCAUGAAGUGAAUCUUGGGAGCUUUGAGGGUGAGAGAAAUUAGAGGGUGUAUAGGGAUUUGGGUUUAUUAGGAAGUUAUAUAUGUAUUUCGUCACUUAUCAUUAUCAUUUUUAUUUUCACAGAAAACCUUCUGAUGGUGCUAAAUUUUCAAACACCGGUCCGAUUCAAAACUUCAUAUUCCAAUUAUAUUCAUAAGACAAAUGGAACACUUUGAACGGCUUGUGUCCGAGCAUUGUAGUUUGAUUUACUUUGAUGAAAGUACCUUUUGACAUUGAGAUUCUUUCAUGAUUUAAAUUUUUUUUUUUAAACCAAAUUAUUAAACAAAAGUAACUAACAUAUAUUAUUUUAUUAGUGCUUUUUAAAUCAAAUAUACAUAGGAGAACUGUAAUUCUUAGCAAUCAAUUUUCCACUAAAUACACCUGCAACAAACUAUUAAUAACAAAGUGAUAGAAAAUACCUGAUUUUUCAUACUUUCUAAUUUCUUUUGGUCCUAAAAUAUGGGCAUUUGUGUAAUAAUAAGCCCAUGUGGAUCUCUAUGCCAUGAGUUUGAUAAAUAGCUAUCAAGGAUCACUUAUUAAGCAAAAAAUAUUUGGAGGACAAAAUUGUAAAACUAAAAGGGUGGAGCAAAUAUGGCUAUCUAGGAUUAAAUAGUAAGUCAACUAUAUUUAAAGGAUAAAAUAUUAAAACUUGAACUGUGAUAUUAAAAAUAUCUCAACUAUUAUAUUAUUAAACCAUAUGUUUUAAUAGUUUUUUUUUUUUAAGCUUCAAAAUGUUCAGGAUUUUAGAUUGAAACAUUUUCAUUUGAAAUUAUUUGGUGCAGUCACAAGUUAAGAAAGAAAAAGUUGUCCCAUUGGUCAUUUCACAAAAAUGAAAGCCCUGUAUAACAUGGACUUGAAUGGAAGCCCAAUUGUUUGUGUUUGAUUAAUUGAUUUCAAGCUUUAUCUGACCUUUGGACCUGGAUACUUUACCGCGGCCUCUAAGCGCUAUAAAUUUUUUUUUGGGAUAAACGGCGCUUCAAUGAGGCCAUUUCCAAUGCUUAACACCAUUUUGGUGUAACGCCAACAUUAAAAAUGUACAUUUUUCACACUAAAUUACUAUUUAAUCUCCAACCCAUUUGAUCUACCAUAAUUGUGCUGGGGCCACGUUAUGUUGAUCUCCCUCUCGUCACCAAUAGCUCCUCCGCUUGCUGCGAACUUGCUUGUUUGUUUUCCUUAUUUUUCUGCCUACUCUCCUCAUUUAAUACGGAGGCUACAACAUCAUCGAAAACUAAACUGUCCACUGGAUUGUUGUUUGUUAGGUUGAUGAUGAGUUGAUCAUACGAAUCUGGUAGACUUUGAAGUAGAAGCUCUGCACGUACAUUAUCCUCUAUAUUAUGACCCAACGUUGUGAGUUGUGAAAAUAGAGUCUUCAAGGUGUUGAUGUGGUCGGUCAUCAUUGUAGAUUCCGCCAUUCGAAGAGUAUAAAGUCUCCUCUUCAAGAAGAUUUUGUUGUGUAGUGACUUGGCCUUGUACAAUUUUGUAAGAGUAUCCUAUAUUUCCUUCGCUGUAUUUUUCUCUGCCACACUGGAUAAUACUCCAUCCGCAAGUGCCAAGUGUAGAUCAGAAAUAGCAUUGCCAUCUAUCUCAUUCCACUUGCCAUCAGUUAUCUCCACAAGUCUUUCUCCAAUUGCUGCCAAGCAAUUAUUUUUCCUCAAUACAACUUUCAUCUUCAUUUUCCACAACGAAAAAUUAUUUUCGUUAAACUUCUCAAUUCCAUACUUUGCCGUCAUUUUGUUGAUAAAUAUCGCACACAAGUUAGUGUACCACCUUGAAUAGUUGUGAGUAUGUGUGAGAAUGCACACCAGGAAAGUUCCCAGGAAAGACUGGAGGGGUUACACUAGUCCCACUUAAAACCCAGACUCCUUAAGCUCUUAUCGCCUUUGUGACAGAAUUUUCCUAGACAUGUACAAAACCACACAGUUACUUUUACUCACACCACUCUUUCCUGCUUUGCACCGUAAAAGUUCUUGGAUCGCUCCCACCGUUUCUCGUGAACAGUACCGUAUACGUGAACAAUGUCGUACACGUGAAUAGUAUCGUAUACGUGAAUAAUACCGUAUACGUGAAAUUGAAACCUCACAUCAUUUAUUCUUAUUAAUAAAUCUCAAGAUAAAUAAUCAUUAUUCAUACUCCAACUGAAUCCUUACAUAAAACAUAUGAAAUAAGGUCUCCAAAGAAAAGUCUCUAAUGCAAAAUAAGAAGUCUAGCCAAAUUUAAUCUUUAAAGCAACUCCAAAGAUCCACUAAGAAAAAUUCUCCGUCUAAGAACCCAAGCCAUAUCUCUAAUCAAUCUGCAAAAUAUUAGAGACGAGGGGUGAGCCGUCAACUCGGUAAGCAAAUCCAUGCACAAUAUUUGAAAACCUUUGUCAUAUACCUUUAAACACAUCUUCAUUGAGCAUAAGGGGUGGAUUCAUAUAAAAGCAUUAAAAACAUUAAAACAUUCAUAAAAACAUUAAAACAUAAAUAUUGGUAGCUCAUGCCUCGUAGUCAUCAUCAUUCAUCAUUCAUCAUUUAGGGUGUUAUACCCCGCAUAGUUCCUCAUUCAGGGUACUAUACCCCACAUUGUUCAUCACAUCCUUGUGCACAAGAUCAUCAUCAUACCAGCAAGCUGGUUAUAGCAUUUCAUAACAUCAUAACAUUAAUAUCAUAUACAUUACUACGGACUAUGAGCCAAAACAUUUUUGAAUCCACCAUACAUCCUUUCAUAAAUAGCAUUUAAAGUCUUCUAAAACAUUUAAGAACCUUUCUUUGAUCAUUUAACUCUUUUUGAAAAUUCUUUAAGAAAACAUUUUGUUUAAGAAAACUAAUUUCUUAAGAAAAAUUCAUUUUAAAAUACAUUUAUAUAAAUUCAUUUAAAAGUGUUUUUAUUUUACAAAAUUCAUUUAAAUAUUUUAGAAAUCAUUUUGUAAAAAUUUCCAUUUAAACAUAAUUUUUGUAACAUAAAUUGCAUUUAUUAUAAAGCACAUCAUGCAUGAAUCUACUUACCUCGAUCCGUAGCAAUCAAUACUUCAAGAACAACCAACGAGCUCACCCACAUCCUAUAAUCAUCAUAAAAAUAUUCUUAUCAAUAUCAUCUCUAACCUUAAAUAUAAUCCCGAUCAUCCUUAAAUCAUAGACACUAAUACUAGCUUAAUACUAAUACAUAUUCUAAACAUAUCCUAUACUUAUGAGUAUCCUACACAUGCUGAUUUUUAAUAACCUAUACACAUGUCGGAAAACCAUGAAAAUUUACAGAGGCACUGUGAACAUGAAUAGCAUUGCAUACAAUAUUUCACAAAAAUCAGCACAAGUCAAAAUCGAGUCAGAAUAUUGACCUUUCACCAAAGUAACAAAACUGUCCAGCACCGACCAAAACAGACCUUUUCCACUUAGAAAAUUCAUAAAAUAUUCUUUGGUACUUGAAAUAAUAUGCUUCUUUUUUUUUCUAAUUACAUAAGACACAUUCAAAAAGAAUAUAAUUAAAAUUCAUAAUUUUUGGACUUCUGAGACUAUUUUAAAACGUUUUAUUUCCGAGAACAUCUAACCCGUCCAGAAAAUUCCAGUUUUGAAAACAAAAUUUCAAAAAUUCGUAUCUUUUAUUUUACAUGCCCAAAAAUCGCGAUUCCAGUUUUUAAAGACAGAGGAAAGAUUGAAAUUUCAUUACAAAAUCCUACCAUGGCAUGUAAUAUUCAUAAACUAGCCCAACUGUUACACGUUUCAGCUUCUGAAAUUCUGGAAAACAGUUUCCAGAUUUGCAGCAGCCAUAUGUUACGAUUUUUAAUAAUUCAACCAUAAAGAAUAAAAUUACGAAAUUAAACAUGAAAGCAUAGGAGACAUAGAUCUGUUGGCACAAAAAUCAGCAUAAUUUUUAAGGACGUGUAACCUUAUAGAAAAAUUUCCAGAGUUGAGAACCGCUACUGAAAAUCGGAAUUUUCCAGCACCAGUAACCCAACUUCGAAAACCCAUAACAAUUUGCAUACUCAGACGAUUUCAACACAAAACCUAUCAAUGGAAAGCCUAGGAUGUCUAGUUCCAUGAUAUGUAAGAUAUUCACGUGAUUCUAAAUAAAGAAAACAAUUUCAAGCAAGGAAUAGAGACUGUUCAUAUCAUCACAACAUUACAAACACACAUAUAUUACCCAAAUCAUACUACAAGUAAUUAAAGGCAAACAAUUUCAUAAAAAUAAAUCAUAUAAGUCCAAGAAAUACUUAAUACCUUAAGGCAAACACUAAGAAAAGAAGUGAUGAUGCUUUCUUUUCCUUCUCCAACGACUUAUAUUUCUUUCUUUUCUUUCUAGGGUUUGUCCAAGCAAUCACUUUCAUCAAACGACAGCGUUGAAGGAAUUGUGCAAUUUUUAACGUUCUUUUCUAGACAGAAGUCACAGAGAGGGGAAAGGAGAGGAUUGGCCUUAGAUAUCUCACAAUUAUUAUUGAGAUAAAACGUUAUUGUAAAAGACGAUUAACAGAAUAAUAUUGAUUCUUUUGCAUUGUUAUAAUAAUAAUUUUUUCUUUUGACAGUUCUGCAGGACAAGUGAUCAGAGCUCAAUGAAUAUAGCCGUGGAGGCUGAACUUAGGUUGAUGUCAAAAGAGGUAAUUGACUUGGCCUGUUAAUAUAUAUAUAUAUAUAUAUAUCAUAUGAUGCAGGCCACAGCAGAGCAGGAUUAUGAAAAAGAGAAGCUUAUUACAGGUCAUUCAAGUUUACUUGCUUUUAUAUAAUAAGUGUUUUGGCCGAUUUAUCUAAUUCACAAAAUAUCAUUUCCGGUACAUAUCUCCAUCGGUAUCAAGAAGAGGCAGAACCCAAAGAAACGUUUCAUGCAUCUUCAUAUUUGUGCGAAUCCAUCCUUUCAUUGAGAAUAACCAUUUCCAGGCAGCAGUUGGCAAUCAAUUCGCACGUCGAUGCUAUUCAUAGAUAUUAAAGACAAUGAUGAACCAAAGGUGAUAAGUCAUAAAUGCAUAAUUACCAAACCUCCAUCCUUCUCUCAUUAUGAUGUGAUUUUAAAUGAAUUAUUGCUUGGUAAGUGGUAACAUUAUUUCCAAACCAUUGCAAGUCCUUUUUUUUUUUUUGGGGAGAAAUUUCAAUUGAAAGUGAUUCCUUGUCUAAUGUCACCAUCAAACAACAAAUUUAAAAGCCUACCUAUCAAAUACAUGAGGCAAUAAACGGAGAAAAAGUUGAAUUACAAGAACAAGUUGACGAUUCUUGUCAAUGGUUAAUGAUUCGUGAACUGAGAUAGCAUUCAAGAAUCCAAUUUCAAUACAACAACGUAAAAGAUAAACAGAUGAUGAAUUUUAUGAGAUAAAGAAGGAGAUCGUGUUUUAUCGUAUCUCUAUUUUCUUUCUUUUUAAAUUUAAAAUAAGCUUUUCAAUCGGUUUGUUAACCGGUUAUAAUAUUUUUUAAAAUAAUUAAAUAUUUUCAUUAUUAAAAAUAAUGUGUACCGUUGAUUACAUCUAACGGUACAUAUUUCUUACACUAUUAAUACCGUAAAAAAAAUCAUAGAAGGAACCUUAAAACAUUUUCAUUUAAAAUUAUUUGGUGUAGUCAAAAAGUAAUUAAGAAAGAAAUAAUUGUCCCUUUGGUCAUUUCACAAAAAUGAAAGCCCCAUAUAACAUGGACUUGAAUAAUGGAAGCCCAAUUGUUUGUGUUUGAUUUCAAGCUUUAUCGGACCUUUGGACCUGGAUACUUUACUGCGGCCUCUAAGCCCUAUAAAUUUUUUUUGGGAUAAAAGGCGCUUCAAUGAAAAAGCACUUUAAAACUUUGGAUUUUGCCAAAACUUCAAAGCGGUUGCGGUGUUAUGCUAACGGGUUUAAAGGUUCCGAUCCAAUGAGUUAGGGUGGAAUAUGAAUAUAUAAAUUCCAUAGCAUGUAAGGACUAGGAUUUGUUUGUUCAUAUCAAGAAAAAAAAUCUGAAAAUUUGAUGAUCAGAAGAUAAGAACACUUAAAACACGUUUAUUACAGAGAAACAAACGACAACAUGAUACUAGUAGUAGUUAUUCUUUUCAUCCGAUAUAUUACAUGGUAAUAUCACUACUCGUUCCACUGGUUUCAUAUACACCAUCGACCAGCAACAUGAUAAUUUUGUGUCUGUUCAUUUUGUUUGUAGGAAAGAGCAGUGUAUUUCUUAGAGCUUGAAAAUAAUAAAAAGAUUUUAAAAUAUAAAUUGCAUAUUUGUUUAUUGCUGUUGUUUGGUCUAAUUUCUAAUUUCUUAUAUAUUCACAUACGUUUUAUUUUGUCAUUUUGUAGAACAUUUUUACACGCCAUAUUAUCACGUCUCUUCUCUGUCUGAAUAAGAAGAAGGCAUAAUGCGACCCUCCAACAGCUUAAUCUAUGGAAUUAUCGUGUUUUGUAAGUUGAGGUCCAAUGGCGUUUUGGCACAUCAUAUGAUAGACCACUAUAUUGCGUUGCUUUACAAAAGAUUAAUAUUUUUAUUUAUCUAAUUCACCAAAUGUUUUUUUCCGGUACAUAUCUCCAUUGGUAUCAAGAAGAAGCAGAACCCAAAGAAACGUUUCUUGCAUCUUCAUAUUUGUGCGAAUUCAUCCUUUCAUUGAGAAUAACCAUUUCCAGGCGGCAGUUGGCAAUCAAUUCAUUCGCACGUCGAUGCUAUUCAUAGAUAUUAAAGACAAUGUUGAGCCAAAGGUGAUAAAUCAUAAAUGCAUAAUUACCAAACCUCCAUCCUUCUCUCAUUAUGAUUUGAUUUUAAAUGAAUUAUUGCUUGGUAACAUUAUUUCGGGAAACCUUUAGACAUUUACCUAAUGAAGUUAGUUAAUCGGGUGGGUUGGAAAAAAAAAAAAGUUGACGCAAGUCAAUGCACAAUGAUUAAUUAAAUCCGGAGUGACUAAAACAGAGCCACUACUUUUUCAAAAAUAUCUGCAUUCAUCACUUUCUCCAGCAACUAGUCAGCUACACACGAAUCAAUUUCUCUCCUCGUUUGUUGUCAUCCAAAAUUAUUCACCAAUACCAUGGCUGAUGCAAUCGUUUCCACUAUCUUGGAGCAGCUGAUUUCCUUCGCUGCUGAAGAGAUAAAACAACAGGUGAUCAAAGUUACACCCCUCAUAUUACAAAUGCUUCCAAUGAUUUUAAUUGGUUUUGUUUUUAUUGAAAACAUUAUCUAUUGUUGCUUUAUUUUAUUUAUCUGGUAAUUUUGUAUUUUGAAAUUUGAAUUGAAUUUAAUUAAAAGGUGAUGUAGUGACCACUCAUUUUUAUUUUAUUUCAUUUAUAUUCUCAAUAACUACCCAUAUUUUGGUAACUUAAUAUAACUCUCGUACAUAAGCAAUGAUCAAAACCCACAAUUUUAACUCUGUAUAAAUAUUCAACGUUGAGUCAUUAAUUCUCAACUCAGCACUGAAUCCCAUAGCUAUUACUUAGACUCUAUGAAAAAUUUCAUAGUUUUCUUACAUUCUUUGAGUUUGGUAAGUGAUUUCAUAUAAUUUCUUUUCAAGUUAAAUUUUAAUUUGGUUUCUGAUAUAGUCUCUUUGCCGAAUUGUCUCUUUUAUGAUUCUUGGAUUUUGGGCUUCAACUUUUUAGGAUUUGAUAGUCACAUUUUAUGCCGUGCUCAGAUUGAUUUUCAUGAUUUUUAGUAGCCGUUAAGUGACUUACAAUUUGACGAAAGUUUGAAAGGAAAUAUGUUUCAGGAUUAUGUUUUAAUUGACCUUUUAGUGGAAAUAGGAUGCUUAUAACUUAAUGUGGAUGGUUCGUAAAAUCAUGAAAUUUGGAUAGGAUUCACUAGAAAUAUGUACAAGACUCUCCAUAAAGUUUCAUAAUUUUUCAUUCGGUCUGGGGUGGUACAGGUGAAGCUUGUGGUUGGUGUUGACAAAGAAGUGAAAAGCCUUACCAGCCACCUUCAAGCCAUUCAAGCUGUUAGCGAUGAUGCAGAGGAAAAGCAAGUGAAGGACAAAGCUAUUAGACUUUGGCUGGGUAGGCUCAAGUACGCAUCCUACGACAUUGAAGAUGUGUUGGAUGAAUGGAUCACGGCAAGACAAAUUGCAAAUUAAGGGUGGCGCUGAUAAGAAAAAGAAGGUAUGUUUCUGCUUUCCCGCCUCUUGUUUUGGAUUCAAACAAGUCUUUCUACGUCAUGACAUUGCCAACAAGAUCAAAGAAGUCAGUGAAGAGCUACAUGAUAUUGCCACCCAAAAAGACAUGUUUAAAUUUGAGAGUAGCAGUAAAAGUAGUGAAAGACCAAGGCGUGUGCAGAGUACCUCCUUGAUUGAUGAGGAAGAGAUUUGUGGUAGAGUUGGUGAGAGGAAUGCACUCUUAAGCAUGCUAUUGUGUGAGAGCAGUGAGCAACAAAAAGGCCUUCAUAUCAUCUCAAUUGUUGGUAUGGGAGGCAUCGGGAAAACAACUCUUGCACAACUAGCAUGUAAUCAUGUUGAGGUAAAGAGAGAGUUUGACAAAAUUUUAUGGGUGUGUGUAUCAGAAACUUUUGACGAGUUUAGGAUUGCCAAAGCGAUGCUUGAAGCUUUGACUGGUUCAACUUCUAAUUUAGAUGCAUUGCAAUCUCUUCUUAUAAGUAUUGAUGAAUCUAUUGCGGGAAAGAGAUUUCUUCUUGUCUUAGAUGACGUGUGGGACGGAGAUUACAUUAAAUGGGAACCAUUCUACCGUUGCCUAAAGAAAGGUCUCCAUGGAAGUAAAAUUUUAAUUACGACACGUAAGGAGUCAAUUGUGAGCAUGAUGAGAUCCACAGAUAUUAUCUCUAUCAAGGAAUUGGCUGAAGAAGAAUGUUGGGCAUUGUUUAAGCGGUUAGCAUUUUUCGGUCGUUCCACUGAGGAGUGUGAAAAAUUGGAACAAAUUGGUCAAAGAAUUGCAAGAAAGUGUAAAGGUUUACCUCUUGCUGCAAAGACAAUGGGAAGUCUCAUGAGCUCUAAAAAAACUGAAGAAGAGUGGAAAAGAAUUUUAAAUAGUGAUUUAUGGAAGGUAGAAGAGAUCGAGAAAGGUGUUCUAACCCCUUUGUGGUUGAGUUAUAACGAUUUGCCAUCUAGAGUAAAAAGAUGUUUCUCGUAUUGUGCUGUCUUUCCAAAAGACUUCAAUAUAGAAAAAGACAAACUAAUUACUUUGUGGAUGGCUCAAGGUUAUCUUAGUGCAGAAGAAGAUGAGGAGAUGGAGACUAUAGGUGAAGAGUAUUUUAGCAUCUUAGCUUCUCGCUCUUUCUUUCAAGAGUUUAAGAAAAGUUAUGAUAAUCGGAUUAUAGAGUGUAAGAUGCAUGAUAUGGUACAUGAUUUUGCCCGAUUUGUAAGUCAAAAUGAAUGUUUUUCGAUGGCAAUUAAUGGUAGUGAAGAACCAAACGCCACAAACUCUCUUGAUGAGAAGGUCCGUCAUUUAAUGUUAAUCUUUAGUAAAGGGGCUUCAUUACCUGUUUCCACUCGUAGAGUUAAAAGAAUGCGUACCCUCUUAGUUAACGAUAGUGGAGCUGAAUCAUCUGAUCAUUCAUCAUUAAAUGCUGAGAUCGUAGAAGAAUUAUUUAGGGAAUCGACAAGUUUAAGGGCAUUAGAUUUUGGCGGAUCGUACGACACAAAAUUUUCUUUGACUCUGGAGAUUCCGAGAAACAUAGAAAAGCUGGUACAUUUAAGAUACCUUAAUUUGUCUUAUCAGGGAAUAAAGAAACUACCCGAGACAUUAUGCGAGUUGUAUAAUCUAGAAAAGUUAGAUAUUAGUUAUUGUUAUAAGCUAGAAGAAUUACCUGAAGGGAUUGGGAAGUUAAUAAACAUGAAGCAUUUACGAAAUAGAGGUACUAGUUCUUUAAGGUACAUGCCAGUAGGGAUUGGGAGAUUAACGGGUCUUAGGACCUUGGGUGAGUUCCACGUGAGUGCAGGAGGAGGUGUUGAUGGUAGGAAAGCAUGUAGGCUUGAAUCUCUUAAAAACUUGGAAUGCCUUCAAGUAUGUGGUAUACGUAGACUGGGUGAUGUAUCAGAUGUGGGCGAGGCUAAGCGAUUAGAACUUGACAAAAAGAAAUACCUCUCUUGUUUGAAACUUCGGUUUGAUAAGAAGGAGGAAGAAGAUGAGGAGGAAGAAGAAGGAGAAAGGAGGAAGAACGAGGACGAUCAACUUCUUCUUGAAGCCCUGCGACCACCUCUGGAUUUAAAGGAAUUAGAGAUACAGUACUACCGAGGCAACACUGUUUUCCCUAAUUGGAUGAUGUCAUUAACCAACUUAAAGAGUUUAGAUCUCUCUUUCUGCGAAAAUUGCGAGCAGCUGCCUCCUUUGGGAAAAUUGCCGUCCCUUGAAAAACUCAGCCUAUUGCACAUGCGGAGUGUGAAAAGAGUGGGUGAUGAAUGUUUGGGGAUAGAAAGUGAUCAUCAUGACUCAUCGCCAUCUUCAUCAGUUAUUAUUGAAUUCCCCAAAUUGAAAUCACUUUCAAUUCAGUUUCUGGGCGAAUUGGAGGAGUGGGAUUAUGGGAUUACAAGAACGGGAAACACCGUCAUCAACAUCAUGCCACGUCUUUCUUCCUUGGAAAUUGGUAGCACCAAAUUAAAGGCACUGCCCGACCACAUUCAUCAAACGACAACAUUGAAGGAAUUGCGCAUUUGGGGGUGUAGGCUUCUGGGAAAACGUUACCGCAAGGGGGAAGGAGAAGACUGGCCUAAGGUAUCUCACAUUCCCAACACAGAUAUUCGAUAAGAAGGAUUCGCGCAUUCGAGAUUUGGCGUUGACAAGUAAUUUCUUCUCUUACUCUGAUUUGCUUUUGUUGUUGUUUUUAAUCUAGUUAAGAAGCAUAAAUAGCAUUUUGAAUCAAGCUGUAUAUCAGAAAUCUGUAAUACAUAUUUUCUAUUAUUCCGAUUUUAAUUUGUGAUUUGGGUAACGUUACUGUAAAACAUUAUUAAUGCAAUAUGAAGGCUGUAAAACAUUAUUAACCUAUUACUGUAAAACAUUAUUACUGUAAAACAUUAUUAACCUAUGUUUAGCUGGCUUUGGAGUUGAGUAAUAACCUUUCGAGGUCGCGCCUAUAAAAUGGCUAAGCUCAAUUUGCCACAGAUUACAUGUAUUGCCAUCAUUGACAAUUUUCUGGAUAAGUGAUGAAGGGUGAGAAUGGUGCUAGAAUAUUGAAUAAAGCUGUCGUGACUGAACUUUGGUUGAUCUCAAAAGAGGUAUAUUAUUGGCAUGCCUAGCUAAUUUGACCACUUCCUGAUUCAUAAGCCUAUAUCAAUUUUGAUUUUGAGUUGAGUGAUUAAUUUUCAAGGUUUGCUUACUUAACCGGUGACCAAUUUCUUGUAACUAAAUGUAUCAUAUGAUGCAGGCAGCAGGGCAGGAUAUGAAAUGAGUAGUUUAUUAGUGGAUGGAUUGCCAGAAACAGAACCCAAAGAAAAUGAAAACAUUUCGAGGCAGCAGUUGGCAGCUGGCAAUGAAUGGAGGCCCUUGAAAAAAUUCCCAAGCCGUUGCACAGCAAUUACGAUCAUCCUCGGCCUCAGGUAAUUUCUUCUCCUGCAUUUUUGUUAUUUGCUAUCAAGUGACUAUUUUAAGUAUGAUUGCAUUAAGCUGCUGCUGGGAAAUUUGAGGUUUUGAUGGCUGCCCAUGCUAUUGUCAGAAGCUGCGGUUCUUUUCAUCAGCCUGAACCUGGACCUGCCGCUAUGGAUAACUCAGAUUUUUUUUUUUUUUUUAAUCAACUGUGUCAUCUUUUCCACUGUUUUGAAACUCUUAAGAUUAAACUUUAGUAAAGUUGUUUUAGUUAUCCAUGUAAUCAGGCUGAGGAUACUUAGCUGCCUAUUUAGGCAAAUGUCAGACUUUAGUUUGUUCGCUGGGAACUGGUGUGGUGACAGCGUCCUGGCAAAGGAUGAUGAGAUAGUUUUUUGAUUGAGUAAAUUUUGGGAGCUUGAGUGUAUUGGGAUUUGCAAUUACAAUCAUCCUCUGCCUCAGGUGAUUUCUUCUCCUGCCCUGUCGUUGUUUGUUCUCUAAUUCAAAAUUAUAAAAUAUUUCAUCAAAUUUUAUGCCAGGAAUAUGCAAAAGUUUCUAAUAUUUUAUUUCCAUCUGUUUGCCUUGAUAACUUUGCAGCAAAUGUACUAGUUAAAGAACAAAUCGAAACAGAGUUCAGUUAAAAGUUUCUUCUGCCGUCAUAUUUGAAAAAUGAACCCAUUUCCAGGAAGCAAUGGGCAGCAAAUUCAUAUAAAGCGUAGACAAUGAUGAGCAAACAGGUGAUUCACAAUUUCACUUUUUUUAAUGAAAUUAAUUGUUUGGUUGGAGCGGACAUUGUUAGAAGGCUAUUGAGCUAACCUAUGUCACUACUUGCCUAGAUUACAGGGGGUCAAAACUCAAAAGCGGCAUUGAAUUUUAAAAGGCAUCCAAUAAUUCUGGCUUUUGUUAUCAACUAUAUCAUCUUUUUCACUAUUUUGAAACUCUUAAGAUUAAACUUUAGUAAAGUUGUUUCAGCUAUUCAAAUGAAAAACUCAUUGAUUUGAGACUUCCUUCAUUAUUGUUUCUAAUUACAAUGCUAACGAUCCAGAUAAGAUAAUAUUUAAUCGGCGAAGGUGUCCCUUGGAAGUACAUCCUUCUUUUUCUUUUGUUAUAUAAAUUCUUGCAAUGAGCUUAGUGAAGCUGUUGUGCUAAUCAUGCCACUGCAUAAUUUGUUCUGCAAAUUCUCCAGAGGUUAAAAUCAAUAAAUUUUCUAUUAGCUCUAGUGCUUUGACUUAAAUGCUAUUCUAUAUUCUGAUUACAAUGUUUUAACCUUUAAAUUAACUACCCCUAGAUGUUGGAUUUUCUAGAACUUCAAAAUGAUUAAUGGAGAAAGAUCCCAUUAUCGUUAUUGCUAUAUGAAAUUGAUUUAUGCAUCCAAAGAUACAUUAUAUAUUUCUGUGUCUCUAUUUAUAGAUGACAUUUAAGCAUCCAUAAACCGUCAGACAGAGGAAGGGGGUUCAGUGCAAAGAUUCUGUUGACCUAGGGUUGACUGCAUAAUGUCACUUGUUCGCAAUCUAUUAUUUAUUUUAUAUUUUGAAGAAUUUAAUGGGUAAUCCUAACUGUUUGUUUUGGCAGGUAUGUGUUGUUAUCUCCUUCUAUCUUACAGUCGUACCUAAAUAGCAUAGUUUCAUCUGUGUUACCAUGUGAUGUACAUAAUUUCACAUUUGCCUCAGAUUAAGCUUAAUUUCCCACAGAAUAGAGCUGUCGCGACUGGACUUAGGUUGAUGUCCAAAGAGGUAAAUUAUUGGCAUGCCUAGAUAAUUUGGCCAUUUCCUAAUUCAUAAGUCUACAUUAAUUUUGAUUUUGAGUUGACUGAUUUCUUUUCAAGGUCUGCUUCCUUAACGGAGUGACCAAUGUUUUUCAACUAAAUUUAUCAUAUGAUGCAGGAAGCAGGGCAGGAUAUGAAAUGAGAAGCUCAUUGGUGGAAGUAUUGCCAGUAACAGAACCCAAAGAAAAUGAAACUAUUUCAAGGCAGCAGUUGGCAGUUGCAAGUGAAUGGAAGCCCUUGACAAAAUUCUCAAGCGGUUGCAAUGCAAUUACGAUCAUCCUCAGCCUCAGGUAAUUUCUUCUCCUGCUUUGUAUUUAUUUGUUAUCUAAUUAGGAAGCGUAAAGUAUCUUGAAUCAUUUUCUGUAUCUGGAAUAUAUGCAAGAGUUUCUAAAAUUUUGAUAUGAGUGUAAUGAUGGUAAUUUCUGAUUUCUGUCUGUCAUCAAAUGUUAGAAAACUUUCAUUGAGACCCUUGAACCGAGUCAUUUUUGACAAGUGAAGUGCUGAAGAGUGAAGAGUAAGAAUGGUGCUAGAUUGGGGAAUAAAGCAAAAGGAGGUAAAUUAUUGGCAGCUUCUUCAACCUUAUUUUCUUUGGACCAGUGCCUAAUUCACAAGUCUCCAUAAUUCGGCUUUUGACCAGUUGAUAGAUAAAAUUUUAAUUUCAUUGGUGCUAAUGUACCCGUGAGGCAGGCAGAGAAGGACUGUGGAAAAGAGAAGGUUUUUAGUGAAAGCUUAAACUCAGGUAAUUCUAAAAAUUAUAUGUUUUGGCUGAUUUAUCUAAAUCAGGAAAUUUUAUUUCCAUCUGUUACAAUAAAACAGAAACAGAACACAAAGAAAAAUAUUCUACUUCUUGUGGCAAUCUUGCCUUCAUUCAGACUAUGAAACCAUUUCCUUUCACCAAUUUCUUCCAAAAGUUUGAACACGUUUCAUGGUUGGACAUAGUUAGCUUCUUUUUCUUUUGGUGCAUUUAGGUGCUAUCAAGUGACAGCCAUAAGUAUGAUUGCAUUAUUAGGAAAUUUUAGGUUUUGAUGGCUCCCCAUGUUAUUGCCAAGAAAUUUUAAGUCCUCAUGUCAGAAGCUGCGUUUCUUUUCAUCAGCCUGAACCCGAACCUGUCACUAUGGAUAACUGAGGUUUUUGUCAUCAACUAUAUCAUCUUUUUCACUGUUUUGAAACUCUUAAGAUUAAACUUCAGUAAAGUUGUUUCAGUUAUCCAUGUAAUCAGGCUAAGGAUAUUUAGCAGCUUAUUUAGGCAACUGCCAGAAUUCAGUUUGUUCGCUCGAAACUUGUAUGGUGACAAGGAUACUGGCAAGGAUAGUGAGAUAAUUUUUUGUGUGAGUGAAUUUUGAAAGCUUGGGUGUUCUGGGAUUUGCAAUUGCAAUCAUCCUCUGCUUUAGGUGAUUUCUUCUCCUGUUCUGUCUUUAUUUUCUCUCUAAUUGAAAGCAUUUCAAUCAAAUUCUGUACCAGGAAUACGAAAAAUUUACUAAUAUUUUAUUUCCAUCUGUUUGCAUUGAUAACUUGGCCGCAUAUGUACUAGUUAAAGAACAAACAGAAGCAGAGUUCAGGAAAAAGUUUCUUCGGCCACCAUAUUUGAAAAUGAAACCAUUUCCAGGAAGCAGUUGGCAGCAAAUUCAUACAAAGUAUAGACAAUGAUGAGCAAAAAGGUGAUUUGCAAUUUCAUUUUUUUAAAAUGAAAUUAUUUGUUAAGUUGGAGCGGAUAUUGUUAGAAGGCCAGAAGGCCACUGAGCCAACCUAUGACACUGCUUGCCUAGAUUGCAGGAGGUCAAGACUCAAAAGAUGCACUGAAUUUUAAAAGGCAUGCAAUAAUUCUUAUGGCCAUUUGUCAAUGGUGGAAUGCUUUUAGCUUCUUUUCCUUUCGUGCAUUUUGGGGUUCUAUCAAGCGACAGCCGUAUGUAUGGAUGGAUAUAGCUGAAGGACAACAUUUGUCCAUGAGGUUCCUAAAAUCGCAACUUUUGUGCAGUAAAAUUAAAACGGACGGCGGAAGCUCUAGAAACCUCGGAUCGGCUUCAUUCAAAAACGAAAAUCAAGAGGAAAGAUUGAAGUUUAAUUACCUCACUUGCAGUUUCGAAAAAGACUUCGUGAGGUAGGAGAAAACGACUGAAAACAGCAAGCUACGAACAUUGUCCAGAAAAUACAGCUCUGCACGAACAGCUUCUGUUUUGCCACGAUCUGAGAUCCUUAAGCACCCCAAUUGUGAUGCCUCUAAUUAUUCCACACUUAGAAAUGUUCUAGGAGUUCAGAGGAUUUGGAAUCACGAAAUUUCGUUUAGAAAUGAGAGAGAUAAUGAUGAAACAUGAAUGCUAGUUCAUGAUGAUUCCCCUUCCACCAAAUAAAGCACCAUUAUGUCUAAUAAUGGCACCAAACAUUAUCAUGUGCUAGACCCACCCACUUAGCUAUAAUUUAUUGAAAGUGAUCUUAUCACUUAAAUAAAUUAUUUAAUCAAAUUAAUAAAUAGCUAAAUUAAUUAAUUUCGUAAUUAAUUAAUUAACCCCAUUUUGAUCAAAUCAAAUGGUUAAAUGUGGGCUCAUUUUGUGACAUGUUCUAAUGCUUUCUCUUAAUCCAUAUUAGAUCCAAUAAAAGCCCAAAAUUCUAAACCUAAAAAUGGUCUAGAAGUCCAUAAUCAUAUAUGAACCCGAACAUGUUCAAAAUGGUCAUUUUACGUGCUCGAUAUUACAUAAUGUUUAAUGGAGGAUUUACGAAAUUUAUUUUGUUCCUUAAACUAUUUAUGGAACAUCUAAAUUUCUAUCUUAAAUCAUAUUUAAGAUAUAUUUAUAUAUAUAUAUUCAUUCUCAAUGAAUUAUAAUAUAAAUAUUGAUUUUCCUAAAAAUAGAAAAUUUAACUUCUCAUUUUUUAGUAACUCCUUUUUCAUUUCUAUUUAGUGUGUGACUUUUUAGGUUCUUAGUUAUAAGGUAGUAGAACUAUUUUAAUGAUAACUCUUUAUUCAUUAAAUGAUGCUAAACUCUUUAGUCAUCAAUUAGAACUCUUCUAAUGACCUUAAGAUGCAUUGAUAAUACGCUUUACCAAUAUUGAUCUUAAGGUUUCUACAAAUCAUGAGUGACACCUAGCAGUAUAUCACAACCAUCCAAAUAACAAGAAUUGUUGGAUCUAUAGAACCUAUUCCAUUGUAUCUCUAUGUCUUGGUCUCUUCAUCAUCCAUGUCUAGAGAAAAGCACGGCUUAUGGUUUAUUAUGUUAAGCACUUAUGCUUUAUCUCAAAAAAAAUCUAAAUGAACUUGACAUGAAAAUAUAAUUUGAACUCCUUCAAAUAUAUUUCACCUUGGCCAAGGAUUUCUCAUGCCAAUUCAUAUUAUCUCAUAGGGACAUCCUUUUUGUAUAUUACAAAGUGAUGAAUUCCAUAUUGGCCAUGCACUAGUCUUCAUACAUAUCCAACCAUGACAGUUAUUGCUAGAUAUCUUCCGUGAUUAGGAAUCAAUCAUUAUGCAUUCACAUAUUAGAGAUGUCUAUGUAUAAGACAUCUGUUAUGCCUCAGGUCUAAAGACCAUUACUAAACAUAGUGUCUAAUACAAUGUAUAAUAAGCCAUUAACACUCAAGACCAUAUGGCUUACUAUAUUUGGUCAAGUUCAGUAAACUUGUUCUCUCAACAAGUACCUAUGUGUUUGACUUGACAUCUCAUGUCAAUGAUAUGAAACUCACCAUCCAUUUUAGUAUCACAUACCAUAAGGAGUCAUAACACAUACUAGUGUUUAUAGGAAUUUAUAAUGUCCAAUCAUAAAUCCACCACUAGGAACUAUUUUAGAAGUAUAGUACAAAGGAUACACGUUUCAUAUUCUCGACAAACUCGAGAAUGUGUUCCUUAACUAUUUUACAUCUUGGACUAUAUUCAUUAAAUUAAUUAAUGAAUAUUGAUAACUUUGCCAUUUUAUAAAUAUCAAAAUGCUAUUCAAAUACGAUAAUUCCCUAAACAAACAAACACCUGAUUGGCCUUUAGGGCAAAUUACUAACAAUAGCUGCUGCGUUGAUUUCUAAUGCGGUGGAGUAAUCGUCGUUAGAAUCUGAAUGAUAUGUCUAAGACGUUGCAUGCAUCAAGAAAAUUGCAGAUGAUUAAACCUUGCCAUCUAUGCGUUGUAUGAGGUUAUAGCAACUAUCUAUCUGGUCACCGUUUUAAAAGAAUAAGACAAAGGGAAAAAGAGAAAGAAAAGAAUGAUUCGACAAUGGCAUUAAAGUUCAACAUACCCCAAGAUCUUGUAAUAAUGCCAUUAAUCAUUCUCUAGCUAGGCUAGCCUUAGAGAAAAGUGAAACUGUUGCACAGGUAGAAUCAAACCCCUCAGAGAUAUGAUGAGUUCGUGAUGCUUGCAUUUUAUUGAUGCUGAUGAUUCGUUGAAUGUUUUAUGUUUUUGAUUUUUAAGUAUUCCGGAUCGAAGUUUGUGUCUACGCGGAAAUUGUAAAGGCAGCAUAUAAAGUACUCGUCGUUCUUUAGAUUUUAUUGAGUACACUUUUGUCACAUUUAGCGUAUGCUAUACACUACUGAUUUGCGCAUUGACAUAUAUCUUAUUUUAUCAUUUUGAAUGAAUUGCACGGCGAGGCUUAUCAACUUUGGAUGAAUCCUCCAAUUGUCACAGUCCAAGACUGGCUGCAGUGAGUGAAAAUUUACCCAUAUAUGUGCUGGCUAUUUUUAUUGGCGACGAAUUCGUUGUAGUUGGUCCAUCUUGCUAUUCUCGGACAAUAUUAGAGAAAAUAAUCAUAUUAUUUCGCGUGAUGUGACCUUCCAUAACUUAUCAAUUGAAUUACUGUAAAAUUAUUGUGUAAGUUUAGGCCCAAUGGCACUUUAGUUCAUCACAUGAUAGCCUGGAUUUAAAAGGAAAACUAUAUUGCAUUGCUUCAAAAAAAAAAUUUAAUGUUUUUAAUAUGAAUAUUUUUAACUAUAUUCAGUUAAAAUAAUAUAUUCUUAAUAUUAAUAUUCAUAGAUGAAAUUCUUUUGCGGAUUUAAGAAUAAAAUAUCAAAUAGUUUUAUUUUUCUUUUGUUGUGUAACUUGGACCGAAAAAGAAAAUGAGCUUAACAUGACCCUCCUUCCGGCACUAUGCAUGUUUUUCUUAUAUUGAUGACAGUGCUCUUGGUGCUUCUCAUCUGCUUCUUGCUUUGGUUUCAAACAAGUCUUUCUCCGUCGAGACAUUUAUUGUAAUUUGAUUUGGAGACAUCUGUCGUUCAAAUAUAUUUCAUAUGCAAGCUGUUGAUAAUUCUGCUUGAGAAAGCCUACAAAGCAGCUGUGUGAUGUAAUAGAAGACUAUAUAUGCAAACGGUCAUCAGUUUCUCUUGAAUUCUUUCUUGAGUUUCUUUGAAUUAUUUGUGAAUGAGUUCUUAAUCGGCUGCUGCUCUUCAGGAAAAGGAAAGUGUUGCAAACUGGUGAAGCUGAUCGAUAAAAGCAAUGUACCAUCUUUGCUGCCAUGGAUCGAUGCCAGUGAGUUUUUUUUAUUUGUCAAACUACUAAUGAGUUCUCCAUGCAUAUGUGUUUCUUCAACUUGAAGCGGCAUAUAAGACGAAAGAAGUGAUCUUUAAAGCAUUCUAUCGCAUUAUCCUUUCCUAUUAUAUAUAUCCAAUUGCUCCAAAUUAUUUGUAAAUUACUGAACACGAAUGCUGAUGAAUAAACUGAUCGCUCUAUGUAUGUAUGCACAUGCAUGGAGAAAUUUUAAGUCAGACAUUCUCAUAUAUAACUCUUGGUACCAAAUCAUCAAAUAAAUCUUGAAAUCAAAGUAAUAAUUAAAUACAAAUAAAUUGCUCGAAUUGUACAUAUAUCUGAAUCAUGUAGUGAAGAAAAUACAACAACAACAACCAAUGGCUCAAAUCCCCCAUCAACCUCUGGUCUCAACACUUUUGAGUGUCAGAAGCAUUACUCUGUUACCAGUUAACAAACAUAUAAUUAGUAAUUUGCCAUUCACUUCCCUUUUAGGCCUAACACAUUUUCUAUAAAGGAGCCACAGAGUGAACUCAGCAGGAAACACUCAAUUUCAACCUACGUAGGACCAGGAAUUUCAACCAAAAAAAAAGUGUGCAAUUGCUUAUCCUAUCCUAUUGCUACUAGAAAGAAAGUGAACAAUUAAUUUCAGUGAAUAAAUUAAAAAAAAAAAUUACUUCUGCAGAUACUCAAGCUAAGAACACAUUAACCCAUUAAAGACUCCAAAUUGCAUCAAACAAAUUGUUGUUAAACAAGUAAAACAAAGAAAGAGAGUUAAGGAAGCUGACCUAGUAGUAGGGGAGCUGAAGAAAGACUGCCAGUGAAUGUAAGAGAAAAUAAAAUGCAAGAAAUGGUGAAGUGCAGCUUUUCAUGUCAACUUGAAAUUGUUUCUUCUGUUUUUUUUUUUAAUCUUUUGGAUUUUUAAAACAAAGAAAAUGAGGAGCAACCAGGGAGAUAAAAAGGGCGCCAAGGCAACUGUGUGUUGGGUUUAGAGCCAAAAAAAAAAAGAAGAAUAAGACAUCGUGUUCUUGUGGAGACCAGACCUAUUACGUAACGUCCCCUUCAAUACCACUUGUUCCGUAUCUGGUUUUUUCUUCGUCUUUUACAUAUUUAUCCUGUGAUUUUACAAUAACUAAAUAAUCCCCCCAUAGUUUGCAAUUUUAUUCAUUUGAGCCCUACAGAUUUCAGUAAUAGGAAUUAUUAAGGGACGAGCGCAAAACAGAAACUCUGUCCACUACUGAUGAUAUAACAACGAACCUUUGUUUUUUUCUUUUUUUUAAAAAAAAAAAAGAGUAACAAAAUAUCAUUAGACAAAUGAAAAUAUUAUCUAACAUCACCUUACUGAUGAUAUGAAAAUAUGUAUGUAUGUAUGUAUGUAUAUACAUAUGUAUGUAUGUACAUAUAUGCAUACAUCUGUUACAUUUCAUCUUUGCACAAUUACACGUAAAAUUCCACUAAAAGAAACUCUUGAGUUGCUCGCAAGCUAUAUAUCAUUAUCCAUUGAAUUCUUACCACAUACAUCUCACCUUUCAAUCAAUCACAUAAUAAUCAAUAUACAUAUUGUAAGAAUUCAACAAAUGGAGAACAUAAUAUACUAUAAAAGCAUCCAAAAUUUUUCCAUCUCAAAUUAUUACUAAACUUCUUGAACAAGUUGAAGAUUGGGGGGAAAAAGUGCAAGAAGGAAAAGCAUUAUUCUACUAGCUUCUAGGUUUCUCAUUUGAACAGAAAAAUUAAAUAAGAUAUUUGUGUAUGGCUGUAGUACUACACGGUAUCUGCUAGAAAGCAAAAUACCUUCUGCUGAUUGCACAUUGGAAUGGGAAUAAGUUGGUAAAUAUAUAAGUUACAUAAAUUAUUUUGGAUAAUUCUGCUGGUGAAUUAAUUAUCUUAAAAUCACCCUUUUAUUUUUUAAAAAAUCUUAAGUUAUUUUUCAUAUAUCUUAAGAAGACAAACAAACUUUCAUCAACUCUCCUUUUUCAGCUUUUCCCUUCAAUAAUGUUAGAAAUUCUAACAUUUGAGUCCUGCUUGAUCUUAAUACUAUAUAUCACUCAUUUAUUAGAUGAUGAAUUUUUUAAAUUAUAAAGUUAUUUGACUACCAUCCAAUGAAUGAAUGUCACGUCAUUUAAAACUCAAAGAAAAGUAUUCUACUUCUUGCGGCAAUCAUGCCUUCAUUCAGACUAUGAACCAUUUCCUUUCACCAAAUUCUUCAUAAACAUUGAGUAAGUUUCAUGGUUGGACAUAGUUAGCUUCUGUUUCUUUUGGUGCGUUUAGGUGCUAUCAAGUGACGGCCGUAAGUAUGAUUGCAUUAUUGGGAAAUUUUACGAUUUGAUGGUUCCCCACGUUAUUGCCAAGAAAGUUCUCAUGUCGGAAGCAGCGGUUCUUUUCAUCAGCCUGAACCCGAACCUGUCGCUAUGGAUAACUCAGGUUUAACAUCAGCAGGAAACACUCAAUUUCAACAAAAAAAAAAAGUGUGCAAUAGCUUAUCCUAUCCUAUUGCUACUAGAAAGAAAGUGAACAAUUAAUUUCAGUGAAUAAAUUAAAAAAAAAAAUCACUUCUGCAGAUACUUAAGCUAAGAACACAUUAACCCAUUAAAGACUCCAAAUUGCAUCAAACAAAUUGUUGUUAAACAAGUAAAACAAAGAAAGAGAGUUAAGGAAGCUGACCUAGUAGUAGGGGAGCUGAAGAAAGACUGCCAGUGAAUGUAAGAGAAAAUAAAAUGCAAGAAAUGGUGAAGUGCAGCUUUUCGUGUCAACUUGAAAUUGAUUUUUCUGAAUUUUUUUAAGCUUUUGGAUUUUUCAAACAAAGAAAAUGAGAAGCAACCAGGGAGAUAAAAAGGGCGCCAAAGCAACUGUGUGUUGGGUUUAGAGCCAAAAAAAAAAAAAAGGAUUAAGACCUAUUACGUAACGUCCCCUUCAAUACCACUUGUUCCGUAUCUGGUUUUUUCUUCGUCUUUUACAUAUUUAUCCUGUGAUUUUACAAUAACUAAACAAUCCCCGUAUAGUUUGCAAUUUUAUUCAUUUGAGCCCUACAGAUUUCAGUAAUAGGAAUUAUUAAGGGACAAGAGCGCAAAACAGAAACUCUGUCCGCUACUGAUGAUAUAACAACGAACCUUUGUUUGUUUGUUUUUUUUUUAAAAAAAAAAGAGUAACAAAAUAUCAUUAGACAAAUGAAAAUAUUAUCUAACAUCACCCUACUGAUGAUAUAACAACGAACCUUUGUAGUUUCUGCCUGUUAAUAUGAAUUGAUCGGGAGUGUUUCCUCACUUAAAAAUUACGAAUUUACAAAAUAUGUACGUAAGUAUGUAUGUAUGUACGUACGUAUAUAUGUAUGUACAUAUAUGCAUACACCUAUGUAACAUUUACUUAUCCAUUCUUUUGAGUUUAAAUCUUAAUACACAUUUUCAUGAAAUUUUUAUUUUAUUAAGUAUACAACUACAUACAACUACAUUAAUGUAUAUAUUUUUUACAUAAGACAUGCCGUCCUAUUAUUCAUAAGUAAACAAUGUGUUGUAAAUAGUAUUCUGUGUUUUCUCAAAGUUGACUUUUCGUCUUUUAUUUUCAGACGCAGACGAUACGUCAUUUUGUAAUCUUCAAAACAUAUACACAGCAGAAUUGGUGUUAUCUGAUUUUGUGAUGCAAUAAGAUUUGCACUUCCUGUGCAUUCAAUGGAAUCAUUUCUUUGUAACUAAUUGGGUGGUGGAAUGGUGGUCAAAUCUCGAACGAAGACAGAUCUAUCAAACUCCAGAAACAGGGAAACCAUGCCACGCUAGUAGACAAUAUGCUAGUUUGAACAAACUUGUUUGAAUGGCAAAAACGACAUGACCUGCUGUAGUAUUAGUUCUUUCCCGAACCAACGGGUGAUUUGCUACGUUGGAUCAUGAAAAUUGAAAAAAAAAAUUAACCAAAAUAAAAAUUCUUAAGGAAUUAGUUAGUUAAUUGAUUGAUCGAAUUUAAUCUAAAUUUGAAAAUGAUAAGAUAAAUUUAAAUUUAUUAUUAUAAUUAUUAUUUUAAACUGGGGUGGGUUUAUACAAUUUGAGCGGUGGAAAUAUCACUACUGAAUUAUUAAAUAUACAGUGUAAAAUUUUGACCUUUAAAAUAUUCCUGUUUUUUUAUUUAGCAUCUAUAAGUUAAAAAAUUUAACAUUGUACCUCAAUAAUUAAAUACAUUUAACUUUAAUCUUCAAAUAGUUACCUACAACAUUUGGACCUAAAUUUUUAAUCCGAUUCGGCCCCUGAUCCAAGUGGGAAGAAGAUCAGGCUUAUACCUAUCACCAACGUAACAUCUUCUGGAAAAUAAUAAGAUUAUUCACCUGCAAUUAUGUGAUCAAACUAAUGGUAACCAAAAUAGAAUAGCGUUAUUUGAGUCCCCUUUCAGUUUCUUUAUCAUUUUUCUUUUCCUAUUUAUAAGCUUAAUUCGGUUCAAAAUCGGCUAAUUCACUUUAAUAAGUUUAUUGGUUUGAACGCUGUUUCCUUUCGUGCAUUUUGGUAUGCUAUCAAGUGACAGUCGUAUGUAUGGUUUGCAUAUAGCUGCUGCUGGGAAAUGUGAGGAUUUCAUGGCUGGCCGUGUUAUUGUCUUAAAUUAGAUGUGAUAAGCUGUUGCUUGGAGAUUCUGUCACCAAGACUUUGCUCACAUCAGAAGCUGUGGAACCUCAACCCUUCUCUAGAUAUCAUCUUUUUCAUUGUUUUAAAACUCUCAGGAUUAAACUUGAGUAAAUUUUUCGGUUGUCUAUAUAAUCAUGUAUUGAGUAAACUCUCAGGAUACUGAGCAGGCAAAUGCCAUAACUCGGUUUGUUCUUCAAAAACUUGUUUAAGAUUCUUGACAAAGCUGCAUGAAGUGAAUCUUGGGAGCUUUGAGGGUGAGAGAAAUUAGAGGGUGUAUAGGGAUUUGGGUUUAUUAGGAAGUUAUAUAUGUAUUUCGUCACUUAUCAUUAUCAUUUUUAUUUUCACAGAAAACCUUCUGAUGGUGCUAAAUUUUCAAACACCGGUCCGAUUCAAAACUUCAUAUUCCAAUUAUAUUCAUAAGACAAAUGGAACACUUUGAACGGCUAGUGUCCGAGCAUUGUAGUUUGAUUUAUUUUGAUGAAAGUACCUUUUGACAUUGAGAUUCUUUCAUGAUUUAAACAUUCUUUUUUAAACCAAAUUAUUAAAAAAAGUAACUAACAUAUAUUAUUUUAUUAGUGCUUUUUAAAUCAAAUGUACAUAGGAGAACUGUAAUUCUUAUCAAUCAAUUUUCCACUAAAUACACCUGCAACAAACUAUUAAUAACAAAGUGAUAGAAAAUACCUGAUUUUUCAUACCUUUUUAAUUUCUUUUGGUCCUAAAAUAUGGGCAUUUGUGUAAUAAUACGCCCAUGUGGAUCUCUAUGCCAUGAGUUUGAUAAAUAGCUAUCAAGGAUCACAUAUUAAGCUAAAAAUAUUUGGAGGACAAAAUUGUAAAACUAAAAGGGUGGAGCAAAUAUGGCUAUCUAGGAUUAAAUAGUAAGUCAACUAUAUUUAAAGGAUAAAAUAUUAAAACUUGAACUGUGAUAUUAAAAAUAUCUCAACUAUUGUAUUAUUAAACCAUAUGUUCUAAUAGUUUUUUUUUUAAGCUUCAAAAUGUUCAGAAUUUUAGAUUGAAACAUUUUCAUUUGAAAUUAUUUGGUGCAGUCACAAGUUAAGAAAGAAAAAGUUGUCCCAUUGGUCAUUUCACAAAAAUGAAAGCCCUGUAUAACAUGGACUUGAAUGGAAGCCCAAUUGUUUGUGUUUGAUUAAUUGAUUUCAAGCUUUAUCGAACCUUUGGAUCUGGAUAUUUUACUGGAGUAAUGAUACAGACACAAACUUUUGUACAAAUUUAUUUUGUACAAACUGAUGUGGCAUGAUAAGAUUGGUUGAAUUAAAUAUCACUUGCCCCACAUGAUUUGUUUUUAUUAAUUUAUAUUUUCAUUCAACCAAUGAAAUCAUGCCACGUCAGUUUGUAUAAAAUAAGUUUGUACAAGAGUUUGUGGCUGUAUCAUUACUCUAUUUUACUGCGGCCUCUAAGCGCUAUAAAUUUUUUUGGGGAUAAACAGCGCUUCAAUGAGGGCAUCUCCAGUGCUUAACACUAUUUUGGUGUAACACCAAUAUUAAAAAUAUAUAUUUUUCACACUAAAUUACUAUUUCAUCUCCAACCUAUUUACACCAAAUUUUAUACCAAAAAAAAUAUUUUUCUUUUUAUUCUUUUAAUUCUCAAGAAUUAAUUCAAUUAACACAAUAAAUUACUAUUAAUAUAGAUAAUUAAGUAAUAAGUAAUUUGAUCAAUUAACAAAAAAAAUAGAAAAUUAUUAAAUUUGCAUUUAAUUAACUAAAUUAGUACAUUAUGAAAAUUAAACAUUACAUUAAUAUAGAAAAAUACAAUAACAAUAAUAAUAAUUUUAUAUCUAAUAUUUUGAUGAUAUUGGAGGAUCUAAUAAUGAUCUUCCAGAUUAUUAAUUUUUUAUUUUUAACUUUGUAAUAUGUAAUAUAGUAAUUAAUGUUAUUGGCAUUUUAUUUUUAUUAUUAAUUUUUGUGUUGAAUAUUUUUUAUUUAAAAUAUUAGUAUAAUAUUCAAAAAUUAAAAAAAAUGAAAUAAAAAUAACAACAAAAAUAAUAAUAAUAAUAAUAACUUAAAAUAUUAUAUAAAAAAGGACAUAUAUGUAAAUAAGAAAAAGUAAUAAAGAUAUUUAGGACUCUUUUUUCCUAGCACCAAAUGAAUAGUGUUACACCAUAUUUGGUGCAAUACUAUUCAUAACACCAAUUUGCUGUUCGUUUUGAUGUUACAUUGGAGAAGCAUUUUACACAAAAAAUGGUGUAAAAGGUAGUUUGGUGUUAGUUUUGGUGUCACAUUGGAGAUGGCCUGGAAAAACACUUGAAAACUUUGGAUUUUUGGUUCGUCCAGUUACGGUGUUAUGCUAAUGGGGUUAAAAGUUCCGAUCCAAUGAGUUAGGAUGGAAUAUGAAUAUAUAAAUUCCAUAGCAUGUAAGGACUAGGAUUUGUUUGUUCAUAUCAAGAAAAAAAAGAUCCGAAAAUUUGAUGAUCAGAAGAUGAAGACACGUUUAUUACAGAGAAACAAACGACAACAUGAUACUAGUAGUAGUUAUUCUUUUCAUCCGAUAUAUUACAUGGUAAUAUCACUACUCGUUCCACUGGUUUCAUAUACACCAUCGAUCAGCAACAUGAUAAUUUUGUGUCAGUUCAUUUUGUUUGUAGGAAAGAGCAGUGUAUUUCUUAGAGCUUGAAAAUAAUAAAAAGAUUUUAAAAUAUAAAUUGCAUAUUUGUUUAUUACAGUUGUUUGGUCUAAUUUCUUAUGUAGAAUUGCUUGUCAUUCUUUGGACGUUAUUGAUUAUAUUUUUGUCAGACUUGGCGUAUAUAUUCACACAUACGUUUUAUUUUGUCAUUUUGUAGAACAUUUUUACACGCCAUAUUAUCACGACUCUUCUCUGUCUGAAUAAGAAGAAAGCAUAAUGCGACCCUCCAAUAGCUUAAUCUAUGGAAUUAUCGUGUUUUGUAAGUUGAGGUCCAAUGGCGUUUUGGCACAUCAUAUGAUAGCCCACUAUAUUGCGUUGCUUUACAAAAGAUUAAUAUUUUGAAAAUUAUUAGGUAAGUUUAGGCUCAGUGGCACUUUAACUCAUGAUAUGAUUGUCCAGGUUUUCGAGGACCACUAUAUUCUAUUGAUUUAAAAAAAAUUAAUAUUUUUUAAUAUUAAUAUUCUAAAUUAUAUUCAGUUCAAAUAUUAAAUAUUAAAUACAUUCUUAAUAUUAAUAUUCUUAGAUGAAAUUCUUUUGCUGACUUAAGAAUAAAAUAUUAAAUAAUUUUAUUUUUCUUUUAUUCUGUAACGUGGACCCAAUAAAAAAAGGAAAUGAAUUUAAUAAAACCUUCAUUCAAAAUCUUCAUUCCGCCACCAUGCAUGUUAAUUGUUUCCAAAUUCCAACCUCCGUACUCUCUUGAGGAGUUUCCCAUUCAUCAAUUAUUAUUUUUUAUAAUCCAUACCAUCCUGAUAUAAUUAAACACCAUUAAUAAUGUACCAACCUUUAAAUAGUAAUUAAUUUAUUUAUCUAAUUCACCAAAUGUUUUUUCCGGUACAUAUCUCCAUUGGUAUCAAGAAGAAGCAGAACCCAAAGAAAUGUUUCUUGCAUCUUCAUAUUUGUGCGAAUUCAUCCUUUCAUUGAGAAUAACCAUUUCCAGGCAGCAGUUGGCAAUCAAUUCAUGCGCACGUCGAUGCUAUUCAUAGAUACUAAAGACAAUGAUGAACCAAAGGUGAUAAAUCAUAAAUGCAUAAUUACCAAACCUCCAUCCUUCUCUCAUUAUGAUUUGAUUUUAAAUGAAUUAUUGCUUGGUAACAUUAUUUCCAACCAUUGCAAGACCCUUUUUUUUGGAGAAAUUUCAAUUGAAAGUGAAACCUUUAGACAUUUACCUAAUGAAGUUAGUUAAUCGGGAGGGUCGGAAAAAAAAAGUUGACGCAAGUCAAUACACAAUAAUCAAUUAAAUCCGGAGUGACUAAAACAGAGCCACUACUUUUUUAAAAAUAUCUGCAUUCAUCACUUUCUCCAGCAACUAGUCAGCUACACACGAAUCAAUUUCUCUCCUCGUUUGUCAUCCAAAAUUAUUCACCAAUACCAUGGCUGAUGCAAUCGUUUCCACUAUCUUGGAGCAGCUGAUUUCCUUCGCUGCUGAAGAGAUAAAACAACAGGUGAUCGAAGUUUCACCCCUCAUAUUACAAAUACUUCCAAUGAUUUUAAUUGGCUUUGUUUUUAUCAAAAACAUUAUAUAUUUUUGCUUUUUUUUUAUUUAUCUGAUAAUUUUAUAUUUUGAAAUUUGAAUUGAAUUUAAUUAAAAGGUGAUGUAGUAACCACUCAUUUUUAUUUUAUUUCAUUUCUAUUCUCGAUAACUAACCAUAUUUUGGUAACUUAAUAUGACUCUCGUACAUAAGAAAUGAUCAAAACCCACAAUUUUAACUAUGUAUAAAUAUUCAACGUUGAGCUAAGGUUUUGCAGAACAUUCAAGUUUAUCAAAUAGUCAUUAAUUUAAUGUUUUAGUAAAACCUCAACUCAUCACUGAAUCCCAUAGCUAUUACUUAGACUCUAUGAAAAAUUUCAUAGUUUUCUUACGUUCUUUCAGUUUGGUAAGUGAUUUCAUAUAAUUUCUGUUCAAUAUAAAUUUUAAUUUGGUUUCUUAUAUACUCUCUUUGCUGAAUUUGUAUCUUUUAUGAUUCUUAGAUUUUGGGCUCUAACAUUUUAGGAUUUGAUAGUCACAUUUUAUGCCAUGCUUAGAUUGAUUUUCAUGAUUUUUACUACCCAUUAAGUGACUUAGAAUUUGACAAAAGUUUGAAAGGAAAUCUGCUUCAGGAUUCUGUUUUAAUUGACCUUUUAGUGGAAAUAGGAUGCUUAUAACUUAAUGUGGAUGGUUCGUAAAAUCAUGAAAUUUGGAUAGAAUUAACUAGAAAUAUGUACAAGACUCUCCAUGAAGUCUCAUAAUUUUUCAUUCGGUCUGGGGUGGUACAGGUGAAACUUGUGGUUGGUGUUGAAAAAGAAGUGAAAAGCCUUACCAGCCAUCUUCAAGCCAUUCAAGUUGUGCUCGAUGAUGCAGAGGAAAAGCAAGUGAAGGAAAAAGCUGUUAGUCUUUGGCUGGGUAGGCUCAAGUAUGCAUCCUACGACAUUGAAGAUGUGUUGGAUGAGUGGAUCACAACAAGACGCAAAUUGCAAAUUGAGGGUGGCAUUGGUGAAAAUGCUCUUGUUGUUCCUCAUAAGAAAAAGAAGGUAUGUCUCUGCUUUCCCGGCUCUUGUUUUGGAUUCAAACAAGAAGAAUUUGGUUUCAAACAAGUCUUUCUCCGUCAUGACAUUGCCGACAAGAUCAAAGAAAUCAAUGAAGAGCUACAUGAUAUUGCCGCUCAAAAAGACAUGUUUGAUCUUGUUAAGAGUGGCAAUAAAAGUAGUGAAAGACCAAGGCGUGUACAGAGUACCUUCUUGAUUGAUGAGGAAGAGAUUUGUGGCAGAGUUGGUGAGAGGAAUGAACUCUUAAGCAAGCUGUUGUGUGAGAGUAGCGAGCAACAAAAAGGCCUUCAUAUCAUCUCAAUCGUUGGUAUGGGAGGCAUAGGGAAAACAACUCUUGCACAACUAGCUUGUAAUCAUGACGAGGUGAAGAGAAAGUUCGACAAAAUUCUGUGGGUGUGUGUAUCAGAAACUUUUGAGGAGUUUAGGGUUGCCAAAGCGAUCGUUGAAGUUUUGGAUGGUCGUGAAUCUCAUUUAGCUGAAUUCCAUUCUCUUCUUCAACAUAUUUAUGAAUCCAUUGCAGGGAAGAGCUUUCUUCUUGUCUUAGAUGACGUGUGGGAUGGAAAUUACUUGAAAUGGGAACCAUUCUACCGUUGUCUAAAGAAUGGUCUCCAUGGAAGUAAAAUUUUAGUUACCACACGUAAAGGGUCAGUCGCAUCCAUGAUGGGAUCCAUAGAUAUUAUCUCCGUUAAGGAGUUAGCUGAAGAGGAAUGUUGGUUGUUGUUUAACAAGAUAGCAUUUUUUGAUCGGUCCAUCGAGGAACGUGAAAAAUUAGAACAAAUUGGGCAAAGAAUUGCAGGCAAGUGCAAAGGUUUACCUCUUGCAGCAAAGACAAUAGGGAGUCUCAUGCGUUCUAAACAAACUGAAGAAGAGUGGAAAAGAAUUUUAAAUAGUGAUUUAUGGAAAGUAGAAGAGAUUGAGAAAGAUGUUUUGUCCUCUUUAUUGUUGAGUUAUAAUGAUUUGCCAUCUAGAGUAAAAAGAUGUUUUUCAUAUUGUGCUGUCUUUCCAAAAGACUACAAUAUAGAAAAAGACAAACUAAUCACGUUAUGGAUGGCUCAAGGUUAUCUUAGUGCAGAAGAAGAUGAAGAGAUGGAGACAGUAGGUGAAGAGUAUUUUGGCAUCUUAGCUUCUCGCUCAUUUUUUCAAGAGUUUAAGAAAAGUUAUGAUAAUCGAAUUAUAGAGUGUAAGAUGCAUGAUAUGGUACAUGAUUUUGCCCGAUUUGUAAGUCAAAAUGAAUGUUUUUCGAUGGCAAUUAAUGGUAGUGAAGAACCAAACGCCACAAACUCUCUUGAUGAGAAGGUCCGUCAUUUAAUGUUAAUCUUUAGUAUAGAGGCUUCAUUACCUGUUUCCACUUGUAGAGUUAAAAGAAUUCGUAGCCUCUUAAUUAACGAUAGUAGAUCUGAUCAUUCAUUAUUAAAUGGUGAGAUCCUAGAAGAAUUAUUUAGGGAAUUGACAAGUUUAAGGGCAUUAGAUUUUUGCAAAUCGUAUAACGCAAGUUGGUUUUCGACUCUGGAGAUUCCGAGAAACAUAGAAAAGCUGGUACAUUUAAGAUACCUUAAUUUGUCUUAUCAGGGAAUAAAGAAACUACCGGAGACAUUAUGCAAGUUGUAUAAUCUAGAAAAGUUAGAUAUUAGUUAUUGUUAUAAGCUAGAAGAAUUACCUGAAGGGAUUGGGAAGUUAAUAAACAUGAAGCAUUUACGAAAUAGAGGUACUAGUUCUUUAAGGUACAUGCCAGUAGGGAUUGGGAGAUUAACGGGUCUUAGGACCUUGGGUGAGUUCCACGUUAGUGCAGGAGGAGGUGUUGAUGGUAGGAAAGCAUGUAGGCUUGAAUCUCUUAAAAACUUGGAACACCUUCAAGUAUGUGGUAUAAGUAGACUGGGUGAUGUAUCAGAUGUGGGCGAGGCUAAGCGAUUAGAACUUGACAAAAAGAAAUACCUCUUCAGUUUGACCCUUGAGUUUGAUAAGACGGAAAGAGGAGGAGAAAGGAGGAAGAACGAGGACGAUCAACUUCUUCUUGAAGCCUUGCGACCACCCCUGGAUUUAAAGGAAUUAGAGAUACGGUACUACCGAGGCAACAUUGUUUUCCCCAGCUGGAUGGCGUCAUUAACCAACUUAAAGAGUUUACAUCUCCAUAGGUGCGAAAAUUGCGAGCAGCUGCCUCCUUUGGGAAAAUUGCCGUCCGUUGAAAAUCUCUACAUAUGGCGCAUGGAGAGUGUGAAGAGAGUGGGUGAUGAAUUUUUGGGGAUAGAAAGUGAUCAUCAUGACUCAUCGUCAUCUUCAUCAGUUACUAUUGCCUUCCCCAAAUUGAAAUCACUCACAAUUUAUUCGAUGCUGGAAUUGGAGGAGUGGGAUUAUGAGAUUACAAGAACAGGAAACACCGUCAUAAACAUCAUGCCACGUCUUUCUUCCUUGACAAUUGUUGAUUGCACCAAAUUAAAGGCACUGCCCGGCCACAUUCAUCAAACGACAACGUUGAAGGAAUUGAGCAUUUUUAUGUGUUGGCUUCUGAACAAACGUUACCGCAAGGGGAAAGGAGAAGACUGGCCUAAAAUAUCACACAUUCCCAACCUCCGUAUUGGGCUUUGACAAGUAAUUUCUUCUCUCACUCUGAUUUGCUUUGUUGUUGUUUUUAAUCUAAUUAAGAAGCGAAAAUAGCAUUUUGAAUCAAACUCUAUAUCAGAAAUCUGCAAUACUUACUUUCUAAUAUUCUGAUUUUCAUAUCCUAUGAAUAUACGAUUUUUAAUUUGUGAGAUGGGUAACGUUACUGUAAAAGAUUAUUAAUGCAAUAUGAGUAAUUCUUUUGCAGGACAAGUGACCUACAUUUAGUUUGGCUUUGGAGUUGAAUAAUAACCUUUCGUGGUCCCGACAACCAAAAAACAAAGCUUAAUUUGCCACAGAUUGAACGUAUUGCCAUUAUUGACAAUUUUCUGCACAAGCGUGACUGAACUUAGGUUGAUGUCAAAAGAGGUAAAUUAUUGGCAUGCCUGACUAUUUUGACCAUUACAUGAUUCAUAAGUUUACAUUAAUUUUGAUUUUGAGUUGAGUGAUUAGUUUUCUAGGUUUGCUUACUUUAACUGGGUGACCAAUUUCUUGUAACUAAAUGUAUGAUGUGAUGCAGGAAGCAGGGCAGGAUAUGAAAAGAGAAGCUUAUUAGAGGAAGGAUUGCCAGUAACAGAAUCCAAAGAAAAAGAAACCAUUUCGAGGCAGCUGUUGGCAGUUGGCAGUGAAUGGAGCCCCUUGAAAAAAUUCCCAGGCCGUUGCACUGCAAUUACGAUCAUCCUCGGCCUCAGGUAAUUUCUUCUCCUGCAUUUUUGUUAUUUGCUAUCAAGUGACUAUUUUAAGUAUGAUUGCAUUAAGCUGCUGCUGGGAAAUUUGAGGUUUUGAUGACUGCCCAUGCUAUUGUCAGAAGCUACGGUUCUUUUCAUCAGCCUGAACCUGGACCUGCCGCUAUGGAUAACUCAGAUUUUUUUUUUUUUAAUCAACUGCGUCAUCUUUUCCACUGUUUAGAAACUCUUAAGAUUAAACUUUAGUAAAGUUGUUUUAGUUAUCCAUGUAAUCAGGCUGAGGAUACUUAGCUGCCUAUUUAGGCAAAUGUCAGAAUUUAGUUUGUUCGCUGGGAACUGGUGUGGACUGGCAAAGGAUGAUGAGAUAGUUUUUUGAGUGAGUAAAUUUUGGGAGCUUGAGUGUAUUGGGAUUUGCAAUUACAAUCAUCGUCUGCCUCAGGUGAUUUCUUCUCCUGCUCUGUCAUUGUUUGUUCUCUAAUUCAAAAGCAUAAAAUAUUUCAAUCAAUUUUUAUGCCAGGAAUAUGCAAAAGUUUCUAAUAUUUUAUUUCCAUCUGUUACAAGAUCAAACUGAAGCAGAACUCAAGUAAAAGUAUGCUACUUCUUGCGGAAAUCUUGCCUUUGUUCAGAUUAUGAAACCAUUUCCAUGCAGCAAAUUCAUCCAAAAGUUUGAGUAAGUUUCAUGGUUGGACACUGUUGGCUUCUUUUUCUUCUGGGGUGCAUUUAGGUGCUAUCAAGUGACAGCUGUAAGUAUGAUUGCACUAAGCUGCCGCUGGGAAAUUUGAGGUUUUGAUGGCUACCCAUGUUAUUUUCAAGAAACUAUUGAUGUAAGAAGCUGUGGUUCUUUUCAUCAGCUUGAACCUGAAACUGUCGCUAUGGAUAACUCAGGUUUUUGUUAUCAACUAUAUCAUCUUUUUCACUAUUUUGAAACUCUUAAGAUUAAACUUUAGUAAAGUUGUUUCAGCUAUUCAAAUGAAAAACUCAUUGAUUUGAGACUUCCUUCAUUAUUGUUUCUAAUUACAAUGCUAACGAUCCAGAUAAAAUAAUAUUUAAUCGGCGAAGGUGUCCCUUGGAAGUACAUCCUUCUUUUUCUUUUAUUAUAUAAAUUCUUGCAAUGAGCUUAGUGAAGCUGUUGUGCUAAUCAUGCCACUGCAUAAUUUGGCCCCUAAUGUGGGUACUCUGUUACAUUGUUCUGCAAAUUCUCCAGAAGUUCAAAUCAAUAAAUUUUCUAUUAGCUCUAGUGCUUUGACCUAAAUGCUAUUCUAUAUUCUGAUUACAAUGUUUUAACCUUUAAAUUAACUACCCCUAGAUGUUGGAUUUUCUAGAACUUCAAAAUGAAUAAUGGAGAAAGAUCCCAUUAUCGUUAUUGCUAUAAGAAAUUGAUUUAUGCAUCCAAAGAUACAUUAUAUAUUUCUGUGUCUCUAUUUAUAGAUGACAUUUAAGCAUCCAUAAACCGUCAGACAGAGGAAGGGGGUUCAGUGCAAAGAUUAUGUUGACCUAGGGUUGACUGCAUAAUGUCACUUGUUCGCAAUCUAUUAUUUAUUUUAUAUUUUGAAGAAUUUAAUGGGUAAUCCUAAUUGUUUGUUUUGGCAGGUAUGUGUUGUUAUCUCCUUCUAUCUUACAGUCGUACCUAAAUAGCAUAGUUUCAUCUGUGUUACCAUGUGAUGUACAUAAUUUCACAUUUGCCUCAGAUUAAGCUUAAUUUCCCACAGAAUAGAGCUGUCGCGACUGGACUUAGAUUGAUGUCCAAAGAGGUAAAUUAUUGGCAUGCCUAGAUAAUUUGGCCAUUUCCUAAUUCAUAAGUCUACAUUAAUUUUGAUUUUGAGUUGACUGAUUUCUUUUCAAGGUCUGCUUCCUUAACGGAGUGACCAAUGUUUUUCAACUAAAUUUAUCAUAUGAUGCAGGAAGCAGGGCAGGAUAUGAAAUCAGGAAGCUCAUUGGUGGAAGUAUUGCCAGUAGCAGAACCCAAUGAAAAUGAAACUAUUUCAAGGCAGCAGUUGGCAGUUGCAAGUGAAUGGAGGCCCUUGACAAAAUUCUCAAGCGGUUGCAAUGCAAUUACGAUCAUCCUCAGCCUCAGGUAAUUUCUUCUCCUGCUCUGUUUUUAUUUGUUAUCUAAUUAAAAAGCAUAAAGUAUCUUGAAUCACUUUCUGUAUCUGGAACAUAUGCAGCAGUUUCUAAAAUCUUCAUAUGAGUGUAAUGAUGGUAAUUUCUGUUUUUUGUCUGUCAUUGAAUGUUAGACAACUUUCAGUGAGACUCUUGAACCGAGACAUUUUUGACAAAUGAAGGACAAUUGCUGAAGAGUGGGAAUGGUGCUAGAUUGGGGAAUAAAGACAAAGGAGGUAAAUUAUUUGCAGUUUAUUCAGCAUUAUUUGCUUUGGACCAGCGCCUGAUUCACAAGUCUCCAUAAUUUGGCUUUUGACCAGUUGUUAAUAAAUUUUUUUAUUCCAUUGGUGCUAAAUGUACACGUGAAGCAGGCAGAGCAGGACUGUGGAAAUGAGAAGGUUUUUAGUGAAAGCUUAAACUCAGGUAAUUCUAAAAAGUACAUGUUUUUGCUGAUUUAUCUAAAUCAGGAAAUUUUAUUUCCAUCUGUUACAAGAUAAAACAGAAACAGAACACAAAGAAAAAUAUUCUACUUCUUGUGGCAAUCUUGCCUUCAUUCAGACAAUGAAACCAUUUCCUUUCACCAAUUUCUUCCAAAAGUUUGAAUAAGUUUCAUGGUUGGACAUAGUUAGCUUCUUUUUCUUUUGGUGCAUUUAGGUCCUAUCAAGUGACAGCCAUAAGUAUGAUUGCAUUAUUGGGAAAUUUUAGGUUUUGAUGGCUCCCCACGUUAUUGCCAAGAAAGUCCUCAUGUCAAAAGCUGCGGUUCUUUUCAUCAGCCUGAACCCGAACCUGUCGUUAUGGAUAACUCAGGUUUUUGUCAUCAACUAUAUCAUCUUUUUUACUGUUUUGAAACUCUUAAGAUUAAACUUCAGUAAAGUUGUUUCAGUUAUCCAUGUAAUCAGGCCAAGGAUAUUUAGCAGCUUAUUUAGGCAACUGCCAGAAUUGAGUUUGUUUGCUCGAAACUUGUAUGGUGACAAGGAUACUGGCAAGGAUAGUGAGAUAGUUUUUUGUGUGAGUGAAAUUUGAAAGCUUGGGUGUUCUGGGAUUUGCAAUUGCAAUCAUCCUCUGAGUCAGGUGAUUUCUUCUCCUGCUCUGUCUUGAUUUUCUCUCUAAUUGAAAGCAUAAAGUAUUUCAAUCAAAUUCUGUACCAGGAGUACAUAAAAGUUACUAAUAUUUUAUUUCCAUCUGUUUGCAUUGAUAACUCGGCAUAUGUUCUAGUUAAAGAACAAACAGAAACAGAGUUCAGGAAAAAGUUUCUUCGGCCACCAUAUUUGAAAAUGAAACCAUUUCCAGGAAGCAGUUGGCAGCAAAUUCAUAUGGAGUGUAGACAAUGAUGAGCAAAAAGGUGAUUCGCAAUUUCUUUUUUUUUUUAAGUGAAAUUAUUUGUUAGAUUGAAGCUGAUAUUGUAAGAAGGCCAUUGAGCUAACCUAUGUCGCCACUUGCCUAGAUUGCAGGGGGUCAAGACUCAAAAGAAGCACUGAAAUUUAAAAAGCAUGGAAUAGUUCUUUUGCCAUGUGUCAAUUAAUGCAAGUUUGAAUAAGUUUAUUGGCUGAACGAUGUUAGCUUCUUUUCCUUUCGUGCACUUUGGUAUGCUAUCAAGUGACAGCCGUAUGUAUGGCUUGCAUAUAGCUGCUGCUGGGAAAAUUGACGAUUUCAUGGCUGGCCGUGUUAUUGUCUUAAAUUAGUUGUGAUAAGCUGUUGCUUGGAGAUUCUGUUGCCAAGACUUUGCUCACAUCAGAAGCUGUGGAAUCUGAACCCUUCGUUAUGUAUCAUCUUUUUCAUUGUUUUAAAACUCUCAGGAUUAAACUUGAGCGAAUUUGUUCGGUUGUCUAUAUAAUCAUGUAUUGAGUAAACUCUCAGGAUACUGAGGGUGAGAGAAAUUAGAGGGUGUAUAGGGAUUUGGAUUUGUUAGGAAGUUAUCAUUUUUAUUUUUAUUUUUAUUUUUUUCCCAGAAAAUCUUCUGGUGGUGCUAUAUUUUCAAACGACAGUCCGAUUCAAAACUUGAUAUUCCAAUUAUAUUCAUAAGCUUCUAUAGUUAUCUUCAAAAAGACAAAUGGAAGGCUUUGAACGGCUUGGGUCUGAGUAUUGUAGUUUGAUUUAUUUUGAUGAAAGUACCUUUUGACAUUGAGAUUCUUUCAUGAGUUAAACAUUCUUUUUAAAACCAACUUAUUAAAAAAAAAAGUAACUAACAUAUAUUAUUUUGUUAGUGCUUUUUAAAUCAAAUAUAAAAAAGAGAACUGUAAUUCUUAGCAACCAAUUUUUCACUGAGUACACCUACAACAAACUACUAAAAAAUAAAGUGAUAGAAAAUGCCUGAUUUUUCGUACUUUCUAAUUACUUUUGGUCUUCAAAUAUGGCGGUUUGUGUAAUAAUAAGCCCAUGUAUAUCUUUAUGCCAUUAGUUUGAUAAAUAGCUAUCAAGGAUAACUUAUUAAGCUAAAAAUAUUUGAAGGAUAAAAUGAUAAAACUAAAAGGGUGGAGUAAUAUAGUUAUUUAGGAUUAUAUAGUAAGUCAACUAUAUUCGAGGGAUAAAAUAUUAAAACUUGAAUAGUGAUAUUAAAAAUAUCUCGACUAUUAUACUGUUAAACCAUAUGCCGUAAUAAUAUUUUUUUAGAGCUUGAAAAUAAUAAAAAGAUUUUAAAAUAUAAAUUGCAUAUUUGUUUAUUACUGUUGUUUGGUCUAAUUUCUUAUGUAGAAUUGCUUGUUAUUCUUUGGACGUUAUUGAUUAUAUUUUUGUCAGACUUGGCGUAUAUAUUCACAUACGUUUUAUUUUGUCAUUUUGUAGAACAUUUUUACACGCCAUAUUAUCACGACUCUUCUGUGUCUGAAUAAGAAGAAAGCAUAAUGCGACCCUCCAAUAGCUUAAUCUAUGGAAUUAUCGUGUUUUGUAAGUUGAGGUCCAAUGGCGUUUUGGCACAUCAUAUGAUAGACCACUAUAUUGCGUUGCUUUACAAAAGAUUAAUAUUUUUAAAAUUUAUUAGGUAAGUUUAGGCUCAGUGGCCCUUUAACUCAUGAUAUGAUAGUCCAGGUUUUCCGUUUUCGGAUCGAGUUCACUUUAACUCUGGUCCCGUGUUAUUAAAAUACCAAUUUCGGAUCGAGUUCAGGCGCCAGAACAAUUUUCUAGAACCUGGCCCGAGUUUAUUUUUGGGCUUGGGCCGGACGACCAAGUCCGCCCUGAUUAAAAAUUUGAGACUUUUCGAGGUUCACAGGGAUUCUGGCAUCCCUAGUCGAAUCAACACCGAUGUGAUCUACACAACCAGUGUACAUACCAUUUGAUACUGAAUCACCAAAUACUUAGAUGUAAUCAGCAACAAUUACAUAUAUAUAUAUAUAUAUAUAUAUAUAUAUAUAUAUAUAUAUAUAUAUAACUAAUAUUAAAAAUUGUUACUUUAUUAUACUUUUCUUCAAUGUAUGCCAUCUUUUGGGCAGGCAUGGCAAUAAAUGAGCAAAAAUGAAGACAACACACACAUUACACACACACACACACACACACACAGAGUGUAAUUGAAGUAUCAAACUGGCAAGGACACAAAAUGAAUUUAAUAGUAUAUAUUAUCUCAUAAUGGCAAAUCUAAAAAACACAAACUUAUUUAACAGCUAGCAAAUUUAAAAAUCACGACAGCAUCAAAAAUUGCGCACACGAAUUUAAUUAAGAGGGACGUAAAAUGGAGUUGAUAUGAUCAGCAAUGUUUUGGGCAUCAGCAGCAGCUCCAUAGAGUCCUUUCCUUGACAAUCCAACGCAGUAUAAACCAUUCUUCCCUUUCCAAUGAUUUGGGUAACUUUGCUUUGGGAUUCCAUCAUCGUUCAGCAUAGAAUCAUCUCCCUACUCAACAACAACAACAACAACAACAAGAAGAAAAUAAAAAAUAAAAAAAAUCUAAGAUUGAUUUGUACUUUUUGUAACCAUUAACGCGAAAGAGUUACAUAUUAUUAUAGAAACAAUAAAAAAAUAAAAUGGUAAAAGGCGAUUUGUUUUGGGGGGGAGGCAAAGUGAGAAUCGUCGUCUUUCCAAUAUAUAUGUAUAUAAAUAUUAUAUUACCUUGAGCCAAACAUUUGUUGAUCUCUUGAAGCCAGUACAGAAAACAAUCGAGUCAAAGUGAUGGGAGUGUCCAUUCUCAAAUACCACCUGGUUGCCUCUAAUGCUCUCCAUUCCCGGCAAUACCUGUGCAGGAGGAAUUUUAAAUUAUAUCACAAGUAAUACAUCAAUCAACUAACUUAGUUAUAUACUACAUGUGUAAUUAAAAAAUUAAUAUAAUUACUGCUUACAUAUUAAUUUUUCAUAAUAUAUAUUUACCUGUGUGUGUAUAUAGGGAGAGAGAGGAUGGCCAGCCAGGUCAUUCAAAAAAUAAAUAUCUGAUCACCUUGUAAUUAAUUACCUGAAUCUGUCCAGACUUGAUUUUCUCACAGGUGCCGACAUCGAUAACCGGGUAUUUUCCAUAAGCAGCUUUCAUGAAAAAAGGACCCUCCCUGGGCUUGUAGAUCCCAUACUUGCUCAAAUCUCCAUAAACAAGCCUGCUAAGCAUCACCAUCAAUGUGUCGACCCCGCCGCAUGGAACAUACUUCAAUAAAACUAACCCCAAAUACACCAUCUCCCUCGACAGCACAUGAACCUGAUUAAUUAAUUAAUGGAGUGGAUAGAUAUAUAGAAAUUAAGUAAAAAAAAUAUGUGCAUGCCAAGUGAAAUAAUAAUGAAUUUACCCACCGGGCUACGGAUAACUAAAGAGGUUUUGGCGGCAUGGUUGGCUAGAUCCAGUGCAAUUUUCAUGCCAGAAUUUCCAGAGCCAACGACCAACACAUGCUUGCCGCCAUAAGGUUUUCCAUUUUUAUACUGAGUGGAAUGAAUAACUUCUCCAGUCCCGGUGGCACUACUGCAGAAAGAACUCAGUCCUCGAACAUCCGGCGUAAAAGGGUUGCUCGUUUCCCCACUUGCAACCACUAGAAACCUCCCGGAAUAAUAUUCCUCAAUCUCACGGCCGGGACUUAGUAAGUUGCUAGCCUUAACGUUCCACAUAUUGGUUGCCUCGUCGUAGCUCGCCGAUUCAACGGAUCUUUGGUACCGUAUUGACGGACCGAUGUUGAAAUGGGAAACGUAGUGAUCCAAGUAUUCAAUGAAUUGGGCUCUGGAGACAAACAUCGGAUAAGAAGAAGGGAAUGGCAGGUGAGGGAGCUGACAAAAUUGCUUUGCUAAGUGCAGACGUAGGCGAUCGUAGGAAUAUUUCUUCCAGAUGGACGCGUAACAAUUUUCUCUUUCGAGGAUUACGUAAGGGAUUGAUAGAAGGCUAAGGCAGGCCGCCGUCGCCAGGCCGGACGGUCCUGCCCCUACUAUUAUCACUUCUACUCCCGCCGCUUGCUCUUUCAUUUCUUCUUUUUCUUCUUCUUCAGGUUAAUUUUGAGUUAAGUUGAUUGUUAUUGCCCAUCUGGGGGUGCUUGUUCUAUUUAUAUACUGAAAUCUUUACGUUAUAUGUACGACUCCAAUCAAUUUUUAUUUUGAUACUAUUGAAGAAGACGUAUGUUACAAGACACUCGAUUCACGAACUCCACGUGGUCGGACUUUAGAGGGAAAAAUUGUGGUGUAAUUCUGGUACCGUAUCACAGUUGCACUCAAUCGUUGGAUUUUGAUAGACCCCACUCAUCUAAUAAAUCUAACGGUUGGAUGCAACUGUGGUACAGUACCACAGUUGCAACGUAGCCGGACCUUAGAGGAAAAAAUGGUGGUGUAAAUGUGUUACCGUACCACAGUUGCACCCAAUCGUUGGAUCUCGAUGGACCCUAUCCAUCUAAGUGGAUCCAACGGCUGAAUGCACCUGUGACACAAUACCACAGUUAUACCGUAGUCGGACCUAUAUAUAUAUAUAUAUAUAUAUAUAAAGUGGUUUCCGAAAUAUUUUAAAGUGCAAGAAAAGUUCAACAAAAUUUUAAAACAAUAGAAUUUAAGAAGUUUAAAACUUAAAACAAUUAAACUGCAUAAUUUAUGUUUUUUUUUCAAAUGUUUCUGCACUAUAAAAUUUUGAUUGAAACCUCUCUGUUUGUAUAUAUGUUCGCUGCCACCCCCACCGUUUUAAUUUUCUCAUUCUAUGUGAUAAAUCAAUAUUUUUAUACGUCCUUAGUGUUACGAGAAAAACUUUUUACGUAGGACCAAAUGAUUAGAGUACUACCAAUUUAACAGAUUGAUUGAGGUAAUAAUUAAUCAUGCACAAGUCUUUCUCCAAAGUUACCAUGCUGACUAUAAUAUCUUCUUAAGCGUGCAUUUUUUUUCUUCUCUUUAAUACAAAAAAAAAAAAGAAGUAUUACAUUUGCAUAUAAAGUAACAUUAUCUAGGUCAUGUUACUAUUAAGGAAAAUGCUAUUUGCAUAUGAAAAAUAAAGUAAGGAUACUUUUACACAAAGACAAAAUUAGUAAAAUGAAUAAGUUUGUUUAUAAUGAAAUGUUUCUUAUUUUUAAUGACCUUGUAUAAUUUUAUGUAUAAUAUUAUGUACAAAUAAUAUUACCUACCAAAUGGUUAUGCUACCUCGAAUGGACGCAAAAUUAUUGGAAUAUAUUAAAACCAUAAAUUGUAUAACUUUUUUUUUUUUGGUUUAUUUAAUUUUGGCUUAAGAGAGAAGAAACAGAUUAGCAUGCUUUAUUUGAUUGAAAAAGACAUUGAAAAUAGCAUUCUUUGUGUUUCCACAAAUGAAGUCAUCCUCCCAGAUUUCAGUUUAUUUGGAAAUUUGACAUCCACAUGUUCAUUUGGAAUUUCGACAUCCACAUUCAACAAUCCUUCAAAGGAAAUAAGUUGGAAGAUGAAUUUCCCUUUCUCAAUAACUACCAUACCUCAUCAAAAUUGAAGUCCCAACUCAUAAUAUAUGACGUACGGUCCAGAAAGACUCAACCAUAUACUUGUAUUCUUGAAUGGAUAAUUUUGCCAGCAUGUUUCCUUGUUUGUUGGGUCAAAAAUAAAAGAAAUUAGGGAAGAAGAAAAAAAGCAAAUUGAAUUUGUCAAUGGAAACGUAAAGAUUACUUGACGUUGCCAAUAAGGUAUUUGAUUGACAUCUCAACUCUGACGAACGGCACUCGAAAUUGUAAUGUGAAAACACAGAAAUGAAGGGCCAAAUUAAUUAAAAGUAAAGAGGCUUUUAUGAUGUGGUGCAAGGCUUUAUGAAAAAAAUAGUCAGGUGAUAUUCUGCUUAACUAUAUUAUUGUUAACGACAUGAUUGGAUUGGGUCUGCUUAACUAUAUAAUAUUCUGCUUAAGAAUUAAUGAAAUUAAUAAAAUAAUUAAAUAUUAUUAAUUUAAUCAGGUGAUAUUCGUUUUGGGUUUAUACAACCUCGAUCGAGUCGAUGCUUCUUGAAGUCGUCUUGAAUUGGGGGGAUCCAGGACGAACAAAUAUGAAGCAACAUGAAAGGCGAUAACGACUCUCACACACAAAAUCAGAUAGUAUAUAUAGGAGUAACGAAAUCUCUUUUCUAGAUAAAGUAAGAGAUAGGUUAAAUUGAAAAAUAAUAAUAAUAAUAAUAAUAGCACAGUGAGUGACUUCAUGAAUUUAUGAGAUAACCAUGUAAUGCAUCAGAACUUGAAAAAUAAAAAUCAUUAAAAAAAAUUAAAAAUCAAAGUUAUGCAUUUUUGUAAGGGUGUUUUAUGUGAUAAAUACACGUUUAGUCUCUAUAUUUUGGGUUAAGUACUCAUUUAGUCCUCAUAUUUUGAAAAACGUCUCCAAGAUUUGUUAUGCUUUUGUCCUUAUAUUUUUCGUCUCAACUUUUACAAAAACAUCCUUGCGGGGCAUUAAUAAAGGGGAGAAAAUAUUAAUUUGUCAAAUUAACCGCAAAAGUAAACAAAAAUUAAUGUAAAAAUUUCUUACUAUUAUUUUUAUUUUUAAAGUUAAUUUGAUAUUAGUUUGGUACUUGUAAAGAAAAUUAUUGUAAACUCCUACGCCCAUCGGAGAUCCUCCUUUCUUCUCAGAAUUAUACAAAAUAGUAUUAAAAUCUCCACCUAACAGCCAAGGACCCCGGACAGUCAAAGCUAUCUUUGCCAACUCAUUCCAAAGAUGUCUCCUGAUGCUUGGAUUAGGACUAGCAUAGAUUGCCGUCAUCCAAGUUAGCAGGUUAUUGUUCCUUGAAAUCUUGAGGUGAAUGAACUGAGUAUGAUUCCCCACUAUCUCAACUUCAAAUAAAUUUUUCCAAAGGAUCCAAAUGCCGCCCGAAAAACCCUCAGCUUCCACUCGGUGAGACUUGUCAAAACCACUAUUCUUGAUGAAGUUAUCCGCCUUGGAACCACUGAUGCGAGGCUCCAUUAACACCACCAUUACGGGCUUGUAAUUAUUAACCACAGCAGAGAAAGAACGACGAAAGGACGGUGAAGCAGCACCUUGAGCAUUCCAAAACAUAGUUGUAAUACACAUAACAAAAAAAUUUAAAAGGAGAGCCAGGGGAAAAACUAAGACAGCCCUAUGGCUUCAGCUUCAUCAUCCAUGAAGGUGUCAGGAACCCCUGAAUUAUCUUCAUCAGUUAAAGGCACACUCCUACCCGCAACAUCUGAAUCAAGCUCCCUAAAAGGUCCCCCCCGGAGAUUAAGACUAUUCAUGCCAUCCUCAUCGGGGGGCUCUUUAUCCAAAUUCUGGGCCAAAACUUCCUUAGGCAACUGUUCAUGGUGAGACCGAGAAUGAGGAAAUUGAAGCUGAGGGUUAGGGAAAGAAACUGCACUAUGGUUUAACGGGUUAAGGGUUACAUGAACAGGCAUCGGGGAAGCAGCCAUUGUGUUGGGAUGGGCAUGCAUGCCAUGCAUGGAGCUACAGGGAACAUCAGAGGUAGCACUUGGUUCAGAUGUGGUAAGACCCUUGAGAUGUGCGUGCAUGCCUUGCAUGGCUAGGGUAGGAUUAUGUGGUUGGAAAGGCUGGCCACGGCUAUGAUUAUUGGGGUUGAUAUUUUCAGCUAUGGAGUUGUUUGCCCGAACGGAAAUUUUCUUGGUAGGAUAUUUUCGUAUAAAGUGACUCACUUGUUUCUUUUUCAUGCUCCUGGAUUUUGGGGCUAAAGUGUUGGGAUUUUCUAAUGUUGGCUCUGGAAUUUCCUGAUGGAUUACCGAAGUGUUGUCCUGAUUUUGUGGUGCAAUUUCCUCAUUCAUCACUUUGCCUAAGACAUCAAACCGCGACUCAUGAACAUUUAGCCCCUGUUGAUCCUGAACCGAGACCUUAGGAGAAACCCUUUCUGAAACUCUACGGGGGCGAGGUUUACGGGUUACCACCAUCCACGAUCCAAACUUAGACGCAUUUCGGUUAGAACCCUCCUCCACUACAAUAUCCCGGUUUGCAGCAACAGGACAAGAAGUUGGCAGUUCAGCUUCCACAUGCGUGGUACCACCGUCAGGGCAAGCAUCUUGAUAAUGGCCAAACUUGCCACAGUAAAAACAAAUCAAGGGCAGAUUUUCAUACUCCACCUUUUGGAUUCUUCCCUCAAAAUUAAAUUGAGAAACCAGCGGCUUGUCAAGGUCUAGUUGAACCGCAAUGCGAGCAAAUUUUCCCCUUUGGGCUGCGGCAGUGAGAUAGUCUAUCUUAAUGACCGGGCCAACAAUUUGCCCUAACCGCCGUAUAAUAGUUUUAUGAUAAAAGUGAAUAUUCAUGCCAGACAAACGAAUCCAAGCCACAAUACGAUCAACUCUAUUCGUGAUAGCAUCAAACUCCGGCGUCCAUUGCUGAACAAAAAGAUAAUGCCCCAUGAUGGUCCACGGCCCCUCAGUAAGAGCAUAUUCCACAUCUCCCUCGUUCUGAAAACGGAUCAGGUAAUAGUCAUUAGCUAAGUCAAUGAUGGAGAAACCCAUUGUAGAACUCCAGAGUCUCUUCAAACGCUCGCUGAUAACUCUAUAUCCCAGGUUUCGUCCAAGAGUUUUAACGACAACUGAGUUUGCCCAAGGUUUUGCUAGUCGUUCGUGGACCCUCUGUGAGAAAGCAAUAUAGGGCAUAGAUUCGUCCUCCUUACAACAAACAUCCUCCUCUUCCAGUUCCCACUCGUCCCUCAUGCCAAAAACCAUAUUUGCAGAGCCCCCAUUCGCCUCCAUGGCGAUAUCACGGUAGGAUAAGGGCUUAGGGUUAUCUCCAUCAGCCCCUUCAGCCCUAAACUUUGUCUUUUUGGUGAAUCGGUCACUCGCCAGCGGCGGUGGAGAAGCUUUCGCGGAGCUCAUUAGGGCACGGAUUCUUUGUUUUGGACUCACUCAAAAUCUGGGCGUUUCACUACUCAUUCGGCUUACUUGGCUUUUUCGAAUGAUACCCCCAUGCAUGAUGACAGGCCUUGGCGGACGGUUUGGAGUUGGAAGGGUCCCCAAAGUGUGAGGAUCUUCUUAUGGCAAGCGUUUCACAAUCGUCUGAAAACAAAGGCCGAGUUAGUUCGUCGUCACAUCCCGGUAUCAACCUCCUGCGAUCGGUGUGAGGCUGCGACUGAGGAUGCUUUGCAUGUCUUGCGGGACUGUGCUUUGGUUAAGCGUUUUUGGCUCCUGAUUCUCCCAGAAAAUAAACGACAUCAAUUCUUCAAUUGGCGGCUCCAUGAUUGGCUUCGUAUGAAUCUGGGGAUCGUCGGAGGGCUAGGGAGUGUUUCUAAUUGGGCCAUCUUCUUUGGCAUUGCUCUCUGGAGACUUUGGUUUUGGAGGAACCAAUUCAUCUUUAAUCAAGUUUCUAUGGAUCCGAAUGUUGUUUUAAUGGAUGUUUUUCUGCGCACUGCGGAAAUGCAAAAGAUUCAUACUCAUCCGCUUACCUCAGGACAUACGAGGGUGAUGAGAUGGAUCUCUUGGAAACCUCCAGAUUGGCCUUGGUGCUCUUUGAACACUGAUGGUGCCCAUAACAGGGAGGGAAUUUCUACUGCUGGGGGAUUGAUUCGCGAUCACAUGGGUCGCUGGCUUAGUGGUUUUGGGAUGAUGAUUGGUUCCUGCUCUGUUACAGUAGCGGAGCUUUGGGGUUUGUAUCAAGGGUUGCAACUAGCUUGGAAUUCUGGUAUAAGAAAGCUUAAAGUGGAAAUAGAUAGUCGUUGUGUGCUGCAGUUGGUGACCAAGCCAACAUUGGAAAUCAAUCAUUAUGCUUCUCUGAUUCGAGCUAUCAAGGAUUAUUUAAAGAUGGAUUGGCAAGUUUCUGUCUCCCAUAUUUACAGAGAAGCUAACUUCGCAGCGGAUUAUAUGGCGAGCCUAGCUUUCUCCAUCCCUCUUGGUCUUACUAUUUACCAUACUCCCCCGUUGGGAGUUAGCCCUUUUUUGUUUAAGGAUGCUUAUGGGAUUGCCCAUUCUCGCUCGGUUGUUCUUUAGCUCUGCUUAGAGCCCUUUUUUACCAAAAAAAAAAAGAAAAUUAUUGUAAAAAUUGUUGUAAGAAUAUUUAGCAGUUAGAACUAAAUAGAAAUUUAAUUCAAAAUAUAAAAGGAUUAAAAAAAAAAUUCACCUAUAUUAUUUUUAGUGUUUUUGUAAUUCGAAGUAAAGCAUAUUUCAUGCUGUUAAAUCGGGUUGACGAUCCCAUCGGAAAGAAAAAGAAAAGAAAUAUGAGGUGGAUGAUGACUUGCAUUCUAAGUCAAAGGAAUAUGCUAAGUGCUAAGAUUUGGUUGUUCACUGGACGCGCUCAAAUUGGUACUCUUUUUUUUUUAUCAAUUCAACGAUUCAACCAACGGCAGCAUGCAUUGCAUGCACAGGUUCAGAUACCUGCAACUCACUCCGGCCCCCACCCGAAAAAGCCAAACCCUCAGCCCUCUUUGAGUCUUUUACUAGUCUAUGUCCGAAUGAUUGUGUGCAGACAAAGCAAUUUAUUUGGGUGUCAUCGAGGAAACGGCCAUGAAUGUGGGUUAAGAGAAAGUGGUUAAAAAAAAAAGGGGGGGGGGGGGGGGGGGGGGAAUUGGGAGAAAAUGUCAAAUCUCCAACCCUUUUUAUUAUAUCCCACUAAUUUUUUUCACAUCAAAAUCUUAACCAAAAAAAUUAAUUUUUAUUUUGUGGAUGGAAUGUUAACAUUAAGAGAGUAUACUGGAGGGGAUGGUAACAAAGAAUAAUAACGUAAAUUCUCAUUUGUAAGUAACGAUGUAUGUUAUUUUCGCUCUCUUUGUAAGUUCUCAUUUCUCAAAAGUACUGUAGAGCAUACUGUAAUAGAAUAACAACAUAGUCUGUAAGCUAAUUUGAAUUUUUUUUUCAACUUAAAUGUUAUAAUGGUAAUUAUAAUGGAAUAAAAUGUAAAUUAUGUUGUUGUUUUUAUGGUGCAUUUAUUUUUUAUUUUUGGAUCAAGGAAUUAGAAUCUCAAAUUGAAAUUAUUGAUAGUGUUUACUUGAUAAAGUGAAGGUGAAAAUAUAAGUGAAAGUGAUAGGCUUUGUUGGACCAAAAAUAAAAUAGGCCCAAUCAAGACCUAAAUAAAUUUAAUCCCAAUAAGACCCAUCUAAUAAAUUUACUCUCGAUUAAGUCCACAAAGCGUUGAACAAAUCACCUAUAAUAAUCCUCCUAAGUAAUAAAGCUUCAAAACCCAAAGGGUUCCAAGAUCCAAGACCAAAACUUAUUCUAGAGUCCUAAGAUCUAUCAUAAGACAAAUCACCUAGGAUAAUCCUCCUAAGUAACAAGACUUCAAAGCCUAAAAGGUCUCAAAGUCCAAGACUAAAAGAUUCUAAAGUCCUAGGAUCUUAUCUUAAGACAAACCACCCAAAAUAAUCAUCCUAGAUGACGAGGCUUCAAAGCUCAAAAGAUACUGAGAUCCUAGGCUUCUAUUCUAAGACAAACUAUUUAUGAUAAAUCUCCUACAUUCUAAGGUUCUCAUCAUCACAGAGUUUUAGUAAAAAUAACUUAAGGUUAAAACACUUCUUUCUUUAAUAUAUAGACAAACUUGCAUAUUCAUGUGUUAAUUAACAUGGCCACAAACAAACAAGUGUUGCCAGACGUGAUAAGAACAAUAACACUUGUCAUUAAAAUAACUAGGACUUAAGUCAAAUCAAUUUCGCCUAUAAAUAUGUCUUUUAUUCUCAGUAAAAGGUAAGAAAAAAUGGACUCAAACGGAAAAAUGAUAACUUUCACUUUCUAAUAUUUUUCUUUCUAAAUAUACAUUUCCAAAAGUCUGGUGACUAACUUGACCAUAGGACGGUUUAUGCCGGCAAAGCCGGCUUUCUGAUUCUUUUCUUGUGUUUGUAAAGUAUCACUAAAUAAGAACAUUCUCAUUAUCUAAAGAAGUGAACUCAGACAACGAUAUAUAAAGGCCUAUUAAGAUCAACCUAAAGGGUAAACUCACUAUCGUUAAAUCCAACAAAAAGUAACCCAAGUCCUAAGGGGGUCGUCCUCAGUUGGAAUUUCUACAUAAUAAGUUGGGACAAAAUUUGCACAAACAGGCUUCACACAAAUUUAAGAUUAGGAUUUGAAAGUUUGAUUCCCAAAGGGCUUAGGAUUUAGAUUCCAAUUCCUUUGACUGAUUAUUUUAUCCCCACCUAAAUUAUUUAACUUCAAUUUUAUCCUCCGUUAAAAAUAUUAUAUAUAUAUCUUUUUCACAAUUCCCAAAAAUCUGAACCACCAAAAUCACGUUGCCGGUCAUCACGUAGCAUCCGUUGGAAUUGUGCACUGAUUGUCAAUCUCGCACUACAGCAGACGUUCGUUGAUAGUUAGCCUUACAAACACUGUAUCUCUCCAUCAAAUGUGGAUUGAUAAUGAGAUUGUUGGUGGUGAUAAAUAUCGAUGGUGAGAUUGAUAAUGAUAAAGAAUAUUGAUGAUGCUGCAUCAUCAAAUCUGAUAAAGAAGCCAUAGUAGCUAGGGGAUCUUAUUCUUUAUCAUCGGGAAGUACUGAGGAUGAUGAUGAAGAAGAAAAUAAAUUAUAAUAAUACAUAAUAAUAAUAAUGAUGAUAAUAAUUAAAAGAUAUUUUAAUGACUUGUAACAUUUUAUUUCGAUCCUAUAAUAAAAUAAAUAUAUUAAUUAAAAUACAACAACUUAUUUUUAUUUUAAUUUAUGUAAUUCAAAUAAAUAACUUAUUUUUUAUUUUCAUUUCAUCUGAGUUCGAUUCGAACUUAUUUCUAAUUGCCUUUCAUUAUCGAAUGUUAAAUGCGCCUUAAAUUUUCUACACCAAAACCAAACGCCGAUAUGUCAUUAGUCCCUAAAUAUUUCAGAACCAGACUCCGUGAUCCAGGUCCACUGCCCUUUAAUUGAUUGGGUCCCACUAAUUCGAAGGUCGCACCCCACCCUUUUAAUUACUUUGGAUUUUCAAAAAUUUUUAGGACCGGCGAAGAGAUAAUAUGAAAAUCACAAGCAUGUUGUGCAUUUGAAAAUUGAAAUUGUGACGGGAUCAGCAUCCACCUAAGAGCAUUUAAUAUAAACAUAAAAAUUAUUAAGAAUCUCCACAAUAUAAUUAUAUAAAUAAUAAAAUAAAUAUAAUUUAAAAUUAUGUCUUAUAAAAUUAUAUGAAUAAAAUUAUAUUUUUAAUUUUUAAUUUCAAGUCGGGUCGGACAUGGUAGGACCAAAACUUUGACCCGAACUUUAAUCGGCCAUAAUGUUUUAGCCUGAACCCGACUUAAAAUCUUUAAAUUUAGGUUAAAGUCUGAAAAUUUUGGAUCACAUCAAUCAAGUUAAAAAUUAGGCCCGACCUUUUUAACCAUGCAUACCAUCUGCUGCAGAUUUAUUUCGUUUUUAUGAACAAACUUCGAAUGUUAUUGGUAAAUUUGUUAAUACGAAUCAAUAAAAAAUAGCCUAAAGAUUUGAGGAUUGGGCAUUUAAAUUCCGAAUAGUACAAAAACCAUUAAAUAUCCAAUUAGAAUAUGAGAUGCCGUACAAGUAAAAUCUGGACUCUGGCAUCGUCAAGGUAACAGGUUUCCUUUGUCCACCAAUCAAAAACACAAAUUAAAGUUUACCAGAGAAUUAGACAGACACCACCUCUGAUGCCAUUUAUAUUAAAGGUUACAAGCAACUUACCAUUUUUGUAACUUCAUUCCACUAUUGCAAGGAAUGGAGAAAAAUCCCCAUGGUAUACCCCGUAGGGGACCUAAUCCCUUGCGUUUUCAUAUUCUAAAUUAUAUUCAGUUAAAAUAUUAAAUAUUAAAUACAUUCUUAAUAUUAAUAUUCUUAGAUGAAAUUCUUUUGCUGACUUAAGAAUAAAAUAUUAAAUAAUGUUAUUUUUCUUUUAUUGUGUAACGUGGACCAAAAAAAAAAGGAAAAGAAUUUAAUAAAACCUUCAUUCCGCCAACAUGCAUGUUAAUUGUUUCCAAAUUCCAACCUCCGUACUCUCUUGAGGAGUUUCCCAUUCAUCAAUUAUUAUUUUUUUAUAAUCCAUACCAUCCUGAUAUAAUUAAACACCAUUAAUAAUGUACCAGCCUUUAAAUAGUAAUUAAUUUAUUUAUCUAAUUCACCAAAUGUCAUUUCCUGUACAUAUCUCCAUUGGUAUCAAGAAGAGGCAGAACCCAAAGAAACGUUUCUUGCAUCUUCAUAUUUGUGCGAAUUCAUCCUUUCAUUGAGAAUAACCAUUUCCAGGCAGCAGUUGGCAAUCAAUUCAUGCGCACGUCGAUGCUAUUCAUAGAUAUUAAAGACAAUGAUGAACCAAAGGUGAUAAAUCAUAAAUGCAUAAUUACCAAACCUCCAUCCUUCUCUCAUUAUGAUUUGAUUUUAAAUGAAUUAUUGCUUGGUAACAUUAUUUCCAACCAUUGCAAGACCCUUUUUUUUUUUUUUCUUUUGGGAGAAAUUUCAAUUGAAAGUGAAACCUUUAGACAUUUACCUAACGAAGUUAGUUAAUCGGGAGGGUUGGAAAAAAAAAAAGUUGACGCAAGUCAAUGCACAAUAAUUAAUUAAAUCCGGAGUGACUAAACAGAGCCACGACUUUUUCAAAAAUAUCUGCAUUCAUCACUUUCUCCAGCAGCUAGUCAGCUACACACGAAUCAAUUUCUCUCCUCGUUUGUUGUCAUCCAAAAUUGUUCACCAAUACCAUGGCUGAUGCAAUCGUUUCCACUAUCUUGGCGCAGCUGAUUUCCUUCGCUGCUGAAGAGAUAAAACAACAGGUGAUCGAAGUUACACCCCUCAUAUUACAAAUACUUCCAAUGACUUUAAUUGGUUUUUUUAUUAUCAAAAACAUUAUAAUUAUAAUUUUUUUAAAUUUGAAUUGAAUUUAAUUAAAAGGUGAUGUAGUAACCACUCAUUUUUAUUUUAUUUCAUUUAUAUUCUCGAUAACUAACCAUAUUUUGGUAACUUAAUAUAACUCUCGUACAUAAGAAAUGAUCAAAACCCACAAUUUUAACUCUGUAUAAAUAUUCAACGUUGAGUCAUUAAUUCUCAACUCAGCACUGAAUCCCAUAGCUAUUACUUAGACUCUAUGAAAAAUUUCAUAGUUUUCUUACAUUCUUUGAGUUGGGUAAGUGAUUUCCUAUAAUUUCUUUUCAAGUUAAAUUUUAAUUUGGUUUCUGAUAUAGUCUCUUUGCCGAAUUGUCUCUUUUAUGAUUCUUGGAUUUUGGACUUCAACUUUUUAGGAUUUGAUAGUCAUAUUUUAUGCCAUGCUCAGAUUGAUUUUCAUGAUUUUUAGUAGCUGUUGAGUGACUUACAAUUUGACGAAAGUUUGAAAGGAAAAAUGUUUCAGGAUUAUGUUUUAAUUGACCUUUUAGUGGAAAUAGGAUGCUUAUAACUUAAUGUGGAUGGUUCGUAAAAUCAUGAAAUUUGGAUAGGAUUCACUAGAAAUAUGUACAAGACUCUCCAUAAAAUUUCAUAAUUUUUCAUUCGGUAUGGGGUGGCACAGGUGAAACUUGUGUUUGGUGUUGAAAAAGAAGUGAAAAGCCUUACCAGCCACCUUCAAGUCAUUCAAGUUGUGCUCGAUGAUGCAGAGGAAAAGCAAGUGAAGGACAAAGCUGUUAGUCUUUGGCUGGGUAGGCUCAAGUACGCAUCCUACGACAUUGAAGAUGUGUUGGAUGAGUGGAUCACAGCAAGACGCAAAUUGCAAAUUGAGGAUGGCAUUGAUGAAAAUGCUCUUGUUGCUCCUCAUAAGAAAAAGAAGGUAUGUCUCUGCUUUCCCGCCUCUUGUUUUGGAUUCAAACAAGAAGAAUUUGGUUUCAAACAAGUCUUUCUCCGUCAUGACAUUGCCAACAAGAUCAAAGAAAUGAAUGAAGAGCUACAUGAUAUUGCCACCCAAAAAGACAUGUUUAAUCUUGUUAAGAGUGGCAAUAAAAGUAGUGAAAGACCAAGGCGUGUACAGAGUACCUCCUUGAUUGAUGAGGAAGAGAUUUGUGGUAGAGUUGGUGAGAAGAAUGAACUCAUAAGCAAGCUGUUGCGUGAGAGUAGCGAGCAACAAAAAGGCCUCCAUAUCAUCUCAAUUGUUGGUAUGGGAGGCAUAGGGAAAACUACUCUUGCACAACUAGCUUGUAAUCAUGACGAGGUGAAGAGAAAGUUCGACAAAAUUCUGUGGGUGUGUGUAUCAGAAACUUUUGAGGAGUUUAGGAUAGCCAAAGCGAUCGUUGAAGUUUUGGAUGGUCGUGAAUCUCAUUUAGCUGAAUUCCAUUCUCUUCUUCAACAUAUUUGUGAAUCAAUUGCAGGGAAGAGCUUUCUUCUUGUCUUAGAUGAUGUGUGGGAUGGAAAUUACUUGAAAUGGGAACCAUUCUACCGUUGUCUAAAGAAUGGUCUCCAUGGAAGUAAAAUUUUAGUUACCACACGUAAAGGGUCAGUCGCAUCCAUGAUGGGAUCCAUAGAUAUUAUCUCCGUGAAGGAGUUAGCUGAAGAGGAAUGUUGGUUGUUGUUUAACAAGAUAGCAUUUUUUGAUCGGUCCAUCGAGGAACGUGAAAAAUUAGAACAAAUUGGGCAAAGAAUUGCAGGCAAGUGCAAAGGUUUACCUCUUGCAGCAAAGACAAUAGGGAGUCUCAUGCGUUCUAAACAAACUGAAGAAGAGUGGAAAAGAAUUUUAAAUAGUGAUUUAUGGAAAGUAGAAGAGAUUGAGAAAGAUGUUUUGUCCUCUUUAUUGUUGAGUUAUAAUGAUUUGCCAUCUAGAGUAAAAAGAUGUUUUUCAUAUUGUGCUGUCUUUCCAAAAGACUACGAUAUAAAAAAAGACAAACUAAUCACAUUAUGGAUGGCUCAAGGUUAUCUUAGUGCAGAACAAGAUGAAGAGAUGGAGACAGUAGGUGAAAAGUAUUUUGGCAUCUUAGCUUCUCGCUCGUUUUUUCAAGAGUUUAAGAAAAGUUAUGAUAAUCGGAUUAUAGCGUGUAAGAUGCAUGAUAUGGUACAUGAUUUUGCCCGAUUUGUAAGUCAAAAUGAAUGUUUUUCGAUGGCAAUUAAUGAUAGUGAAGAACCAAAUGCUACAAACUCUCUUGAUGAGAAGGCCCGUCAUUUAAUGUUAAUCUUUAGUAUAGGGGCUUCAUUUCCUGUUUCCACUAGUAGAGUUAAAAGAAUGCGUAGCCUCUUAAUUAACUAUAGUGGAUCUGAUCAUUCAUCAUUAAAUGGUGAGAUCCUAGAAGAAUUAUUUGGGGAAUUGACAAGUUUAAGGGCAUUAGAUUUUGGCGAACCGUACGACACAAAUUUUUCUUUGACUCUGGAGAUUCCAAGAAAUAUAGAAAAGCUGGUACAUUUGAGAUACCUUAAUUUGUCUUAUCAGGGAAUAAAGAAACUACCGGAGACAUUGUGCGAGUUGUAUAAUCUAGAAAAGUUAGAUAUUAGUUGGUGUUUUAAUCUUAAAGAAUUACCUGAAGGGAUUGGGAAGUUAAUAAACAUGAAGCAUUUACGAAAUAGAGGUACUAAUUCUUUAAGGCACAUGCCAGUAGGGAUUGGGAGAUUAACGGGUCUUAGGACCUUGGGUGAGUUCCACGUGAGUGCAGGAGGAGGUGUUGAUGGUAGGAAAGCGUGUAGGCUUGAAUCUCUUAAAAACUUGGAACACCUUCAAGUAUGUGGUAUACGUAGACUGGGUGAUGUAUCAGAUGUGGGCGAGGCUAAGCGAUUAGAACUUGACAAAAGGAAAUACCUCUUCAGUUUGACCCUUGAGUUUGAUAAGAAGGAAAGAGGAGGAGAAAUGAGGAAGAACGAGGACGAUCAACUUCUUCUUGAAGCCCUGCGGCCACCUCUCAAUUUAAAGGAAUUAGAGAUACAGUACUACCGAGGCAACACUGUUUUCCCCAGCUGGAUGACGUCAUUAACCAACUUAAAGAGUUUAGAUCUCUCUUCCUGCGAAAAUUGCGAGCAGCUGCCUCCUUUGGGAAAAUUGCCAUCCCUUGAAGCACUCAGCCUAUUGAUUAUGCGGAGUGUGAAAAGAGUGGGUGAUGAAUUUUUGGGGAUAGAAAGUGAUCAUCAUGGCUCAUCUUCAUCUUCAUCGGUUAUUAUUGCCUUCCCCAAAUUGAAAUCACUUAGUAUUGAGGGAUUGAUGGAAUUGGAGGAGUGGGAUUAUGGGAUUACAAGAACGGGAAACACCGUCAUCAACAUCAUGCCACGUCUUUCUUCCUUGACAAUUGGGAGUUGUCCCGAAUUAAAGGCACUGCCUGACCACAUUCAUCAAACGACAACAUUGAAGGAAUUGCAUAUUUGGGAUUGCAGGCUUCUGGAAGAACGUUAUUGCAAGGGGGAAGGAGAAGACUGGCCUAAGAUAUCACACAUUCCCAACCUCCAUAUUGGGCUUUGACAAGUAAUUUCUUCUCUUACUCUGAUUUGCUUUGUUCUUGUUUUUAAUCUAAUUAAGAAGCGUAAAUAGCAUUUUGAAUCAAACUCUAUAUCAGAAAUCUGCAAUACUUACUUUCUAAUAUUCUGAUUUUCAUAUCCUAUGAAUAUACGAUUUUUAAUUUGUGAGAUGGGUAACGUUAUUGUAAAAGAUUAUUAAUGCAAUAUGAGUAAUUCUUUUACAGGACAAGUGACCUACAUUUAGUUUGGCUUUGGAGUUGAAUAAUAACGUUUUGAGGUCCCGACAUCCAAAAAACGAAGCUUAAUUUGCCACAGAUUGAACGUAUUGCCAUUAUUGACAAUUUUCUGCACAAGCGUGACUGAACUUAGGUUGAUGUCAAAAGAGGUAAAUUAUUGGCAUGCCUGACUAUUUUGACCAUUACAUGAUUCAUAAGUUUACAUUAAUUUUGAUUUUGAGUUGAGUGAUUAGUUUUCUAGGUUUGCUUACUUUAACUGGGUGACCAAUUUCUUGUAACUAAAUGUAUGAUGUGAUGCAGGAAGCAGGGUAGGAUAUGAAAGAGAAGCUUAUUAGAGGAAGGAUUGCCAGUAACAGAAUCCAAAGAAAAAGAAACCAUUUCGAGGCAGCAGUUGGCAGUUGGCAGUGAAUGGAGCCCCUUGAAAAAAUUCCCAAGCCGUUGCACUGCAAUUACGAUCAUCCUCGGCCUCAGGUAAUUUCUUCUCCUGCAUUUUUGUUAUUUGCUAUCAAGUGACUAUUUUAAGUAUGAUUGCAUUAAGCUGCUGCUGGGAAAUUUGAGGUUUUGAUGACUGCCCAUGCUAUUGUCAGAAGCUGCGGUUCUUUUCAUCAGCCUGAACCUGGACCUGCCGCUAUGGAUAACUCAGGUUUUUUUUUUUUUUAAUCAACUGCCAUCUUUUCCACUGUUUAGAAACUCUUAAGAUUAAACUUUAGUAAAGUUGUUUUAGUUAUCCAUGUAAUCGGGCUGAGGAUACUUAGCUGCCUAUUUAGGCAAAUGUCAGAAUGUUCGCUGGGAACUGGUGUGGACUGGCAAAGGAUGAUGAGAUAGUUUUUUGAGUGAGUAAAUUUUGGGAGCUUGAGUGUAUUGGGAUUUGCAAUUACAAUCAUCGUCUGCCUCAGGUGAUUUCUUCUCCUGCUCUGUCAUUGUUUGUUCUCUAAUUCAAAAGCAUAAAAUAUUUCAAUCAAUUUUAUGCCAGGAAUAUGCAAAAGUUUCUAAUAUUUUAUUUCCAUCUGUUACAAGAUCAAACUGAAGUAGAACUCAAACAAAAGUAUGCUACUUCUUGCGGAAAUCUUGCCUUUGUUCAGAUUAUGAAACCAUUUCCAUGCAGCAAAUUCAUCCAAAAGUUUGAAUAAGUUUCAUGGUUGGACACUGUUGGCUUCUUUUUCUUCUGGGGUGCAUUUAGGUGCUAUCAAGUGACAGCUGUAAGUAUGAUUGCACUAAGCUGCCGCUGGGAAAUUUGAGGUUUUGAUGGCUGCCCAUGUUAUUUUCAAGAAACUAUUGAUGUAAGAAGCUGUGGUUCUUUUCAUCAGCUUGAACCUGAAACUGUCGCUAUGGAUAACUCAGGUUUUUGUUAUCAACUAUAUCAUCUUUUUCACUAUUUUGAAACUCUUAAGAUUAAACUUUAGUAAAGUUGUUUCAGCUAUUCAAAUGAAAAACUCAUUGAUUUGAGACUUCCUUCAUUAUUGUUUCUAAUUACAAUGCUAACGAUCCAGAUAAAAUAAUAUUUAAUCGGCGAAGGUGUCCCUUGGAAGUACAUCCUUCUUUUUCUUUUAUUAUAUAAAUUCUUGCAAUGAGCUUAGUGAAGCUGUUGUGCUAAUCAUGCCACUGCAUAAUUUGGCCCCUAAUGUGGGUACUCUGUUACAUUGUUCUGCAAAUUCUCCGGAAGUUAAAAUCAAUAAAUUUUCUAUUAGCUCUAGUGCUUUGACCUAAAUGCUAUUCUAUAUUUUGAUUACAAUGUUUUAACCUUUAAAUUAACUACCCCUAGAUGUUGGAUUUUCUAGAACUUCAAAAUACAUAAACCGUCAGACAUUUAAGCAUCCAAAGAUACAUUAUAUAUUUCUGUGUCUCUAUUUGUAGAUGACAUUUAAGCAUCCAUAAACCGUCAGACAGAGGAAGGGCGUUCAGUGCAAAGAUUCUGUUGACCUAGGGUUGACUGCAUAAUGUCACUUGUUCGCAAUCUAUUAUUUAUUUCAUAUUUUGAAGAAUUUAAUGGGUAAUCCUAAUUGUUUGUUUUGGCAGGUAUGUGUUGUUAUCUCCUUCUAUCUAACAGUCGUACCUAAAUAGCAUAGUUCCAAAGAGGUAAAUUAUUGUCAUGCCUAGAUAAUUUGGCCAUUUCCUAAUUCAUAAGUCUACAUUAAUUUUGAUUUUGAGUUGACUGAUUUCUUUUCAAGGUCUGCUUCCUUAACGGAGUGACCAAUGUUUUUCAACUAAAUUUAUCAUAUGAUGCAGGAAACAGGGCAGGAUAUGAAAUGAGAAGCUCAUUGGUGGAAGUAUUGCCAGUAGCAGAACCCAAUGAAAAUGAAACUAUUUCAAGGCAGCAGUUGGCAGUUGCAAGUGAAUGGAGGCCCUUGACAAAAUUCUCAAGCGAUUGCAAUGCAAUUACGAUCAUCCUCAGCCUCAGGUAAUGUCUUUUAUUGGUACCCAACAAAAAUGCAAGGUCUGUGAGAAGACAGUUUGUCCAGUUGAGCAGUUAUCUACUGAUGGGGUUGUUUAUCACAAGUCUUGCUUCAAGUGCUCUCACUGCAAAGGCACACUCAAGCUAAGCAAUUACUCAUCCCUGGAAGGUGUUCUUUACUGUAAGCCUCACUUUGAGCAGCUUUUGAAGGAGUCGAGUAACUGCAACAAGAAUUUCCAAUUACCUGCAAAGUCAGCUGAGAAGUUAACUCCUGAGCUGAGAAGGUCGCCUAGCAAAGUUGCCAGCAUGUUCUCUGGGCCCAAUAAAAAUGUGCUUCUUGCAGUAAAACAGUGUGUCCGUGGGAGAAGGUAGCAGCGGAAAAUCAAGCCUCUCACAAGACAUGUUUCAAGUGCUCACAUGGUGGUUAUUCCAUUAGCCCGUCAAAUUACGCAGCCCUAGCAGGCAUCUUGUAUUGCAAACAUAAUUUCUCCCAAUUGUUCAAGGAAAAAGGCAGCUACAACCACCUUAUAUCAAAUCUGCUCCCAUGAAGCGUGCUGCAGUCUCUGUUCAAGAAGCUUGAACAUGUUAUGUUAUCUUCCAUAAAUCUUAUUUGGCGUGGGUUUUCUCUGGCUUGAGGGUGUGCUUUCUAUUUUGAUCCCUCUUGUUGUUUUUGCGGGGAACUACCAAACCUUCGGUUCCCUCUGCUUCUUUGGAUCAUCUUUGUUUGGACAAAUUUCAUGUAAUUAGAGAUACCGAUUUAUGGGAGGCAUAAUCCCAUGGUCGUAAAUUGACCAUUUUCUGGCAAGUUCUUUUUAAAAAGAUAUGAGCAGUUGUUUAAAAAAAAAAAAAUAGCUUGCCUUCAUCAUUGUAUGUUACCAAACUGCUAUGUAUAGCUGUUAACUAUGAGCAUCCGAAAAUAUGGUGCAUCGUGAUUCAUGUAGUGCAAUAUGGCUACCAACGCAUCCUAAAUGGAAUAUUACUCAGUUAGUCAGCAAAAUAAGACAACAUAACUGAUAUUAAAAAAAUAAAAACUACAUUAAUAAGUGGGCAAGAUCAUGCCAGUUUAACUUUUCGCGAGUCGCUGCUGGAGAUAAUCAAAUCGGGGCAGAGAAAAGGAGAAUGGAAUCAGAGGCUAAGAUUAAUAAGUGGGCUUCUGCUUGCUUUGCCCCUCUUUCUUAAACGAUUGGUAGACUGCUGCUUCCACCGAUUAACCGGGUCUUCAACCACUGCUUUUACUGCCUGCCAUCUUGUUGUUUGUCGAAGGGAUGAAUUCGAGUCGAAAAGAGAAAGCGCGCUGAAAAAGAUAAAUCACUAGUGGUUAACUGCUGACUCAGCCAAGUGUUGGCUUCACUUGAUUCACCGAUUGAGGUUAUUUUGUCUUCUAUCUAAUGCAGCGAAGAAGCUUUGCUGCUUAACAUGCUGCAAUGCAACUUUAUCCUUUGAAGUUCACACUUCAGGGCUGCGCACUUUAUGUAAUCCUAUGAGUAAAAAGAAUUUGUUUUCAAAUGUGAAAAAAGAAAAUGUAAGGUAGUAACUAAUAUAUUAUAGCAUCAAAGCAAGAUUUGAUAUGAAUUUAGUACAACAAAGAACAUCAAAUCUGUGAUUCCUUGUCUAAUGUCACCAUCGAGCAACAAAUUUAAAAGCCUACCUAUCAAAUACACGAGGCAAUAAACGGAGAAAAAGUUGAAUUACAAGAACAAGUUUACAAUUCUUGUCAAUGGUUAAUGAUUCGUGAACUGAGAUAGCAUUCAAGAAUCCAAUUUCAAUACAACAACGUAAAAGAUAAACAGAUGAUGAAUUUUAUGAGAUAAAGAAGGAGAUCGUGUUUUAUCGUAUCUCUAUUUUCUUUCUUUUUAAAUUUAAAAUAAGCUUUUCAACCGGUUUAUUAACCGGUUAUAAUAUUUUUUAAAAUAAUUAAAUAUUUUCAUUAUUAAAAAUAAUGUGUACCGUUGAUUACAUCUAACGGUACAUAUUUCUUACACUACUAAUACGGUAAAAAAAAAAAAAAGGGCAUCAUAAAGGGACCCUUAAAACAUUUUCAUUUGAAAUUAUUUGGUGUAGUCAAAAAGUUAAGAAAGAAAUAGUUGUCCCUUUGGUCAUUUCACAAAAAUGAAAGCCCCAUAUAACAUGGACUUGAAUGGAAACCCAAUUGUUUGUGUUUGAUUUCAAGCUUUAUCGGACCUUUGGACCUGGAUACUUUACUGCGGCCUCUAAGCGCUAUAAAUUUGUUUUUUGGGAUAAAAGGCGCUUCAAUGAAAAAGCACUUUAAAACUUUGGAUUUUGCCAAAACUUCAAAGCGGUUGGUCCAGUUACGGUGUUAUGCUAACGGGUUUAAAGGUUCCGAUCCAAUGAGUUAGGGUGGAAUAUGAAUAUAUAAAUUCCAUAGCAUGUAAGGACUAGGAUUUGUUUGUUCAUAUUAAGAAAAAAGAUCUAAAAAUUUGAUGAUCAGAAGAAAAUAGACUCUUCUCUGUCUGAAUAAGAAGAAAGCAUAAUGCGCCUCCAAUAGAGAGAAAAGGGACUUAAUUUCACUUGCGUCAAAUGUUCCUCAUUCUUUGAUGGAAGAAAAACUCUUAAUAGUCUAUUGUUUUUUUUUUUUUCAUUUUUAUUUAAGUUUCACAAUAUUUUAGUAGUUGAUCAAAUUAUUUAGAAUUAGACAUUUAAUCUAGGGACAAUGUGAACUUUUUAAAAAUCUAUCAGGUGAUUUCAUAAUUUUAUAAUUCAGUUGGGGUAAUUUCUCAAACUAUAAACAAAUUAUCGUGUUUUGUAAGUUGAGGUCCAAUGGCGUUUUGGCACAUCAUAUGAUAGACCACUAUAUUGAGUUGCUUUACAAAAGAUUAAUAUUUUUAAAAUUAUUAGGUAAGUUUAGGCUCAGUGGCACUUUAACUCAUGAUAUGAUAGUCCGGGUUUUCGAGGACCACUAUAUUGUAUUGAUUUAAAAAAAAAAUUAAUAUUUUUUAAUAUUAAUAUUCUAAAUUAUAUUCAGUUAAAAUAUUAAAUAUUAAAUACAUUCUUAAUAUUAAUAUUCUUAGAUGAAAUUCUUUUGCUGACUUAAGAAUAAAAUAUUAAAUAAUUUUAUUUUUCUUUUAUUGUGUAACGUGGACCCAAAAAAAAAAGGAAAUGAAUUUAAUAAAACCUUCAUUCCGCCAACAUGCAUGUUAAUUGUUUCCAAAUUCCAACCUCCGUACUCUCUUGAGGAGUUUCCCAUUCAUCAAUUAUUAUUUUUUAUAAUCCAUACCAUCCUGAUAUAAUUAAACACCAUUAAUAAUGUACCAGCCUUUAAAUAGUAAUUAAUUUAGUUCUGAGAAGGAAAAAAAAAACAAAAAAACUACUUUGACCAGAAAAAUUCCCCGUUCUAUUGCCUAUAUAUGAACUGAGCUGUGCAAUUGAUCAAUUUCAAAAACUUCCUCAGCUGACCAAUUUUGAGCAAUUACUACAUAACAUAAAACCAAAUGCUGGAUGAAUUGGCAUCUCUGAAAACCCCAGCUCACACGUACCGACAGAAAGAGACUCUAGAUGUAUUCAAACAUUAAAUAACUGCAUAUGCUCUUCAAAAGAUGGAAGGAACCAUGGAUUAAAAAGAAGCAACCAUCUAAACAAGAACUUAUAUUAAAAAGCAAAGGAAGUAACACAUUAAAUUGAGAAGUGUGAUCAUCACUAUGAAGCUUCUAUAAGUAAUUUAAGAAUAGUAAUAAAAAACUAUUCUAAUAUAAGUAAUAAAUAUGGGAGACAUCUUUGGCUAAUAUGUAAUAAUAAUCUCGAGCAGCAGACGGACUCUUAUUUGCUCCAAUUUGAAUGGUGGUGUUAAGCAAUUUAAAUGUGAAGCCACUCGAGGCUCUGAUUGUGACAGCGGAAGCUAUACAGGCACGGCAUCAGAACAAGAAGAAGGAGCCGAACAACAUAUUUCAGUUCUCAAGAGAAGAAUAGAUUCUCAAACAAACUUCAAUUUUGAGAAGAAGAAGAAGGAUUCAUUAUCAUGGCAAGCUCAAAAAUGCAUUGGUAGAUUUUUCUACGAAAUGGGUAUUGAUUUCAGUGUUGCUAAUUCUCCAAGCUUUCAAGACAUGAUAAAUGCUAGCCGUGGUAAGGAAAAGUGUGAGAUCCCCAGUUGUCAGGAUUUGAAGGGGUGGAUCCUUCAUGAAGAAGUGAUGGAAAUGCAAGAAUAUGUGAAGAGGAUAAGACAUUCGUGGGAAAGUACUGGGUGCAGCAUUUUGUUGGAUGGAUGGACUGAUGAAAAUGGUCGAAACUUGGUCAGUUUUAUUGUGGAUUGUCCUCAGGGACCUAUUUAUCUGCGAUCAUCAGAUAUUUCAGCCUUCGUUAGUAAUGUUGAUGCCCUGCAGUUAUUAUUGGAUGGAGUCAUUGAGGAGGUUGGAGUGAAUAAUGUUGUUCAAAUUGUUGCAUGUUCUACAUCAGGUUGGAUGGGGGAUGUGGGCAAGCAGUUUAUGGAAAGGCGAAGGACAGUGUUUUGGACUGUAAGUGUGUUUGAUUGCAUUGCUCUGAUGCUUGAGAAGAUUGGUACGAUUGAUUUUGCUAGGGAGAUAUUAGAAAAGGCCAAGACCAUUACAAAGUUCAUUCAUGGCCACACAACGGUCUUGAAACUCUUUGGAGAUUUUACUGGCAAGCGGAACCUUAUCAAGCCCUCUAAGUUGAGAUCAGCAAUGCCUUUCUUGACUUUAGAAAAUAUUGUGGCGGAAAAGAAAAACCUUAAGGCCAUGUUUGCCUCAUUUGAGUGGAAUAGAACUAAAUGGGCUUCAAGAACAGAGGGGAAGAGGAUAGUUAAUUUAGUGGAGGAUCGUUCUUUUUGGAGCACAGCCAGGAUGGUCCUAAAGGCAACUAUACCCCUUGUGCGUGUUCUGUGUUUGAUCAAUGGGGCUUAUAAACCACAAGUGGGUUACAUCUAUGAAACCAUGGAUCAAGCAAAGGAGACAAUUAAAGAGGAAUUUAAGAACAAGAAAACCCAAUAUUGGCCAAUUUGGGAAAUUAUUGAUGACAAAACGCUAUUUCCGCAUAUUAUUAUUAUCAGAUUGUGUCUAAUGUCAGAUAUUGCCGACCACCUACAAUGCCACACAGAGAACCGCUACAAAUUCCUGUAACUUCCUUCCUGUACUAAAAUUAAAGGAGUACCCCAUCCUCUGCAGUAAAUACAUAGUCCUACUUACGGUUCCUUGUUACUUCCUUUGCUUUUUCAUCUGCAGUAAAUAAGAUAAAGGUGUCUCCCACAGUUGAAGACGGACCCUUGUUGCCAAAGAAUAGUAAUAAAAAAUAAACCACUUUCAUCUUGUACUGAAGUCUAUACUUAAGCUUCUAUAAGUAAUUUAAAAAAGCAUUUACCAUUUUAAACAUCAUAAUGAUACAAUUAUCUUAGUUUUAUCAGUAUAUAAGAAUUACUUAUAGAAUAGUAAUAUAUGUUUAUAUUUAAAUUAGUACAAUUUUAUAUUGAUAAUAAUAAUAAUUUUCAAUUGAAAGUGAAACCUUUAGACAUUUACCUAAUGAAGUUAGUUAAUCGGGAGGGUUGGAAAAAAAAAAAGUUGACGCAAGUCAAUACACAAUAAUUAAUUAAAUCCGGAGUGACUAAAACAGAGCCACUACUUUUUCAAAAAUAUCUGCAUUCAUCACUUUCUCCAGCAGCUAGUCAGCUACACACGAAUCAAUUUCUCUCCUCGUUUGUUGUCAUCCAAAAUUGUUCACCAAUACCAUGGCUGAUGCAAUCGUUUCCACUAUCUUGGAGCAGCUGAUUUCCUUCGCUGCUGAAGAGAUAAAACAACAGGUGAUCGAAGUUACACCCCUCAUAUUACAAAUACUUCCAAUGAUUUUAAUUGGUUUUGUUUUUAUCAAAAACAUUAUAUAUUUUUGCUUUUUUUUAUUUAUCUGAUAAUUUUAUAUUUUGAAAUUUGAAUUGAAUUUAAUUAAAAGGUGAUGUAGUGACCACUUAUUUUUAUUUUAUUUCAUUUAUAUUCUCAAUAACUACUCAUAUUUUGGUAACUUACUAUAACUUCCAUAUCUAAGAAAUGAUCCAAACCCACAAUUUUAAUGAUAAGAUUGGUUGAAUUAAAUAUCACUUGGCCCACAUGAUUUGUUUUAAUUAUUUUAUAUUUUCAUUCAACCAAUGAAUUAGUGCCACGUCAGUUUGUACAAAAUAAGUUUGUACAAUAGUUUGUGGUUGUAUCAUUACUCUUUAGUAAAGAGUAAUGAUAUAGCCACAAACUCUUGUACAAACUUAUUUUGUACAAACUUAUGUGGCAUGAUAAGAUUGGUUGAAUUAAAUAUCACUUGGCCCACAUGAUUUGUUUUAAUUAUUUUAUAUUUUCAUUCAACCAAUGAAUUAGUGCCACGUCAGUUUGUACAAAAUAAGUUUGUACAAUAGUUUGUGGCUGUAUCAUUACUCUUUAGUAAAACCUCAACUCAUCACUGAAUCCCAUAGCUAUUACUUAGACUCUAUGAAAAAUUUCAUAGUUUUCUUACAUUCUUUCAGUUUGGUAAGUGAUUUCAUAUAAUUUCUUUUCAAGUUAAAUUUUAAUUUGGUUUCUGAUAUAGUCUCUUUGCCGAAUUGUAUCUUUUAUGAUUCUUGGAUUUUGGGCUCCAACUUUUUAGGAUUUGAUAGUCACAUUUUAUGCCAUGCUCAGAUUGAUUUUCAUGAUUUUUAGUACCCGUUAAGUGACGUACAAUUUGACAAAAGUUUGAAAGGAAAUAUGUUUCAGAAUUCUGUUUUAAUUGACCUUUUAGUGGAAAUAGGAUGCUUAUAACUUAAUGUGGAUGGUUCGUAAAAUCAUGAAAUUUGGAUAGGAUUCACUAGCAAUAUGUACAAGACUCUCCAUAAAGUUUCAUAAUUUUUCAUUCGGUCUGGGGUGGUACAGGUGAAACUUGUGGUUGGUGUUGAAAAAGAAGUGAAAAGCCUUACCAGCCAUCUUCAAGCCAUUCAAGUUGUGCUCGAUGAUGCAGAGGAAAAGCAAGUGAAGGAAAAAGCUGUUAGUCUUUGGCUGGGUAGGCUCAAGUAUGCAUCCUACAACAUUGAAGAUGUGUUGGAUGAGUGGAUAACAACAAGACGCAAAUUGCAAAUUGAGGGUGGCGUUGAUGAAAAUGCUCUUGUUGUUCCUCAUAAGAAAAAGAAGGUAUGUCUCUGCUUUCCCAGCUCUUGUUUUGGAUUCAAACAAGAAGAAUUUGGUUUCAAACAAGUCUUUCUCCGCCAUGACAUUGCCGACAAGAUCAAAGAAAUCAAUGAAGAGCUCCAUGAUAUUGCCGCUCAAAAAGACAUGUUUGAUCUUGUUAAGAGUGGCAAUAAAAGUAGUGAAAGACCAAGGCGUGUACAGAGUACCUCCUUGAUUGAUGAGGAAGAGAUUUGUGGCAGAGUUGGUGAGAGGAAUGAACUCUUAAGCAAGCUGUUGUGUGAGGGUAGCGAGCAACAAAAAGGCCUUCAUAUCAUCUCAAUCGUUGGUAUGGGAGGCAUAGGGAAAACAACUCUUGCACAACUAGCUUGUAAUCAUGACGAGGUGAAGAGAAAGUUCGACAAAAUUCUGUGGGUGUGUGUAUCAGAAACUUUUGAGGAGUUUAGGGUUGCCAAAGCGAUCGUUGAAGUUUUGGAUGGUCGUGAAUCUCAUUUAGCUGAAUUCCAUUCUCUUCUUCAACAUAUUUAUGAAUCCAUUGCAGGGAAGAGCUUUCUUCUUGUCUUAGAUGACGUGUGGGAUGGAAAUUACUUGAAAUGGGAACCAUUCUACCGUUGUCUAAAGAAUGGUCUCCAUGGAAGUAAAAUUUUAGUUACCACACGUAAAGGGUCAGUUGCAUCCAUGAUGGGAUCCAUAGAUAUUAUCUCCGUUAAGGAGUUAGCUGAAGAGGAAUGUUGGUUGUUGUUUAACAAGAUAGCAUUUUUUGAUCGGUCCAUCGAGGAACGUGAAAAAUUAGAACAAAUUGGGCAAAGAAUUGGAGGCAAGUGCAAAGGUUUACCUCUUGCAGCAAAGACAAUAGGGAGUCUCAUGUGUUCUAAACAAACUGAAGAAGAGUGGAAAAGAAUUUUAAAUAGUGAUUUAUGGAAAGUAGAAGAGAUUGAGAAAGAUGUUUUGUCCUCUUUAUUGUUGAGUUAUAAUGAUUUGCCAUCUAGAGUAAAAAGAUGUUUUUCAUAUUGUGAUGUCUUUCCAAAAGACUACAAUAUAGAAAAAGACAAACUAAUCACGUUAUGGAUGGCUCAAGGUUAUCUUAGUGCAGAAGAAGAUGAAGAGAUGGAGACAGUAGGUGAAGAGUAGUUUGGCAUCUUAGCUUCUCGCUCAUUUUUUCAAGAGUUUAAGAAAAGUUAUGAUAAUCGGAUUAUAGAGUGUAAGAUGCAUGAUAUGGUACAUGAUUUUGCCCGAUUUGUAAGUCAAAAUGAAUGUUUUUCGAUGGCAAUUAAUGGUAGUGAAGAACCAAACGCCACAAACUCUCUUGAUGAGAAGGUCCGUCAUUUAAUGUUAAUCUUUAGUAUAGAGGCUUCAUUACCUGUUUCCACUUGUAGAGUUAAAAGAAUUCGUAGCCUCUUAAUUAACGAUAGUAGAUCUGAUCAUUCAUUAUUAAAUGGUGAGAUCUUAGAAGAAUUAUUUAGGGAAUUGACAAGUUUAAGGGCAUUAGAUUUUUGCAAAUCGUAUAACGCAAGUUGGUCUUCGACUCUGGAGAUUCCGAGAAACAUAGAAAAGCUGGUACAUUUAAGAUACCUUAAUUUGUCUUAUCAGGGAAUAAAGAAACUACCGGAGACAUUAUGCGAGUUGUAUAAUCUAGAAAAGUUAGAUAUUAGUUAUUGUUAUAAGCUAGAAGAAUUACCUGAAGGGAUUGGGAAGUUAAUAAACAUGAAGCAUUUACGAAAUAGAGGUACUAGUUCUUUAAGGUACAUGCCAGUAGGGAUUGGGAGAUUAACGGGUCUUAGGACCUUGGGUGAGUUCCACGUGAGUGCAGGAGGAGGUGUUGAUGGUAGGAAAGCAUGUAGGCUUGAAUCUCUUAAAAACUUGGAACACCUUCAAGUAUGUGGUAUAUGUAGACUGGGUGAUGUAUCAGAUGUGGGCGAGGCUAAGCGAUUAGAACUUGACAAAAAGAAAUACCUCUUCAGUUUGACCCUUGAGUUUGAUAAGACGUAAAGAGGAGGAGAAAGGAGGAAGAACGAGGACGAUCAACUUCUUCUUGAAGCCUUGCGACCACCCCUGGAUUUAAAGGAAUUAGAGAUACGGUACUACCGAGGCAACACUGUUUUCUUCCAUGUUGGAAUUGGAGGAGUGGGAUUAUGGGAUUACAAGAACGGGAAACACCGUCAUCAACAUCAUGCCACGUCUUUCUUCCUUGGAAAUUGUUGCCUGCCCCAACUUAAAGGCGCUGCCCGACCACAUUCAUCAAACGACAACAUUGAAGGAAUUGCGCAUUGUGCAUUGUGGGCUUCUGGAAGAACGUUACCGCACGGGGGAAGGAGAAGAGUGGCCUAAGAUAUCACACAUUCCCAGCAUAGAUAUUGAUUAAGAAGGAGAAGAGUGACCUAAGAUAUCUCACAUUCCCAACCUUGAGAUUUGGCCUUGACAAGUAAUUCCUUCUCUCACUCUGAUUUGCUUUGUUGUUCUUUUUAAUCUAAUCAAGAAGCAUAAAUAGCAUUUUGAAUUAAACUCUAUAUCAGAAAUCUGCAAUACAUAUUUACUAAUAUUCUGAUUUUCAUAUCUUAUGAAUGUACGAUUCUAAUUUGCGAUAUUUAACGUUGCUGUAAAAUAUUAUUAAUGCAAUAUGAGAAAUUCUUUUGCAGGACAAGUGACCUACGUUUAGUUUGGCUUUGGAGUUGAGUAAUAACCUUUCGAGGUCGCCACUAUAAAAACGCGAAGCUCCAUUUGCCACAGAUUACAUGUAUUGCCAUCAUUGACAAUUUUCUGGAUAAGUGAUGAAGGGUGAGAAUGGUGCUAGAAUAUUGAAUAAAGCUGUCGUGACUGAACUUACGUUGAUGUCAAAAGGGGUAAAUUAUUGGCAUGCCUAGCUAAUUUGACCAAUACCUGAUUCAUAAGCCUACAUCAAUUUUGAUUUUGAGUUGAGUGAUUAAUUUUGAAGGUUUGCUUACUUAACUGGUAACCAAUUUCUUUUAACUAAAUGUAUCAUAUGAUGCAGGAAGCAGGGCAGGAUAUGAAAUGAGAAGCUUAUUAGUGGAAGGAUUAUCAGAAACAGAACCCAAAGAAAAUGAAAACAUUUCAAGGCAGCAGUUGGCAGUUGGCCGUGAAUGGAGCCCCUUGAAAAAAUUCCCAACCCAUUGCACUGCAAUUACGAUCGUGAGUAUGAUUGCACUGCAAUUUCGAAGCUUCUUCUCCUGCAUUUUUGUUAUUUGCUAUCAUCCUCUGCUUCAGGUGAUUUCUUCUCCUGCUCUGUCGUUGUUUGUAUCUCAAUCAAAUUCUAUAACUGGAAUAUGCAAAAGUUUCGAAUUUUUAUUUCUAUCUGCUUGCAUUGAUAACAUCGCGGCAUAUGCACUAGUUAAAGAUCAAACAGAAACAGAGCUCAGGAAAAAGUUUCUUCUGCCAUCAUAUUUGAAAAUUCAUGUAAAAUGUAGACAGUAAUCAGCAAAAAGGUGAUUCGCAAUUUGAUUUUUUUUAUGAAAUUAAUUGUUAGGUUGGAGUUGCCAAUUAACAAUUUUAACCCCCUUUGACUUUGAAGGAAUUAGAGAUAUGGUCAUACAGAGGCAACACUGUUUCUGCAAGUAGUCCUCUCUUUUCUUUUUAUUAUAUUUUAUUUAGUUAUUAUUUAUUAUUUAUUUUUUGGUUUACUCUGCUUCUUCUUUUUACGUUUCUCAAAUUUUGAAUUUCAUUGCUUUUGAACAUACGACAGUCUGUUAUGUGGCGACCCUGGUUCUUAAUUAAGGUUGUGAAAUAUUAUUGUAAAAGAUGAUUUAUUCAAUUUGAGUAAUUCGUUUGCUUUGAUAAUGAUAGUAAUUUUUUAUUUUGACAAUUUGCAAGGUGAGAAUGGUGCUGAUUGGUGAUUCAGGAUAUGGUUCAAACACCAUUGAAUAAAGCUAUGGACAUGGUGGCUCAACUUAGCUAGAUUGCUAUCAAAAUUGGUAAGUUGGCUUGUCAAUGUACCGAUGCUUUUGUUUUCUCUCAACCCUAAUUACCUUAACUUCAUUUAGUUUGGCUUUGGAGUUGAGUAAUAACUUAUUGUUCAAAUGUUAUUUCCUUAUUGUUCUAAUUCAUCAAAUGUUAUUUCCUUGUUGUUCCAUUGAUAUAUUGGUUGCAUAUCAAGCAGAAACAGAAUCCAAAGAAAAUGAAACCAUUUCCAGGCAGCAGUUGGCAGUGAAUUCAUGCAAAUGUUGAUGCCAUUCAUAGAUGUUGAAGACAAUGUUGAGCCAAAGGCGAUAAAUCAUUAAUGCAUAAUUCCCAAAACCUCUAUCCUUCUCUCAUUGUAAUUUGAUUUGAAAUGAAUAAUUGCUAGGUAAUUGAAGCCAAUGUUGUUAAAGACCGUGUUGAGCUACCCAAGCUAAGAAGUUAGUUGCCAAAAAAUGCAGGGGAUCAAAAGAAGCAUUGCAUUUGAAAAGGCAUGAGAUUCUGGUGGCUACAUGUCAACUCAUAUAUGUUUGAAUAAGUUUGAUGGUUCAAGAUUGUUAGCUUCUGUUUAAAUUUGUGCUACUGCAGUGCUACAAUGCUGCUACUGGGAAAUUUGAAUCCCAUAUUAGACUUUCCUCACAUCAGAAGCUGUGGAUCUUCGGACAUCAGGUUUUUUCACAGUUCUGAAACACUCAGGAUUAAACUCUAUUAAAGUGUUGUAGUUAUCUUGUUGUCAGAAUUCCCAUAUUAUUAUCUUUUUCAUGUAAAAUUAUCUUGUUGUCUUCGCCCAUGAAUCUAAGCUAAAAUUUGAACCAAUUGUUUGCUAUUAUAAAUUUCGUUGUUAAAUGUUAAUUGUGAUGUUGGUGUUGAGUUUCUUUUAAAGUCAGAGAAGCCUGACGAUUGAGUUCCAUGGGAUUCUGAGAAGCAGUAAUAUUUUGAACAAGUGAAGGUUCUUCGUUUUUAAUUACGUUCUGCACUUUUACAGUAUGUGCAGAUGUCUAAGAGGCAGGAUUUUAAUUUCUGUAAUGCUAAAUUUCGCAAAACAAUAAAUAAAUAAAUGCAUGACAGUGACUUCAAGAAUUUAGAUUAUUGAAUUUGGUCAUUUUAAAAUUGUUGGAAUAUUGAACUUAAGUAAUUUUGAUAAACCAGAGCUCAGAAAUGUAGAAUAUAAAUAUUGGAGAUUUGGACUUCAAUCAUUAGAUUUGAAGCUAAAGAGGUAAGCCAUUAAUUACAUCAAAGGAUUUGGAAAAUGGAGGGAUUGGAAAAAGGAAACUUUUUCAUAAACUACAAGCAUUGGGCAGUUUCAUUUGUCCGAUUCAAGAGGAACGUCACAGAAAGGGGUAAAGAAAAGAGUAGCCUAAGAUAUUUAAGACAAUGUUGAGCCAAAGGAAACAUAAAUCCCAACCAUUGCAUGCGAACAUGAUCACAAUAAGGUCAAGAACCUACCAAACCAUUUUUUUGAGAAUUUUCAAUUGAAAGUGAAACCUUUGGACAUUUACCUAGUAAAGUUAGUUAAACGAGAGAAAUAAAGGGGAAAAGAAAAGUUGACUCAAGUCAAUACAGAAUAAUUAGUUCAAUCUGGAGUAACUAAAACAGAGCCACUAUAUUUUCAAAAAUAUCUGCAUUCAUCACCUUCUCCUACAGCUAGUGAGCUAAACACGAAUCAUUUCCUUUUAGCAUUUUUGCAGCAUCAACUUCUCUCCUCGUUUGUCAUCCAAAAUUAUUCACCAAUACCAUGGCUGAUGCAAUCGUUUCCCUUCUCUUGGAGCAGCUGAUUAUCUUUGCUGCUGAAGAGUCGAAACAACAGGGGAAGCUGGUGAGUGUUGGAUGAGUGGAUCACAGCAUGCGCCAAAUCGCAAAUUGAUCAAUGCUCUUGUUGCUCCUUAUCUGAAGAAGAAGGUGCAAAUUGAGAGCUGCAUUGCACUGUCAUAACAUUUAUUGUAAUUUCAUUUGGAGAUUUUAUGGAUAAUGAUUUGGUAGACUUUAUAUGCCGUCUUCUUUCUUUUUGCAGUGAUAUGUUUGUAUUCAAUGUGCUUGUGCUUAUUCUGUGGUUUUUAAAGUAGGUGUUUUUAUGAUAAACUAGGUCUUGUGUAUUGUAUGUACUAUCUAGAGAAGAAUAUUGACUGGUUGCAGUCGAAAUUGGAACCACUUUUGAAAGGUAAGAAGAGGCCAUUUUCCUUCAUUCUAAUGCCAAUAAUGCUGUCAUGAGACUCAUAAAAAAUGUUAAAACAUUAAUGUUUUUGGUAUUUUGCAGAUCAUUAUCUUCUGUUUGAUUUUCCUGGCCAAGUUGAAUUAUUUUUUCUUCAUUCCAAUGCCAAGAAUGUUAUCAUGAGACUCAUAAAGAAGUUAAAUCUCAGGGUAUUGUUACAUCUUGCAUCUAUGAAGGGACUCAAAGAGUUGACAUGAAUUCAUCUUUGUUAUUUUGAUGCCAGAAUUGUGCAAUUCUCAGUUGGUUCCUUUCACAUGCAGUUGACUGCAGUGCAUCUAGUUGAUGCGCAUCUUUGCAGUGACACUGGAAAGUAUGUUAGUGCUUUGCUUCUCUCGUUGUCUACGAUGCUACAUCUGGAACUUCCCCACGUCAAUGUCUUGUCUAAGAUCGACUUGAUUGAGAAUUAUGGAAAGCUAGGUGUGGUUUUAAGUGUCUCCCUCCUACUUGUUUGUUUAGUUUGAAAUAUCAGAUAUUAUCACGAGCUCCUAUCUGCUACGUUUCCUCACCAAUCAAUUACUUUGGGUAUGUUGCAGCUUUUAAUCUCGAGUACUAUACGGAUGUGCAAGAUUUGUCAUAUUUACAGCAUGCUCUGGGUCAGGACCCUCGUUCUGCUAAGUACAGGUUUGAAUUCUAGCUGAAUCAAUGAUGCAAAUUAUGUCCAUUGCUAUUUUUGACUGUCGUUUCUAUCAUUUUCAAUUGUUACCUCCCCUUGCCAUCUACUGCCACACUGCAAUGCCUACACAAAUGUUAUGAAAUUUGUCAAUGGCAAUGCCAUCCUGUUUGUCCAGAGACAGCUCUUAGAUGCAAGUGAACAAUUUUUGGCUUUGGCCGUUGUACAGCCUUAGAUUUCAACUUGCCAUAUCUUGUCUCGGAAGUCAAAAGAAAGCGUAUAUGUUAGCCAAAUUUUAUUUGAAUUUAUUGAGUAACAAUGAAUGGUUCGGAAAAACAGUUCCUCUUUUGUUUUGAUCAGACUCAAUGAAUAAGUGUUUAAAAUGUGCCUGUCCUAGAAAUAUAGAUGUGUGGUUUCGCAAAAUUUUCUUGAUCUUAAGAAAGAGUUAUCUUGAAAAGAAGAUAACAUGGAGAAUUCAGCAACUAUACAGUCAUAUUGCGUCUGUCAACUUGGGUCAGAUGGUGUCGUUUGGAUGGAGAUGUUAGGUCCCAGAUGGUAUGCUUGUUAUCAAAUUCCAGUCUAAUUCAUUCAUGCUUUGAUGACAUAUGCGGUGCAGCUUCUUAUCUAAGACCUGCAUAUGUUCAGUCAUCAUUCAGUUCUGUAUUUGGCUGUCAUUCUUUCAAUGAAUUCAAACCACUUUCUGAAUACUUGCAAAUUCAUCCAGUGUUGUCAUUGAGAUUCCAAUAUGUAAAGGAGCAAUAGUUGCCCUUGAUAGUAUGCUUAUUGAUUGCCUCUUGCCUCACUCAGCCUAAGGAGUCUGGUUGUAUGGUGUUCUUGUAAUUUCAUUUGGAGAUAAGUAAUAUCUGUUGUUCAAAUGUAUUUUAUAUACAAGCAGUUAAUAAUUCUGCUUGCAGAAAGCUUACAAAGGAGCUGUGUGAUGUAAUAGAAGACUACAGUCUGGUCAAUUUUUCAACCUUAGAUAUUCAGGUCAUCAGUUUCUCUUGAAUUCUUUCUUGAGUUUCUUUGAAUUAUUUGUGAAUAAGAUCUUAGUUGGCUGCUCCUCUUCAGGAUAAGGAAAGUUUGGCAAAACUCGUGAAGCUGAUAGAUAAAAGCAAUGGGUACAUCUUUGCUGGCAUGGAUGCCAGGGCAGUUGAAUUCAGCAAGAUUGCCGUUCGCGAUGUGGAUUGGGAUUAUUACAGGUAUCCUUCUUUUCACCUAUUUUCAAUCUUGUGAUUCUCAUAUUCAUAAAACUUUCAUGGUUCAUUGUAUGCAUCUGCAUCUUCUAAUUUGUACGUUUGAGAGACUAAUUUUGCUGUUAGGUAGGCGUCAAAUUUGAUUCAUGCGUUUUUCAUAAAUUUACCAAAAUCAUGGAAACUUCUUUUUCCCAGAUAUUGUAUCCACACUUUUCCCAUGUAAUUCAGUCAGACAAGUUCUGCUUAACAAAGAUAUCUACAGUAGCUGAAGUGCAGGAAAAGUACAUUAAGGAUGAUGACGAUGUUAACUAAAAUGGGACACGAAGAUAUGUGGUGUGCAAACCGUAAGCAUGCCUCUUACUUUUGUGCAUGUUUACUUGCUUGUGAUUCAUGUUUGUUAAUCUAUUAUGCUCUUUUGUUGGGUUUAUAAAGUUUUCAAUCAAUCAAACAUUUGACUGAUUCAGACAGGACAAGCGGGGAAGAGGUGGUUUUAAUCAAACCACUACUAAUUAUGAUGUAUCUCGGACCUUUGUACAAUAUCAAGCGAUUUUUUUAGUUGAAUCAGCUGGUGUACACAAAUGUCGUUUAUUGAUUUUUCUCUAGUAUAGUUCGUAAUUUUGGUAACACAUCUACUCUAGUAUCGUUUGUAAUUACAAGAAACAAAGUAAUGAAAUUUAUCACUGCAUUCAUAGUUAUGCUUAAGCUCAAAGAUCACUGUGAAUAUCAUUUUGGGGCCUCUAUUUGUUCUAUAACAUGAUGUUGACACGUGUCAAAUUUUGAAGCUUGUGAUUAAAAUACUAUUCACAUAUAUAUUUUAAGUACCACUAAUAAUUAAAUAUAUUAAUAAAUAUGGGCAAUGGGGAUAAAAUAAAAUGGUUUUAUUUUUUGAAUUACUCAACUGCUUCAAACUUCUAAGAAGUAGAUUUACGAUGAGUGGAAUCUUAAAUUGAGUACGAGUUAGGGAUAACUUAUAAAAUUGGGAUACAAGCUUCAAAGAAAGUGUAUUACUAUUCAUAUGUAGAUUUCGAAUUAAGAAGAUAUGCCAGCUAAUUGUAUAAGAAUGUAAAAAUUGAUCACAGGCAUAAUCGCAAAUGAUGAAAUGAGCUACCUUGAUCAAAAGGUCAAGAACCUACCUUACUUCUCUUAGGGAUAAGUUGCAUCAACCGUUGUGAUAUUGAUAUUUAUCUUGAGCCAGUAAAAGUGAAAGCUUCCCAAUUGAAGGAAAGUGAAGAGAAGAUUCUAUGCUCUAAUUAUUAUUAUUAUUAUUAUUUGUUAGAAUGAAGUGCGAAGUGAGCACAUCAUGCAAGCUCAGCAGAUGUGAUAAGGUGACUUGUAACUCAGCUGGCACAAGAGACAAAGUGUAGUGGAGAAAAGUUUCCCAAUUGAUGGAAAGUGAAGGGAAGAUUCUAUGCUCUAAUUAUUAUUAUUUGACAAUGAAUUGGCAAAUAAAAACAAAAUAGCAGGCCUGUAAAGUAAUGAAGUGGAGACAAUGACCAUGUGAUUGAUUGGUAAAUAAAAACAAAAGAGCAAGCCUGUAAAGUAAUAUAAAUUAUAGUGUAUAUUCAAGUUAAAGUAAUGGAAACAGUGUGCAUCCACAAAAAAUUCUUUUAUCUCUCGUUGUCUUAUUCUUUUCUUUAUUUACGUUUUCCAGAAGUAAAGCCAUACAUGUGAUGAAGCAUAGAUAAGAAAGCUAUCGCCCGAAAUUCAUUUUGCACAAACACUUCAAUAUCCUUUUGAUCACUUUUGCAAACAUCAAUUUGUCUCCUAUUGUAUUCACCAUGGCUGAUGCAAUCGUUUCCACUAUCUUGGAGCAGCUGAUUUCCUUCGCUGCUGAAGAGAUAAAACAACAGGUGAUCGAAGUUACACCCCUCCUAUUACAAAUACUUCCAAUGAUUUUAAUUGGUUUUGUUUUUAUCAAAAACAUUAUAUAUUUUUGCUUUAUUUUAUUUAUCUGAUAGUUUUAUAUUUUGAAAUUUGAAUUGAAAUCAUGAAAUUUGGAUAGGAUUCACUAGAAAUAUGUACAAGACUCUCCAUAAAGUUUCAUAAUUUUCAUUCGGUAUGGGGUGGUGCAGGUGAAACUUGUGGUUGGUGUUGAAGAAGAAGUGAAAAGCCUUACCAGCCACCUUGAAGCCAUUCAAGUUGUGCUCGAUGAUGCAGAGGAAAAGCAAGUGAAGGAAAAAGCUGUUAGUCUUUGGCUGGGUAGGCUCAAGUAUGCAUCCUACGACAUUGAAGAUGUGUUGGAUGAGUGGAUCACAGCAAGACGCAAAUUGCAAAUUGAGGAUGGCGUUGAUGAAAAUGCUCUUGUUGUUCCUCAUAAGAAAAAGAAGGUAUGUCUCUGCUUUCCCGGCUCUUGUUUUGGAUUCAAACAAGAAGAAUUUGGUUUCAAACAAGUCUUUUUCCGUCAUGACAUUGCCAACAAGAUCAAAGAAAUGAAUGAAGAGCUACAUGAUAUUGCCACUCAGAAAGACAUGUUUAAUCUUGUUAAGAGUGGCAAUAAAAGUAGUGAAAGACCAAGGCGUGUACAGAGUACCUCCUUGAUUGAUGAGGAAGAGAUUUGUGGUAGAGUUGGUGAGAAGAAUGAACUCUUAAGCAAGCUGUUGUGUGAGAGUAGCGAGCAACAAAAAGGCCUCCAUAUCAUCUCAAUUGUUGGUAUGGGAGGCAUAGGGAAAACUACUCUUGCACAACUAGCUUGUAAUCAUGACGAGGUGAAGAGAAAGUUUGACAAAAUUCUGUGGGUGUGUGUAUCAGAAACUUUUGAGGAGUUUAGGGUAGCCAAAGCGAUCGUUGAAGCUUUGGAUGGUCGUGAAUCUCAUUUAGGUGAAUUCCAAUCUCUUCUUAAACAUAUUUAUGAAUCAAUUGCAGGGAAGAGCUUUCUUCUUGUCUUAGAUGACGUGUGGGAUGGAAAUUACUUGAAAUGGGAACCAUUCUACCGUUGUCUAAAGAAUGGUCUCCAUGGAAGUAAAAUUUUAGUUACUACACGUAAAGGGUCAGCCGCAUCCAUGAUGGGAUCCACAGAUAUUAUCUCCGUUAAGGAGUUAGCUGAAGAAGAAUGUUGGUUGUUGUUUAACAAGAUAGCAUUUUUUGAUCGGUCCAUCGAGGAACGUGAAAAAUUAGAACAAAUUGGGCAAAGAAUUGCAGGCAAGUGCAAAGGUUUACCUCUUGCAGCAAAGACAAUCGGGAGUCUCAUGCGUUCUAAACAAACUGAAGAAGAGUGGAAAAGAAUUUUAAAUAGUGAUUUAUGGAAAGUAGAAGAGAUUGAGAAAGAUGUUUUGUCCUCUUUAUUGUUGAGUUAUAAUGAUUUGCCAUCUAGAGUAAAAAGAUGUUUUUCAUAUUGUGCUGUCUUUCCAAAAGACUACGAUAUAAAAAAAGACAAACUAAUCACAUUAUGGAUGGCUCAAGGUUAUCUUAGUGUAGAACAAGACGAAGAGAUAGAGACAAUAGGUGAAGAGUAUUUUGGCAUCUUAGCUUCUCGCUCGUUUUUUCAAGAGUUUAAGAAAAGUUAUGAUAAUCGGAUUAUAGCGUGUAAGAUGCAUGAUAUGGUACAUGAUUUUGCCCGAUUUGUAAGUCAAAAUGAAUGUUUUUCGAUGGAAAUUAACGGUAGUGAGGAACCAAACGCCACAAACUCUCUUGAUGAGAAGGUCCGUCAUUUAAUGUUAAUCUUUAGUAAAGGGGCUUCAUUACCUGCUUCCACUCGUAGAGUUAAAAGAAUGCGUACCCUCUUAAUUAACUAUAGUAGAUCUGAAUCAUCUGAUCAUUCAUUAUUAAAUGGUGAGAUCCUAGAAGAAUUAUUUAGGGAAUUGAAAAGUUUAAGGGCAUUAGAUUUUGGCGGAUCGUACGACACACAUUUUUCUUUGACUCUGGAGAUUCCAAGAAACAUAGAAAAGCUGGUACAUUUAAGAUACCUUAAUUUGUCUCUUCAGAAAAUAGUGGAGCUACCGGAGACAUUAUGCGAGUUGUAUAAUCUAGAAAAGUUAGAUAUUAGUUAUUGUUAUAAGCUAGAAGAAUUACCUGAAGGGAUUGGGAAGUUAAUAAACAUGAAGCAUUUACUAAAUAAAAAUACUAGUUCUUUAACGUACAUGCCAGUAGGGAUUGGGAGAUUAACGGGUCUUAGGACCUUGGGUGAGUUCCACGUGAGUGCAGGAGGAGGUGUUGAUGGUAGGAAAGCAUGUAGGCUUGAAUCUCUUAAAAACUUGGAACGCCUUCAAGUAUGUGGUAUACGUAGACUGGGUGAUGUAUCAGAUGUGGGCGAGGCUAAGCGAUUAGAACUUGACAAAAAGAAAUACCUCUCUUGUUUGACCCUUGAGUUUGAUAAGAAGGAAAGAGGAGGAGAAAGGAGGAAGAACGAGGACGAUCAACUUCUUCUUGAAGCUCUACAACCACCUCUGGAUUUAAAGGAAUUAGAGAUAUGGUACUACCGAGGCAACACUGCUUUCCCUAGCUGGAUGACGUCAUUAACCAACUUAAAAAGUUUAGAUCUCUCUUUGUGCGAAAAUUGCGAGCAGCUGCCUCCUUUGGGAAAAUUGCAGUCCCUUGAAAAUCUCCACAUAUGGCGCAUGGCGAGUGUGAAGAGAGUGGGUGAUGAAUUUUUGGGGAUAGAAAGUGAUCAUCAUGACUCAUCUUCUUCUUCAUCAGUUAUUAUUGCCUUCCCCAAAUUGAAAUCACUUUCAAUUAACGAAAUGGAGGAAUUAGAGGAGUGGGAUUAUGGGAUUACAAGAACGGGAAACACCGUCAUCGACAUCAUGCCACGUCUUUCAUCCUUAACAAUAAUUCUUAGCCACAAAUUAAAGGCACUGCCCGACUACAUUCAUCAAACGACAACAUUGAAGGAAUUGCACAUUUUGGGGUGUGACCUUCUGGAAGAACGUUACCGCAAGGGGGAAGGAGAAGACUGGCCUAAGAUAUCUCACAUUCCCAACUUCGAGAUUUGGCGUUGACAAGUAAUUUCUUCUCUCACUCUGAUUUGAAUCAAACUCUAUAUCAGAAAUCUGCAAUACUUACUUUCUAAUAUUCUGAUUUUCAUAUCCUAUGAAUAUACGAUUUUUAAUUUGUGAGAUGGGUAACGUUACUGUAAAAGAUUAUUAAUGCAAUAUGAGUAAUUCUUUUGCAGAACAAGUGACCUACAUUUAGUUUGGCUUUGGAGUUGAAUAAUAACCUUUCAAGGUCCCGACAACCAAAAAACGAAGCUUAAUUUGCCACAGAUGGCACGUAUUGCCAUUAUUGACAAUUUUCUGCACAAGCUUAGGUUGAUGUCAAAACAGGUAAAUUACUGGCAUGCCUGACUAUUUUGACCAUUACAUGAUUCAUAAGUUUACAUUAAUUUUGAUUUUGAGUUGAGUGAUUAAUUUUCUAGGUUUGCUUACUUUAACUGGGUGACCAAUUUCUUGUAACUAAAUGUAUGAUGUGAUGCAGGAAGCAGGGCAGGGCAUGAAGAGAGAAGCUUAUUAGAGGAAGGAUUGCCAGUAACAGAAUCCAAAGAAAAAAGAAACCAUUUCGAGGCAGCAGUUGGCAGUUGGCAGUGAAUGGAGCCCCUUGAAAAAUUCCCCAAGCCGUUGCACUGCAAUUACGAUCAUCCUCGGCCUCAGGUAAUUUCUUCUCCUGCAUUUUUGUUAUUUGCUAUCAAGUGACUAUUUUAAGUAUGAUUGCAUUAAGCUGCUGCUGGGAAAUUUGAGGUUUUGAUGACUGCCCAUGCUAUUGUCAGAAGCUGCGGUUCUUUUCAUCAGCCUGAACCUGGACCUGCCGCUAUGGAUAACUCAGGUUUUUUUUUUUUAAUCAACAGCCAUCUUUUCCACUGUUUAGAAACUCUUAAGAUUAAACUUUAGUAAAGUUGUUUUAGUUAUCCAUGUAAUCAGGCUGAGGAUACUUAGCUGCCUAUUUAGGCAAAUGUUAGAAUUUAGUUUGUUUGCUGGGAACUGGUGUGGACUGGCAAAGGAUGAUGAGAUAGUUUUUUGAGUGAGUAAAUUUUGGGAGCUUGAGUGUAUUGGGAUUUGCAAUUACAAUCAUCGUCUGCCUCAGGUGAUUUCUUCUCCUGCUCUGUCAUUGUUUGUUCUCUAAUUCAAAAGCAUAAAAUAUUUCAAUCAAUUUUUAUGCCAGGAAUAUGCAAAAGUUUCUAAUAUUUUAUUUCCAUCUGUUACAAGAUCAAACUGAAGCAGAACUCAAACAAAAGUAUGCUACUUCUUGCGGAAAUCUUGCCUUUGUUCAGAUUAUGAAACCAUUUCCAGGCAGCAAAUUCAUCCAAAAGUUUGAAUAAGUUUCAUGGUUGGACACUGUUGCCUUCUUUUUCUUCUGGGGUGCAUUUAGGUGCUAUCAAGUGACAGCUGUAAGUAUGAUUGCACUAAGCUGCUGCUGGGAAAUUUGAGGUUUUGAUGGCUGCCCAUGUUAUUUUCAAGAAACUAUUGAUGUAAGAAGCUGUGGUUCUUUUCAUCAGCUUGAACCUGAAACUGUCGCUAUGGAUAACUCAGGUUUUUGUUAUCAACUAUAUCAUCUUUUUCACUAUUUUGAAACUCUUAAGAUUAAACUUUAGUAAAGUUGUUUCAGCUAUUCAAAUGAAAAACUCAUUGAUUUGAGACUGACUUCAUUAUUGUUUCUAAUUACAAUGCUAACGAUCCAGAUAAAAUAAUAUUUAAUCGGCGAAGGUGUCCCUUGGAAGUACAUCCUUCUUUUUCUUUUAUUAUAUAAAUUCUUGCAAUGAGCUUAGUGAAGCUGUUGUGCUAAUCAUGCCACUGCAUAAUUUGGCCCCUAAUGUGGGUACUCUGUUACAUUGUUCUGCAAAUUCUCCAGAAGUUAAAAUCAAUAAAUUUUCUAUUAGCUCUAGUGCUUUGACCUAAAUGCCAUUCUAUAUUUUGAUUACAAUGUUUUAACCUUUAAAUUAACUACCCCUAGAUGUUGGAUUUUCUAGAACUUCAAAAUGAUUAAUGGAGAAAGAUCCCAUUAUCGUUAUUGCUAUAAGAAAUUGAUUUAUGCAUCCAAAGAUACAUUAUAUAUUUCUGUGUCUCUAUUUGUAGAUGACAUUUAAGCAUCCAUAAACCGUCAGACAGAGGAAGGGGGUUCAGUGCAAAGAUUCUGUUGACCUAGGGUUGACUGCAUAAUGUCACUUGUUCGCAAUCUAUUAUUUAUUUUAUAUUUUGAAGAAUUUAAUGGGUAAUCCUAAUUGUUUGUUUUGGCAGGUAUGUGUUGUUAUCUCCUUCUAUCUAACAGUCGUACCUAAAUAGCAUAGUUUCAUCUGCGUUACCAUGUGAUGUACAUAAUUUCACAUUUGCCUCAGAUUAAGCUUAAUUUCCCACAGAAUAGAGCUGUCGCGACUGGACUUUUUGAUGUCCAAAGAGGUAAAUUAUUGGCAUGCCUAGAUAAUUUGGCCAUUUCCUAAUUCAUAAGUCUACAUUAAUUUUGAUUUUGAGUUGACUGAUUUCUUUUCAAGGUCUGCUUCCUUAACGGAGUGACCAAUGUUUUUCAACUAAAUUUAUCAUAUGAUGCAGGAAGCAGGGCAGGAUAUGAAAUGAGAAGCUCAUUGGUGGAAGUAUUGCCAGUAGCAGAACCCAAUGAAAAUGAAACUAUUUCAAGGCAGCAGUCGGCAGUUGCAAGUGAAUGGAGGCCCUUGACAAAAUUCUCAAGCGAUUGCAAUGCAAUUACGAUCAUCCUCAGCCUCAGGUAAUGUCUUUUAUUGGUACCCAACAAAAAUGCAAGGUCUGUGAGAAGACAGUUUGUCCAGUUGAGCAGUUAUCUACUGAUGGGGUUGUUUAUCACAAGUCUUGCUUCAAGUGCUCUCACUGCAAAGGCACACUCAAGCUAAGCAAUUACUCAUCCCUGGAAGGUGUUCUUUACUGUAAGCCUCACUUUGAGCAGCUUUUGAAGGAGUCGAGUAACUUCAACAAGAAUUUCCAAUUACCUGCAAAGUCAGCUGAGAAGUUAACUCCUGAGCUGAGAAGGUCGCCUAGCAAAGUUGCCAGCAUGUUCUCUGGGCCCAAUAAAAAUGUGCUUCUUGCAGUAAAACAGUGUGUCCGUGGGAGAAGGUAGCAGCGGAAAACCAAGCCUCUCACAAGACAUGUUUCAAGUGCUCACAUGGUGGUUAUUCCAUUAGCCCGUCAAAUUACGCAGCCCUAGAAGGCAUCUUGUAUUGCAAACAUAAUUUCUCCCAAUUGUUCAAGGAAAAAGGCAGCUACAACCACCUUAUAUCAAAUCUGCUUCCAUGAAGCGUGCUGCAGUCUCUGUUCAAGAAGCUUGAACAUGUUAUGUUAUCUUCCAUAAAUCUUAUUUGGCGUGGGUUUUCUCUGGCUUGAGGGUGUGCUGCUUUCUAUUUUGAUCCCUCUUGUUUUUUUUGCGGGGAACUACCAAACCUUCGGUUCCCUCUGCUUCUUUGGAUCAUCUUUGUUGGGACAAAUUUCAUGUAAUUAGAGAUACUGAUUUAUGGGAGGCAUAAUCCCAUGGUCGUAAAUUGACCAUUUUCUGGCAAUGUUCUUUUUAAAAAGAGAUGAGCAGUUGUUUAACAAAAAAAAUAUUCGGCCUUCAUCAUUGUAUGUUACCAAACUGCUAUGUAUAGCUGCUAACUAUGAGCAUCCGAAAAUAUGGUGCAUCGUGAUUCAUGUAGUGCAAUAUGGCUACCAACGCAUCCUAAAUGGAGUAUUACUCAGUUAGUCAGCAAAAUAAGACAACAUAACAGAUAUUAAAAAAAAAACUACAUUAAUAAGUGGGCAAGAUCAUGCCAGUUUAACUUUUCGCGCGUCGCUGCUGGAGAUAAUCAAAUCGGGGCAGAGAAAAGGAGAAUGGAAUCAGAGGCUAAGAUUAAUAAGUGGGCUUCUGCUUGCUUUGCGCCUCUUUCUUAAACGAUUGGUAGACUGCUGCUUCCACCGAUUAACCGGGACUUCAACCACUGCUUUUACUGCCUGCCAUCUUGUUGUUUGUCGAAGGGAUGAAUUCAAGUCGAAAAGAGAAAGCGCGCUGAAAAAGAUAAAUCACUAGUGGUUAACUGCUGACUCAGCCAAGUGUUGGCUUCACUUGAUUCACCGAUUGAGGUUAUUUUGUCUUCUAUCUAAUGCAGCGAAGAAGCUUUGCUGCUUAACAUGCUGCAAUGCAACUUUAUCCUUUGAAGUUCACACUCCAGGGCUGCGCACUUUAUGUAAUCCUAUGAGUAAAAAGAAUUUGUUUUCAAAUGUGAAAAAAGAAAAUGUAAGGUAGUAACUAAAUAUAUUAUAGCAUCAAAGCAAGAUUUGAUAUGAAUUUAGUACAACAAAGAACAUCAAAUCUGUGAUUCCUUGUCUAAUGUCACCAUCGAGCAACAAAUUUAAAAGCCUACCUAUCAAAUACACGAGGCAAUAAACGGAGAAAAAGUUGAAUUACAAGAACAAGUUUACAAUUCUUGUCAAUGGUUAAUGAUUUGUGAACUGCAUAGCAUUCAAGAAUCCAAUUUCAAUACAACAACCUAAAAGAUAAACAGAUGAUGAAUUUUAUGAGAUAAAGAAGGAGAUCGUGUUUUAUCGUAUCUCUAUUUUCUUUCUUUUUAAAUUUAAAAUAAGCUUUUCAACCGGUUUGGUAACUGGUUAUAAUAUUUUUUAAAAUAAUUAAAUAUUUUCAUUAUUAAAAAUAAUGUGUACCGUUGAUUACAUCUAACGGUACAUAUUUCUUACACUACUAAUACCGUAAAAAAAAAAAGGCAUCAUAGAAGGACCCUUAAAACAUUUUCAUUUGAAAUUAUUUGGUGUAGUCAAAAAGUUAAGAAAGAAAUAGUUGUCCCUUUGGUCAUUUCACAAAAAUGAAAGCCCCAUAUAACAUGGACUUGAAUGGAAGCCCAAUUGUUUGUGUUUGAUUUCAAGCUUUAUCGGACCUUUGGACCUGGAUACUUUACUGCGGCCUCUAAGCCCUAUAAAUUUUUUUUUGGGAUAAAAGGUGCUUCAAUGAAAAAGCACUUUAAAACUUUGGAUUUUGCCAAAACUUCAAAGCGGUUGGUCCAGUUACGGUGUGUUAUGCUAACGGGUUUAAAGGUUCCGAUCCAAUGAGUUAGGGUGGAAUAUGAAUAUAUAAAUUCCAUAGCAUGUAAGGACUAGGAUUUGUUUGUUCAUAUCAAGAAAAAAAAUCUGAAAAUUUGAUGAUCAGAAGAUAAAAACACUUAAACACGUUUAUUACAGAGAAACAAACGACAACAUGAUACUAGUAGUAGUUAUUCUUUUCAUCCGAUAUAUUACAUGGUAAUAUCACUACUCGUUCCACUGGUUUCAUAUACACCAUCGAUCAGCAACAUGAUAAUUUUGUGUCAGUUCAUUUUGUUUGUAGGAAAGAGCAGUGUAUUUAUAAUAAAAAGAUUUUAAAAUAUAAAUUGCAUAUUUGUUUAUUACUGUUGUUUGGUCUAAUUUCUUAUGUAGAAUUGCUUGUCAUUCUUUGGACGUUAUUGGUUAUAUUUUUGUCAGACUUGGCGUAUAUAUUCACAUACAUUUUAUUUUGUCAUUUUUUAGAACAUUUUUACACGCCAUAUUAUCACUACUCUUCUCUGUCUGAAUAAGAAGAAAGCAUCAACGGAGGUGUAUUACCACUGUUUCUUACUCAGUUAUCAUCAACGGAGUACCAAGAGGCUUGAUUUUUCCUGAAAGAGGACUUAGGCAAGGGUGUCCACUCUCCCCAUACCUGUUCCUUUUAUGUGCUGAGGUCUUUUCCAGCUUGCUGUCCCAGGCAGAAAGAAAUUAGCAAAUUAAGGGCUUGAGAUUCACUAAAGAUGUUACUAUCUCCCAUCUCCUCUUUGCGAAUGAUAGUCUAAUUUUCACAAGAGCUGCAGUGGCUAAUUGCAAGCAUCUAAAAGGUCUAUUUGAUACUUAUGCGAAGGCAUCGGGGCAUAUUUUUAACUUUGAAAAGUCAUCUAUGUUUUUCAGUGGUAAAAUUUUUUAGGGGCAGAUUUCAGCGAUCAAGAGUAUCUUCAAGCUUAAGGUGGUUCCUGUUGUGCAAAUUUUAAUGAACUCGCAAGCGCACGAAUCUAUUGUAGUAUAGAUCAAUGGUGACGAGUGUCGAUCCCACGAGGAGGUGGAUUUUAAUUAUAUGUAGAAUUAAUUUUGUAAAUGGGUGGUUGGAAUUGUAGUGGAAAUGAUUUGGAAUAUGCUAAAACUUAAAUUAAAAUGGCGAGAAUAAAUUAUGAAAUUGGAAUUGCAAUGGCGAGAAUAAAUUGAAGUGAAAUCUAUUGAAAUAACGUACUUGGGUAUCCGGAUCCGUAUCAACAUGCAUCAUGGGCUAAAUAAUCCGUAUUAAUGCCAAUUAAAUCAUGAGGGGGGAAUCCACACCUCAUGAACCACGCUCUAAUCAAUAUGGUGCUAAGGGCUUAUCGUGCCAAAUAAUAAUAACCUUAUACUAGAGAGCCGGUGUAACCAAGGCGGUAUCUAGACAAGAUUACUAUUAUUUGUCGACGAAAAGUCAAAACAUCCACAAAAACUAGAGGGGAAGAGAAAAUAAAUUUACCAAAUUAAGCCCAUGAAAAUAAUCCUGUGUGAUGCAUGCACCGUACGCGAAAUUUUUCGUCCACUGAUAUGCUGCCACGUCACCAUCAACAGUACAUAAGAAUUUUAGUCCAACAGGAUCGUGACACCUCAUCAGUCAAUGCCACAUCAUCGGUCAAUGCCACGUCAUCGAUCCGUCUAUGUGAACAGUGUCGUGAACAGUAACGUAGACAGUACCGUAUACGUGAAUAGUACCGUACAUGUGAAUAGUGCCAUUUUUCCUUUUAUGCUCCUCCUAAGGUUUUCGACCGUCCUGAGUUCAAAAGUGAUGUCCGUUUUGCUGUCUGAUCUCUCCUUUAUUGUGAAAUGACUAUAAUGCCCCUAAAAUACAUAAAAUACUUAAUUAAAAUAACACACACGUAAUUACAUCACAAAAAGGUUAAAUACAUAAAAGUAAGGGUUGUUAGUAAGACUUGAAAUGUAAAAUGAUGGUUUUCUCCUUUAUAAAUAUGCAUUUUCUAAUACUCAACACACCCCCCAACCAGCUUAUUGCUAGUCCCUAGUAAAUAAAGCGAAAACAAAAUUCAAAUUCAAAAUAUUUUUUUAGAAACACUCGUGUUUAUUCAAUCAGAUUAAUGAUAGCAAUCAAAUAAAAGUAUAAGCAUUAUCUCCAGUCUAAAGCAAUAUCACACCCAUAUCAACCAUCCACAUGAAUCGGCCCAGUAGACUUUGUUAUAGCUACUUUCAAGAAUGACAUGUUAAACCCCAAAAUCUCACUGGAAGUAGUGACACUCUCACAAAGAAAUUAAAACCCAAUAAACAUAGUCACUCCAAUGAAUAGUAAUUGAGAGAGAAAAUAAUAAAGAAAUGAUAUCACAUGCUCUCACCAAGAUGAAAUAAAUAUGCCCUCAGCUUAGAAAUAAUACGAUCUCAAGUCAAAUAAAAUGUUAGUCAACCCACUUUAUUUAUCUUCUUUUUUUUUUUAUUAUUAUGCAUCACUACAUCUUUUUAGCCCAUAUAACUAGCUUCUACUUCAAACUAUAGUUCCCUAAAAUCAAGAAGGACUUUUAUUAGGACGUAACGUAGGCUAGGGAUAUGGCUAACAAAGAAAGGAAAUAAGGAAAACAAAGUGUAUGUUUGAGAAAAAUGCAGAAAUAUAUAUAUAUAUAUAUAUAUAUUUUUUUUUUUUUUUGAAGUUGCAAGGUGGAUUUCACCUAUUAUUGUUAUUUUAUUCUUUUGAAACAACAACUUUUGUUUUUUUGUUUUUUUUUUAUUUUUUGUUUUUUUUUUUGCUUUUAUUUGGCAUAACUUCACUGAACAACAUAAUUAUUUACAUUUUCUCAAACAUAAAUAGGUGAUGGAACUUAUAAGACAUCGAGUAAUACUCCAAAUCGGAGUGAGUCAAGAUGAUAAGUUGACAAAGAAAAGGUUUUAUUUAUUUAUUUUUUUUUAAAGGCUCAAAAGGGGUAACUAUGGAUAUUUAAUAAAAGGGAUGGCUAGAAAGGCUCAAACGGAUCAAAGAUGGCCUUUCCAUCGUCUUUUAGGGCUCUAAAUAAUUAUCCAUAUCUACUAGUUAGAUGGGCCUCCCAAUGUAGCAACACACAUUUUUUUUUUUUUUUUUUAAUUUUACCAUUUUUUUUAAAGGGUUAACUCAAAAGAAAUCUAGAGAUCGUGUAUAAAAUAAUAAACUGCUAAGCUGUAUAGAAAAUGGGCAAAAGGGUUACUCUCCAAGAAAAUGAUAGGCUCAACAACUCACUUGACACUUAUUUAUGACAUGUUCAUUCCUUCAAGCAACUCAUAUUUGUCUCCGACAUCAACAUGUAAAGUAGCAAACAUAGCGUAACAUCACUUAAGACCAAAGAUAAUACAAAUACUAAAAUUUGAAAUUAAUCAUGUCAUCCAAUGUUAAAACAAAUAACACAAAUUUUUUUUUUUUUAAACAACAUUCUACCCCCCAACCUAUUCUAAACAUGAAAAGAAAAUAUGCAUGCAGAAAUGUGAAAAUGAUGUAGAAAAAUUAAUUAGAAAAAGAUUUUUUUUUUUUAAAACUAAGAAGAUGCGUUUCUAGAGGCACUACACUCCAUAUUCAGCCAUCUUCGACUCAAAAGUUGGAAAAUGUAUAUUUAUAGAGGAGAAAAUAAAAAGAAGAAGAAAAAUGAAGUAGAAAAAUUAAUUAGAAAAAGAAUUUUUUUUUUCGAACAAUGAAGAUGCGUUUCUAGAGUAACUACACUCCAUAUUCAGCCAUCUUCAACACAAAAAGUUAGCAACAGUUAGUUUCUACAACAAAAAAUUAGUAAAAACUUAACCAAGAUUCCACAAUUGUCGACUAUUCCCUCCCCCCAACCAGAACGAAACAUUGUCCUCAAUGUUUGAAAGGAAAGAAGUAGAGUUUAGAAGACAUCACCUGGGUGGUGCAACACAGAAGAAUAUAUUUACAGGCGGAGAGUUAAAUCUAAUUUGUACUUCUUACUGCGGCUACUGUUACCAUCAUUAGUUGGUCGCUCCAACACAAAGGUCCAGGGGUCUGGCUCCGGUUUAUAAGCUUGUAACAUAUCAAGUAGCUCAUUAGCAGUGUGAGCACAAAUAAAGAGUUUUUUCACAUUAGAAUGCGAUAAAGUCAUCAUAAAAGUUAUUGACAUUUAACAAACCAAUAGGUUUCUGGUGGAUGUGCAGAUGGGCCCAAGAUGCUAGUGUCAUAAAUGCUUCUAGUGUUGCAAGAUCUCCUGGAAGGAAAAUAAAAGCAUCAGCAUGAUUAAGCAUUUCAGUUAUUCUUUCUUGCAUACCUGAGACGACUAACUCUUCUCCAGUUGAUGAGUCAGACGAACUGCCCAAUGGUUUUAGGACUCUUGGGAUGAUGCCUAACACUUGACUUCCUCUGAUAAAAGCUGCUUCUGAGACCAUUUUUGAUAACCCUCGGUUACCUCCUCCAUACACCAAGUGUAAUUUUCUCGCUGCUAUGCUUCGACCAAGAUCUAUGGCUGCCUCCACAAACUCUUUAUGUUUGCCACAGGUAAAUCCAGAAAGCACACAAAUGUUCUUGAAUUGUCUAAUGGGAGUAGCUGCCAUUGUGAUACUUCUCAAAAACAAUUUGUGAGUGCUUGACAAAAGAUAAAUCACAUUUAAGAAUCUUGGUGACAGUGGAUCACAACUGUGAAUGAGGUAACAUGUCAGUGUCAAAUAACGCGUAAAGCACGUGGCUCGCGAGUCAAAAAGGAAACAAUAAAAAAAAGAAAAAGCAAACAGUAACAAAAUUAUUAAAGACAAAAAUAAAACAACAGUGAAAUGAAAUAAAAUAACAGUAAAGUAAAAGGAUAUUUACACGUAGUUGCGACUGUGGCUCACAUCUUCCUCUGGUUUUACGUCCAGAAACGGCUUGAACGCCCUCUAUGGGUCGAGGAUAGGCUUCCUAUCCAGUUUUCUUAUAAACUGGCAAACAGGGUCGUUUAUAGUCAGAUUCCCGAGACUAUAUCGUGCAUGCUCUUUCUGGAAUAAUGGCCAUAACUGGAGAACCGCUCCUUGCACAUAUCCACUAGGAUGCGUUUCAAGAGACAAAAGGAUAUCAUCCAAUGACUCCUUAUUCAAGCCAUCCCUAAUGAAUUGAAUCUUAUAUUCCCUGUUAUCAGACACCAUUCCUAAAGAACAUGGGUUUCUAUCGCAACUCAUUCUGGCACACUUAUGACAAGCAACAGAAAUUCUUCGAGCUCGUCGUUUUCUUCCAUAAUUUCCUUUACCACAACCAGGCAUGAAUGCAAUAAAUUUUGGAGGAAACUCACCUGCCGAUCGUACUUUAGCCUCGAUUAACCAACGGAUGUCAGCAGGUAUGUUAUUCCUCAUGAGUAAUCGCAUGCGUUCGGAUCGAGCUUUAUAGAUCGUAAGGAGGGCAUUCUGAGGAAGUGAAGGGAAUCGCUUGUGAAGCUUCGCUAGAAUCUCGUUUCUGUUCAUACUUUCACCUCAGAAUGUCAGUUAUUAUGGGAAACUGAAGUAACCGACUUGAUUGUCACGGAGUACCGUUAUCCGCCACUUCACCGGGGUAACAAACUAAAGCACAUAAACAGAAAAACAAAUCAAAACACACAAAGAAAAUUAAAAUCGUCCUCUUAUUGAAUUUACCUCAAGCUCCAACUGGAUGUCGUAAACACUUCUCUCAAUGUCUCUGAGUUGGCGUUCUAAACCCUCAACAUAGGCUACUAACUCUGGUGGUUGUAGAGCCCAAAUGCGUUGUGUUUUACAAAAUUGAAUCUGCCUUUUGAGAUGAGUUUUGAUACGUUGAAGUGGUUUAAGAAUGUUCAGGAGGAACGGUCUAAGUAUGAGACUCAUGAUUAAAAAUGAUAAGAGAAAACUUAAUGGUAAAAUAAACACACUUAUGCAAAAACAAUUUCAAUUAGCAAAAGAAUAAUAAUAAAAAGAAAGAAAGAAAAAUCAAAUCAACGAAAAGAAAAAAAAUCAAUUCAAAUUUGGUGGGUCACUCAAAUUUAUUUCGGUGUCUUCUCUAUGUGGUUGGUACUCAAGAUAUGGCUUUAAUCUUUGACCAUUAACUUUAAACGUGACACCGUUCUUUGGGUCCUUAAUUUCAAUUGCCCCAUGUGGAAAAACAGUAUGAACAAUAAAGGGACCAGACCAUCGAGAGCGUAACUUACCUGGGAAUAGGUGCAAGCGAGAAUUGAAUAAAAGCACUUUCUGACCUGGAGUGAAAGAUUUUCUCAUAAUGUGCUUGUCAUGAAAGACUUUCAUUCGUUGCUUGUAAAUUUUGGCAUUUUCGUAUGCAUCAUUGCGAAUUUCUUCAAGUUCUGCCAGCUGUAAUAUUCUUUCUGAGCUGGCUUGUUGCAUGUCAAAAUUGAAUUUCUUGAUGGCCCAAUACGCACGAUGCUCGAGUUCCACAGGUAGGUGGCAAGCUUUUCCAUACACUAGCCUGUAGGGUGACAUCCCAAUCGGGGUCUUGAAAGCCGUUCUAUAUGCCCAUAAUGCAUCAUCAAGUCUUAAUGACCAAUCUUUCCUGUCUGGCCUCACCGUUUUUUCUAAUAUGUGCUUUAUUUCUCGAUUGGAUAUCUCAACUUGGCCACUGGUUUGCGGAUGAUACGGGGUCGCCACUUUGUGUGUGAUUGAAUACUUUGUCAAAAGAGCCUUGAAUGCUUUGUUACAAAAGUGGGCACCACCAUCACUGAUUAUCGCUCGAGGGAAUCCAAAGCGUGAAACAAUGUUGCUUUUCAAAAAUCCUAUCACCACUUUGUGAUCAUUGGUUCUGCAUGGAAUUGCUUCCACCCAUUUCGAUACGUAGUCAACACCAACCAAUAUGUAUUGAUGGCCAAAAGAAGGGGGAAAGGGUCCCAUGAAGUCGAUACCCCAUACGUCAAAAAUCUCAACCACUAAAAUUGGAUUUAGUGGCAUCAUGUUCCUUCGUGUAAUGCUCCUCAUUCGUUGACACCUAUCACAUGAAGAACAAAAAGUGUAAGCAUCUCGAAAUAUAGUUGGCCAAUAAAAACCACAUUGUAAAACUUUAGUCACGGUUUUCUUAGCACUGAAGUGGCCUCCACAAGCUUGUUCAUGGCAGAAUGAAAGGAUAUUCUGAAUUUCACUUUCUGGGACACAUCGUCUAACAAUUUGGUCUGCACAAUACUUGAACAAAUACGGGUCAUUGUUGAGUGUUAGAAAAUGCAUAUUUAUAAAGGAGAAAACUGUCAUUUUAUGUUUCAAGUCUUACUAACAACCCUUACUUUUAUGUAUUUAACCUUCUUGUAAUGUAAUUACGUGUGUGUUAUUUUAAUUAAGUAUUUUAUGUAUUUUAGGGGCAUUAUAGUCAUUUCACAAUAAAGGAGAGAUCAGACGGCAAAACGGACAUCACUUUUGAACUCAGGACGGUCGAAAACCUUAGGAGGAGCAUAAAAGGAAAAAUGGCACUAUUCACAUAUACGGUAGUAUUCACGUAUACGGUACUGUCUACGUUACUGUUCACGACACUGUUCACAUAGACGGAUCGAUGACGUGGCAUUGACCGAUGAUGUGGCAUUGACUGAUGAGGUGUCACGAUCCUGUUGGACUAAAAUUCUAAUGUACUGUUGAUGGUGACGUGGCAGCAUAUCAGUGGACGAAAAAUCUCGCGUACGGUGCAUGCAUCACACAUGAUUAUUUUCAACCAAACCGCGUUACUGUUCAUCCGGGUCAAACCGUGUUACUGUUCAUCCGCGUGGUCAAACCGUGGACUGUUGACUGAUGACGUGGCGCAAUCCUGAGCGUCCAAACUGUUUUUAAUCCGAUGGCCAUGAUUUACUCCAUGUAUCUAUAAAAAGGGGGCCUCCCCCCCAUAAUUUGAUAUCUCUGAAUCCAUUUUUGGGAUCCAUUUUCUGUAAUUCCUUCUCCAUCUUGUAUUUUCUUUGUAUUUUAAUAAAUUCCCUUUUUGCCCCUAGUUCAAUUAUGAGUAGCUAAUUUCUUUUCAAGCUUGGGUUGAAGGUGAAGUCUCAACAUGUGUCAUGGGCUUUAUUUGGUAAAUUUAUUUUCUUUUCCCCUCUAGUUUUUGUGGAUGAUUUGACUUAUCGUCGAUAAAUAAUAAUGAUCUUGUCUAGAUACCGCCUUGGUUACACCGGCUCUCUAGUAUAAGGUUAUUAUUAUUUGGCACGAUAAGCCCUUAGCACCAUAUUGAUUAGAGCGUGGUUCAUGAGGUGUGGAUUCCCCCCUCAUGAUUUAAUUGGCAUUAAUAUGGAUUAUUUAGCCCAUGAUGCAUGUUGAUACGGAUCCAGAUACCCAAGUACGUCAUUUCAAUAGAUUUCGCUUCAACUUAUUCUCGCCAUUGCAAUUCCAAUUUUAGAAUUUAUUAUCGCAAUUUCAAUUCCAAUUUUAGGAUAAUUUAAAUCACUUCCACCACAAUUCCAACCACCCAUUUUGCAAAAUUAAUUCUAUACACAAUUAAAAUCCACCUCCUCGUGGGAUCGACACUCGUCACCAUUGAUCUACACUACAAUAGAUUCGUGCGCUUGCGAGUUCAUUAAAAUUUGCACAACAGUCAUCCCAAAAGAAAUUCUUUAUUUCUACAAAGAAUUUAGCCUUGUCUUGCUUGGUCCAAUGCUCUGGAAAUUUACCUGUAACAAGAUAAUUAACUAUAUCAGCAUACCAAGGUAAUACUUCCACAUUCAUCAAUUGUUCAUCUGGAAAUGACUCAUUCAAUAUUAAUGGCUCUGUAAUUGUGUCAAAAUGGAGACGAGAGAGGUGGUCCGCCACAACAUUCUCUGUGCCUUUCUUAUCUUUGAAUUCCAAGUCAAACUCCUGCAAAAGUAACACCCAACGAAUUAGUCUAGCUUUUGCAUCUUUCUUUGUGAGAAGAUAUUUAAGAGCAGCAUAAUCUGUGAAUACAAUUAUUUUACAACCAAUGAGAUAAGAUCGAAAUUUUUCUAAUGCAAACACUACUGCUAGCAUUUCUUUUUCAGUAGUUGAAUAAUUCAACUGUGCAUCAUUGAAUGUCAUACUAGCAUAGUAAAUAACAUGGGGAAUUCGAUCAACUCUUUGUCCUAAUACUGCUCCUACGGCAUAAUCAGAUGCAUCACACAUUAGCUCAAAUGGUAAGCUCCAGUUUGGGGCCUGAAUGAUGGGUGAUGAUGUCAACAACUGUUUUAAUUUUUCAAAUGCAACAAGACAUGAAUCAUUAAAGACAAAAGGUACAUCCUUAGCAAGUAGAUUGCAUAAGGGUCUAGAAACUUUGCUAAAAUCUUUAAUGAAACAUCUAUAAAAACCAGCAUGCCUAAGGAAAGAUCUUACUUCUCUGAUUGUUUUGGGUGGAGGAAGAUUAGAAAUGAGAUCCACCUUGGCUUUGUCAACCUCAAUACCUUUGCUCGAAAUGAUGUGACCGAGAACAAUACCUUGUUUUACCAUAAAAUGGCACUUCUCCCAAUUUAAGACUAAGCUCUUCGCGGUACAUCUCUGCAGAACUAGCGUUAGAUGAUGUAAACAUUGAUCAAACGAGUCACCAAAGAUAGAAAAAUCAUCCAUAAAGACUUCAAGGAAUCGUUCAACCAUAUCAGAAAAAAUGCUCAACAUGCAUCGUUGAAAUGUAGCAGGUGCAUUACAUAAUCCAAAUGGCAUUCUCCUAUAUGCAAAAGUGCCAAAAGGGCAAGUAAAAGUAGUUUUCUCUUGAUCUUUUGGUGCUAUGGGAAUCUGAUUAUAUCCUGAGUAGCCAUCUAGAAAGCAAUAAAAUUCAUGGCCUGCUAAUCUAUCAAGCAUUUGAUCAAUAAAUGGUAAAGGAAAAUGGUCUUUACGUGUGACAGAAUUCAACUUUCUAUAAUCAAUGCAUACACGCCAUCCUGUAGUUACUCUAGUUGGUAUCAAUUCAUUAUCAGCAUUGGUAACUACUGUGACUCCUGACUUUUUGGGGACAACUUGUACAGGACUGACCCAUGAACUAUCAGAAAUUGGGUAAAUGAUACCUGCGUCUAAUAGCUUAAGGACUUCUGUUCUAACAACUUCUUUCAUAUUAGGAUUUAACCGACGUUGCAUUUCCCUAGUAGAUUUAGCAUUUUCAUCAAGGUGAAUGUAAUGCAUGCAGUCUACUGGAUUUAUACCUUUUAUGUUCGCUAUGGUCCAUCUUAAUGCUCCUUUGUGCUAUUUAAAACAUCCAACAACUUACCUUUUUGUUCGUCAUUUAGGGAUGAUGAGAUGAUUACCGGCAGAGUACUUUCUUCUCCCAAAAACGCAUAUUCCAAUGUGUUGGGUAAUGGUUUGAGCUCGAGUUUCGGUGGUGAUUCUGAUGAUGGGAUGAGUUUCUUCUCUGAUGGUGCUAGUUGUUCAACUCUUGACUUCCAUUUAUUAGUGUCCAUGGAUGGUGCUGAGUCAAGUAGGGCGUUGACCUCAUCAACUGAUCUGUCAAUAUCAAAAUCCAAACCAAAGUGAGUUAAACAUGUUUAUAAAGGAUCAUCACUAAGGUUUGAAAGAAAAGUAUUAUCAACUAUUGUUUCUAUUAAAUCCACAUCAACAAUUCCAUCAUCUGCACUGUGAGGUUGUUUGGCAAUGUUGAAGAUGUUCAGCUCCAUAGUCAUGCUGCCGAAGGACAACUGCAUAUUUCCAGUCCUGCAUUGAAUGUGAGCAUCCGCAGUUGCCAAGAAAGGUCGACCUAGAAUAAUAGGGAUGUGCUUCCUUGAAUCCUGUAUUGGUUGAGUGUCAAUUACAAUGAAAUCAACAGGAAAAUAAAACUUGUCUACCUGGAUAAGCACGUCCUCCACAAUACCACGAGGUAUUUUCGUGGACCGAUCUGCAAGCUGUAACACCACUGGAGUUGGGUGUAAUUCUCCCAGUCCAAGUUUCACGAAUACAGAGUAAGACAAAAGAUUUACACUAGCUCCUAAAUCCAACAAAGCAUUCUCAAUUGUGUGGUUCCCUAUACUACAUGAGAUAGUGGGGGAGCCUGGGUCUUUGCAUUUUAAAGGAAUUUUAUGUUGGAGUAUAGAACUAACAUUUACUGUUAAAAAUGCCUUCUUUUGAACAUGCAUAUUUCUCUUUUUAGUACAAAGGUCUUUAAGAAACUUGGCAUAAGAUGGAACUUGCUUUAUAGCAUCAAGUAAAGGGAUGUUAACACUUACCUGUUUGAAGAUUUCGAGAAUCUCACCUGUGGAUUUUCCCUUCUUUCCUUUCGCUAACCUCUGAGGAAAUGGAGCUUUGGGAACGUAUUCUCGUGGGUUGGUUUCUUCUUUUUCCUCCGGUGGUGAGUCCUCAACAUUCACAGGUACAAUUUGAUUUUCUUUUGUCACCGGCAUCUCCACUUUGUUGUCGACUUCCUUUCCUUUUCGCAAGGUCAUGACUGCUUUGACCUCUCCAUGCUGUUGUGGUGAACUGGUACUUGCUUCAUGUACUCCUUUAGGAUUAGGCACUGGUUGACUUGGAAAUUUACUUUUCUCAACAGUAAUUGCCAAGGUCUGAACUGAAGAAGCAAGUUGUCCCACCAUCUUCUCGAGGCUUGAAACUGAUUGGGCUUGUGAGUUGAAGCCCGCUCUCAACUCAUUUCGUAGUCCAUCAAUAGUGCGGUUCUGUUGCUCAAUCGUAGAGUGAGUAACAUUCUUGAGAUUUUGGAAUGAAUCCUCCCAUGGUCUGGGUUGAGAGUAGUUCUUGUUCUGAUUGUAUGGUCUGAAUGGUGGCUGAGAGGCUUGAGGAUUUUGAGGAAUUUGUUGCAUUGGUGGAGCUGGAGCUGCUGGUCCAUUCUGUUGGAAUCCUUGAGACCAUGAAAAAUUGGGGUGGUCUCUCCAUCCAGGGUUAUAUGUGUUGGAGUAUGGGUUGUAAUUAGAUGGCUUUCUCAUUACACCUAUGGCAUUGGCUUGAUCUGGAUAUGAGUCAGGGUCACGUGAUUCUGUUGAUUUAGCAGUCGAUAACGAUGUUAUUUGUCGAGCAAGACCUUCAACCAUCUCCUUGACUUCUUUGAUUCCCGAAGUUGACUCGCCAAUGUGAACCUCAUUCACUCCUUUAAUCCUUCUAGUAUUCCUGAGUGAUCGACUCCGUUGUUGGGAAUUGUCCGCUUGUCGCUGGAAAAACUCCCAAAUUUCUGAUGCACUUUUUGACAUUAGCUCUCCUCCACUUGUUGCCAUUAGCCAUUCUUGCACAUUCGGCAAUAAUCCCUUCAAAAAGUAUUGGUAUUGGUGCCAUUUCUCGUACCCAUGAUGUGGACACUUCAAGAGUAGUCCAUUGAAUCGCUCCCAAGUUUCGAAAAACUGCUCGUCCUCUCUUUGUGUAAACUCUGAGAUUUCCCUGCGAAUAGAAUUGGUUUUAUGCACUGGGAAAUAUUUAUUUAGAAAUUUUGUAACCAUUUGUUCCCAUGAUGCAAUGCUAUUAGCAGGCAAAGUAUUUAACCAUGAACGAGCUCUAUCCUUUAAAGAAAAUGGGAAUAAUCUAAGUUUAACAUCAUCGUCUGAAAAAUUUUCAUAUUUAAAAGUUUGACAAAUGGCAUGAAAAUCAUUCAGAUGAUUAUAUGGGUCCUCAUUUUCUAGGCCAUAGAAUGUGGGGAGACAAUUUAGCACACUAGGUUUUAAUUCAAAACUCCUAGCAGCUACAUUUGGGUAUCUUAUGCAUGAUGUGCUCAAAUUAGCUAAGGGACUAAAAUAAUCCUUAAAUGGCCUCUCCUGUGGUGCUUGUAAAUCCAUUUUAUUUUUAAAUUGUUUGUGUGUGCGAAGUGUUUUUUCUAAUUCAAGGUCUAUAGGUUCAAGAUUUGGUAAUAAUGACCUACGACCAUGCAUGCAAAACAAAUAAAAUAAAAAUAAAGAUGGGAAUAAAACGAAUAAAAAUAAAGAAAAAUGAGAAAUUACGAUACUAACCUUAUUGCGCUGUUACAACUUUUCUAUAAAAACACACUAAAACAAAUACGUGAAAUAAAUUAACUAAAAAUAAAUUAAUUAAAAAAAAUUACAAAGAAAAAUAACUUAAAAAUUAAAUUGCAGAAUUGUAAAGAAUAGAGAAAGAAAAGAAAUUAUUACCUCUAAUUGCAGAUUCACUUUUUUUUUUCUCUUUUUUUUUAUAAAAAAAUACAAGAAAACAAAUAAAAGAAAUUAUUCACAAAAAUUAAUUCUAUGAAUUAAAAUUACUUACCUCCCCGGCAACGGCGCCAAAAACUUGUUGUGCAAAUUUUAAUGAACUCGCAAGCGCACGAAUCUAUUGUAGUAUAGAUCAAUGGUGACGAGUGUCGAUCCCACGAGGAGGUGGAUUUUAAUUAUAUGUAGAAUUAAUUUUGUAAAUGGGUGGUUGGAAUUGUGGUGGAAAUGAUUUGGAAUAUGCUAAAACUUAAAUUAAAAUGGCGAGAAUAAAUUCUGAAAUUGGAAUUGCAAUGGCGAGAAUAAAUUGAAGUGAAAUCUAUUGAAAUAACGUACUUGGGUAUCCGGAUCCGUAUCAACAUGCAUCAUGGGCUAAAUAAUCCGUAUUAAUGCCAAUUAAAUCAUGAGGGGAGAAUCCACAUCUCAUGAACCACGCUCUAAUCAAUAUGGUGCUAAGGGCUUAUCGUGCCAAAUAAUAAUAACCUUAUACUAGAGAGCCGGUGUAACCAAGACGGUAUCUAGACAAGAUUACUAUUAUUUGUUGACGAGAAGUCAAAACAUCCACAAAAACUAGAGGGGAAGAGAAAAUAAAUUUACCAAAUUAAGCCCAUGACACAUGUUGAGACUUCACCUUCAACCCAAGCUUGAAAGAAAAUUAGCCACUCAUAAUUGAACUAGGGGCAAAAUGGGAAUUUAUUAAAAUACAAAGAAAAUACAAGAUGGAGAAGGAAUUACAGAAAAUGGAUCUCAAAAAUGGAUUCAGAGCUAUCAAAUUAGGGGGGGGAGGCCCCCUUUUUAUAGAUACAUGGAGUAAAUCAUGGCCAUCGGAUUAAAAACAGUUUGGACGCUCAGGAUUGCCCCACGUCAUCAGUCAACAGUCCACGGUUUGACCACGCGGAUGAACAGUAACACAGUUUGACCCGGAUAAACAGUAACACGGUUUGGUUGAAAAUAAUCCUGUGUGAUGCAUGCACCGUACGCGAGAUUUUUCGUCCACUGAUAUGCUGCCACGUCACCAUCAACAGUACAUAAGAAUUUUAGUCCAACAGGAUCGUGACACCUCAUCAGUCAAUGCCACAUCAUCGGUCAAUGCCACGUCAUCGAUCCGUCUAUGUGAACAGUGUCGUGAACAGUAACGUAGACAGUACCGUAUACGUGAAUAGUACCGUACAUGUGAAUAGUGCCAUUUUUCCUUUUAUGCUCCUCCUAAGGUUUUCGACCGUCCUGAGUUCAAAAGUGAUGUCCGUUUUGCUGUCUGAUCUCUCCUUUAUUGUGAAAUGACUAUAAUGCCCCUAAAAUACAUAAAAUACUUAAUUAAAAUAACACACACGUAAUUACAUCACAAAAAGGUUAAAUACAUAAAAGUAAGGGUUGUUAGUAAGACUUGAAAUGUAAAAUGAUGGUUUUCUCCUUUAUAAAUAUGCAUUUUCUAAUACUCAACAGUUCCCAAAUAUGAAAGAUGCUUAGGCCUCCCAUCCAUGAUAGGCCGGAAGAAGAUGAGUUUUUUCAAGGAUGUCAAAUUAAAGGUUUUAAGAAAAAUUUCCAACUGGCACCAUAAAAUGUUCUCUAGUGGUGGAAAGGAAGUUCUUUUUAAAGCAGUCGCUCAAGCCAUCCCAGCAUAUGCCAUGAGCGUUUUCAAGCUCCUGAAGGGGCUAUGUGAAGACAUCCAAAGAGUUAUAGCCAAAUUUUGGUGGGGUUCGAAUCAAGAUAAGCAAGCAAUACACUGGUCGAGAUGGGAAAAAUUAAGUUGUGCAAAGAGUAGAUGGGGGCUGGGAUUCAGAGAUUUUACCAGCUUCAAUCAAGCAAUGGUGGCUAAACAAGGUUGGAGGCUGCUUCAGUUCCCGGAUUCCCUGGUAUCCAAGUUACUGCAGGCCAAAUACUACAGGAACUCCUCAUUCUUGAAUGCAAAGGAAGGUUCUAAUCCUUCUUUUAUCUGGAAAAGCAUCCUUUGGGGUAGGCUAGUUAUAAAAAAAAGGGCAAGAUGGCGAAUUGGGAAUGAGAGCAAUAUUCGGGUGUACAAAGACAAUUGGCUGCCAAGAUUGGAUACUUUCAAACCGAUAUCCCCUCCAACAUUGCCCAUGGAAACAACAGUGGCCAAGUUGAUAACUGAGGACAGCCACUGGAAUGAAGCUAAGCUAAAGCACCACUUUUUCGAGGAGGACACAGAAGCAAUACUCAAAAUUUCCCUCCCCCCAAGCCAUAAAGAGGAUUCCUUACUAUGGCAUUUUGACAAAAGAGAGGCAUACACUGUAAAAAGUGGCUACCAGGUGGCUCUCAAGCUUAAAUUCCCAAAUCAGGCCAGCAGCUCAGCCAGCCCCCCCCCCAAGAUGGAAUAAUCUGUGGUCUCUUAACUGGCCUGAAAAAAUCAAAAUCUUCAUGUGGAGAGCAUCCAAAAACCUUUUUCCAACAGCUGAAAACUUGUGGAAAAGAAAAUGUCUCCAAGAUCCAAUUUGCAAAAGAUGCUGCAGAAGUGUAGAAACCACUUACCAUGCUCUGCUAGAGUGUAAAGCAACGAAGAAGAUCUGGAAUCAUGCUCCUCUCCAGCUGAUAAGAAGCUACGCAGAACUAAUCGUGUAGCCAAACCCAACAGCAAGUACAUGGAAUAUGCAUGGGCACGUCAUUAGCCAUGCAACGUUUGAGAUGAUGAUCUGGAGCUGACUUCUUCAAAUUAACCGUUGCUUAUUUGGAGGAGAUCUUUCAUGCAAGUAUUUGUUUUGGUAUAUUUUGGAAUAAUAGUCAGGUUGUUGAGAUGUUGUUAACGACUUGAUUUAGUUAGCUUUGUUCAAGCCUUGUUUCACGGCUAAGGAAAUUAGUUUUGUAUUAGACUAUAAAUAAGCUCUUUUAUUCAAUAAGAAGAUCAUCAGAUUUUUAUUCCAAAAACAUUAUUUGUGGUAGUUCUCGCCCAAAGAAGAACAAGCAAUUUACUUUGUCAAUUCUGCUAGUUUUGACUGGGACCUCUAUUAGUGGUAUCAGAGCUAGGUUAGGAUGGCAACCAACAAAGAGCGUAUCGAGCGAAUAGAAACAGAGGUCGGAGAUAUACAAGACAAGAUGCAACAGUUGGAGUUGGGGAUCAAUGACAAAUUGGCACACAUUGAGGCAACAUUAAGCAAGCUUGCGGACUCAAUCAAUACUUCAAGAGGGUUGCCAAGUAUCAACAACAAUACUGCAUCUUCACGACUGGGCCGAGAAGUCAGUACAGGAGGGCCUCAACAUUUCCAAUCCAAGGUAGCAAAACUAGAAUUCCCUCACUAUUCGGGCGACGACCCCACCGAAUGGUUCAAUCGUGCAAGUUAGUUCUUCGAAUAACAGGAAUCAACAGACGAUCAGAAAGUGGUUCUAGCGUCAUUCCACUUGGAGGGGGAAGCAAAUCAGUGGUGGCAGUGGCUUCGAAGGUCUUAUCAAGAUGAAGGCAAAGUCGUGACUUGGGAGGUGUUUAUGGAGGAGUUAUGGGCAAGGUUUGGACCGACAGACUGUGAAGAUUUCAACGAGGCUCUCUCACGGGUUAAACAAACCGGUACUCUCCGUGACUACCAGAAGGAAUUUGAACGACUCGGAAACCGUGUUCAAGGCUGGACACAGAAGGCACUUGUUGGAACAUUCAUGGGAGGGCUUAAACCAGAGAUAUCUGAAGAAAUUCGGCUGUUUCGACCGAGGACUCUUAAGGAAGCAAUAAGCUUGGCAAGAAUGAGAGAUGAGCAACUGACCCGACAACGGAGACUGUUGAGAUCACCAAUCCUCACUCGUUCACCAACGGCUCAAGUCACCAACCAACGUGCUUCACCAACAGUACCCUUUAAGAGACUUUCUUGGGAGGAGAUGCAAAAACGCAGGUCACAAGGAUUAUGUUUUAACUGUAAUGAAAAAUUCUCUGCAGGUCAUAAGUGCAUAAAGGCGCAAUUGUUAAUCUUAGAAGCAGAUGAUAACGAAGAGUCCACGGAAACAACGCAACAUGAGUAUGAGACGGAAGAGCACGACAAACCUAAAAUAACAUUCUAUGCUUUGGCGGGUUAGGCUGCUCCUCAGACAAUGCGAGUGAAAGCUAAGAUUGGGCCACACGAGAUUAUUGUACUAGUGGACAGCGGCUCAACGCACAAUUUUAUCAACUCGCGUUUGGCUAAUAUGCUUCAGCUCCCAGUUCAACCGACAUCAGCAUUUCCAGUAAAAGUGGCCAAUGGAGAGAAAGUUAUUUGCCAGGGGAAACAUGACAAGGUACAUGUUUUAAUUCAGGACAUCCCUUUUGAACUUACUCUCUACUCAUUGCCGAUUACAGGACUCGACGUGGUGCUUGGUGUCCAAUGGCUUGAAAGCUUAGGGUCGGUGGUUUGUAAUUGGAAACAAUUAACAAUGGACUUCGAUUGGGAUAAUGCUAAGCGAAGGUUGCAAGGGCUGGAUCCACAAACAAUUCAAGCUACAACAUUAUCUGAAGUUGCCAAAGAUAUGAAACAAGGGCACAACGUGUUUGCUAUAUGUCUCUAUUUAAACAAUGAGGAAUCAUAUACAGUAGCACCGGCCAGCAUGAGGAGUUUGCUAGAGGAAUAUUCCGAGCUGUUCGUGGAACCCAAACAACUCCCACCAACACGGGAAAUCGACCACCAAAUCACUCUUAAAGAAGGAACAGAACCAAUUAAUGUGAGACCCUACCGGUACGCUUAUUUCCAAAAAGCGGAGAUUGAGAGACAAGUGAACGAAAUGCUGUCUUCCGGGCUCAUUCGACCAAGCACCAGCCCCUUCUCAUCACCGGUACUCCUAGUAAAAAAAAAGAUGGCAGUUGGAGGUUUUGUACUGACUACAGAGCACUCAACAAGGCCACAGUAAAAGACAGAUUUCCAAUACCAACAGUAGAAGACAUGUUAGAUGAAUUGCACGGUGCAACAUUCUUCACCAAACUAGACCUCAGAGCCGGCUACCAUCAGGUACGGCUAAACUCAUCAGAUAUACAUAAGACGGCUUUUCGCACACACAAUGGCCAUUAUGAAUAUCUGGUCAUGCCAUUCGGCUUAUGCAAUGCUCCCUCUACUUUUCAAGCAAUUAUGAAUGCUAUUUUUCGGCCCCAUCUUCGGAAAUUUAUAUUGGUAUUUUUUAACGACAUCUUGAUUUAUAGUCCCACGUGGGAAUGUCAUUUGAAACACGUUAGACAGACCUUGGAAAUUCUUAAACAACAUCAAUUUUUUGUCAAGGCUAGCAAGUGCAAUUUUGGCCAGCAAGAACUUGAAUAUUUGGGACACAUCGUCACUUGCCAUGGUGUGAAGGUGGAUGAACAGAAAAUUGCAGCAAUGGUGUCAUGGCCAAAGCCACGGAAUAUUACAGAGCUAAGGGGAUUUUUAGGCCUAACAGGGUAUUAUCGCAAGUUCGUUCGUGGGUAUGGCCUGUUAGCCCGGGCCCUAACCAAUCUUCUUAAGAAAGGACAAUUCGGGUGGAAUACUGAAGCUGCAACAGCAUUUGAGCAAUUGAAACUUGCCAUGACUCAAACUCCAGUACUUUCUAUGCCUAAUUUUAACGAUGUUUUUGUUAUUGAAACUGAUGCGUCCGGUGAUGGCAUAGGAGCAGUACUGCAGCAAAACGGAAAACCAAUAGCUUACAUGAGUCGAGCGUUGGGUAUAACAAAAAAGACUUGGUCGACAUAUGCGAAAGAGAUGUUGGCAGUGGUAGAGGCGGUCAGAUUUUGGAGGCCUUAUUUACUGGGACAACGAUUUGUGAUACAAACAGAUCAAAAAAGCUUAAAAUAUCUCUUGGAGCAGAAGAUAGCAACUCCUGAUCAACAGCAAUGGAUGGUCAAACUCAUGGGUUACGAUUACGAAAUCCGAUACCGCCCCGGCAAGGAAAACGCUGCUGCCGAUGCACUCUCUAGAAGAACUGACAGCCCAACUCUUAAUCAUCUUUUUGUACCGCAGGUGUCACUAUGGGGAGAAAUUAAAAAGGCUAUGCAUGAAGAUGAUUAUCUAAAGAAGAUUGCACAGCAAGUUGAGACUCAACCCGACGGCCCUUACACGGCAAAAAACGGCCUCAUAUUCUUCAAAGGCAGGGUAAUAGUUCCGCGAAAGAUGCGUGACUUAUUAUUAUUUGAGGCCCACAAUACGAAAAUAGGAGGGCAUUCCGGAGUCCUUCGCACUUACAAACGCUUAGCGCAGCAAUUUUAUUGGCCCUCAAUGUUUCAAUCUGUUCAUGAUUAUGUAAGUAAGUGUGUUGUUUGCCAGAAGACGAAGAGUGAAACGCUACAACCAGCAGGGCUUCUUCAACCGUUGCCUGUUCCUUGCCAAGUGUGGGAGGAUAUUUCUUUAGAUUUUAUUGAAGGGCUGCCUAAUUCACAAGGAAGAGAUACAAUAUUUGUGAUAGUCGACAGGCUCAGUAAAUAUGCAUUCUUCCUUUCCUUAUCUCACCCAUUUACCGCUAAAUCUGUUGCUGAAAGAUUUGUUGACGGAGUGGUAAAACUACACGGCAUGCCCAAGAGUAUUGUAAGUGAUCGGGAUCCAAUAUUUAUUAGCAAAUUUUGGAGUGAAUUUUUUACACUGUCAGGCACACAAUUAACGAUGAGUUCAGCCUAUCAUCCGCAAACGGACGGCCAAACAGAGGUUGUUAACAGAUGUCUGGAGCAAUAUUUACGCUGCUUUGUCCACCAGUGGCCACGCAAGUGGAACAUGUAUCUGUCGUGGGCUGAGUUUUGGUACAAUACCACUUUUCAUGUAUCCACCGGAAUGACCCCUUUUCAAGCUCUCUAUGGCCGGCCUCCACCUUCUGUCCCCAUGGAUUCGAUCGGGUCUUCACCGGUUCACGAAGUCGAUCACGCCUUACAGACCAGAGAUGAGUUAUUGCGGCAACUAAAAUCUAACCUUGCUGCAGCGGCUAAUCGAAUGAAACAAACGGCCGACAAGAAAAGGAGGGAUGUCGAAUUCAAAGAAGGAGACAUGGUGUACUUGCGCUUGCAUCCGUACCGGCAAUCUUCAGUUUUUAAACGUGCACAUCAAAAAUUAUGCAACAGGUAUUUUGGACCAUAUCAAAUAAUUCAAAAAGUGGGGCCUGUCGCUUUUAAGCUCCAGUUGCCAGAAGGUGCCAAGGUCCAUUCUACAUUUCAUGUUUCAGUACUAAAAAAAGCAGUGGGAGAUUCGACAGAGAGCAGCACGGAGUUACCUCCUAUAGAUGAUGAAGGUGUGCUGGUUUUGGAGCCUAAAUCAGUUCUGGACACUCGGUGGCUUAAAAGAGGUGGUACUGUUAUUGAGCAAAGUCUGAUUCACUGGAACAAUCAACCAAUGGAAGAGGCCACUUGGGAAGAUACUGUCGUCAUUAAGCAGCGGUUUCCUUCGCUGACCCUUGAGGACAAGGGUCCUCUUUCAUGGGGGAGUGAUGAUAAGAAGCUACGCAGAACUAAUCGUGUAGCCAAACCCAACAGCAAGUACAUGGAAUAUGCAUGGGCACGUCAUUAGCCAUGCAACGUUUGAGAUGAUGAUCUGGAGCUGACUUCUUCAAAUUAACCGUUGCUUAUUUGGAGGAGAUCUUUCAUGCAAGUAUUUGUUUUGGUAUAUUUUGGAAUAAUAGUCAGGUUGUUGAGAUGUUGUUAACGACUUGAUUUAGUUAGCUUUGUUCAAGCCUUGUUUCACGGCUAAGGAAAUUAGUUUUGUAUUAGACUAUAAAUAAGCUCUUUUAUUCAAUAAGAAGAUCAUCAGAUUUUUAUUCCAAAAACAUUAUUUGUGGUAGUUCUCGCCCAAAGAAGAACAAGCAAUUUACUUUGUCAAUUCUGCUAGUUUUGACUGGGACCUCUAUUACCAGCCCAAUUUUCAGAAUUCUCCAAACCAGAGCAUCCUCAGCAUCAUCCAAAAUAUGCCCUCCAAUAUGCGGAAGUCUAAUUUCGAUCUCUUGAUCUCUCUAUGUUGGGUGGCUUGGUAUGCUCGAAACAAGUUUAUUUUCGAAGGUAAGAAGAUAGACCCAAGGCUCUCUGUAGCUAAAGCUGAAGCAGUGAUUGAUGCUUUCCAAAGAGCUAGGAAGCCUGGAGCCACUCAUAUCCAUAACAGCAGCAAAGUACCUCAGCAUAAGUGGAAUCCCCCUCCGAAGAAUGUUGUCAAGGUUAACGUGGAUGCAGCCAUCAACAGCAAGAGUCAAAUGGCAGGCUUAGGAGCUGUAAUUAGAGACUCAAAGAACAAAUUUGUAGCUGCAGGCAUCAUGCAAACUGGUUUGAAGGAGCAUGUCAACUAUGCAGAAGCUGAAGCCAUUGUAUAGGGUUUAAAGCUAGCUAGAAGGGCAGCUCUUUCCACUUUGAUCAUAGAGUCAGAUUGCCUAGAAGUGGUUGAGUUAGUAAACAACAUAAAGAGCAACAAAACAGGACAAUGGUGGAUAAUUGAAGAGAUCCAGAACUAAAAAAGUGAGUUUUGUAAUGUAAUUAUCAAUCAUAUCCCUAGAACCUAUAAUGUUUGUGCUCAUUCCCUAACAAAACUUACUGUGGGAGCAAAUACGCCUGCUGUCUGGUUAGACCAUAUUCCAACAGAGGUGAUGAAUGUUCUGAUUUAGUGUUGUUUUUAAUGGAAAGGAUUACUUUCUUCAAAAAAAAAAAAAGAAUAAGAAGAAAGCAUAAUGCGACCCUCCAACAGCUUAAUCUAUGGAAUUAUCGUGUUUUGUAAGUUAGGGUCCAAUGGCGUUUUGGCACAUCAUAUGAUAGACCACUAUAUUGCGUUGCUUUACAAAAGAUUAAUAUUUUUAAAAUUAUUAGGUAAGUUUAGGCUCAGUGGCACUUUAACUCAUGAUAUGAUAGUCCAGGUUUUCGAGGACCACUAUAUUGUAUUGAUUUAAAAAAAAAUUAAUAUUUUUUAAUAUUAAUAUUCUAAAUUAUAUUCAGUUAAAAUAUUAAAUAUUAAAUACAUUCUUAAUAUUAAUAUUCUUAGACGAAAUUCUUUUGCUGGCUUAAGAAUAAAAUAUUAAAUAAUUUUAUUUUUCUUUUAUUGUGUAACGUGGACCCAAAAAAAAAAAGGAAAUGAAUUUAAUAAAACCUUCAUUCCGCCACCAUCCAUGUUAAUUGUUUCCAAAUUCCAACCUCCGUACUCUCUUGAGGAGUUUCCCAUUCAUCAAUUAUUAUUUUUUAUAAUCCAUACCAUCCUGAUAUAAUUAAACACCAUUAAUAAUGUACCAGCCUUUAAAUAGUAAUUAAUUUAUUUAUCUAAUUCACCAAAUGUUUUUUCCGGUACAUAUCUCCAUUGGUAUCAAGAAGAAGCAGAACCCAAACAAAUGUUUCUUGCAUCUUCAUAUUUGUGCAAAUUCAUCCUUUCAUUGAGAAUAACCAUUUCCAGGCAGCAGUUGGCAAUCAAUUCAUGCGCACGUCGAUGCUAUUCAUAGAUAUUAAAGACAAUGAUGAACCAAAGGUGAUAAAUCAUAAAUGCAUAAUUACCAAACCUCCAUCCUUCUCUCAUUAUGAUUUGAUUUUAAAUGAAUUAUUGCUUGGUAACAUUAUUUCCAACCAUUGCAAGCCCUUUUUUUUUUUUGGGAGAAAUUUCAAUUGAAAGUGAAACCUUUAGACAUUUACCUAAUGAAGUUAGUUAAUCGGGAGGGUGGAAAAAAAAAAGGUUGACGCAAGUCAAUACACAAUAAUUAAUUAAAUCCGGAGUGACUAAAACAGAGCCACGACUUUUUCAAAAAUAUCUGCAUUCAUCACUUUCUCCUCGUUUGUUGUCAUCCAAAAUUAUUCACCAAUACCAUGGCUGAUGCAAUCGUUUCCACUAUCUUGGAGCAGCUGAUUUCCUUCGCUGCUGAAGAGAUAAAACAACAGGUGAUCGAAGUUACACCCCUCAUAUUACAAAUACUUCCAAUGAUUUUAAUUGGUUUUGUUUUUAUCAAAAACAUUAUAUAUUUUUGCUUUAUUUUAUUUAUCUGGUAAUUUUAGAUUUUGAAAUUUGAAUUGAAUUUAAUUAAAAGGUCAUGUAGUAACCACUUAUUUUUAUUUUAUUUCAUUUAUAUUCUCAAUAACUAACCAUAUUUUGGUAACUUAAUAUAACUCUCGUACAUAAGAAAUGAUCAAAACCCACAAUUUUAACUCUGUAUAAAUAUUCAACGUUGAGUCAUUAAUUCUCAACUCAGCACUGAAUCCCAAAGCUAUUACUUAGACUCUAUGAAAAAAUUCAUAGUUUUCUUACAUUCUUUGAGUUUGGUAAGUGAUUUCGUAUAAUUUCUUUUCAAGUUAAAUUUUAAUUUGGUUUAUGAUAUAGUCUCUGUGCCGAAUUGUAUCUUUUAUGAUUCUUGGAUUUUGGGCUCCAACUUUUUAGGAUUUGAUAGUCAUAUUUUAUGCCAUGCUCAGAUUGAUUUUCAUGAUUUUUAGUAGCCGUUAAGUGACUUACAAUUUGACGAAAGUUUGAAAGGAAAAAUGUUUCAGGAUUAUGUUUUAAUUGACCUUUUAGUAGAAAUAGGAUGCUUAUAACUUAAUGUGGAUGGUUCGUAAAAUCAUGAAAUUUGGAUAGGAUUCACUAGAAAUAUGUACAAGACUCUCCAUAAAGUUUCAUAAUUUUUCAUUCGGUAUGGGGUGGCACAGGUGAAACUUGUGUUUGGUGUUGAAAAAGAAGUGAAAAGCCUUACCAGCCACCUUCAAGCCAUUCAAGUUGUGCUCGAUGAUGCAGAGGAAAAGCAAGUGAAGGACAAAGCUGUUAGUCUUUGGCUGGGUAGGCUCAAGUACGCAUCCUACGACAUUGAAGAUGUGUUGGAUGAGUGGAUCACAGCAAGACGCAAAUUGCAAAUUGAGGGUGGCGUUGAUGAAAAUGCUCUUGUUGUUCCUCAUAAGAAAAAGAAGGUAUGUCUCUGCUUUCCCAGCUCUUGUUUUGGAUUCAAACAAGAAGAAUUUGGUUUCAAACAAGUCUUUCUCCGUCAUGACAUUGCCGACAAGAUCAAAGAAAUCAAUGAAGAGCUACAUGAUAUUGCCGCUCAAAAAGACAUGUUUGAUCUUGUUAAGAGUGGCAAUAAAAGUAGUGAAAGACCAAGGCGUGUACAGAGUACCUCCUUGAUUGAUGAGGAAGAGAUUUGUGGUAGAGUUGGUGAGAGGAAUGAACUCAUAAGCAAGCUGUUGCGUGAGAGUAGCGAGCAACAAAAAGGCCUCCAUAUCAUCUCAAUUGUUGGUAUGGGAGGCAUAGGGAAAACUACUCUUGCACAACUAGCUUGUAAUCAUGACGAGGUGAAGAGAAAGUUCGACAAAAUUCUGUGGGUGUGUGUAUCAGAAACUUUUGAGGAGUUUAGGGUAGCCAAAGCGAUCGUUGAAGUUUUGGAUGGUCGUGAAUCUCAUUUAGCUGAAUUCCAUUCUCUUCUUCAACAUAUUUAUGAAUCAAUUGCAGGGAAGAGCUUUCUUCUUGUCUUAGAUGAUGUGUGGGAUGGAAAUUACUUGAAAUGGGAACCAUUCUACCGUUGUCUAAAGAAUGGUCUCCAUGGAAGUAAAAUUUUAGUUACCACACGCAAAGGGUCAGUCGCAUCCAUGAUGGGAUCCACAGAUAUUAUCUCUGUCAAGGAGUUAGCUGAAGAGGAAUGUUGGUUGUUGUUUAAAAAGAUAGCAUUUUUUGAUCGGUCCAUCGAGGAACGUGAAAAAUUAGAACAAAUUGGGCAAAGAAUUGCAGGCAAGUGCAAAGGUUUACCUCUUGCAGCAAAGACAAUAGGGAGUCUCAUGCGUUCUAAACAAACUGAAGAAGAGUGGAAAAGAAUUUUAAAUAGUGAUUUAUGGAAAGUAGAAGAGAUUGAGAAAGAUGUUUUGUCCUCUUUAUUGUUGAGUUAUAAUGAUUUGCCAUCUAGAGUAAAAAGAUGUUUUUCAUAUUGUGCUGUCUUUCCAAAAGACUACGAUAUAAAAAAAGACGAACUAAUCACAUUAUGGAUGGCUCAAGGUUAUCUUAGUGCAGAACAAGAUGAAGAGAUGGAGACAAUAGGUGAAGAGUAUUUUGGCAUCUUAGCUUCUCGCUCGUUUUUUCAAGAGUUUAAGAAAAGUUAUGAUAAUCGGAUUAUAGCGUGUAAGAUGCAUGAUAUGGUACAUGAUUUUGCCCGAUUUGUAAGUCAAAAUGAAUGUUUUUCGAUGGCAAUUAAUGGUAGUGAAGAACCAAACGCCACAAACUCUCUUGAUGAAAAGGUCUGUCAUUUAAUGUUAAUCUUUAGUAAAGGGGCUUCAUUACCUGUUUCCACUCGUAGAGUUAAAAGAAUGCGUACCCUCUUAAUUAGCGCUAGUGGAUCUGAUCAUUCAUCAUUAAAUGCUGAGAUCGUAGAAGAAUUAUUUAGGGAAUCGACAAGUUUAAGGGCAUUAGAUGUUAGCCAGGUGUCUUUGCCUACAGAGAUUUUAAGAAAUAUAAAAAAGCUGGUACAUUUAAGAUACCUUAAUUUGCGUUUUCCGAAAAUAGUGAAACUACCGGAGACAUUGUGCGAGUUAUAUAAUCUAGAAAAGUUAGAUAUUAGUUAUUGUUUUAAUCUUAAAGAAUUACCUGAAGGGAUUGGGAAGUUAAUAAACAUGAAGCAUUUACUAAAUAGAGGUACUAAUUCUUUAAGGUACAUGCCAGUAGGGAUUGGGAGAUUAACGGGUCUUAGGACCUUGGGUGAGUUCCGCGUGAGUGCAGGAGGAGAUGUUGAUGGUAGGAAAGCAUGUAGGCUUGAAUCUCUUAAAAACUUGGAACACCUUCAAGUAUGUGGUAUACGUAGACUGGGUGAUGUAUCAGAUGUGGGCGAGGCUAAGCGAUUAGAACUUGACAAAAAGAAAUACCUCUCUUGUUUGAGACUUCGGUUUGAUAAGAAGAAAGAAGGAGGAGAAAGGAGGAAGAACGAAGACGAUCAACUACUUCUUGAAGCCCUGCGACCAUCUCUGGAUUUAAAGGAAUUAGAGAUACAGUUCAACCGAGGCAACACUGUUUUCCCCAGCUGGAUGACGUCAUUAACCAACUUAAAGAGUUUAGGUCUCUCUUUGUGCGAAAAUUGCGAGCAGUUGCCUCCUUUGGGAAAAUUGCCAUCCCUCGAACAGCUCUUCAUAUCGUACAUGUCGAGUGUGAAAAGAGUGGGUGAUGAAUUUCUGGGGGUAGAAAGUGAUCGUCAUGACUCAUCGUCAUCUUCAUUAGUUAUUAUUGCCUUCCCCAAAUUGAAAUCACUUAGAAUUGAGGGAUUGAUGGAAUUGGAGGAGUGGGAUUAUGGGAUUACAAGAACGGGAAACACCGUCAUCAACAUCAUGCCCCAUCUUUCUUCCUUGGUAAUUGAUAGUUGCUACGAAUUAAAGGCACUGCCCGAUCACAUUCAUCAAACGACGACAUUGAAGCGAUUGUGGAUUUUGAAUUGUGGGCCUCUGGGAGAACGUUACCGCACGGGGGAAGGAGAAGACUGGCCUAAUAUAUCACACAUUCCCAACAUACAUAUUCGUUAAGAAGGAUUUGCGCAUUUGAGAUUUGGCGUUGACAAGUAAUUUCUUCUCUUACUCUGAUUUGCUUUUGUUGUUGUUUUUAAUCUAGUUAAGAAGUGUAAAUAGCAUUUUGAAUCAAACUCUAUAUCAGAAAUCUGCAAUACAUACUUUCUAAUAUUCUGAUUUUCAUAUCCUAUGAAUAUACGAUUUUUAAUUUGUGAGAUGGGUAACGUUACUGUAAAAGAUUAUUAAUGCAAUAUGAGUAAUUCUUUUGCAGGACAAGUGACCUACAUUUAGUUUGGCUUUGGAGUUGAAUAAUAACCUUUCGAGGUCCCGACAAACAAAAAACGAAGCUUAAUUUGCCACAGAUUGCACGUAUUGCCAUUAUUGACAAUUUUCUGCACAAGUGAUCGAGGGUGAGGUCCUGUCCUGAAUAAAGCUCUCGUGACUGAACUUAGGUUGAUGUCAAAAGAGGUAAAUUAUCGGCAUGCCUGACUAUUUUGACCAUUACAUGAUUCAUAAAUUGAGUGAUUACUUUUCAAGGUUUGCUUACUUAACCGGGUGACCAAUUUCUUGUAACUAAAUGUAUGAUAUGAAAUGAGAAGCUUAUUAGUGGAAGGAUUGCCUGUAACAGAACCCAAAGAAAAUGAAACCAUUUCAAGGCAGCAGCCGGCAGUUGGGAGUGAAUGGAGGGCCUUCACAAAAUUCUCAAGCAGUUGCAAUGCAAUUACGAUCAUCCUCAGCCUCAGGUAAUUUCUUCUCCUGCUUUGUUUUUAUUUGUUACCUAAUUAAGAAGCAUUAUUUGUUUUUAUUUGUUACCUAAUUGAAGGACAAGUGCUGAAGAGUGGGAAUGGUGCUAUAUUGGGGAAUAAUGCAGGAGGAGGUAAAUUAUUGGGAGUUUCUUCAACCUUGUUUUCUUUGAACCAGCGCCUGAUCCACAAGACUCCGUUAAUUUGGCUUUUGAUCGGCUGAUUGAUAAAUUUUCAAUUUCUUUUGUGAUAAAUGUAUAUGUGAAGCAGGCAGCAGGACAUGACUGUGGAAAAGAGAAGAUCUUAGUGAAAGCUGAGACUCAGAUAUUUCUACAAAGUAUGUGUUUUGGCUGAUUUAUCUAAUUCAUGAAAUUUUAUUUCCAUCUGUUACAAGAUCAAACUGAAGCAGAACUCAAAGAAAAGUAUUCUACUUCUUACGGCAAUCUUGCCUUCGUUCAGAUUAUGGAACCAUUUCCAUGCAGCAAAUUCAUCCAAAAGUUUGAAUAAGUUUCAUGGUUGGACACUGUUGGCUUCUUUUUCUUUUGGGGUGCAUUUAGGUGCUAUCAAGUGACAGCCGUAAGUAUGAUUGCACUAAGCUGCUGCUGGGAAAUUCGAGGUUUUGAUGGCUGCCCACGUUAUUGUCAAGAAACUCCUCAUGUAAGAAGUUGUAGUUCUUUUCAUCAGCUUGAACCUAAAACUGUCGCUAUUGAUAACUCAGGUUUUUGUUAUCAACUAUAUCAUCUUUUUCACUGUUUUGAAACUCUUUAAGAUUAAACUUCAGUAAAGUUCUUUCAGUUAUCCACAUAAUCAGGCUGAGGAUACUUUAGUAAAGUUGCUUCAGCUAUUCAAAUGAAAAAUCUCAUUGAUUUGAGACUUCCUUCAUUAUUGUUUUUGAUUAAAAUGCUAAGGGUCCAGAUAAAAUAAUAUUUAAUUGGUGGAAGGUGUCCCUUGGAAGUACAUCAUGAUUAGCUGUUGUGCUAAUCAUGCCAAUGCAUAAUUCGGCCCCUAAUGUGGGUACUCUGUUACAUUGUUCUGCAAAUUCUCCAAAAAAGUUAAAUCAAUAAAUUUUGUAUUAGCUAGAUUAGCUCUAGGUUGUGAGGAGUCUGUCAUAUGGGAGAACCCAUUUCCAGAAAAUAUCUGGUAUUUGUUCCAGUCUUCUAAUGAAUGAAAGUUAUGAUUCCUUUUCAAAAAAAAAAAAGAAUUUUGUAUUAGUUCUAGUGCGUUGACCUAAAUGCUAUUCUAUAUUUUAGUGCCUUAAUUCUAGAACCUUGGCUCCUGCCAGAGCAUGCGGAGAUAAUGGUAGGGAGAGUGUUUGUGUAUUUUAACCAUGAUAAAGCUAAUGUUCCCAAUGAUUUCUGCUGGUGAGACUUGUGAAGAGGGUGAAUGAGGCAACUGCUAAUAUUCCUGGGUGGGAUACAGUAACUAGAGGCUGAGAUCAGGUGGUGGAAUUUUUUGUUUGAUCGAUGAUACCAGAAUUGUCCACAAAAAGUUUGUUGAUACAAAUUACAGGUGAUAGAAAGAGGUAUAGGUGGAGAAGAGAAAUCUGCGAGUCAAAUUAGGGAUAAUUGAUUUGCUGAUGCAAGUUACAUUGAAUAAUAAUAAUAACAAUUGCAUGAAGAUCCCUUAUUAAUCUUGUGUUCUCCUAUCUUUUACAUUCAGCUGGUAUACUUAAGCCUUGCUUGUGGAAUGUUUUAACCUUUAAAUUCACUACCCCUGGAUGUUGGAUUUUCUAGAACUUCAAAAUGAUUAAUGGAGAAAGAUCCCAUUAUCGAUAUCGCUAUAAGAAAUUUUAUUUAUACUUCCAAAGAUACAUUAUAUAUUUAUGUGUAUCUCUUUAUACAUGACAUUUAAGCAUCCAUAAACUGUCAGACAGAGGAAGGGGGUUGAGUGUAAAGAUUCUGUUGACCUAGGGGUUGCCUGCUUAAUGUCACUUGUUAGUGAUCUAUUAUUUAUUUCAUAUUUUGAAGAAUUUAAAGGGCAAUCCUGCUUGUUUGUGUUGUUAUCUCCUUCUAACUUACGGUCGUACCUAAAGAGCAUAGUUUCAUAUGUGUUACCCUGAGAUGUACAGAAUUUCACAUUUGCCUCAGAUUAAGCUUAAUUUCCCACAGAAUAGAGCUGUUGUGACUGAACUUAGGUUGAUGUCAAAAGAGGUAAAUUAUUGGCAUGCCUAGAUAAUUUGACCAUUUCCUAAUUCAUAAGUCUACAUUAAUUUUGAUUUUGAGUUGACUGAUUUCUUUUCAAGGUCUGCUUACUUAACGGAGUGACCAAUGUUUUUCAACUAAAUUUAUCAUAUGAUGCAGGAAGCAGGGCAGGAUAUGAAAUGAGAAGCUCAUUGGUGGAAGUAUUGCCUGUAACAGAACCCAAAGAAAAUGAAACUAUUUCAAGGCAGCAGUUGGCAGUUGCAAGUGAAUGGAGGCCCUUGCCAAAAUUCUCAAGCGGUUGCAAUGCAAUUACGAUCAUCCUCAGCCUCAGGUAAUUUCUUCUCCUGCUUUGUUUUUAUUUGUUCUCUAAUUAGGAAGCAUAAAGUAUCUUGAAUCAUUUUCUGUAUCUGGAAUAUAUGCAAGAGUUUCUAAAAUUUUGAUAUGAGUGUAAUGAUGGUAAUUUCUGUUUUCUGUCUGUCAUCAAAUGUUAGAAAACUUUCAUUGAGACCCUUGAACCGAGUCAUUUUUGACAAGUGAAGUGCUGAAGAGUGAGGAGUAAGAAUGGUGCUAGAUUGGGGAAUAAAGCAAAAGGAGGUAAAUUAUUGGCAGCUUCUUCAGCCUUAUUUUCUUUGGACCAGUGCCUAAUUCACAAGUCUCCGUAAUUUGGCUUUUGACCAGUUGAUAGAUAAAAUUUUAAUUUCAUUGGUGCUAAUGUACCCGUGAAGCAGGCAGAGAAGGACUGUGGAAAAGAGAAGGUUUUUAGUGAAAGCUUAAACUCAGGUAAUUCUAAAAAUUAUAUGUUUUGGCUGAUUUAUCUAAUCAGGAAAUUUUAUUUCCAUCUGUUACAAUAAAACAGAAACAGAACACAAAGAAAAAUAGUCUACCUCUUGUGGCAAUCUUGCCUUCAUUCAGACUAUGAAACCAUUUCCUUUCACCAAUUUCUUCCAAAAGUUUGAACACGUUUCAUGGUUGGACAUAGUUAGCUUCUUUCUCUUUUGGUGCAUUUAGGUGCUAUCAAGUGACAGCCAUAAGUAUGAUUGCAUUAUUGGGAAAUUUUAGGUUUUGAUGGCUCCCCAUGUUAUUGCCAAGAAAUUUUAAGUCCUCAUGUCAGAAGCUGCGUUUCUUUUCAUCAGCCUGAACCCGAACCUGUCACUAUGGAUAACUGAGGUUUUUGUCAUCAACUAUAUCAUCUUUUUCACUGUUUUGAAACUGUUAAGAUUAAACUUCAGUAAAGUUGUUUCAGUUAUCCAUGUAAUCAGGCUAAGGAUAUUUAGCAGCUUAUUUAGGCAACUGCCAGAAUUUAGUUUGUUCGCUCGAAACUUGUAUGGUGACAAGGAUACUGGCAAGGAUAGUGAGAUAGUUUUUUGUGUGAGUGAAUUUUGAAAGCUUGGGUGUUCUGGGAUUUGCAAUUGCAAUCAUCCUCUGCUUUAGGUGAUUUCUUCUCCUGUUCUGUCUUUAUUUUCUCUCUAAUUGAAAGCAUUUCAAUCAAAUUCUGUACCAGGAAUACGAAAAAUUUACUAAUAUUUUAUUUCCAUCUGUUUGCAUUGAUAACUUGGCCGCAUAUGUACUAGUUAAAGAACAAACAGAAGCAGAGUUCAGGAAAAAGUUUCUUCGGCCACCAUAUUUGAAAAUGAAACCAAUUCCAGGAAGCAGUUGGCAGCAAAUUCAUACAAAGUAUAGACAAUGAUGUGCAAAAAGGUGAUUCGCAAUUUCAUUUUUUUAAAAUGAAAUUAUUUGUUAAGUUGGAGCUGAUAUUGUUAGAAGGCCAUUGAGCUAACCUAUGACACUGCUUGCCUAGAUUGCAGGAGGUCAAGGCUCAAAAGAUGCACUGAAUUUUAAAAGGCAUGCAAUAAUUCUUAUGGCCAUUUGUCAAUGGUGGAAUGCUUUUAGCUUCUUUUCCUUUCGUGCAUUUUGGGGUUCUAUCAAGCGACAGCCGUAUGUAUGGAUGGAUAUAGCUGCUGCGUUGAUUUCUAAUGCGGUGGAGUAAUCGUCGUUAGAAUCUGAAUGAUAUGUCUAAGACGUUGCAUGCAUCAAGAAAAUUGCAGAUGAUUAAACCUUGCCAUCUAUGCGUUGUAUGAGGUUAUAGCAACUAUCUAUCUGGUCACCGUUUUAAAAGAAUAAGACAAAGGGAAAAAGAGAAAGAAAAGAAUGAUUCGACAAUGGCAUUAAAGUUCAACAUACCCCAAGAUCUUGUAAUAAUGCCAUUAAUCAUUUCUAGCUAGGCUAGCCUUAGAGAAAAGUGAAACUGUUGCACAGGUAGAAUCACACCCCUCAGAGAUAAUGUGUUUUUAUUCAGCUCUUCGAAUGAAUGAAGUUUAUUUUCUCGUCAAAAAAAAAACUGCUCGUUCCGCUGGUUUCAUACAAUGUCAACUAGAAACAUCAUACUUUCGUAUAAGUUCAUUAUUGUUUCUUGGAAAUAUCAGAAUAUUUCUUAGAGUUUGUAUAAAAUGAAAAGAUUUUAAAAUAUAAAUUUAAUAUUUGUUUAUUACCGUUGUUUGGUCUAAUUUCCUCGGGAGAAUUUUCAGAAUUUAUAGGACAUUAGUUUAUAAUUUGCGCAUUGACAUAUAUCUUAUUUUAUCAUUUUGAAUGAAUUGCACGGCGAGGCUUAUCAACUUUGGAUGAAUCCUCCAAUUGUCGCAGUCCAAGACUGGCUGCAGUGAGUGAAAAUUUACCCAUAUAUAUGCUGGCUAUUUUUAUUGGCGACGAAUUCGUUGUAGUUGGUCCAUCUUGCUAUUCUCGGACAAUAUUAGAGAAAAUAAUCAUAUUAUUUCGCGUGAUGUGACCUUCCAUAACUUAUCAAUUGAAUUACUGUAAAAUUAUUGUGUAAGUUUAGGCCCAAUGGCACUUUAGUUCGAUAGCCUGGAUUUAAAAGGAAAACUAUAUUGCAUUGCUUCAAAAAAAAAAAAUUAAUGUUUUUAAUAUGAAUAUUCUUAACUAUAUUCAGUUAAAAUAAUAUAUUCUUAAUAUUAAUAUUCAUAGAUGAAAUUCUUUUGUGGAUUUAAGAAUAAAAUAUCAAAUAGUUUUAUUUUUCUUUUGUUGUGUAACUUGGACCGAAAAAGAAAAUGAGCUUAACAUGACCCUCCUUCCGGCACUAUGCAUGUUUUUCUUUUAUUGAUGACAGUGCUCUUGGUGCUUCUCAUCUGCUUCUUGCUUUGGUUUCAAACAAGUCUUUCUCCGUCGAGACAUUUAUUGUAAUUUGAUUUGGAGACAUCUGUCGUUCAAAUAUAUUUCAUAUGCAAGCUGUUGAUAAUUCUGCUUGAGAAAGCCUACAAAGCAGCUGUGUGAUGUAAUAGAAGACUAUAUAUGCAAACGGUCAUCAGUUUCUCUUGAAUUCUUUCUUGAGUUUCUUUGAAUUAUUUGUGAAUGAGUUCUUAAUCGGCUGCUGCUCUUCAGGAAAAGGAAAGUGUUGCAAACUGGUGAAGCUGAUCGAUAAAAGCAAUGUACCAUCUUUGCUGGCAUGGAUCGAUGCCAGUGAGUUUUUUUAUUUGUCAACCUUUUUAAUAAUGCAUAUGUUUUUCUUCAACUUGAAGCGGCAUAUAAGACGAAAGAAGUGAUCUUUAAAGCAUUCUAUGGCAUUAUCCUUUCCUAUUAUAUAUAUCCAAUUGCUCCAAAUUAUUUGUAAAUUACUGAACACGAAUGCUGAUGAAUAAACUGAUGGCUCUAUGUAUGUAUGCACAUGCAUGGAGAAAUUUUAAGUCAGACAUUCUCAUAUAUAACUCGUGGGACCAAAUCAUUAAAUAAUCUUGAAAUCAAAGUAAUAAUUAAAUACAAAUAAAUUGCUCGAAUUGUACAUAUAUCUGAAUCAUGUAGUGAAGAAAAUACAACAACAACAACCAAUGGCUCAAAUUCCCCAUCAACUUCUAGUCUCAACACUUUUGAGUGUCAGAAGCAUUACUCUGCUACCAGUUAACAAACAUAUAAUUAGUAAUUUGCCAUUCACUUCCCUUUUAGGCCUAACACAUUUUCUAUAAAGGAGCCACAGAGUGAACUCAGCAGGAAACACUCAAUUUCAACCUACGUAGGACCAGGAAUUUCAACAAAAAAAAAAGUGUGCAAUUGCUUAUCCUAUCCUAUUGCUACUAGAAAGAAAGUGAACAAUUAAUUUCAGUGAAUAAAUUAAAAAAAAUUACUUCUGCAGAUACUCAAGCUAAGAACACAUUAACCCAUUAAAGACUCCAAAUUGCAUCAAACAAAUUGUUGUUAAACAAGUAAAACAAAGAAAGAGAGUUAAGGAAGCUGACCUAGUAGUAGGGGAGCUGAAGAAAGACUGCCAGUGAAUGUAAGAGAAAAUAAAAUGCAAGAAAUGGUGAAGUGCAGCUUUUCAUGUCAACUUGAAAUUGUUUCUUCUGUUUUUUGUAAUCUUUUGGAUUUUUCAAACAAAGAAAAUGAGGAGCAACCAGGGAGAUAAAAAGGGCGCCAAGGCAACUGUGUGUUGGGUUUAGAGCCAAAAAAAAAAAAGAAUAAGACAUCGUGUUCUUGUGGAGACCAGACCUAUUACGUAUAGGGAUGGCAAUGGGGCGGGGUGGGGGUGGGGAUGCCUACCCCAUUCCCCACCCCAUUAAAAAUUUUUGCCUCCAUUCCCCACCCCAUUCCCCAAUAAAUUUAGUGGGUUGGGGAUGGGGAAUCCCCACGUGGGGAAUGAUUCUCCCAUCCCCACCCCAUUCCCCAUUUACAUAUUUUAUAGUAGAUAUAAAAAUAUGAUUUCAGUAAAUUAAAAAUUAGAGACUUAAGAUAAAAUCAUCACAAUAUUAUAAAGUAUUUAAUUUUAAAAAAAAAUCUCUAAAAAUUUGAAACAAUAUCUUAAAAUGAUAUUAAAAGUGAAAAAUAUUUAAAGAAAGCAGCACCUUAAAAGAGAAAAGAAAAUAUAUUAAUGUUUUAAAGUUGAAAAAUAUUGUAGAAUUUUCUUUUAUUCAUAUUCUAUUUAUAUUACAUAAAAAUUAAAAAAAAUUAUUAAUUGACAUUAUAGUUGAUAAAAUAUAAAUUAUUAAAUAAGAAUUAAAAACAUAUUUAUAUAUAAUGGGGAUUGGGGUGGGAGUGGGGUGGGGAGUGCAAUACCAAACCCCACCCCGUUAACAAUUUGGGGAUUAUUUUUUCCCCACUCCCCACCCCAUUCCCCAAAAAUUAUUAAAAAAUUUCCCCAUUUGGGGUGGGGCUCCAUGGGGCCCCAAACCCGUGGAGGAUUUUGCCAUCCCUAAUUACGUAACGUCCCCUUCAAUACCACUUGUUCCGUAUCUGGUUUUUUCUUCGUCUUUUACAUAUUUAUCCUGUGAUUUUACAAUAACUAAAUAAUCCCCGCAUAGUUUGCAAUUUUAUUCAUUUGGGCCCUACAGAUUUCAGUAAUAGGAAUUAUUAAGGGACAAGAGCGCAAAACAGAAACUCUGUCCACUACUGAUGAUAUAACAACGAACCUUUGUAGUUUCUGCCUGUUAAUAUGAAUUGAUCAGGAGUGUUUCCUCACUUACAAAUUACGAAUUUACAAAAUAUGUAUGUAAGUAUGUGUGUACGUACGUGUGUAUGUAUGUACAUAUAUGCAUACACCUAUGUAACAUUUACUUAUACAUUCUUUUGAGUUUAAAUCUUAAUACACAUUUUCAUGAAAUUUUUAUUUUAUUAAGUAUACAACUACAUACAACUACAUUAAUGUAUAUAUUUUUUAUAUAAGACAUGCCGUCCUAUUAUUCAUAAGUAAACAAUGUGUUGUAAAUAGUAUUCUGUGUUUUCUCAAAGUUGACUUUUCGUCUUUUAUUUUCAGACGCAGACGCUAUGUCAUUUUGUAAUCUUCAAAACAUAUGCAGAGCAGAAUUGGUGUUAUAUGAUUUUGUGAUGCAAUAAGAUUUGCACUUCCUGUGCACUCAAUGGAAUCAUUUCUUUGUAACUAAUUGGGUGGUGGAAUGGUGGUCAAAUAUCGAACGAAGACAGAUCUAUCAAACUCCAGAAACAGGGAAACCAUGCCACGCUAGUAGACAAUAUGCUAGUAUGAACAAACUUGUUUGAAUGGCAAAAACGACAUGACCUGCUGUAGUAUUAGUUCUUUCCCGAACCAAAGGGUGAUUUGCUACGUUAGAUCAUGAAAAUUGAAAAAAAAAAUUAACCAAAAUAAAAAUUCUUACGGUAAGAAUAAAAAUUCUUAAGGAAUUAGUUAGUUAAUUGAUUGAUCGAAUUUAAUCUAAAUUGGAAAAUGAUAAGAUAAUUUUGAAUUUUUUAUUAUAAUUAUUAUUUUAAAGUGGGGUGGGUUUAUACAAUUUGAGGCUUUGAGCGGUGUAAAUAUCACUGCUGAAUUAUUAAAUAUACAGUGUAAAAUUUUGACCUUUAAAAUAUUCCUUUUUUUCAUUUAGCACUAUAAGUUUAAAAAUUUAACAUUUUACCUCAAUAAUUAAAUACUUUUAACUUUAAUCUUCAAAUAUUUACCCUACAACAUUCGGACCUAAAUUUUUAAUCCGACUCGGCCCCUGACCCAAGUGGGAAGAAGAUCAGGCUUAUAAGUUAUAACUAUCACCAACAUAACAUCUUCUGGAAAAUAAUAAGAUUACUCACCUGCAAUUAUGUGAUCAAACUAAUGGUAAGCAAAAUAGAACAGCGUUAUUUCAGUCCCCUUUCAGUUUCUUUAUCAUUUUUCUUUUCCUAUUUAUAAGCUUAAUUCGGUCCAAUAUCGGCUAAUUCACUUUGAUUUCACUUUUCUUUCUUUCGGUUCAAAAAAAUUGAACCCAUUGGCUGUCAAUUCAAUUUUGUUGAAAACCAACUUUGCCUGAAUUUGAGUAAUAAUAGAGGAAAAAAAAAGUGUACUUAGCAGAAGAGAUUUCUCAUUUUUUUCUCAUUCAAACUUCUAAAAUAAAGGGAAAAAAAAAACAAGAGUAAUUGUUAAUUAUCAAAAAUUUGUUUAUACUAUUCCACCAAGAAAAUUAUAAAAAAAAAAUUUAAAAAUUGGAGAAGAAAUAUGAGGUGAAAUACGUGGAUGGCUUAGACUAAUAAUGUGAACAAAUUCCUCUCGGAAACAUGUCAUUGUUCAUCCGGACAACACGCGGCAAUGAGAUUCAAGAAUUAAAUGAUAGGAAUCAACUGUAACCUCAUAAACAAAUGGCCUUGGAGUUGUAAACACCAAGCUCGGCAGAUUAAUUAAACAAGAAUAUCCGAAUUUUCUAUGAUAAUCUCUAGGAAACGAUCAGCUAUAAUAUACGAAAUUAAAAUAUUGCAUAUAUUUUUGAACUCAUGCAUUAAUUUCAAAAAUUAUAUCGUAUUAUAAUUUAUUCACAAAAGAAAGAAAAAUUCACUAAUCAAUUGAAUAAAUAUAAGUAUUUCAUCCAGUGUAAUACUUAUAUCAAUUGAAUAAAUAUAAGAAAAAUCACCAAAAUUCACUAAUCAAUUGGAUAAAUAUAAGUAUUUCUUCCAGUGUAAUUUUUGUUUAAUAGAAAAUCUAUUUGAGAUUUUGUGAGAAGAAACUCAACAAUAAAGUGUGAUAGACUUUGUGGGUAUUAAGAGUUUGACAAGUAUUUGAAAUCUGAAGUUUACGAGCAAACAAACUGAAAUCCGAAGUUUACUGAAGUUUACUAUCAAGAGUUUCAAAACAGUGAAAAAGAUGAUAUAGUUGAUGACAAAAACCUGAGUUAUCCAUAGCGACAAGUAACAUACUGAAGUAAGCCGUUGGGAGCUGGCCUGUUCAUGGGCUAUUUUUCUCUGAUGAUCUGCAUUUUUCUUCCUUUUAAGUGAACCUUGACUCGUAUCAAACCUGUCAAAAGAACAGUUCAUCAACUGAGCUGAGAUUUGCUUUCCUUUUUCAAAACCCACCUGAGAUAUUGUAAUUCCCAAAUUUCUCUCUCUCAGCUACACGAGCAAGCAGCCGCUUUUUCACUUCAUCGAAGAAGGUAAGCGAUAUAUCUAUUUCGUCCGAUUGAUUUCUUGUUUCCUUUUCAGUGUUCCGGUAAAUUAUUGGCAUGCCUGACUUUUUGACCAUUACACGAUUCAUAAAUUUAUAUUAAUUUUGAUUUUGAGUUGACCGUUUACUUUUACAGGUUUGCUUACUUUGACUAGGUGACCAAUUUCUUGUAACUAAAUUUAUGACGUGGGCAGGAUAUGAAAUGAGAAUCUUAUUAGUGGAAGGAUUGCCAGUAACAGAACCCAAAGAAAAUGAAACCAUUUCAAGGCAGCAGUUGGCAGUUGGCAGUGAAUGGAGGCCCCUGACAAAACUUCAGUAAACUUCAGAUUUCAGUUUGUUUGCCCGAAAAUUGCAUGGUGACAAGGAUACUGGCAAGGAUAAUGAGAUAGUUUUUGUGUGAAUGAAAUUACGAUCAUCCUCAGCCUCGGGUAAUUUCUUCUCCUGCUUAGUUGUUAUUUGUUACCUAAUUAAGAAGCAUAAAGUAUCUUGAAUCAUUUUCGUUGUCCGGAAUAUAUGCAACAGUUUUUUACGAUCAUCCUGAAUGACUACUAGAGACAGUCAAGCUAAUGACUAUAAAUUAAGCGCUUCUUGGGAGGUAACCCAAGCUUUCUAAACUUUAUUAUUGUCAAUUUUUUUUCAUAUUUUUUUCUUUUCUUUUACUUAUUUUAUUUUGUUUUAUCUAGAUUUUGCACGAGUUCGAGGGUCGAUGAACAUCAACUUUCCACAUGUCUUUCAACGGCUUAGCUACAACUUUACAUCUUCAAGUGCAAAACCGGGGGAGUUUCUCUUUUCCUUUUCUUUUUCUUUACAUUGAGGACAAUGUUUAUUUUAAGUUUGGGGGUGGGAAUAUUUGCUUUUCAUUUUUUUCCCAAAAAAAAAAGAUUUUAAUGCCUAUGAUGAGUUUAUGAUUGAAAAUGAAUAUGGUUCUUAGAAAGGGAUGAAUAUUAUCUUAGUUUAUACUUGAUUCUUGUGUUAGUUUCGUCUUGAUUGAGAUUCUUUAAAGCGAUUCUUUUAGAAUUUUGACUUGAGAUUUGAGAUUGAUACAGCCUAAGUUGAGAAUUUUAGAUUGAGUAAAUGAUUGUUUGCCUCGAUUCUACAUUACUUAAGUUUACCCAGGCACCAUAGUCAGAAAUAGCUACCUACAACCCUUAAGAGUGAAGCUAUCCUCGAGUAAUUUGGGCCUAUGUAUCACCAGUAUGUAGAGGAUAAUCUACCAUGAGAAGAAGGUUACCUUAAGGGGUAGAGUGAAAGCUCCUGACUAUGGACAAAGAAAUGAAAAAAAAAAAGAAAAAAAAAAGAGCACGAGCUUCAAGAAAAAUCAAAAGAAAAUGCUAAUUUAUGCCUGAGAAAAAAAAAAAAAGAUCAAGAUGAUGAGGUUAGUUUGACCUACCCUGUUUAUUAUUCGAGACAAGGGCUGUUGAUGUUGAAGAUCUUGAGAAUGAGUUUUGAUUGAAUUGAUUCACACACAACACAUGAAUCCAAUAUGAGAUGAGGCUGACCAUUGAAUUAAAGUUAGAACUUUGCUAGUAUUUUUAAUUUUCUUUGAGCUAUAUACUUUAUGCAAUCUUUGAGGCAUUUUUUAUGAUGUUUGUGGGUAUCAUCGCUGGAAACCCUCACGAGACUAUAACUCGUCCACUAGGGCCGCCUAGGGGUUUAAAGGCUUGUUGCAUACGCUAAAUGCAAUCGCGAUCACCUGCGAAAGUGGUUUAGUUAGAAUUUUCUUUUCGUAGUUUUUAUUUUAGUUUUUGCUCGAGGACUAGCAAAAUGUUAAGUUUGGGGGUAUUUGAUGUGCUCAUAAUUUAUCUAUUAUUUUAAUGCUUCCAUAACUUAAUUUUAUGUUAAAUUAUAUUUUAUUAUAUUAAUUUUUAUCUUAAUUUUUAUAUUUUGUCAUUGUAGGAAUAUUGAGAAUAUUCAUGAGAAAAGAAGCUUAAAGAGGAAACAAGUUGGAGUAUAAUGGAAAUAAUGUGGAAGCAAGAGGGAAAGAAAUAAAAAGCCAAAUCAAAGAAAAUUUAAUUUAAGCAUCAUGCAUGCAGUCACGUGAUGAAUAAAGGAAGAGAAGAAAAGGUCAAUAGGCUUUUAAUUUCAAGCUAGUUACGUAGAGCCCAUUUGACAAUUUAAAUGGCAAGCUUACAAUAUAUUAAAGGAAGCAAAUAUUUUGGCAUUGUUUGAAAAGGCUAUUCACGUGGAUGGGCUUUGGUUUCAAUUUUGAUUGGCUUAGGAAUGAAAUAGGCGGCUGGGCUUUUGUUUUUAAUUCCUUUCAUAAGAGGAUUUGACAAGCCACAACAUUAUAAAAAGGGAAAAGCCAAGCGGAAGCCAAAAAAAAAAAAAAAAUAAUAGAGCAGCAGCCGCAAGUUUUGAGCAAAACCGAGAGCAGCAUGAAUAAUUUGGAGCAGAAGGAAGACACAUUAAUUCUUGAGUUUUUCUUUCUCUCUUCUCUAUUAUCUUAUUUGAAUGUUUCCCAUUAAAUUCAUGGAUUAUCUUUAUAUUCCCAUGAACUAAUUUAUUUUACUAGAGCUACGAUGUCCUAGUGUUUUAAUCUCUUGGUGAUUUCUAUUACUGCUUGCAUCUUUAUUUGAUUUUUAGUUAUUUUAAUUUUUAAUUUAAAUUCGCUUAUUUGAUUGUUCAAAUAAAUUAGGGUUAGGAUAAUUUCGGUAACUAAUAGGAUAUUCAAUCUCAGUGGGAUGAUACUCUACUCUUCACUAUAUUACUUGUGCCGACUAGUACACUUGCUAAUUUAUGCAAUAGUUGACAGUUGGGAGUGAAUGGAGGCCCUUGACGAAACUUCAGUAAACUUCAGAUUUCAGUUUGUUUGCUCGAAACUUGCAUGGUGACAAGGAUACUGGCAAGGAUAAUGAGAUAGUUUUUGUGUGAAUGAAAUUAUGAUUAUCCUCAGCCUCAGGUAAUUUCUUCUCCUGCUUAGUUGUUAUUUGUUACCUAAUUAAGAAGCAUAAAGUAUCUUGAAUCAUUUUCGUUGUCUGGAAUAUAUGCAACAAUUUUUAAAAUUUUGAUAUGAGUGCAAUGAUUGUAAUUUCUGUUUUCUGUCUGUCAUCGAAUGUAAGACAACUUUAUUAAGAUUCUUGAACCGAGUCAUUUUUGACAAUUGAAGGACAAGUGCUGAAGAGUGGGAAUGCAAAAAGUUUUGUUGUUUUUAGCCUUGUUUUCUUUGAACCAGCGCCUGAUUCACAAGACUCCAUUAAUUUGGCUUUUGAUCAGCUGAUUGAUAAAUGUUCAAUUUCUUUGGUGAUAAAUGUAAUUGUGAAGCAGGCAGCAGGGCAUGACUGUGGAAAAGAGAAGAUUUUAGUGAAAGCCGAGACUCAGAUAAUUCUACGCGUUUUGGUUGAUUUAUAUAAUUCGUGAAAUUUUAUUUCCAUCUGUUACAAGAUCAAACUGCAAUUAGCAAUUUAACAUUCCCUUAAAACCACUAGCUACAUUUCAUCUUUGCACAAUUACACUUAAAAUUCCACUAAAAGAAACUCUUGAGUUGCUCGCAAGCUAUAUAUCAUUAUUCAUUGAAUUCUUACUGUUGAUGCGAGAUUCUGGUUACACUCUUCCGGCUACCAGGAUAUCUGCUCGAUCAACCUCACCUCGACUAGGAUCUCUCCUCGUAUGCUUUCUUCUCCAAGUACUCAUGCGUUCACAGAAACAAGUCAGAGCACGCCGGUUGUUUUCCCGGCGUAAACCCUCCGACGCUCAAGUCAGAUAUGAAGGCUUUGGGAACGCUUGCCACAGAUCUUAUGGCUUUGUAAAUAGUUUUCUCUUCUUUUCAAUUUCCUUAAUCUCUCUUCUAAUCUCGAAAUUGCUAACCCUUUUACCUUCGCUGGCUACCUUUUUAUAGGCCACUUCUGAGCCCAGGCCUUUUUCCCUUUGCGCUCGUCAUCCUCCCACUUCUCGAAAGUGGAUGCUCCAUUUCCGUAGUCGUGGGUGGUUGCGUGGCCCUCGUGCCUAGAUUCUCGGACUGGAAAGCAUGCCACGCCAACUGUCGUUGACCGGGUCUUCUCGAAUCAACCCUUAGCAGGAAUACAGCAGGAAUGGCUUCAGGCUUCUUAUAGGAGAUUGGCCUCGCGGAUGACGUGCUCGUGGACGAGCAGGGUAUUCCUGCUCCUGCUCCUGCUCCCCCGGAUGCCAGGCUCUUACGGGACCCAUCGGCUCGCAGAACUCUACCAUCAGAUAUCUGCUCAUCAUGCCUGGUCUCGUCGACGUAUUUCUCCUAAACACCGGUCCCCCAGUUUCUGGUGUUGGGUAAUGUAGUGGACCAGCAGUAGAAACUCGACAGUACUUGCUCGCGUGGGGUUGGAAAAGGCUUCCAAGAGUCAUGUCGCAUUUAAUUGCGGACGAGGUGAUGUGGCAGAGAUCUAACCCUCCAUUUGAAUUUCAAACCAACGGUUACGAGACCCUUGGGAUUUGGUGCCGUUAAAUGCUGGCAACCCAAGAUUUCGUCCCCAUUAGGAAACCCAAAUCCUUUCGAACGACAAAUUCAUCAUUCACUCCGUCUCCAUCUCUGUCUCUCCGGCAAAGAAGUUCCAGCAUAAAGGCCUCCAUCUCUGUCUUUCACCGACUGAACCAUUACUUCAGGUAUUUCUUCUAUUUCCUUAGUCUCGGAUAGUUGUAGAUAAUUUCUCUUCUCUUUUGCUUGGGUAGUAGUUGGUGGUGGUGUUGUGGUUAGAGCUUAGGGAAUGUCGAAAGGCAAAGAGAAUGUCAUUGAGGUUGACGACGAUGAGUUGGACUUCCUGCCUAGUUUGCUCACCGAUCCUGCUUUUGACCCCGGGAUCCCCUUAGAGCUCAUUAGAUCUAGUGUUGGCACUAGCGCUAGGAGGAUGUCCCCCCAAACAACCUCCACGAGUGGAAGUAGUGGUGAGGAGAGACCCUCUGGCUCGGAAGACACCCUAAGUGAGGAUCAAUGAGGUGACUCUGGGGAGGGGUCUUCACCAGGAACACCGCGACCAGAAGGGUGUAGUACAGUAGGAGGUAGAGCCUUGUCGCGGGAUUAUGCCAUUGAUUACAUGACCUGUACGACCACAUUCAACGAGCUGGAUGACCUCCGGCUCAGGUAUAGCAUUCCUGGUGAAAUUCCUCUCAAGAUCCCAGGAAAGAAGGAUACACCUAGCCGGCCUCCUCGGGGAUACGUUACCCUAUUUUUGGAGAGUUUUAGGCAUGGGCUGAGGUGUCCCUUGCAACCCUACUUUGCCCGGAUUCUUAACGGGCUAAACCUAGCUCCUGGUCAGCUGAACCCCAACGGGUGGAGAGUGCUCUCUGGUCUGUUCAUACUGUGGGACAGAUGUUGUCAAAGCGAGCCCACGGUCGACGAGGUGAAGCACCUGUACCAACUGAAAAGCAGCCCCAAAGACGUCGGCUGGUAUUACUUCCAAUCAAGUACCAAGAUCAGAAAACCCAUAACCGAUCUUCUUACUGGUGAUGGUGGGAAUUGGAAGAGGAAGUUCUUCUUCGCAGGGGGUCCCUUGUUGUUUGCACUUCACUGGUUUGUCUCUAAUCAAAUGUUUGUUUGUGUUGCAGGUUCUUGGGGUGUCCACUUCCCGCUUAAACCUGACCAGCUCAAACGAGUCGAGGCUGUACUAGCCAAUUCCUGCUCGAACCGAGAGCUGUUAACUAUAUACAACUUGCUCGAGUCUCGCUUGAUGCUUCCUGGCCAUAGGAUGGAGGACGCUGUGAUUGGGGCUCUGACCAGGAAACGUUCUCGACCUCCAACCACGAAGAGGGACCAGAGUAAGGACGCCCCUACUGCAAAGCGGGCCAACGUCGUGCAGCAGGUCUCUCCCUUGAAGACUUUACCUCCUGCUCCUGUCAAAGUCGGGGAAACUAGUGGAGCAGCCACAGAUCCUGCUUCCUCUUCUUCUCCUGUCGGCACUCGGUCUCGCUUACCUGACAGCCGAUCAGAACAAUUGGUCCCCUAUCUCAAUGAGUUAUCUAACCUCGUGAGCAAGAAUGACAUGGAGGACUUCGAUGGCUGCACCUUGGGUGAGCUGGUGGGGGCCAUGCAGUAUAGCGCUUUUCACCUCAGCUGCAUGACCACCUAUUACAAGGCCAAGGUUGGGCGCUACGACCGAAAGAUGAAGGAGGACAUUCAAUCGGCGACGACUAGAGCUGGCGUUGCCGAGAAAAAGGCAGGGGAGCUGAAUGUUGAGAACCUCAAGCUGAUGGAGCAGGAAUCUCUUGCUCAAGCAAAAGCCAUUACCCUCGAGGAGGAGCUGACCAAGGUCAAGGGGGAUCUGCAAAGGCAGAAGGCCACGUAUGAGGCUCAGCUCGAAUCCCUCCGCGACUCCCACCGGGCUCACGUCGAGAACUUGGAGAGGGAGGCCAAGAACCAGUAUGACCAGGGACUUCGGCAUUCCUAUCGUUGCAUCAUGGCCGUCCUCGGGAAGCAGCACCCUGAUCUGAAGAUGGAUGAUCUUGCAGUUGGUGUUGCUCAACAUAUGGACGAGGAAGCGGCCAAGGAAGAUGCCGAAGGGGUAGAGCCGAUCGUGAUUGAGGGGGAAAACUCUCCUCCUCGCACAAUCCCUGCUGACGUUGGCGAGGCGAGCACCGCUACUGAUGUUGGCGAGGCGCGCACCCCCCCGGACGCAACUGGUGAUACCCCCCCCCCGCACCUGAGGAGGUCCAGCCAACCAAUGCUGCUCGGCUUACUGAUCCGCCAUCUUCUUGAUAUAUUUCUUGUAUUGUAAUGAACAACGUUGAUGGAGAUUAUCUCCUCUGUUAAUUAUUAACACAUAAAUAAAGAUGUUUUUGAUUAUUUUCGUGUUGUAAUCAUGAGUUAUUUUUCGUUUAAUAAUCUGCCCGUCAUCGUCUGGUUGAGCAGGUUCUGGCCUGGCAUAUGGUUUUACCACAUGCCCUAGAAAAUUCUUCAAUGAUUGAGAUUCUGCUCGCCUUCGCGUGGUCGAGCAGAUCCUGGCACGCUUGGCUUCUGUCUCGCCAUAAACAGGCUUUGAGACUCGACGAGCCUUUGCAUGCCUUAGAAAUAUUUUUUUUUUUCGAUGCUUGGGGGUUCUGCUCGCCUUCGCGUGGUCGAGCAGACCCUGGCACGCUUGGCUUCUGUCUCGCCAUAAACAGGCUUUGAGACUUGACGAGCCUUUGCAUGCCUUAGAGAUUUUUUCGAUGCUUGGGGAUUCUGCUCGCCGUCACGUGGUCGAGCAGAUCUUGGCACGCUUGGCUUCUGUCUCGUCAUAAACAGGCUUUGAGACUUGACGAGCCUUUGCAUGCCUUGGAGAUUUUUUCGAUGCUUGGGGAUUCUGCUCGCCGUCACGUGGUCGAGCAGAUCCUGGCACGCUUGGCUUCUGUCUCGCCAUAAACAGGCUUUGAGACUUGACGAGCCUUUGCAUGCCUUAGAGAUUUUUUCGAUGCUUGGGGAUUCUGCUCGCCGUCACGUGGUCGAGCAGAUCCUGGCACGCUUGGCUUCUGUCUCGCCAUAAACAGGCUUUGAGACUUGACGAGCCUUUGCAUGCCUUGGAGAUUUUUUCGAUGCUUGGGGAUUCUGCUCGCCGUCACGUGGUCGAGCAGAUCCUGGCACGCUUGGCUUCUGUCUCGCCAUAAACAGGCUUUGAGACUUGACGAGCCUUUGCAUGCCUUAGAGAUUUUUUCGAUGCUUGGGGAUUCUGCUCGCCGUCACGUGGUCGAGCAGAUCCUGGCACGCUUGGCUUCUGUCUCGCCAUAAACAGGUUUUGAGACUUGACGAGCCUUUGCAUGCCUUGGAGAUUUUUUCGAUGCUUGGGGAUUCUGCUCGCCGUCACGUGGUCGAGCAGAUCCUGGCACGCUUGGCUUCUGUCUCGCCAUAAACAGGCUUUGAGACUUGACGAGCCUUUGCAUGCCUUGGAGAUUUUUUCGAUGCUUGGGGAUUCUGCUCGCCGUCACGUGGUCGAGCAGAUCCUGGCACGCUUGGCUUCUGUCUCGCCAUAAACAGGCUUUGAGACUUGACGAGCCUUUGCAUGCCUUAGAAAUUUUUCACAGUUUCAAGUGAAUGAAAUUCCUCGACGUUCCAUUAAUUGUAGGAUUCAACUUACAUGAAAAUGUUUGGUCGUAAAAUAAAUAACAGCAAAUACGAACAGAAAGAUCUUGAAAAUAUUAACGACUCUUACUGGAAAUAUUUCCUGAGAUGUGCUGCGUUCCAUGGGCGCUUCACCUCGUGGCCAUCCAUGCGAACCAGCUUGUAAGCUCCUGGUCCCACUAGCUGCUUGACUCUAUAUGGCCCCUCCCAAUUUGGACCGAGCACUCUUUGAGUCGAGUCUUUGGUGUUCUGAUUCACUCUCCUUAACACCCAAUCUCCGACCUUGAACUGCCGUAUGUUCACCUUCUGGUUAUAAUACCGGGCAACCCUCUGCUGGUAAAUGACUGAUCGCUCGGCUGCUUGCUCCCUCUUUUCCGUUAGCAGAUCAAGAUUCAAACAUAUCUGCUCGUCGUUCUCCUGUUCAUUGAAAUGAUAUGUCCGGUGCGUGGUCGUUCCUAUCUCAGUUGGCACGACCGCUUCAUGUCCAAAAGCCAAGGCGAACGGUGUCUCCCCAGUUGCUGUUUUGUGGGUUGUUCUGUAUGCCCAUAGCACACCUGACAGCUCAUCAACCCAUGCACCCUUUUUUGCUCCCAGCCUGGUUUUCAAAAGCCUCUUGAUGGUCUUGUUGGCUGCUUCUACUUGUCCAUUCGAUUGGGGGUGAGCAGGCGAGCAAUACUUCAGCUCUAUUCCGAGGUUCUGGCAGAAAUCCCUGAAGCUGUGAUUAUCGAAUUGUCUGCCAUUAUCCGUUACCAGGGCAUAAGGGAUCCCGUAUCGACAGACCAGGUUUCUCCACACAAAGUCUGUUGUUUUCUUCUCUGUGAUCUUGCUAAGGGCUUCUACCUCUAUCCAUUUCGUGAAGUAGUCUAUAGCAACUAUUGCAUGUGUUGCUGCUCCUCGUCCCUUUGGCAGCGGGCCGAUCAGAUCAAUUCCCCAUUGAGCAAAUGGCCAAGGGGAGGCCAUAGAGGUGAGCUUUUCUGGUGGUUGGUUGGAGAAACUUGCAAAACUCUGGCAACUUACACAGCUCCUGGUCUUCUCCUGUGCAUCCUGGUGCAUUGUCGGCCAGAAAUAUCCCUGCCUUAGAACCUUGUGGGCCAGGGACCUCCCACCAGAAUGAUUCCCGCAAAUUCCUUCAUGUACUUCUCUCAGUACGUAAUCUGCGUCGUCCUCAUCCAAACAUCGGAGGAAAGGUAGUAUAUAUCCUCGCCGAUACAGUACCCCAUCAAUCAUCGUGUAUCUUGAGGCCUGGGCUCUAACCUUCCGAGCUCGCAGCUUAUCUGGUGGUAAUACCCCGUCUCUGAGGUAUGAAAUUAUCGGGUCCAUGCACGAGCAUUUUUGUUCUAUCCGCAACACCCCCAAAUUCUGCUCGAUACUUGGGCUGGACUUCACCUCCAGAGGGACCGACUUUGGCAUUUUUGGGUCGGCUACUGCUGCCAUCCUGGCCAAAGUGUCUGCUCGACUAUUCUGCUCCCUGGGGAUCUGUAUCACCUCCACUGCUUCAAAUUUCCCCAUCAUCUGCCUGACUAUCUUCAGGUACUGCUCCAUCUUCUUCUCUCUUGGUUGGAAUCUUUCGCUGACAUGAUUCGCAACCAGCUGGGAAUAAGUUCUGAUCUUCACUCUGUCUGCUUUCACGGCCUUAGCCAAUUCCAAACCUGCUAUCAAGGCUUCAUACUCUGCCUGGUUAUUUGUGGCUCCAAAUUCCAACUUCACAACAUAAGAGAUCUCCUCCCCCUCCGGGCCUUCCAAGACAAUCCCUGCUCCAGAACCCUGCUCCCCUGAUGACCCAUCCACAUACAUCUGCCAUACUUGAGCUUCGCCACUGUCUGUGACUACAUCUGGUCCAUCUAAACAUACUUCGGGCUCUGUGAAUUCAGCUACGAAAUCGGCCAUUGCCUGAGCCUUUAUCGCUGCUCGGGGUUUGUAGUCUAUGUCGAACUCGCUCAGCUCUAUAGCCCACUUGACGAGCCGACCAGAAGCAUCUGGCUUGUGCACAGUUUGACGCAAUGACUGGUUUGUUAUUACCGAGACCGGGAAUGCUUGGAAAUAUGGCCUCAACUUCCGAGCCGCAACCACAAGGGCAAGUGCCCAUUUCUCCAACGGUGGGUAUCUGGUCUCAGCGUCGAGCAGGGCCUUGCUUGUGUAGUAUAUCGGAUACUGAACUCCUUCUUCCUCUCUCACCAGAACAGAACUGGCGGCCCGAUCCGAUACCGCCAAAUACAGAUAUAACUUGUCCCCAUCCCUCGGUGUGGACAGUAGUGGAGCUUGCUGCAAGUAUUGCUUCAAGUUCUGGAAGGCUUCCUCGCAUUCUGGUGUCCAUUCUGUUUUCUUUCCCCUCCUUAUCACUUAAAAGAAUGGCUGACACUUGUCUGUAACCUUGGAUAUGAAUCUGCUCAACGCAGCCAACCUCCCCGUGAGGCUCUGCAUCUCCUUCAGGUUACGAGGAGACCUCAUCUGCACAAUUGCCUGGAUUUUCUCCGGAUUUGCUUCAAUCCCCCUAUGGCUCACCAUGAAUCCAAGGAAUUUCCCUGACUCGACCCCAAAAGCACACUUCUCCGGGUUGAGCUUCAUCUUAUACUUCCUCAAAAGCCCGAAUGUCUCCUCGAGGUGCCUGACAUGUUCCUUCGAGAUUUUGGAUUUGGUGAUCAUGUCGUCCACGUACACCUCCAUGGUUUUCCCAAUCAACGGCUUAAAGACUUUGUUCACCAGCCUCUGAUAGGUGGCCCCAGCAUUUUUUAGACCAAAUGGUAUUACCCUGUAACAGAACAAACCCUGGUUAGUGAUGAAAGCCGUGCUCUCCUCAUCCUGCUCGUACAUGGGGAUUUGGUUGUAUCCCGAGAACGCGUCCAUGAAACUAAGCAGACCGUGUCCAGCCGUUGAAUCUACUAGUUGAUCGAUCUUUGGUAAAGGGAAGCUGUCUUUUGGGCACGCCUUAUUAAGGUCUGUGAAAUCCACACACAUCCUCCACUUGCCAUUUGCCUUCUUUACCAACACCACAUUCGAUAUCCAUUCAGGGUAAUUGACUUCCCGAAUGAACCCUGCUCUCAAGAGCUUCUCCACCUCGACAUUUAUAGCCUCAUACCUCUCCUGAUUGAAGCACCUCCUCUUCUGCCUUACUGCCCGAGCACCUUUCUUUAUUGCCAGCUUAUGACAUGCUACCUCAGGGUCAAUCCCUGGCAUAUCUUCAUGUGUCCAAGCAAACACAUCUGCAUGAGCCUGUAAGCAUUUCACUAACUCCUGCUUUUGCUCUCCCUUAAGUCUCGACCCGAUUCUGAUUGUUUUUCCCGGAUUCUCUGGUCCCAGGCUUACUGUUUCCAGAUCCUCUACAGGUUCUUGUCUGCCAUUCUUGUUUUCCACUCGGGUAUCGAGGGAUGUUAUCUGCAUUGCUUCCCUUGCUGCUGAGGAGUAGCAGCUUCUUGCGAUCCUCUGAUCUCCUCGUACCACUCCAACUACCCCAUUCACCCGGUACUUCAGAGCCAGAUAAUGGUUGGACAGCAUCGCUUUGCUCAUCCUCAGAAAUGGCCGACCUAGGAUCAUCUGGUAAGGACCUUCCUCAUCCACUACCAUAAAGUCCAGUAUCAUUGUCCUUUCUGUCGGGGAGCUCCCAAUCGUGAUAGGCAGCUCGACCAUGCCCAGAGGGACCAGCCUUCCUCCUCCAAACCCCUUCAAGGAGGUAUUGGUGUAAUCCAACUUCAGGUCUGCUAUUCUCAUCUCCUUCAGGGUUGACUUAAACAACACAUCAACUGAACUCCCUGUGUCAACCAGUAUCCUGUCAAACUUCUUGCUAGCAACAGUGGCCUUGAUGACCAAAGCAUCCUCGUGGGGGUAUAUGAUCCCUUCUUCAUCCUCAUCUGUCCACAUGAUUGGCACUUGCCUGACUCUUGCACGUUUGGCUGCUGGGGUGUUGAAGAAUACCUUUUUGCUGGUCAUGGCGUAUCUAGCAUAAUUUUUCCUCGAUCUGUUAGAAUCUCCGGCCAAUGUUGGGCCCUCAGCUAUAACCCUUACUGCAGGCUGCUCGCGCCUCAAGUUCCUGUCACUCUGCUCCCCUUCACUUGUUGAGGCUACCAUUGGGAAGGUCCCAUCUACGAACUCGUCCAGAUACCGAUUUCUCACUAAAUCUUCAACCUGGGUCUUAAGAUCUCUGCAAUCUGCUGUGGUGUGGCCAUGAGUGCCAUGGAACUUACAAUAGCGUCCCCUAUCCCUCAUGCUGGGUAGCUUGGUUAUUGGAGCAGGGAGGUAUAGCAACCCCCGAUCCUUUAUGGCCUCGUACACCUCGUCCAGGGACAUCUUCAAGGAAGUGUACCGCCCAUAGUCCUAGUUCUGGUCGAUCAGGUGUACUGCUCUUUCUCUGUUUGCUCCGUUCUGGGUUGGGGGCGGUGGCAGUACUUCUGGUCUGCUCCCUCUGCUACCGUGGGAGUGUUGAUGAGCACCAUAUGAUGAAUCAUGCCUUCUCCAAGGCUCCCUAGCUGUGGAACGAGGAGGCUGCGCCCUGCUGCGCUGAUACUGUGGUGGGCUCUGAUGAGGCUGGUAAGCAAUUACCCGACCUCCUGCUCCAUUACCCGAGGCCUGGUGGUCCCUCCUCCUGAUCGGCCCAUUCCCCGGUAAUGCUUUCUUCUCUUUCCUCCCCAACCCUUCUAACUGGUCUAUCUUAAUUCGUGCUGCCUUCUCCUCUUCAAUCUCAAUGUCUCUCUUAGCCUGCUCGUAUGCGGCCGCAUACGUCUGGAUAGCUGGGCUUCUCAAAUUGUACCACAGCCUUCCUAUCUUCACCCUUUCUUUCAAUCCCCUUAACGCCUGAGGGUGGUUGAAGGCUCCCAAGUCGAGGACAGCCCGAUGAAACCUCUUGAUGAAUUCCCGAAGGGUUUCUUGCUCCCCCUGUUUCAUGCUUUUCAGCUCCAUCAUGUCAUCUUCUGGGGCCAUUGCCCCACUAAACUGCUCUGCGAAUUCCUGGCACAUCUGCUCGAAGGUUUUAAUGCUGCCCCGAGGAAGUUUCCUGUACCACUCGCGUGCACGUCCCUCCAGGGAUAGUGGAAACACCCUGCACCUUUGGGGCUGAGAUAAUCCUUGUACCCCCGUUAUGUCAUUGAAGCGUUCUAUGUGCACCAGCGGAUCAGUUCGUCCCGAAUAUCUAAGGUCCGGGAGACGGAAAUCCCUCGGAAUAAUUGCCCUCAUGAUCUCUGCUGCGAGCAGUGAUUCUCCGUCCAGCAUUAUCCUCCAACCAGGAGCUCUGCUCCUUCCUUGCAUAUCGUCAAUUAUCUGCGCUAGUCUGCGCACUUCCUCCUCCAGCUGUACUGCACGACCAGGGUCACGUGCUGCAACUUGAUCCCUCUCUUGCUCUACAUCAUGCAAGUGUUGCCUCAACUCUGUUUCUUCUGCAUUCGCCACCCCGUCGUCCUCGUAAAAAAUCUGUCUUGCCGGGGAUUGCUCUUCUUCUCUAUGAAAUUCUCCCCGUAGAGGUAUGUUACCUCUCUCACCACUAAAUCUCCCGGUGGUUUGACUUCUCCUCGUACCAUCGGGACCUGGUGUCACUCCACCACCUCUCACCAUUUCCUCCUGGGUUACCCUUCGUUCACUCCGCAACUCAUGCAGGAUGGUUGUCAGGGUCUCCAUCUGCUUUUCCAUCCGUUCCAUCCGGUCGAACAUGGCUUUUUCCCGUGCUUCGCUGGCUAUCUCCCUCAGCGUUACAGAAUCGUUAAGCCUCAUAUCACCCCCUUGUGCACUACUUCCUCCUGCCUCCAUUGCUUUUCACUUGCUUCACUCCUCUUCUUGCUAUCAACAGAAGCUUUUUGCUCAGCUCCCCACAGACGGCGCCAAAAUGUUGAUGCGAGAUUCUGGUUACACUCUUCCGGCUACCAGGACAUCUGCUCAAUCAACCUCACCUCGACCAGGAUCUCUCCUCGUAUGCUUUCUUCUCCAAGUACUCCUGCGUUCACAGAAACAAGUCAGAGCACGCCGGUUGUUUUCCCGGCGUAAACCCUCCGACGCUCAAGUCAGAUAUGAAGGCUUUGGGAACGCUUGCCACAGAUCUUAUGGCUUUGGAAAUAGUUUUCUCUUCUUUUCAAUUUCCUUAAUCUCUAUUCUAAUCUCGAAAUUGCUAACCCUUUUACCUUCGCUGGCUACCUUUUUAUAGGCCACUUCUGAGCCCAAGCCUUUUUCCCUUUGCGCUCGUCAUCCUCCCACUUCUCGAAAGUGGAUGCUCCAUUUCUGUAGUCGUGGGUGGUUGCGUGGCCCUCGUGCCUAGAUUCUCAGACUGGAAAGCAUGCCACGCCAACUGUCGUUGACCGGGUCUUCUCGAAUCAACCCUUAGCAGGAAUACAGCAGGAAUGGCUUCAGGCUUCUUACAGGAGAUUGGCCUCGCGGAUGACGUGCUCGUGGACGAGCAGGGUAUUCCUGCUCCUGCUCCUGCUCCCCCGGAUGCCAGGCUCUUACGGGACCCAUCGGCUCGCAGAACUCUACCAUCAGAUAUCUGCUCAUCAUGCCUGGUCUCGUCGACGUAUUUCUCCCAAACACUUACCACAUAUAUGUCACCUUUCAAUCAAUUGUUGAAAAAUUCAAAUUUGGAAUUCAAAUACAUGCAUUCAAAUUUGGAACACUUUGAACGGUCCGAUUCAAAACUUCAUAUUCCAAUUAUAUUCAUAAGACAAAUGGAACACUUUGAACGGCUUGUGUCCGAGCAUUGUAGUUUGAUUUAUUUUGAUGACAUUACCUUUUGACAUUGAGAUUCUUUCAGGAUUUAAACAUUCUUUUUAAAACCAAAUUAUUAAAAAAAAAUAACUAACAUAUAUUAUUUUAUUAGUGCUUUUUAAAUCAAAUAUACAUAGGAGAACUGUAAUUCUUAGCAAUCAAUUUUCCACUAAAUACACCUGCAACAAACUAUUAAUAACAAAGUGAUAGAAAAUACCUGAUUUUUCAUACUUUCUAAUUUCUUUUGGUCCUAAAAUAUGGGCAUUUGUGUAAUAAUAAGCCCAUGUGGAUCUCUAUGCCAUGAGUUUGAUAAAUAGCUAUCAAGGAUCACUUAUUAAGCUAAAAAUAUUUGGAGGACAAAAUUGUAAAACUAAAAGGGUGGAGCAAAUAUGGCUAUCUAGGAUUAAAUAGUAAGUCAACUAUAUUUAAAGGAUAAAAUAUUAAAACUUGAAUUGUGAUAUUAAAAAUAUCUCAACUAUUAUAUUAUUAAACCAUAUGUUCUAAUAGUUUUUUUUUUAAGCUUCAAAAUGUUCAGGAUUUUAGAUUGAAACAUUUUCAAUUGAAAUAAUUUGGUGCAGUCACAAGUUAAGAAAGAAAAAGUUGUCCCAUUGGUCAUUUCACAAAAAUGAAAGCCCUGUAUAACAUGGACGUGAAUGGAAACCCAAUUGUUUGUGUUUGAUUAAUUGAUUUCAAGCUUUAUCUAACCUUUGGACCUGGAUACUUUACUGCGGCCUCUAAGCGCUAUAAAUUUUUUUGGGGAUAAACGGCGCUUCAAUGAGGGCAUCUCCAAUGCUUAACACCAUUUUGGUGUAACACCAACAUUAAAAAUAUACAUUUUUCACACUAAAUUACUAUUUCAUCUCCAACCCAUUUACACCAAAUUUUACACCAAAAAUAAUAUUUUUUUUAUUCUUUUAAUUCUCAAGAAUUAAUUCAAUUAACACAAUAAAUACUACUAUUAACAUAGAUAAUUAAGUAAUAAGUAAUUUUAUCAAUUAACAAAAAAAAUAGAAAAUUAUUAAAUUUGCAUUUAAUUAACUAAAUUAGUACAUUAUGAAAAUUAAACAUUACAUUAAUAUAGAAAAAUACAAUAAAAAUAAUAAUAAUUUUAUAUCUAAUAUUUUGAUGAUAUUGGAGGAUCUAAUAAUGAUCUUCCAGAUUAUUAAAUAAUUGUUCUAAUUUAUACUAGUAGUAGUAGCUUUUUUAAUUUGUGUUAAUUUAAUUUUGUAAUAUGUAAUAUAGUAAUUAAUGUUAUUGGCAUUUUAUUUUUAUUAUUAAUUUUUGUGUUGAAUUUUUUUAUUUAAAAUAUUAGUAUAAUAUUAAAAAAUUAAAAAUGAAAUAAAUAAUAACAAAAAUAAUAAUAAUAACUUAAAAUAUUAUAUAAAAAAGGACAUAUAUGUAAAUAAGAAAAAGUAAUAAAGAUAUUUAGGACUCUUUUUUCCUAGCACCAAAUGAAUAGUGUUACACCAUAUUUGGUGCAAUACUAUUCAUAACACCAAUUUGCUGUUCGUUUUGAUGUUACAUUGGAGAAGCAUUUUACACAAAAAAUGGUGUAAAAGGUAGUUUGGUGUUAGUUUUGGUGUCACAUUGGAGAUGGCCUGGAAAAACACUUGAAAACUUUGGAUUUUUGGUUCGUCCAGUUACGGUGUUAUGCUAAUGGGGUUAAAAGUUCCGAUCCAAUGAGUUAGGAUGGAAUAUGAAUAUAUAAAUUCCAUAGCAUGUAAGGACUAGGAUUUGUUUGUUCAUAUCAAGAAAAAAAAGAUCCGAAAAUUUGAUGAUCAGAAGAUGAAGACACGUUUAUUACAGAGAAACAAACGACAACAUGAUACUAGUAGUAGUUAUUCUUUUCAUCCGAUAUAUUACAUGGUAAUAUCACUACUCGUUCCACUGGUUUCAUAUACACCAUCGAUCAGCAACAUGAUAAUUUUGUGUCAGUUCAUUUUGUUUGUAGGAAAGAGCAGUGUAUUUCUUAGAGCUUGAAAAUAAUAAAAAGAUUUUAAAAUAUAAAUUGCAUAUUUGUUUAUUACAGUUGUUUGGUCUAAUUUCUUAUGUAGAAUUGCUUGUCAUUCUUUGGACGUUAUUGAUUAUAUUUUUGUCAGACUUGGCGUAUAUAUUCACACAUACGUUUUAUUUUGUCAUUUUGUAGAACAUUUUUACACGCCAUAUUAUCACGACUCUUCUCUGUCUGAAUAAGAAGAAAGCAUAAUGCGACCCUCCAAUAGCUUAAUCUAUGGAAUUAUCGUGUUUUGUAAGUUGAGGUCCAAUGGCGUUUUGGCACAUCAUAUGAUAGCCCACUAUAUUGCGUUGCUUUACAAAAGAUUAAUAUUUUGAAAAUUAUUAGGUAAGUUUAGGCUCAGUGGCACUUUAACUCAUGAUAUGAUUGUCCAGGUUUUCGAGGACCACUAUAUUCUAUUGAUUUAAAAAAAAUUAAUAUUUUUUAAUAUUAAUAUUCUAAAUUAUAUUCAGUUCAAAUAUUAAAUAUUAAAUACAUUCUUAAUAUUAAUAUUCUUAGAUGAAAUUCUUUUGCUGACUUAAGAAUAAAAUAUUAAAUAAUUUUAUUUUUCUUUUAUUCUGUAACGUGGACCCAAUAAAAAAAGGAAAUGAAUUUAAUAAAACCUUCAUUCAAAAUCUUCAUUCCGCCACCAUGCAUGUUAAUUGUUUCCAAAUUCCAACCUCCGUACUCUCUUGAGGAGUUUCCCAUUCAUCAAUUAUUAUUUUUUAUAAUCCAUACCAUCCUGAUAUAAUUAAACACCAUUAAUAAUGUACCAACCUUUAAAUAGUAAUUAAUUUAUUUAUCUAAUUCACCAAAUGUUUUUUCCGGUACAUAUCUCCAUUGGUAUCAAGAAGAAGCAGAACCCAAAGAAAUGUUUCUUGCAUCUUCAUAUUUGUGCGAAUUCAUCCUUUCAUUGAGAAUAACCAUUUCCAGGCAGCAGUUGGCAAUCAAUUCAUGCGCACGUCGAUGCUAUUCAUAGAUACUAAAGACAAUGAUGAACCAAAGGUGAUAAAUCAUAAAUGCAUAAUUACCAAACCUCCAUCCUUCUCUCAUUAUGAUUUGAUUUUAAAUGAAUUAUUGCUUGGUAACAUUAUUUCCAACCAUUGCAAGACCUUUUUUUUGGAGAAAUUUCAAUUGAAAGUGAAACCUUUAGACAUUUACCUAAUGAAGUUAGUUAAUCGGGAGGGUCGGAAAAAAAAAGUUGACGCAAGUCAAUACACAAUAAUCAAUUAAAUCCGGAGUGACUAAAACAGAGCCACUACUUUUUAAAAAAUAUCUGCAUUAAUCACUUUCUCCAGCAACUAGUCAGCUACACACGAAUCAAUUUCUCUCCUCGUUUGUCAUCCAAAAUUAUUCACCAAUACCAUGGCUGAUGCAAUCGUUUCCACUAUCUUGGAGCAGCUGAUUUCCUUCGCUGCUGAAGAGAUAAAACAACAGGUGAUCGAAGUUUCACCCCUCAUAUUACAAAUACUUCCAAUGAUUUUAAUUGGCUUUGUUUUUAUCAAAAACAUUAUAUAUUUUUGCUUUUUUUUUAUUUAUCUGAUAAUUUUAUAUUUUGAAAUUUGAAUUGAAUUUAAUUAAAAGGUGAUGUAGUAACCACUCAUUUUUAUUUUAUUUCAUUUCUAUUCUCGAUAACUAACCAUAUUUUGGUAACUUAAUAUGACUCUCGUACAUAAGAAAUGAUCAAAACCCACAAUUUUAACUAUGUAUAAAUAUUCAACGUUGAGCUAAGGUUUUGCAGAACAUUCAAGUUUAUCAAAUAGUCAUUAAUUUAAUGUUUUAGUAAAACCUCAACUCAUCACUGAAUCCCAUAGCUAUUACUUAGACUCUAUGAAAAAUUUCAUAGUUUUCUUACAUUCUUUCAGUUUGGUAAGUGAUUUCAUAUAAUUUCUGUUCAAUAUAAAUUUUAAUUUGGUUUCUUAUAUACUCUCUUUGCUGAAUUUGUAUCUUUUAUGAUUCUUAGAUUUUGGGCUCUAACAUUUUAGGAUUUGAUAGUCACAUUUUAUGCCAUGCUUAGAUUGAUUUUCAUGAUUUUUACUACCCAUUAAGUGACUUAGAAUUUGACAAAAGUUUGAAAGGAAAUCUGCUUCAGGAUUCUGUUUUAAUUGACCUUUUAGUGGAAAUAGGAUGCUUAUAACUUAAUGUGGAUGGUUCGUAAAAUCAUGAAAUUUGGAUAGAAUUAACUAGAAAUAUGUACAAGACUCUCCAUGAAGUCUCAUAAUUUUUCAUUCGGUCUGGGGUGGUACAGGUGAAACUUGUGGUUGGUGUUGAAAAAGAAGUGAAAAGCCUUACCAGCCAUCUUCAAGCCAUUCAAGUUGUGCUCGAUGAUGCAGAGGAAAAGCAAGUGAAGGAAAAAGCUGUUAGUCUUUGGCUGGGUAGGCUCAAGUAUGCAUCCUACGACAUUGAAGAUGUGUUGGAUGAGUGGAUCACAACAAGACGCAAAUUGCAAAUUGAGGGUGGCAUUGGUGAAAAUGCUCUUGUUGUUCCUCAUAAGAAAAAGAAGGUAUGUCUCUGCUUUCCCGGCUCUUGUUUUGGAUUCAAACAAGAAGAAUUUGGUUUCAAACAAGUCUUUCUCCGUCAUGACAUUGCCGACAAGAUCAAAGAAAUCAAUGAAGAGCUACAUGAUAUUGCCGCUCAAAAAGACAUGUUUGAUCUUGUUAAGAGUGGCAAUAAAAGUAGUGAAAGACCAAGGCGUGUACAGAGUACCUUCUUGAUUGAUGAGGAAGAGAUUUGUGGCAGAGUUGGUGAGAGGAAUGAACUCUUAAGCAAGCUGUUGUGUGAGAGUAGCGAGCAACAAAAAGGCCUUCAUAUCAUCUCAAUCGUUGGUAUGGGAGGCAUAGGGAAAACAACUCUUGCACAACUAGCUUGUAAUCAUGACGAGGUGAAGAGAAAGUUCGACAAAAUUCUGUGGGUGUGUGUAUCAGAAACUUUUGAGGAGUUUAGGGUUGCCAAAGCGAUCGUUGAAGUUUUGGAUGGUCGUGAAUCUCAUUUAGCUGAAUUCCAUUCUCUUCUUCAACAUAUUUAUGAAUCCAUUGCAGGGAAGAGCUUUCUUCUUGUCUUAGAUGACGUGUGGGAUGGAAAUUACUUGAAAUGGGAACCAUUCUACCGUUGUCUAAAGAAUGGUCUCCAUGGAAGUAAAAUUUUAGUUACCACACGUAAAGGGUCAGUCGCAUCCAUGAUGGGAUCCAUAGAUAUUAUCUCCGUUAAGGAGUUAGCUGAAGAGGAAUGUUGGUUGUUGUUUAACAAGAUAGCAUUUUUUGAUCGGUCCAUCGAGGAACGUGAAAAAUUAGAACAAAUUGGGCAAAGAAUUGCAGGCAAGUGCAAAGGUUUACCUCUUGCAGCAAAGACAAUAGGGAGUCUCAUGCGUUCUAAACAAACUGAAGAAGAGUGGAAAAGAAUUUUAAAUAGUGAUUUAUGGAAAGUAGAAGAGAUUGAGAAAGAUGUUUUGUCCUCUUUAUUGUUGAGUUAUAAUGAUUUGCCAUCUAGAGUAAAAAGAUGUUUUUCAUAUUGUGCUGUCUUUCCAAAAGACUACAAUAUAGAAAAAGACAAACUAAUCACGUUAUGGAUGGCUCAAGGUUAUCUUAGUGCAGAAGAAGAUGAAGAGAUGGAGACAGUAGGUGAAGAGUAUUUUGGCAUCUUAGCUUCUCGCUCAUUUUUUCAAGAGUUUAAGAAAAGUUAUGAUAAUCGGAUUAUAGAGUGUAAGAUGCAUGAUAUGGUACAUGAUUUUGCCCGAUUUGUAAGUCAAAAUGAAUGUUUUUCGAUGGCAAUCAAUGGUAGUGAAGAACCAAACGCCACAAACUCUCUUGAUGAGAAGGUCCGUCAUUUAAUGUUAAUCUUUAGUAUAGAGGCUUCAUUACCUGUUUCCACUUGUAGAGUUAAAAGAAUUCGUAGCCUCUUAAUUAACGAUAGUAGAUCUGAUCAUUCAUUAUUAAAUGGUGAGAUCCUAGAAGAAUUAUUUAGGGAAUUGACAAGUUUAAGGGCAUUAGAUUUUUGCAAAUCGUAUAACGCAAGUUGGUCUUCGACUCUGGAGAUUCCGAGAAACAUAGAAAAGCUGGUACAUUUAAGAUACCUUAAUUUGUCUUAUCAGGGAAUAAAGAAACUACCGGAGACAUUAUGCGAGUUGUAUAAUCUAGAAAAGUUAGAUAUUAGUUAUUGUUAUAAGCUAGAAGAAUUACCUGAAGGGAUUGGGAAGUUAAUAAACAUGAAGCAUUUACGAAAUAGAGGUACUAGUUCUUUAAGGUACAUGCCAGUAGGGAUUGGGAGAUUAACGGGUCUUAGGACCUUGGGUGAGUUCCACGUGAGUGCAGGAGGAGGUGUUGAUGGUAGGAAAGCAUGUAGGCUUGAAUCUCUUAAAAACUUGGAACACCUUCAAGUAUGUGGUAUAUGUAGACUGGGUGAUGUAUCAGAUGUGGGCGAGGCUAAGCGAUUAGAACUUGACAAAAAGAAAUACCUCUUCAGUUUGACCCUCGAGUUUGAUAAGACGGAAAGAGGAGGAGAAAGGAGGAAGAACGAGGACGAUCAACUUCUUCUUGAAGCCUUGCGACCACCCCUGGAUUUAAAGGAAUUAGAGAUACGGUACUACCGAGGCAACACUGUUUUCCCCAGCUGGAUGGCGUCAUUAACCAACUUAAAGAGUUUACAUCUCCAUAGGUGCGAAAAUUGCGAGCAGCUGCCUCCUUUGGGAAAAUUGCCGUCCCUUGAAAAUCUCUACAUAUGGCGCAUGGAGAGUGUGAAGAGAGUGGGUGAUGAAUUUUUGGGGAUAGAAAGUGAUCAUCAUGACUCAUCGUCAUCUUCAUCAGUUACUAUUGCCUUCCCCAAAUUGAAAUCACUCACAAUUUAUUCGAUGCUGGAAUUGGAGGAGUGGGAUUAUGAGAUUACAAGAACAGGAAACACCGUCAUCAACAUCAUGCCACGUCUUUCUUCCUUGACAAUUGUUGAUUGCACCACAUUAAAGGCACUGCCCGACCACAUUCAUCAAACGACAACGUUGAAGGAAUUGAGCAUUUUUAUGUGUUGGCUUCUGAACAAACGUUACCGCAAGGGGAAAGGAGAAGACUGGCCUAAAAUAUCACACAUUCCCAACCUCCGUAUUGGGCUUUGACAAGUAAUUUCUUCUCUCACUCUGAUUUGCUUUGUUGUUGUUUUUAAUCUAAUUAAGAAGCGAAAAUAGCAUUUUGAAUCAAACUCUAUAUCAGAAAUCUGCAAUACUUACUUUCUAAUAUUCUGAUUUUCAUAUCCUAUGAAUAUACGAUUUUUAAUUUGUGAGAUGGGUAACGUUACUGUAAAAGAUUAUUAAUGCAAUAUGAGUAAUUCUUUUGCAGGACAAGUGACCUACAUUUAGUUUGGCUUUGGAGUUGAAUAAUAACCUUUCGUGGUCCCGACAACCAAAAAACAAAGCUUAAUUUGCCACAGAUUGAACGUAUUGCCAUUAUUGACAAUUUUCUGCACAAGCGUGACUGAACUUAGGUUGAUGUCAAAAGAGGUAAAUUAUUGGCAUGCCUGACUAUUUUGACCAUUACAUGAUUCAUAAGUUUACAUUAAUUUUGAUUUUGAGUUGAGUGAUUAGUUUUCUAGGUUUGCUUACUUUAACUGGGUGACCAAUUUCUUGUAACUAAAUGUAUGAUGUGAUGCAGGAAGCAGGGCAGGAUAUGAAAAGAGAAGCUUAUUAGAGGAAGGAUUGCCAGUAACAGAAUCCAAAGAAAAAGAAACCAUUUCGAGGCAGCUGUUGGCAGUUGGCAGUGAAUGGAGCCCCUUGAAAAAAUUCCCAGGCCGUUGCACUGCAAUUACGAUCAUCCUCGGCCUCAGGUAAUUUCUUCUCCUGCAUUUUUGUUAUUUGCUAUCAAGUGACUAUUUUAAGUAUGAUUGCAUUAAGCUUCUGCUGGGAAAUUUGAGGUUUUGAUGACUGCCCAUGCUAUUGUCAGAAGCUGCGGUUCUUUUCAUCAGCCUGAACCUGGACCUGCCGCUAUGGAUAACUCAGGUUUUUUUUUUUUUUUUAAUCAACUGCCAUCUUUUCCACUGUUUAGAAACUCUUAAGAUUAAACUUUAGUAAAGUUGUUUUAGUUAUCCAUGUAAUCAGGCUGAGGAUACUUAGCUGCCUAUUUAGGCAAAUGUCAGAAUUUAGUUUGUUCGCUGGGAACUGGUGUGGACUGGCAAAGGAUGAUGAGAUAGUUUUUUGAGUGAGUAAAUUUUGGGAGCUUGAGUGUAUUGGGAUUUGCAAUUACAAUCAUCGUCUGCCUCAGGUGAUUUCUUCUCCUGCUCUGUCAUUGUUUGUUCUCUAAUUCAAAAGCAUAAAAUAUUUCAAUCAAUUUUUAUGCCAGGAAUAUGCAAAAGUUUCUAAUAUUUUAUUUCCAUCUGUUACAAGAUCAAACUGAAGCAGAACUCAAACAAAAGUAUGCUACUUCUUGCGGAAAUCUUGCCUUUGUUCAGAUUAUGAAACCAUUUCCAUGCAGCAAAUUCAUCCAAAAGUUUGAAUAAGUUUCAUGGUUGGACACUGUUGGCUUCUUUUUCUUCUGGGGUGCAUUUAGGUGCUAUCAAGUGACAGCUGUAAGUAUGAUUGCACUAAGCUGCCGCUGGGAAAUUUGAGGUUUUGAUGGCUGCCCAUGUUAUUUUCAAGAAACUAUUGAUGUAAGAAGCUGUGGUUCUUUUCAUCAGCUUGAACCUGAAACUGUCGCUAUGGAUAACUCAGGUUUUUGUUAUCAACUAUAUCAUCUUUUUCACUAUUUUGAAACUCUUAAGAUUAAACUUUAGUAAAGUUGUUUCAGCUAUUCAAAUGAAAAACUCAUUGAUUUGAGACUUCCUUCAUUAUUGUUUCUAAUUACAAUGCUAACGAUCCAGAUAAAAUAAUAUUUAAUCGGCGAAGGUGUCCCUUGGAAGUACAUCCUUCUUUUUCUUUUAUUAUAUAAAUUCUUGCAAUGAGCUUAGUGAAGCUGUUGUGCUAAUCAUGCCACUGCAUAAUUUGGCCCCUAAUGUGGGUACUCUGUUACAUUGUUCUGCAAAUUCUCCAGAAGUUAAAAUCAAUAAAUUUUCUAUUAGCUCUAGUGCUUUGACCUAAAUGCCAUUCUAUAUUUUGAUUACAAUGUUUUAACCUUUAAAUUAACUACCCCUAGAUGUUGGAUUUUCUAGAACUUCAAAAUGAUUAAUGGAGAAAGAUCCCAUUAUCGUUAUUGCUAUAAGAAAUUGAUUUAUGCAUCCAAAGAUACAUUAUAUAUUUCUGUGUCUCUAUUUGUAGAUGACAUUUAAGCAUCCAUAAACCGUCAGACAGAGGAAGGGGGUUCAGUGCAAAGAUUCUGUUGACCUAGGGUUGACUGCAUAAUGUCACUUGUUCGCAAUCUAUUAUUUAUUUUAUAUUUUGAAGAAUUUAAUGGGUAAUCCUAAUUGUUUGUUUUGGCAGGUAUGUGUUGUUAUCUCCUUCUAUCUAACAGUCGUACCUAAAUAGCAUAGUUUCAUCUGUGUUACCAUGUGAUGUACAUAAUUUCACAUUUGCCUCAGAUUAAGCUUAAUUUCCCACAGAAUAGAGCUGUCGCGACUGGACUUAGGUUGAUGUCCAAAGAGGUAAAUUAUUGGCAUGCCUAGAUAAUUUGGCCAUUUCCUAAUUCAUAAGUCUACAUUAAUUUUGAUUUUGAGUUGACUGAUUUCUUUUCAAGGUCUGCUUCCUUAACGGAGUGACCAAUGUUUUUCAACUAAAUUUAUCAUAUGAUGCAGGAAGCAGGGCAGGAUAUGAAAUGAGAAGCUCAUUGGUGGAAGUAUUGCCAGUAACAGAACCCAAAGAAAAUGAAACUAUUUCAAGGCAGCAGUUGGCAGUUGCAAGUGAAUGGAGGCCCUGACAAAAUUCUCAAGCGGUUGCAAUGCAAUUACGAUCAUCCUCAGCCUCAGGUAAUUUCUUCUCCUGCUCUGUUUUUAUUUGUUAUCUAAUUAAAAAGCAUAAAGUAUCUUGAAUCACUUUCUGUAUCUGGAACAUAUGCAGCAGUUUCUAAAAUCUUCAUAUGAGUGUAAUGAUGGUAAUUUCUGUUUUUUGUCUGUCAUUGAAUGUUAGACAACUUUCAGUGAGACUCUUGAACCGAGACAUUUUUGACAAAUGAAGGACAAUUGCUGAAGAGUGGGAAUGGUGCUAGAUUGGGGAAUAAAGACAAAGGAGGUAAAUUAUUUGCAGUUUAUUCAGCAUUAUUUGCUUUGGACCAGCGCCUGAUUCACAAGUCUCCAUAAUUUGGCUUUUGACCAGUUGUUAAUAAAUUUUUUAUUCCAUUGGUGCUAAAUGUACACGUGAAGCAGGCAGAGCAGGACUGUGGAAAUGAGAAGGUUUUUAGUGAAAGCUUAAACUCAGGUAAUUCUAAAAAGUACAUGUUUUUGCUGAUUUAUCUAAAUCAGGAAAUUUUAUUUCCAUCUGUUACAAGAUAAAACAGAAACAGAACACAAAGAAAAAUAUUCUACUUCUUGUGGCAAUCUUGCCUUCAUUCAGACAAUGAAACCAUUUCCUUUCACCAAUUUCUUCCAAAAGUUUGAAUAAGUUUCAUGGUUGGACAUAGUUAGCUUCUUUUUCUUUUGGUGCAUUUAGGUCCUAUCAAGUGACAGCCAUAAGUAUGAUUGCAUUAUUGGGAAAUUUUAGGUUUUGAUGGCUCCCCACGUUAUUGCCAAGAAAGUCCUCAUGUCAAAAGCUGCGGUUCUUUUCAUCAGCCUGAACCCGAACCUGUCGUUAUGGAUAACUCAGGUUUUUGUCAUCAACUAUAUCAUCUUUUUUACUGUUUUGAAACUCUUAAGAUUAAACUUCAGUAAAGUUGUUUCAGUUAUCCAUGUAAUCAGGCCAAGGAUAUUUAGCAGCUUAUUUAGGCAACUGCCAGAAUUCAGUUUGUUUGCUCGAAACUUGUAUGGUGACAAGGAUACUGGCAAGGAUAGUGAGAUAGUUUUUUGUGUGAGUGAAAUUUGAAAGCUUGGGUGUUCUGGGAUUUGCAAUUGCAAUCAUCCUCUGAGUCAGGUGAUUUCUUCUCCUGCUCUGUCUUGAUUUUCUCUCUAAUUGAAAGCAUAAAGUAUUUCAAUCAAAUUCUGUACCAGGAGUACAUAAAAGUUACUAAUAUUUUAUUUCCAUCUGUUUGCAUUGAUAACUCGGCAUAUGUUCUAGUUAAAGAACAAACAGAAACAGAGUUCAGGAAAAAGUUUCUUCGGCCACCAUAUUUGAAAAUGAAACCAUUUCCAGGAAGCAGUUGGCAGCAAAUUCAUAUGGAGUGUAGACAAUGAUGAGCAAAAAGGUGAUUCGCAAUUUCUUUUUUUUUUAAGUGAAAUUAUUUGUUAGAUUGAAGCUGAUAUUGUAAGAAGGCCAUUGAGCUAACCUAUGUCGUCACUUGCCUAGAUUGCAGGGGGUCAAGACUCAAAAGAAGCACUGAAAUUUAAAAAGCAUGGAAUAGUUCUUUUGCCAUGUGUCAAUUAAUGCAAGUUUGAAUAAGUUUAUUGGCUGAACGAUGUUAGCUUCUUUUCCUUUCGUGCACUUUGGUAUGCUAUCAAGUGACAGCCGUAUGUAUGGCUUGCAUAUAGCUGCUGCUGGGAAAAUUGACGAUUUCAUGGCUGGCCGUGUUAUUGUCUUAAAUUAGUUGUGAUAAGCUGUUGCUUGGAGAUUCUGUUGCCAAGACUUUGCUCACAUCAGAAGCUGUGGAAUCUGAACCCUUCGUUAUGUAUCAUCUUUUUCAUUGUUUUAAAACUCUCAGGAUUAAACUUGAGCGAAUUUGUUCGGUUGUCUAUAUAAUCAUGUAUUGAGUAAACUCUCAGGAUACUGAGGGUGAGAGAAAUUAGAGGGUGUAUAGGGAUUUGGAUUUGUUAGGAAGUUAUCAUUUUUAUUUUUAUUUUUAUUUUUUUCCCAGAAAAUCUUCUGGUGGUGCUAUAUUUUCAAACGACAGUCCGAUUCAAAACUUGAUAUUCCAAUUAUAUUCAUAAGCUUCUACAGUUAUCUUCAAAAAGACAAAUGGAAGGCUUUGAACGGCUUGGGUCUGAGUAUUGUAGUUUGAUUUAUUUUGAUGAAAGUACCUUUUGACAUUGAGAUUCUUUCAUGAGUUAAACAUUCUUUUUAAAACCAACUUAUUAAAAAAAAAAAGUAACUAACAUAUAUUAUUUUGUUAGUGCUUUUUAAAUCAAAUAUAAAAAAGAGAACUGUAAUUCUUAGCAACCAAUUUUUCACUGAGUACACCUACAACAAACUAUUAAAAAAUAAAGUGAUAGAAAAUGCCUGAUUUUUCGUACUUUCUAAUUACUUUUGGUCCUAAAAUAUGGCAAUUUGUGUAAUAAUAAGCCCAUGUAUAUCUUUAUGCCAUUAGUUUGAUAAAUAGCUAUCAAGGAUAACUUAUUAAGCUAAAAAUAUUUGAAGGAUAAAUUGAUUUAUGCAUCCAAAGAUACAUUAUAUAUUUCUGUGUCUCUAUUUAUAGAUGACAUUUAAGCAUCCAUAAACCGUCAGACAGAGGAAGGGGGUUCAGUGCAAAGAUUCUGUUGACCUAGGGUUGACUGCAUAAUGUCACUUGUUCGCAAUCUAUUAUUUAUUUUAUAUUUUGAAGAAUUUAAUGGGUAAUCCUAAUUGUUUGUUUUGGCAGGUAUGUGUUGUUAUCUCCUUCUAUCUAACAGUCGUACCUAAAUAGCAUAGUUUCAUCUGUGUUACCAUGUGAUGUACAUAAUUUCACAUUUGCCUCAGAUUAAGCUUAAUUUCCCACAGAAUAGAGCUGUCGUGACUGGACUUAGGUUGAUGUCCAAAGAGGUAAAUUAUUGGCAUGCCUAGAUAAUUUGGCCAUUUCCUAAUUCAUAAGUCUACAUUAAUUUUGAUUUUGAGUUGACUGAUUUCUUUUCAAGGUCUGCUUCCUUAACGGAGUGACCAAUGUUUUUCAACUAAAUUUAUCAUAUGAUGCAGGAAGCAGGGCAGGAUAUGAAAUGAGAUCUCAUUGGUGGAAGUAUUGCCAGUAGCAGAACCCAAUGAAAAUGAAACUAUUUCAAGGCAGCAGUUGGCAGUUGCAAGUGAAUGGAGGCCCUUGACAAAAUUCUCAAGCGGUUGCAAUGAUGGUAAUUUCUUCUCCUGCUUUGUAUUUAUUUGUUAUCUAAUUAGGAAGCGUGAAGUAUCUUGAAUCAUUUUCUGUAUCUGGAAUAUAUGCAAGAGUUUCUAAAAUUUUGAUAUGAGUGUAAUGAUGGUAAUUUCUGUUUUCUGUCUGUCAUCAAAUGUUAGAAAACUUUCAUUGAGACCCUUGAACCGAGUCAUUUUUGACAAGUGAAGGACAAUUGCUGAAGAGUGGGAAUGGUGCUAGAUUGGGGAAUAAAGACAAAGGAGGUAAAUUAUUUGCAGUUUAUUCAGCAUUAUUUGCUUUGGACCACCGCCUGAUUCACAAGUCUCCAUAAUUUGGCUUUUGACCAGUUAAUAAAUUUUUAAUUCCAUUGGUGCUAAAUGUACACGUGAAGCAGGCAGAGCAGGACUGUGGAAAUGAGAAGGUUUUUAGUGAAAGCUUAAACUCAGGUAAUUCUAAAAAGUACAUGUUUUUGCUGAUUUAUCUAAAUCAGGAAAUUUUAUUUCCAUCUGUUACAAGAUAAAACAGAAACAGAACACAAAGAAAAAUAUUCUACUUCUUGUGGCAAUCUUGCCUUCAUUCAGACAAUGAAACCAUUUCCUUUCACCAAUUUCUUCCAAAAGUUUGAAUAAGUUUCAUGGUUGGACAUAGUUAGCUUCUUUUUCUUUUUGGUGCAUUUAGGUCCUAUCAAGUGACAGCCAUAAGUAUGAUUGCAUUAUUGGGAAAUUUUAGGUUUGGAUGGCUCCCCAUGUUAUUGCCAAGAAAGUCCUCAUGUCAGAAGCUGCGGUUCUUUUCAUCAGCCUGAACCCGAACCUGUCGUUAUGGAUAACUCAGGUUUUUGUCAUCAACUAUAUCAUCUUUUUUACUGUUUUGAAACUCUUAAGAUUAAACUUCAGUAAAGUUGUUUCAGUUAUCCAUGUAAUCAGGCUAAGGAUAUUUAGCAGCUUAUUUAGGCAACUGCCAGAAUUCAGUUUGUUUGCUCGAAACUUGUAUGGUGACAAGGAUACUGGCAAGGAUAGUGAGAUAGUUUUUUGUGUGAGUGAAAUUUGAAAGCUUGGGUGUUCUGGGAUUUGCAAUUGCAAUCAUCCUCUGAGUCAGGUGAUUUCUUCUCCUGCUCUGUCUUGAUUUUCUCUCUAAUUGAAAGCAUAAAGUAUUUCAAUCAAAUUCUGUACCAGGAAUACGUAAAAGUUACUAAUAUUUUAUUUCCAUCUGUUUGCAUUGAUAACUCGGCGGCAUAUGUUCUAGUUAAAGAACAAACAGAAACAGAGUUCAGGAAAAAGUUUCUUCGGCCACCAUAUUUGAAAAUGAAACCAUUUCCAGGAAGCAGUUGGCAGCAAAUUCAUAUGGAGUGUAGACAAUGAUGAGCGAAAAGGUGAUACGCAAUUUCUUUUUUUUUUUUUUUAAGUGAAAUUAUUUGUUAGAUUGAAGCUGAUAUUGUAAGAAGGCCAUUGAGCUAACCUAUGUCGCCACUUGCCUAGAUUGCAGGGGGUCAAGACUCAAAAGAAGCACUGAAAUUUAAAAAAGCAUGCAAUAGUUCUUUUGCCAUGUGUCAAUUAAUGCAAGUUUGAAUAAGUUUAUUGGCUGAACGAUGUUAGCUUCUUUUCCUUUCGUGCACUUUGGUAUGCUAUCAAGUGACAGCCGUAUGUAUGGCUUGCGUAUAGCUGCUGCUGGGAAAAUUGACGAUUUCAUGGCUGGCCGUGUUAUUGUCUUAAAUUAGUUGUGAUAAGCUGUUGCUUGGAGAUUCUGUUGCCAAGACUUUGCUCACAUCAGAAGCUGUGGAAUCUGAACCCUUCGUUAUGUAUCAUCUUUUUCAUUGUUUUAAAACUCUCAGGAUUAAACUUGAGCGAAUUUGUUCGGUUGUCUAUAUAAUCAUGUAUUGAGUAACCUCUCAGGAUACUGAGCAGGCAAAUGUUAUAACUCGGUUUGUUAGCCAAAAACUUGUUGAAGAUUCUUGACAAAGCUGCAUCAAGUGAAUUGUCGGAGCUCUGAGGGUGAGAGAAAUUAGAGGGUGUAUAGGGAUUUGGAUUUGUUAGGAAGUUAUCAUUUUUAUUUUUAUUUUUAUUUUUUUCACAGAAAAUCUUCUGGUGGUGCUAUAUUUUCAAACGACAGUCCGAUUCAAAACUUGAUAUUCCAAUUAUAUUCAUAAGCUUCUACAGUUAUCUUCAAAAAGACAAAUGGAAGGCUUUGAACGGCUUGGGUCUGAGUAUUGUAGUUUGAUUUAUUUUGAUGAAAGUACCUUUUGACAUUGAGAUUCUUUCAUGAGUUAAACAUUCUUUUUAAAACCAACUUAUUAAAAAAAAAAAGUAACUAACAUAUAUUAUUUUGUUAGUGCUUUUUAAAUCAAAUAUAAAAAAGAGAACUGUAAUUCUUAGCAACCAAUUUUUCACUGAGUACACCUACAACAAACUAUUAAAAAAUAAAGUGAUAGAAAAUGCCUGAUUUUUCGUACUUUCUAAUUACUUUUGGUCCUAAAAUAUGGCGAUUUGUGUAAUAAUAAGCCCAUGUAUAUCUUUAUGCCAUUAGUUUGAUAAAUAGCUAUCAAGGAUAACUUAUUAAGCUAAAAAUAUUUGAAGGAUAAAAUGGUAAAACUAAAAGGGUGGAGUAAUAUAGUUAUUUAAGAUUACAUAGUAAGUCAACUAUAUUCGAGGGAUAAAAUAUUAAAACUUGAAUAGUGAUAUUAAAAAUAUCUCAGCUAUUAUACUAUUAAACCAUAUGCCGUAAUAAUAUUUUUUUUCAAACUUUAAAAAAUUCAGGAUUUUAAAUUAAAACAUGGAUUUCUUUAAGAUGCUAUAUGUGUUUUUACAGUAUUGAUAGUGGGAUUAGUGUGGACCUUUAGAUGAAAGAGUUUUAAUCUGAAUCAUUCAUUUAAUAUAAUAGAUAAUUAAAUAAUUAAUUAAAAUAUAUCAGGUAACUUAUAGGUUGCAGGUAAAAAAUUAAUUUUUUAAUUUUAAAUUAAAAUUAAUUUGGAACAAAACCAUCCACACCCCUAAGGUUUACUUAAAUGAUCAUAUAAAUCCCUUUAGUUUCUACAUAGUUAUACAAACCCUCUUAAUUUCAUAAAUUAUUAUUAUACUUUUAAUUAAAACAACCUAAAUGAAUAUAAAUAUAGUAAUAGGAUAGAAAUAAUAAAUAAAUAUCAGAUGAAACAAAUAAAAUAUUACAAUAAAUACAAUUAAUUAAAUAACAUGUAGGAUGAAAAUUUUAUUCAUAUUAAGUUAUUAUUAGUCGAUCUCGAUGGAUUUACUCAAAUUAAUUAAUCCAAAAUUUAAUUUUAAGAUUGAUAUUAAUAUGGACAUAAUUAAAUAAGAUGUUGUAAUAUAUAUUACUUUGAAUGUUAAGUAUAAUUAUCUAAUAUUAUUAGUAUGUGAAAUAGAUUUUAAUAUUAUUAAAAGAAUAUGACAAUAUAUAAUUUUGACAUAAAUUUUUUAGUAUUCAUAAUAUUUUAUAAAUUUUAUCUUAUUUUAUAUAUUAUAUUUUUUAAUUUUAAUGUAUUAUAUAUGAUCAUUUAAGCAAAUUUUGGAGGUGCGGUGGUCUUUUCCCUAUUAAUUUUGUAGCAUAUUUAAAGUGUUAUAUCAUACAUCAUACAUCGCACUUUUGUUAAAGUAUUAUGUUAUUAAAAAUUAAACUUUGCAUUUAUAAUAUACUACCAUUUUAAUGUAAAUGUAACAAAAAAUAUGAAGAUAUUUUUAAGUAGUCAAUUGUAGCUUUCUAUUACAAAAUAGCAGUAUAGAAAUACAAUUGGUAAAAUGUAAUAAAAAUGGUAUGGAAAAAAGUUAGUAGAGGCAAUUAUUUUUGUAGUUGCUAAAACAUAUGAAGUGACACACACACACACACACACACACAUCAAGUACUUGUAUGUUCCCCUAACUUUUAUUAAUAGGAAGGAAAUUAAAUUCGUAAUUUUCCCGGUGAAUUAUGAAUUGAUAAAUGAAAUAUAAAUAUUAGUAAAAAUUAAUUUGUCGACUAAAGAAGUAAACCAUAUUUUAUGGGCAUUUAAUACAUUACUUUAAGGUCAAAUGAGAUAUAUCACAUGAUAUUUGAUACAGUAGUCCAAUUUUCAACAUUUGCAUAUAGUUUCUAAGCUAGUAAUCUAAUAAAAUAUACCAAAUGAGAAAUUCAAGGCUAUUAUUUAUAUUUCACAAUUGGACAAACACCAUACAUUAGAAUAAAAAAAUCUCACAGUACAGACGACAUCUGUUUGCAUGUUUUGAAAAUAGAUUUUGAAAAUAGUUUAAUUACAUGAUAAUUAAAUUAUAUUAUAAAACUAAGAAUAUGAUUUAAGUACUAUUUUAGCAAUUUUGAGUCUCACAUUGAGUAUUCAAGUUAAUUAAAUGUUGAAACUCUUUUCUAUUUGGCUUGAAAUCACUACUUAAUUAAAUUACAAAAAGUCGAUAAUGAAUGAUGUAGGACACAUAUGUAAAAUAAAUUUUAAAGUGUAAUUAAACAUUCCUAUCAAUAUUAGUUUCGUAUACAUGUUCAUAUAUUUUAUUGAAACCAUAUAUAAUUAAAUUUUGUGUAAUUAAGUAAAAUAUAUUAUUCAAGUGAAUUUAUGAGAAUAUUUAAAAUUAUAGGGGUGGUCACUGAAAUUUGCCAAACUUGAGCCAACCGUGCAUGAUCCAAACAAUUUAUUUUAAUAAUUCUCAAUAUGUUAGUCUGUUUGACUGUUGGCAAAAUAAAUUCCUAUCAGCAAUGCAACACAAUUCAAAAUCAUAUCUGCAUACAACGAACAAUAUCUCAUCAAAGAUCAAAUUAUACAUUUUUUACACCAAAGCAUAAAUAUCUAAAUUAUCCCUCUUCAACUCACCAAGCUCAUACCUAACAACAGCAAGAUUAAAUGUCAUUUGAUCCAUCUUUUUUAGUAAGCUUUAUCAAUUCUUCUCAUGGUUGCAAUUUUGAAAGCUCGCUUCGCUAUUUCCAUUUGCUUUUAUGCUUUGUUUGAGCUCCAUCUUUUCUCUCCAUCUACAUUUUACACUGUAAAAAAAAUUUUAAAAAAAUUACAAAGCUUCUUAUACUAGAAUAUGAGCAACAAUAUAAAUAAUAAACAAUAAAGUUAUGAUAGCACAACAUACUCAUUAAAGUGCUUCUUUUUUUUUUUCAACAAGAAAUUACUACUGAAUUAAAGAAUUGGCUUUGCAUUAAGGUUUGCCUUCAAUAACUCAACUCCCCACUUGGGUUUUGUCGUUUUCUUAAAAUCUCUGCUCAAUCAAUUUAAAGAUCCAUUUUUUUUUUCUUUCCAAAGAUCUAAAAGCAAUGUCUUUUAUUGGUACCCAACAAAAAUGCAAGGUCUGUGAGAAGACAGUUUGUCCAGUUGAGCAGUUAUCUGCUGAUGGGGUUGUUUAUCACAAGUCUUGCUUCAAGUGCUAUCACGGCAAAGGCACACUCAAGCUAAGCAAUUACUCAUCCCUGGAAGGUGUUCUUUACUGUAAGCCUCACUUUGAGCAGCUUUUGAAGGAGUCGAGUAACUUCAACCAGAAUUUCCAAUUACCUGCAAAGUCAGCUGAGAAGUUAACUCCUGAGCUGAGAAGGUCGCCUAGCAAAGUUGCCAGCAUGUUCUCUGGGCCCAAUAAAAAUGUGCUUCUUGCAGUAAAACAGUGUGUCCGUGGGAGAAGGUAGCAGUGGAAAACCAAGCCUCUCACAAGACAUGUUUCAAGUGCUCACAUGGUGGUUAUUCCAUUAGCCCGUCAAAUUACGCAGCCCUAGAAGGCAUCUUGUAUUGCAAACAUAAUUUCUCCCAAUUGUUCAAGGAAAAAGGCAGCUACAACCACCUUAUAUCAAAUCUGCUCCCAUGAAGCGUGCUGCAGUCUCUGUUCAAGAAGCUUGAACACGUUAUGUUAUCUUCCAUAAAUCUUAUUUGGCGUGGGUUUUCUCUGGCUUGAGGGUGUGCUUUCUAUUUUGAUCCCUCUUGUUGUUUUUGCGGGGAACUACCAAACCUUCGGUUCCCUCUGCUUCUUUGGAUCAUCUUUGUUUGGACAAAUUUCAUGUAAUUAGAGAUACCGAUUUAUGGGAGGCAUAAUCCCAUGGUCGUAAAUUGACCAUUUUCUGGCAAUGUUCUUUUUAAAAAGAGAUGAGCAGUUGUUUAAAAAAAAAAAAAAUUGCUUGCCUUCAUCAUUGUAUAUUACCAAACUGCUAUGUAUAGCUGCUAACUAUGAGCAUCCGAAAAUAUGGUGCAUCGUGAUUCAUGUAGUGCAAUAUGGCUACCAACGCAUCCUAAAUGGAGUAUUACUCAGUUAGUCAGCAAAAUAAGACAACAUAACUGAUAUUAAAAAAAAAAAAAAACUACAUUAAUAAGUGGGCAAGAUCAUGCCAGUUUAACUUUUCGCGCGUCGCUGCUGGAGAUGAUCAAAUCGGGGCAUAGAAAAGGAGAAUGGAAUCAGAGGCUAAGAUUAAUAAGUGGGCUUCUGCUUGCUUUGCCCUCUUUCUUAAACGAUUGGUAGACUGCUGCUUCCGCCGAUUAACCGGGUCUUCAACCACUGCUUUUACUGCCUGCCAUCUUGUUGUUUGUCGAAGGGAUGAAUUCGAGUCGAAAAGAGAAAGCGCGCUGAAAAAGAUAAAUCACUAGUGGUUAACUGCUGACUCAGCCAAGUGUUGGCUUCACUUGAUUCACCGAUUGAGGUUAUUUUGUCUUCUAUCUAAUGCAGCGAAGAAGCUUUGCUGCUUAACAUGCUGCAAUGCAACUUUAUCCUUUGAAGUUCACACUCCAGGGCUGCGCACUUUAUGUAAUCCUAUGAGUAAAAAGAAUUUGUUUUCAAAUGUGAAAAAAGAAAAUGUAAGGUAGUAACUAAAUAUAUUAUAGCAUCAAAGCAAGAUUUGAUAUGAAUUUAGUACAACAAAGAACAUCAAAUCUGUGAUUCCUUGUCUAAUGUCACCAUCGAGCAACAAAUUUAAAAGCCUACCUAUCAAAUACACGAGGCAAUAAACGGAGAAAAAGUUGAAUUACAAGAACAAGUUUACAAUUCUUGUCAAUGGUUAAUGAUUUGUGAACUGAGAUAUCAUUCAAGAAUCCAAUUUCAAUACAACAACCUAAAAGAUAAACAGAUGAUGAAUUUUAUGAGAUAAAAAAGGAGAUCGUGUUUUAUCGUAUCUCUAUUUUCUUUCUUUUUAAAUUUAUGAGAUAAAGCGGUUGGUCCAGUUACGGUGUUAUGCUAACGGGUUUAAAGGUUCCGAUCCAAUGAGUUAGGGUGGAAUAUGAAUAUAUAAAUUCCAUAGCAUGUAAGGACUAGGAUUUGUUUGUUCAUAUCAAGAAAAAAAAUCUGAAAAUUUGAUGAUCAGAAGAUAAAAACACUUAAACACGUUUAAGUAUCAAUAAAUACUUGCUGCUGUAGUUUGAAAAUAAAAUGAGUUUAUCUUGUUGCUGUUUGAUAAAAAUUUAUACUAUUUUUAUUAAUUUUGUCAAAAUCAAUAUUUAGACAUUAUAUUUACCAAGCAUUAUCAUUUUUUUAAUCUCAUAAUUAAUUAAAAUUUUCAUUUCAUUCAAUACAGUAAUUAAUUAGAAUUGUAGCAUAAGCCCAUUUUAAUUUUCUUUCUUUAGGCUAUAUACGCUACUUAUAAGAAAAACUUAUGGACCAUUGACCUAGGCUUAUACAAUAAGCCAAUUUAGAAAUUGUAGACUCACUCUAUGGAUUACUCAUGAGUUGUGGAUGAUGAGUUCUUCACUAACGAAGUGCAUUGGAUAUCAUAUAACGUAAAAACACACAUUGUCAUUAGUCUAUUGCAAGCAUUCCCAUUUGGCACCGAAUCUUUCUCAUUAGCCUAUUGCAAGCGAUCCCAGCCACUUGGAAUCAAAAUUUAGUGAAUUUACAUAUGUUGUCUCGAAGUGGUGUCUCUUAUGGUUGGGUGUUUUUAUAAAUUUCUUAAUUGCUUCGAAUACCAUGGCUGAUGCAACCGUUUCUACUAUCUUGGAGCAGCUGAUUUCCUUCGCUGCUGAAGAGAUAAAACAACAGGUGAUCGAAGUUGCACCCCUCAUAUUACAAAUGCUUCCAAUGAUUUUAAUUGGUUUUGUUUUUAUCAAAAACAUUAUAUAUUUUUUCUUUAUUUUAUUUAUCUGGUAAUUUUAGAUUUUGAAAUUUGAAUUGAAUUUAAUUAAAAGGUGAUGUAGUAACCACUUAUUUUUAUUUUUUUUUAUUUAUAUUCUCAAUAACUACUCAUAGUUUGGUAACUUACUAUAACUUCCAUAUCUAAGAAAUGAUCCAAACCCACAAUUUUAACUCAAGUUUGUCAAACAGUCAUUAAUUCAAUGUUUAGUAAAAAAAACACUUCUCAGCACAGAAUUCCAUGUCCAUUACUUAGACUCUAUGAAAAAUUUCAUAAUUUUCUUACAUUCUUUGAGUUUGGUAAGUGAUUUCAUAUAUUUUCUAUUCAAUAUAAAUUUUAAUUUGUUUUCUUAUAUACUCUCUUUGCUGAAUUUGUAUCUUUUAUGAUUCUUAGAUUUUGGGCUCUAACUUUUUAGGAUUUGAUAGUCACAUUUUAUGCCAUGCUUAGAUUGAUUUUCAUGAUUUUUACUACCCGUUAAGUGACUUAGAAUUUGACAAAAGUUUGAAAGGAAAUCUGCUUCAGGAUUCUGUUUUAAUUGACCCUUUAGUGGAAAUAAAAUGCUUAUAACUUAAUGUGGAUGCUAUGUAAAAUCAUGAAAUUUGGAUAGAAUUAACUAGAAAUAUGUACAAGACUCUCCAUGAAGUCUCAUAAUUUUUCAUUCGGUCUGGGGUGUUACAGGUGAAGCUUGUGGUUGGUGUCGAAAAAGAAGUGAAAAGCCUUACCAGCCACCUUCAAGCCAUUCAAGCUGUGCUCGAUGAUGCAGAGGAAAAGCAAGUGAAGGACAAAGCUGUUAGACAUUGGCUGGGUAGGCUCAAGUAUGCAUCCUACGACAUUGAAGAUGUGUUGGAUGAGUGGAUCACAGGAAGACGCAAAUUGCAAAUUGAGGGUGGCAUUGGUGAAAAUGCUCUUAUUGCUCCUCAUAAGAAAAAGAAGGUACGUUUCUGCUUUCGUGCCUCUUGUCUUGGAUUCAAAACAGAAGAAUUUGGCUUCAAACAAGUCUUUCUACGUCAUGACAUUGCCAACAAGAUCAAAGAAAUGAAUGAAGAGCUACAUGAUAUUGCUACUCAAAAAGACAUGUUUAAUCUUGUUAAGAGUGGCAAUAACAGUAGUGAAAGACCAAGGCGUGUACAGAGUACCUCCUUGAUUGAUGAGGAAGAGAUUUGUGGUAGAGUUGGUGAGAAGAAUGAACUCAUAAGCAAGCUGUUGUGUGAGAGUAGCGAGCAACAAAAAGGCCUCCAUAUCAUCUCAAUUGUUGGUAUGGGAGGCAUAGGGAAAACUACUCUUGCACAACUAGCUUGUAAUCAUGACGAGGUGAAGAGAAAGUUCGACAAAAUUCUGUGGGUGUGUGUAUCAGAAACUUUUGAGGAGUUUAGGGUUGCCAAAGCAAUCGUUGAAGCUUUGGAUGGUCGUGAAUCUCAUUUAGGUGAAUUCCAAUCUCUUCUUCAACAUAUUGAUGAAUCCAUUGCAGGGAAGACCUUUCUUCUUGUCUUAGAUGACGUGUGGGAUGGAAAUUACUUGAAAUGGGAACCAUUCUACCGUUGUCUAAAGAAUGGUCUCCAUGGAAGUAAAAUUAUAGUUACCACACGUAGUGGGUCCGUUGCAUCCAUGAUGGGAUCCAUAGAUAUUAUUCCCAUUAAGGAAUUAGCUGAAGAGGAAUGUUGGUUGUUGUUUAACAAGAUAGCAUUUUUUGGUAGGCCUAUUGAGGAACGUGAAAAAUUAGAACAAAUUGGGCAAAGAAUUGCAGGCAAGUGCAAAGGUUUACCUCUUGCAGCAAAGACAAUAGGGAGUCUCAUGCGUUCUAAACAAACUGAAGAAGAGUGGAAAAGAAUUUUAAAUAGUGAUUUAUGGAAAGUAGAAGAGAUUGAGAAAGAUGUUUUGUCCUCUUUAUUGUUGAGUUAUAAUGAUUUGCCAUCUAGAGUAAAAAGAUGUUUUUCAUAUUGUGCUGUCUUUCCAAAAGACUACAAUAUAAAAAAAGACGAACUAAUCACAUUAUGGAUGGCUCAAGGUUAUCUUAGUGCAGAAGCAGCAGAACAAGAUGAGGAGUUGGAGACUAUAGGUGAAGAGUAUUUUGGCAUCUUAGCUUCUCGCUCUUUCUUUCAAGAGUUUGAGAAAAGUUAUGAUAAUCGUAUUAUAGAGUGCAAGAUGCAUGAUAUGGUACAUGAUUUUGCCCGCUUUGUAAGUCAAAAUGAAUGUUUUUCGAUGGCAAUUAAUGGUAGUGAAGAACCAAACGCCACAAACGCUCUUGAUGAGAAGGUCCGUCAUUUAAUGUUAAUAUUUAGUAAAGCGGCUUCAUUACCUAUUUCCACUCUUAGAGUUAAAAGAAUGCGUACCCUCUUAAUUAACGAUCAUUCAUUAUUAAAUGCUGCGAUCCUAGAAGAAUUAUUUAGGGAAUUGACAAGUUUAAGGGCAUUAGAUUUUGGCGGAUCGUACCACUCAACGCGGUUGUUGACUCCGGAGGUUCCGAGAAACAUAGAAAAGCUGGUACUACCGGAGACAUUGUGUGAGUUAUAUAAUCUAGAAAAGUUAGAUAUUAGUGAUUGUUUUAAUCUUAAAGAAUUACCUGAAGGGAUUGGGAAGUUAAUAAACGUGAAGCAUUUACUAAAUAGAGGUACUAAUUCUUUAAGGUACAUGCCAGUAGGGAUUGGGAGAUUAACAGGUCUUAGGACCUUGGGUGAGUUCCACGUGAGUGCAGGAGGAGGUGUUGAUGGUAGGAAAGCAUGUAGGCUUGAAUCUCUUAAAAACUUGGAACACCUUCAAGUAUGUGGUAUAAGUAGACUGGGUGAUGUAUCAGAUGUGGGCGAGGCUAAGCGAUUAGAACUUGACAAAAAGAAAUACCUCUCCAGUUUGACCCUUUGGUUUGAUAAGGAGGAGGAAGAAGAAGGAGAAAGAAGGAAGAACGAGGACAAUCAACUUCUUCUUGAAGCCCUGCGACCACCUCUCAAUUUAAAGGAAUUAGAGAUUGAGUACUACCGAGGCAACACUGUUUUCCCCAGCUGGAUGACGUCAUUAACCAACUUGAAGAGUUUAGAUCUCUCUUCCUGCGAAAAUUGCGAGCAGCUGCCUCCUUUGGGAAAAUUGCAGUCCCUUGAAAAUCUCCACAUAUGGCGCAUGGAGAGUGUGAAGAGAGUGGGUGAUGAAUUUUUGGGGAUAGAAAGUGAUCAUCAUGGCUCAUCUUCAUCUUCAUCGGUUAUUAUUGCCUUCCCCAAAUUGAAAUCACUUUCAAUUGAGGUUCUGCGCGAAUUGGAGGAGUGGGAUUAUGGGAUUACAAGAACGGGAAACACCGUCAUCAACAUCAUGCCACGUCUUUCUUCAUUGACAAUUAAUUACUGCUCCAAAUUAAAGGCACUGCCCGACCACUUUCAUCAAACGACAACAUUGAAGGAAUUGCACAUUUGGAAGUGCAGGCUUCUGGAAGAACGUUAUUGCAAUGGGGAAGGAGAAGACUGGUCUAAGAUAUCACACAUUCCCAACCUCCAUAUUGGGCUUUGACAAGUAAUUUCUUCUCUUACUCUGAUUUGCUUUGUUGUUGUUUUUAAUCUAAUUAAGAAGCGUAAAUAGCAUUUUGAAUCAAACUCUAUAUCAGAAAUCUGCAAUACUUACUUUCUAAUAUUCUGAUUUUCAUAUCCUAUGAAUAUACGAUUUUUAAUUUGUGAGAUGGGUAACGUUACUGUAAAAGAUUAUUAAUGCAAUAUGAGUAAUUCUUUUGCAGGACAAGUGACCUACAUUUAGUUUGGCUUUGGAGUUGAAUAAUAACCUUUCGAGGUCCCGACAACCAAAAAACGAAGCUUAAUUUGCCACAGAUUGCACGUAUUGCCAUUAUUGACAAUUUUCUGCACAAGCGUGACUGAACUUAGGUUGAUGUCAAAAGAGGUAAAUUAUUGGCAUGCCUGACUAUUUUGACCAUUACAUGAUUCAUAAGUUUACAUUAAUUUUGAUUUUGAGUUGAGUGAUUAAUUUUCUAUGUUUGCUUACUUUAACUGGGUGACCAAUUUCUUGUAACUAAAUGUAUGAUGUGAUGCAGGAAGCAGGGCAGGAUAUGAAAAGAGAAGCUUAUUAGAGGAAGGAUUGCCAGUAACAGAAUCCAAAGAAAAAGAAACCAUUUCGAGGCAGCAGUUGGCAGUUGGCAGUGAAUGGAGCCCCUUGAAAAAGUUCCCAAGCCGUUGCACUGCAAUUACGAUCAUCCUCGGCCUCAGGUAAUUUCUUCUCCUGCAUUUUUGUUAUUUGCUAUCAAGUGACUAUUUUAAGUAUGAUUGCAUUAAGCUGCUACUGGGAAAUUUGAGGUUUUGAGGACUGCCCAUGCUAUUGUCAGAAGCUGCGGUUCUUUUCAUCAGCCUGAACCUGGACCUGCCGCUAUGGAUAACUCAGGUUUUUUUUUUUUUUAAUCAACUGCCAUCUUUUCCACUGUUUAGAAACUCUUAAGAUUAAACUUUAGUAAAGAUGUUUUAGUUAUCCAUGUAAUCAGGCUGAGGAUACUUAGCUGCCUAUUUAGGCAAAUGUCAGAAUUUAGUUUGUUCGCUGGGAACUGGUGUGGACUGGCAAAGGAUGAUGAGAUAGUUUUUUGAGUGAGUAAAUUUUGGGAGCUUGAGUGUAUUGGGAUUUGCAAUUACAAUCAUCCUCUGCCUCAGGUGAUUUCUUCUCCUGCUCUGUCAUUGUUUGUUCUCUAAUUCAAAAGCAUAAAAUAUUUCAAUCAAUUUUUAUACCAGGAAUAUGCAAAAGUUUCUAAUAUUUUAUUUCCAUCUGUUACAAGAUCAAACUGAAGCAGAACUCAAUCAAAAGUAUGCUGCUUCUUGCGGAAAUCUUGCCUUUGUUCAGAUUAUGAAACCAUUUCCAUGCAGCAAAUUCAUCCAAAAAUUUGAAUAAGUUUCACGGUUGGACACUGUUGGCUUCUUUUUCUUCCGGGGUGCAUUUAGGUGCUAUCAAGUGACAGCUGUAAGUAUGAUUGCACUAAGCUGCCGCUGGGAAAUUUGAGGUUUUGAUGGCUGCCCAUGUUAUUUUCAAUAAACUAUUGAUGUAAGAAGCUGUGGUUCUUUUCAUCAGCUUGAACCUGAAACUGUCGCUAUGGAUAACUCAGGUUUUUGUUAUCAACUAUAUCAUCUUUUUCACUAUUUUGAAACUCUUAAGAUUAAACUUUAGUAAAGUUGUUUCAGCUAUUCAAAUGAAAAACUCAUUGAUUUGAGACUUCCUUCAUUAUUGUUUCUAAUUACAAUGCUAACGAUCCAGAUAAAAUAAUAUUUAAUCAACGAAGGUGUUGAUUGAUUUGAGACUUCCUUCAUUAAUGUAGACUUCCUUCAUUAUUGUUUCUUUUUCUUUUAUUCUAUAAAAUCUUGCAAUGAGCUUAGUGAAGCUGUUGUGCUAAUCAUGCCACUGCAUAAUUUGGCCCCUAAUGUGAGUACUCUGUUACAUUGUUCUGCAAAUUCUCCAGAAGUUAAAAUCAAUAAAUUUUCUAUUAGCUCUAGUGCUUUGACCUAAAUGCUAUUCUAUAUUCUGAUUACAAUGUUUUAACCUUUAAAUUAACUACCCCUAGAUGUUGGAUUUUCUAGAACUUCAAAAUGAUUAAUGGAGAAAGAUCCCAUUAUCGUUAUUGCUAUAAGAAAUUGAUUUAUGCAUCCAAAGAUACAUUAUAUGUUUCUGUGUCUCUAUUUAUAGAUGACACCUAAGCAUCCCAUUAUCUAUUAUUUAUUUUAUAUUUUGAAGAAUUUAAUGGGUAAUCCUAAUUGUUUGUUUAGGCAGGUAUGUGUUGUUAUCUCCUUCUAUCUUACAGUCGUACCUAAAUAGCAUAGUUUCAUCUGUGUUACCAUGUGAUGUACAUAAUUUCACAUUUGCCUCAGAUUAAGCUUAAUUUCCCACAGAAUAGAGCUGCCGCGACUGGACUUAGGUUGAUGUCCAAAGAGGUAAAUUAUUGGCAUGCCUAGAUAAUUUGGCCAUUUCCUAAUUCAUAAGUCUACAUUAAUUUUGAUUUUGAGUUGACUGAUUUCUUUUCAAGGUCUGCUUCCUUAACAGAGUGACCAAUGUUUUUCAACUAAAUUUAUCAUAUGAUGCAGGAAGCAAGGCAGGAUAUGAAAUGAGAAGCUCAUUGGUGGAAGUAUUGCCAGUAAGAGAACCCAAAGAAAAUGAAUCUAUUUCAAGGCAGCAGUUGGCAGUUGCAAGUGAAUGGAGGCCCUUGACAAAAUUCUCAAGCGGUUGCAAUGCAAUUACGAUCAUCCUCAGCCUCAGGUAAUUUCUUCUCCUGCUCUGUUUUUAUUUGUUAUCUAAUUAAGAAGCAUAAAGUAUCUUGAAUCACUUUAUGUAUCUGGAAUAUAUGCAGCAGUUUCUAAAAUUUUGAUAUGAGUGUAAUGAUGGUAAUUUCUGUUUUUUGUCUGUCAUUGAAUGUUAGACAACUUUCAGUGAGACUCUUGAACCGAGACAUUUUGGACAAAUGAAGGACAAGUGCUGAAGAGUGGGAAUGGUGCUAGAUUGGGGAAUAAAGACAAAGGUGGUAAAUUAUUUGCAGUUUAUUCAGCAUUAUUUGCUUUCGACCAGCGCCUGAUUCACAAGUCUACAUAAUUUGGCUUUUGACCAGUUGUUAAUAAAUUUUUAAUUCCAUUGGUGCUAAAUGUACACGUGAAGCAGGCAGAGCAGGACUGUGGAAAUGAGAAGCUUUUUAGGGAAAGCUUAAACUCAGGUAAUUCUAAAAAUUAAUUCUGAUUGUUCCGAUUUAUCUAAAUCAGGAAAUUUUAUUUCCAUCUGUUACAAUAAAACAGAAACAGAACACAGAGAAAAAUAUUCUACUUCUUGUGGCAAUCUUGCCUUCAUUCAGACUAUGAAACCAUUUCCUUUCACCAAUUUCUUCCGAAAGUUUGAACACGUUUCAUGGUUGGACAUAGUUAGCUUCUUUUUCUUUUGGUGCAUUUAGGUGCUAUCAAGUGACAACCAUAAGUAUGAUUGCAUUAUUGGGAAAUUUUAGGUUUUGAUGGCUCCCCAUGUUAUUGCCAAGAAAUUUUAAGUCCUCAUGUCAGAAGCUGCGUUUCUUUUCAUCAGACUGAACCCGAACCUGUCACUAUGGAUAACUGAGGUUUUUGUCAUCAACUCUAUCAUGUUUUUCACUGUUUUGAAACUCUUAAGAUUAAACUUCAGUAAAGUUGUUUCAGUUACCCAUGUAAUCAGGCUAAGGAUAUUUAGCAGCUUAUUUAGGCAACUGCCAGAAUUCAGUUUGUUCGCUCGAAACUUGUAUGGUGACAAGGAUACUGGCAAGGAUAGUGAGAUAGUUUUUUGUGUGAGUGAAAUUUGAAAGCUUGGGUGUUCUGGGAUUUGCAAUUGCAAUCAUCCUCUGCUUUAGGUGAUUUCUUCUCCUGUUCUGUCUUUAUUUUCUCUCUAAUUGAAAGCAUAAAGUAUUUCAAUCAAAUUCUGUACCAGGAAUACGAAAAAUUUACUAAUAUUUUAUUUCCAUCUGUUUGCAUUGAUAACUUGGCCGCAUAUGUACUAGUUAAAGAACAAACAGAAGCAGAGUUCAGGAAAAAGUUUCUUCGGCCACCAUAUUUGAAAAUGAAACCAUUUCCAGGAAGCAGUUGGCAGCAAAUUCAUACAAAGUAUAGACAAUGAUGAGCAAAAAGGUGAUUUGCAAUUUCAUUUUUUUAAAAUGAAAUUAUUUGUUAAGUUGGAGCUGAUAUUGUUAGAAGGCCACUGAGCUAACCUAUGACACUGCUUGCCUAGAUUGCAGGAGGUCAAGACUCAAAAGAUGCACUGAAUUUUAAAAGGCAUGCAAUAAUUCUUAUGGCCAUUUGUCAAUGGUGGAAGGCUUUUAGCUUCUUUUCCUUUCGUGCAUUUUGGGGUUCUAUCAAGCGACAGCCGUAUGUAUGGAUGGAUAUAGCUGAAGGACAACAUUUGUCCAUGAGGUUCCUAAAAUCGCAACUUUUGUGCAGUAAAAUUAAAACGGACGGCGGAAGCUCUAGAAACCUCGGAUCGGCUUCAUUCAAAAACUAAAAUCAAGAGGAAAGAUUGAAGUUUAAUUACCUCACUUGCAGUUUCGAAAAAGACUUCUUGAGGUAGGAGAAAACGACUGAAAACAGCAAGCUACGAACACUGUCCAGAAAAUACAGCUCUGCACGAACAGCUUCUGUUUUGCCACGAUCUGAGAUCCUUAAGCACCCCAAUUGUGAUGCCUCUAAUUAUUCCACACUUAUAAAUGUUCUAGGAGUUCAGAGGAUUUUGAAUCACGAAAUUUCGUUUAGAAAUGAGAGAGAUAAUGAUGAAACAUGAAUGCUAGUUCAUGAUGAUUCCCCUUCCACCAAAUAAAGCACCAUUAUGUCUAAUAAUGGCACCAAACAUUAUCAUGUGCUAGACCCAUCCACUUAGCUAUAAUUUAUUGAAAGUGAUCUUAUCACUUAAAUAAAUUAUUUAAUCAAAUUAAUAAAUAGCUAAAUUAAUUAAUUUCGUAAUUAAUUAAUUAACCCCAUUUUGAUCAAAUCAAAUGGUUAAAUGUGGGCUCAUUUUGUGACAUGUUCUAAUGCUUUCUCUUAAUCCAUAUUAGAUCCAAUAAAAGCCCAAAAUUCUAAACCCAAAAAUGGUCUAGAAGUCCAUAAUCAUAUAUGAACCCGAACAUGUCCAAAAUGGUCAUUUUACGUGCUCGAUAUUACAUAAUGUUUAAUGGAGGAUUUACGAAAUUUAUUUUGUUCCUUAAACUAUUUAUGGAACAUCUAAAUUUCUAUCUUAAAUCAUAUUUAAGAUAUAUUUAUAUAUAUAUGUAUAUUCAUUCUCAAUGAAUUAUAAUAUAAAUAUUGAUUUUCCUAAAAAUAGGAAAUUUAACUUCUCAUUUUCUAGUAACUCCUUUUUCAUUUCUAUUUAAUGUGUGACCUUUUAGGUUCUUAGUUAUAAGGUAGUAGAACUAUUUUAAUGAUAACUCUUUAUUCAUUAAAUGAUGCUAAACUCUUUAGUCAUCAAUUAGAACUCUUCUAAUGACCUUAAGAUGCAUUGAUAAUACGCUUUACCAAUAUUGAUCUUAAGGUUUCUACAAGUCAUGAGUGACACCUAGCAGUAUAUCACAACUAUCCAAAUAACAAGAAUUGUUGGAUCUAUAGAACCUAUUCCAUUGUACCUCUAUGUCUUGGUCUCUUCAUCAUCCAUGUCCAAAGAAAAGCACGGCUUAUGGUUUAUUAUGUUAAGCACUUAUGCUUUAUCUCAAAACAAAUCUAAAUGAACUUGACAUGAAAAUAUAAUUUGAACUCCUUCAAAUAUAUUUCACCUUGGCCAAGGAUUUCUCAUGCCAAUUCAUAUUAUCUCAUAGGGACAUCCUUUUUGUAUAUUACAAAGUGAUGAAUUCCAUAUUGGCCAUGCACUAGUCUUCAUACAUAUCCAACCAUGACAGUUAUUGCUAGAUCUCUUCCGUGAUUAGGAAUCAAUCAUUAUGCAUUCACAUAUCAGAGAUGUCUAUGUAUAAGACAUCUGUUAUGCCUCAGGUCUAAAAACCAUUACUAAACAUAGUGUUUAAUACAAUGUAUAAUAAGCCAUUAACACUCAAGACCAUAUAGCUUACUAUAUUUGGUCAAGUUUAGUAAACUUGUUCUCUCAACAAGUAUCUAUGUGUUUGACUUGACAUCUCAUGUCAAUGAUAUGAAACUCACCAUCUAUUUUAGUAUCACAUACCAUAAGGAGUCAUAACACAUACUAGUGUUUAUAGAAAUUUAUAAUGUCCAAUCAUAAAUCCACCACUAGGAACUAUUUUAGAAGUAUAGUACAAAGGAUACACGUUUCAUAUUCUCGACAAACUCGAGAAUGUGUUCCUUAACUAUUUUACAUCUUGGACUAUAUUCAUUAAAUUAAUUAAUGAAUAUUGAUAACUUUGCCAUUUUAUAAAUAUCAAAAUGCUAUUCAAAUACGAUAAUUCCCUAAACAAACAAACACCAUUUGAUUGGCCUUUAGGGCAUAUUACUAACAAUCUCCCACUUGCACUAAAGCCAAUCGCUAUGGUAUCUCAUACCCAUCUUCUCAAGAUGACGAUCUAACUCUUGUUGAGUAAGUGCUUUAGUCAGAGGAUCCGCAGUGUUAUCAGCGGAGGCUACUUUCUGCAUAGUGAUAUCACUCCUUCCAAUGAUUUCUUUGAUAAUGUGAUAUCUUUUUUCUAUGUGUUUGGACUUCUAGUGAGACCUUGGUUCCUUAGCUUGUGCUAUAGCUCCAUUGUUGUCACAAUAUAAAGAGAUUGACAACGCAAUGGUUGGAACCACUUCAAGUUGUUGAAUAAACUUCCGUGUCCAAACAGCUUCUUUUGCUGCAUCUGAUGCAACUAUAUAUUUCGCUUCAGUGGUAGAAUCUGCAGUAAUUGUUUGCUUAGAACUUUUCCAGCUUACUGCUCCACCAUUGAUAGUGAAUAAAAUCCUGAUGUAGAUUUUCUAUCAUCUACAUCUGACUGGAAAUCUGAAUAUGUGAAGCCUUCAAUUUUUAGCUUACUUUCUCCAUAUGUUAAGAACAAAUCUUUAGUUCUUCUGAAGUACUUAAAGAUAUUCUUAACUGCGGUCCAAUAUUCCUCACCCGGAUUACUCUGGUAUCUGCUAGUGACACUCACUGCAUUGAGCUAUAUCCGGUCUAGUACAUAGCAUAGCAUACAUAAGACUUCCAAUUGCAGAAGCAUAUGGAAUCUUAUUCAUUCGCUCUAUCUCAUCAUAAGUUUUAGGACUCAUGCUUUUAGAGAGAUGAAUUCCAUGUCUGAAGGGUAUAAAACCCCUUUUGGAAUCCCACAUAUUAAAUUUCUUUAAUAUCUUUUCUAUGUACUUAGCUUGACAUAGACCUAUUAAUUUUCUGGAUCUAUCUCUAUAAAUCCUGAUUCCCAAGAUAUACAUUGCAUCUCCUAGGUCUUUCAUGGAGAAGUUUUGAGAAAGCCAAAUUUUGACAGAAGACAUUUGUCCAAUGUCAUUUCCUAUAAGUAAUAUGUCAUCUACAUAUAGCACAAGGAAAGAUAUUGCACUCCCACUAACCCUUUUGUAAACACAUGGUUCAUCCUCAUUCUUGAUGAAACCAAAUGAUUUGAUUGCAUCAUCAAAUCGGAUGUUCCAGCUCCUGGAGGCUUGUUUUAGCCCAUAAAUGGACUUUCUUAGCUUGCAUACUUUAUGAGGAUUUGUCUUAGAUUCAAAACCACAAGGUUGUAUCAUAUAGAUAUCUUCCUCAAUGUACCCAUUAAGAAAUGCAGUUUUGACAUCCAUUUGCCAAAUCUCAUAGUCAUAAUAUGCUGCUAUAGCCAAUAAGAUUCUGAUGGACUUUAGCAUGGCUACUGUUGAAAAGGUUUCCUCAUAGUCGAUACUUUGUAUUUGACGAUAACCUUUAGCUACCAACCUUGCUUUAUAGGUCUCUACCUUUCCAUCUAAGCCGAUCUUCCUCUUGAAGAUCCACUUGCAUCCAAUAGGUAUAAUACCUUCGGGUGGAUCCACUAGAGUCCAGACUUGAUUGGUUCUCAUAGAGUCCAUCUCUAAAUCCAUGGCUUCAAGCCAUUUCUUAGAGUCAAUAUCUGAUAUUGCCUCUUCGUAACUAGUAGGAUCAUCUCUAUGAUUUGUAUCACCCAAUAAAAAAUAUAUCGUUCAUCUGAUGAAGAAAACCAUAUCUUUCUGGUGGGUGAAUUAUUCUAUUAGAUCUACGGAGCUGCUGUGUUCCUUGUGUUUGUACUUGAACAAGUUCUUCAUUGGAUUUAUCCUCAUUAGAAUUCUCAAUAAAUUCUAUUUUUCUUCCUUGUCCACCUUCUUGAAUAAACUCUUUUUCAAGAAAUAUGACAUUUCUACUGACCAAUACCCUUUGAUCAGAUUGGAUGUAAAAGUAAUAACCCAAAGUUUCCUUUGGGUAUCCAAUGAACCUCCCACUAUCCGCUUUAGCUUCAAGUUUCUCACUCUUGAGUCUCUUGAUAAAAGCAGGACAUCCCCAAAUCCUAAGAUGAUUUAGGCUUGGUUGUUUACCAUACCACAUCUCAUACGGUAUUUUAGGUACAGACUUGGAAGGUACUCUGUUUAGUACAUAUGUUGCAGUAAGGAGAGCAUAUCCCAAAGAGAAAUUGGUAAGUCUAUAUAACUCACCAUUUAUCGCACCAUGUCUAACAGUGUGCGAUUUCUCCUCUCAGAUACUCCAUUAAGCUCUGGUGUACCUGGAGGUGUCCAUUGUGAAACAAUACCAUUUUCUUUAAGGUAAGACUGGAAUUCUCCACUGAGAUAUUCACCACCUCGAUCUGAUCGUAGGGUUUUAAUAACUUUUCCAGUCUGUUUCUCUACUUCAUUUCGGUAUUCUUUGAACUUUUCAAAGGCUUCAGAUUUAUAUUUCAUUAAGUAUACUGAACUAUACCUUGAGUGAUCGUCGAUAAAAGUUAUGAAGUAGUAAUAUCCACCCCUUGCCAUUUCAUUAAAUGGUCCACAUACAUCAGUAUGUAUAAGUUCAAGUAAAUCAGUGGCCCUUGUACUUCGUCCAACGAAGGGUGCCCUGGUCAUUUUUCCUUGAAGGCAUGAUUCACAAGUUGGAUAAGGUUCUAAACCAAAUGGACCUAUUAGUCCAUCUUUAGCCAAUUUUGUGACUCUAUCUUCUCCAAUAUGACCUAGCCUUAAAUGCCACUUAUAUUUGGGGCUUAUUUCUUCUCUUUCACGUUUAUGUGUUAUGGUAUUUACAUUCACAACAUGCUCAUUAUUUUCUUUCAUGUUUAGUACAUAUAGAUCAUUAUCUAAAGUACCAUGUGCAACAUAUUUAUUCUCAUGAUAAAUAUUACAAAUUUUAUUUCUGAAAUAAAAUUCAUAAUUGUCUUUGCAUAAACAUGAAAUUGAAACUAUGUUCCUUACAGCAGAAGGAACAAAUAAACAAUCAUUCAAACUUAUUACAUGCCCAGAUGUCAUUUUUAAGAAAAAUGUCCCUAUAGCUGAGGCAGCAACUAUUGCUCCAUUUCCCACUCUAAGAGACACUUCUCCUUGUUUAAGUCUUCUACUUCUUUUCAGAUCCUGCAUUGACAUACAAAUAUGUGCGGUCGCAGCAGAAUCUAAAAUCCAAGAAGUAGAAUGAAUGAUUGAAAUAUUAGUUUCAAUAAUGAGCAUACCUUCAGAAGGAUUCUCUUUAGGCUUGACUUUCAAGCUGUUGAGGUAAGAUUUGCAAUUCCUCUUCCAAUGCCCAUUCUUACCGCAAUGGAAACAUUUUCCCUUGUCAUUGGGCUUAUUAGCUUUCCCCUUCUUAAUCCCACCUUUAGCCUUGGGUUGAAACUUUUUCUUUUUACCCUUUUUAGUUGAGGGCCCUUCUAUAGCCAUAACAUCUUUUGGCUUCUUUAUGCAAGUUUCAGCAGUAUUAAGCAUCUUUAGCAGUUCAGCAAGACUGCACUCCAUUUUAUUCAUGUUAAAAUUCAUGAUAAAUUGAGAGCAUGAGUCUGGCAAGGACUGUAGGAUAAGGUCGAUAGCUAAUUCCCCAUCCAUUGAGAAAUUAAGAGCUUCCAGCUGCUCUAUGUAGUCAAUCAUUUUGAGUACAUGAUCAUUGACCGAUCCUUCAGUCAUUCUCAUUCUGAACAGUUUCUUAGAUAUCUCAUACCUAACUGUUCUGCUUUGUUCACCAUACAACUCUUGUAAAUGAAGUAUCAUGGAACUUGCAUCAGGCAUAUUUUCAUGUUGCCUUUGUAGUUCAUUGGACAUCGAUGCCAAUAUAUAGCUUUUAGCACUUAGGUCAUCAUCUUGCCACUUCUGAUAAGUGACACGAUCUGCCUCACUUGCUCCCUCAGGAAUUUCAUUUAGAUUAGAUGUAUCAAGAACAUAGCUAAUUCUCUCAUAAUUAAGAACAAUUCUUAAAUUUCUGAACAAAUCAACGUAAUUAGGUCCCGUCAAACGGUAGUUUUCCAGAAUUCGUGCUAACAGAUUAUUCAUUAUUAAGUAUUUCUGCAGAAAGUAUAAAUUAAAUUAUUAGCAUUUUAUUUUAUUAUAAUCUAUUUGAUUUUGGUCUUUAAACCAAAUAGUGCCUCCUGUUGAGUGUUAGAAAAUGCAUAUUUAUAAAGGAGAAAACCGUCAUUUUACAUUUCAAGUCUUAUUAACAACCCUUACUUUUAUGUAUUUAACAUUCUUGUGAUUUAAUUACAUGUGUUUAUUUUAAUUAAGUAAUUUAUGUAUUUUAGGGGCAUUAUAGUCAUUUCACAAUAAAAGAGAGAUCAGACGGCAAAACGGACAUCACUUUUGAACUCAGGACGGUCGAAAACCUUAGGAGGAGCAUAAAAGGAAAAAUGACACUAUUCACAUGUACGGUACUAUUCACGGGUACGGUAUUGUCUACGUUACUGUUCACGACAAUGUUCACAUAGACGGAUCAAUGACGUGGCAUUGAUUGAUGACGUGGCAUUGACUGAUGAGGUGUCACGAUCCUGUUGGACUAAAAUUCUUAUAUACUGUUGAUGGUGACGUGGCAGCAUAUUAGUGGACGAAAAAUCUCGCGUACGGUGCAUGCAUCACACAGGAUUAUUUUCAACCAAACCGCGUUACUGUUCAUCCGGGUCAAACCGUGUUACUGUUCAUCCGCGUGGUCAAACCGUGGACUCUUGACUGAUGACGUGGCGCAAUCUUGAGCGUCCAAACUGUUUUUAAUCCGAUGGCCAUGAUUUACUCCAUGUAUCUAUAAAAAGGGGGCCUCUCCCCCCUAAUUUGAUAUCUCUGAAUCCAUUUUUGGGAUCCAUUUUCUGUAAUUCCUUCUCCAUCUUGUAUUUUCUUCAUAUUUUAAUAAAUUUCCAUUUUGCCCCUAGUUCAAUUAUGAGUGGCUAAUUUUCUUUCAAGCUUGGGUUGAAGGUGAAGUCUCAACAUGUGUCAUGGGCUUUAUUUGGUAAAUUUAUUUUCUCUUCCCCUCUAGUUUUUGUGGAUGUUUUGACUUCUCGUCGACAAAUAAUACUAAUCUUGUCUAGUACCGCCUUGGUUUCACCGGCCUUCUAGUACAAGGUUAUUAUUAUUUGGCACGAUAAGCCCUUAGCACCAUAUUGAUUAGAGCGUGGUUCAUGAGGUGUGGAUUCCCCCUUCAUGAUUUAAUUGGCAUUAAUACGGAUUAUAUAGCCCAUGAUGCAUGUUGAUACGGAUCCAGAUACCCAAGUACGUCAAUUUAAUAGAUUUCAUUUUCAAGUUAUUCUUGCCAUUUCAAUUCCAAUUUUAGAAUUUAUUCUCGCCAUUUUAAUUUAAGUUUUAGCAUAUUCCAAAUCAUUUCAACCACAAAUCCCACCACCCAUUUCCAAAAUUAAUUCUACACAUAAUUAAAAUCCACCUCCUCGUGGGAUCGACACUCGUCACCAUUAGUCUAUACUACAAUAGAUUCGUGCGCUUGCGAGUACAUUAAAAUUUGCACAACACGUCCCACUAUUUUAUCAUUUCCUUACACUCCCAUAUGUAAGAAACGGAAACUCUCAUUGGUAAAAGUUUCUAGUAGGAAUCAGAUUCUCAUUAGCCUAAGUUUACCUCACCUAACAGUUCUUGGCUUACUUAUUAUAAUGAGUAGGUAACUCUUACCAAAUGCAUCUCAUGCAUGUACCGAUUAUCCUUCGGCCUCUAAAUCAUUAAUACCUCACCUGACAGUUCUUAGUAUAAAUGAUUUAGUUAAGUUUACCCUAAUACCCUUGCAUAUUUUCAUAACGUCUUACUAACUUCACCUAACAGUUCUUGGUAGCUUAAUGUAUGAAUUACGCAUCAUCGCAUGAUAUAUGGUUUAUUUUCAACAUUUUAAUGAAUGAGUAGCCCAUGUAUCUAUGACAACUAGCCCAAGCAUAAAAUAUUUUAAAUAUUCCAUUGGUAUUAGUAGGCCAUGAUGGAUAUUCUCAAUAUUCAUCAUUACAACUUAACAAUAAUUAUGUUUAUUUAAUUAGGGAGUAUUUGGUCAUUAUUAUGGUCUCACUUUUUAGCAUGUUAUUCCAUUUUCAAUAUUCAAAUAUGUCUAAGCACCCUAAUAUACAUCUCAUGCAUAUUAUAGACAAGCCAACUAAGGAUGAUCAUGGAAUUUUCUAAUAAAACCAAUUUGAGCCAAAAUUAGUUUUAAGGUCCACCUAGGUAUCAAGCAAACAAUAAUAAUUAUGAGACAUCCCAUGCCUCAAAUUAUCAAGCAAACAAUAAUGAUUAUGAGACAUCUUAUGCCUCAAAUUAUUACAAUUAUUAAUUUCUAUUUGAAUGGCCAAAAUAUCAUUGGAAGUGAUGCAACGAUCCACAAAGACUUCUUACUCCAACCUCCAAGGCAUCGCAACGUCCCUCCUUUGACAAUCAUCUUGUAGAAAUUACAUAUUUAGAAGAAUUGGAGUACAAAUUUAGGGGUAAUGGGAUACAAUCAGAUCUUAAUAGAAGGAGAGACAUGCAAGUCCCUAUUUAAAAAUAUAACAACCAUUUAAGCCUUUAGAAAUCGGCCAAAUCAACAAAUAAAUCAAUAGAUCAUUCAAUCACACAUAUAUUCAUUCAUCACAUGACAUAAAUAUAUCAUAAAAUAUCUAGGUCUUUCCAUGAUCGUCCUUCAUGCUAUUAUAAAUGGAAAUAACAUAAAUCAUGCUUCAAAAAUGCGAAAUUGAAUGAAGAUGGCUCUGAUACCACUUGAAGGACAACAUUUGUCCAUGAGGUUCCUAAAAUCGCAACUUUUGUGCAGUAAUAUUAAAACGGACGGCGGAAGCUCUAGAAACCUCGGAUCGGCUUCAUUCAAAAACGAAAAUCAAGAGGAAAGAUUGAAGUUUAAUUACCUCACUUGAAGUUUCGAAAAAGACUUCUUGAGGUAGGAGAAAACGACUGAAAACAGCAAGCUACGAACACUGUCCAGAAAAUACAGCUCUGCACGAACAGCUUCUGUUUUGCCACGAUCUGAGAUCCUUAAGCACCCCAAUUGUGAUGCCUCUAAUUAUUCCACACUUAGAAAUGUUCUAGGAGUUCAGAGGAUUUGGAAUCACGAAAUUUCGUUUAGAAAUGAGAGAGAUAAUGAUGAAACAUGAAUGCUAGUCCAUGAUGAUUCCCCUUCCACCAAAUAAAGCACCAUUAUGUCUAAUAAUGGCACCAAACAUUAUCAUGUGCUAGACCCACCCACUUAGCUAUAAUUUAUUGAAAGUGAUCUUAUCACUUAAAUAAAUUAUUUAAUCAAAUUAAUAAAUAGCUAAAUUAAUUAAUUUCGUAAUUAAUUAAUUAACCCCAUUUUGAUCAAAUCAAAUGGUUAAAUGUGGGCUCAUUUUGUGACAUGUUCUAAUGCUUUCUCUUAAUCCAUAUUAGAUCCAAUAAAAGCCCAAAAUUAUAAACCCAAAAAUGGUCUAGAAGUCCAUAAUCAUAUAUGAACCCGAACAUGUCCAAAAUGGUCAUUUUACGUGCUCGAUAUUACAUAAUGUUUAAUGGAGGAUUUACGAAAUUUAUUUUGUUCCUUAAACUAUUUAUGGAACAUCUAAAUUUCUAUCUUAAAUCAUAUUUAAGAUAUAUUUAUAUAUAUAUGUAUAUUCAUUCUCAAUGAAUUAUAAUAUAAAUAUUGAUUUUCCUAAAAAUAGGAAAUUUAACUUCUCAUUUUCUAGUAACUCCUUUUUCAUUUCUAUUUAAUGUGUGACCUUUUAGGUUCUUAGUUAUAAGGUAGUAGAACUAUUUUAAUGAUAACUCUUUAUUCAUUAAAUGAUGCUAAACUCUUUAGUCAUCAAUUAGAACUCUUCUAAUGACCUUAAGAUGCAUUGAUAAUACGCUUUACCAAUAUUGAUCUUAAGGUUUCUACAAGUCAUGAGUGACACCUAGCAGUAUAUCACAACCAUCCAAAUAACAAGAAUUGUUGGAUCUAUAGAACCUAUUCCAUUGUGUCUCUAUGUCUUGGUCUCUUCAUCAUCCAUGUCCAAAGAAAAGCACGGCUUAUGGUUUAUUAUGUUAAGCACUUAUGCUUUAUCUCAAAACAAAUCUAAAUGAACUUGACAUGAAAAUAUAAUUUGAACUCCUUCAAAUAUAUUUCACCUUGGCCAAGGAUUUCUCAUGCCAAUUCAUAUUAUCUUAUAGGGACAUCCUUUUUGUAUAUUACAAAGUGAUGAAUUCCAUAUUGGCCAUGCACUAGUCUUCAUACAUAUCCAACCAUGACAGUUAUUGCUAGAUCUCUUCCGUGAUUAGGAAUCAAUCAUUAUGCAUUCACAUAUCAGAGAUGUCUAUGUAUAAGACAUCUGUUAUGCCUCAGGUCUAAAGACCAUUACUAAACAUAGUGUCUAAUACAAUGUAUAAUAAGCCAUUAACACUCAAGACCAUAUGGCUUACUAUAUUUGGUCAAGUUCAGUAAACUUGUUCUCUCAACAAGUACCUAUGUGUUUGACUUGACAUCUCAUGUCAAUGAUAUGAAACUCACCAUCCAUUUUAGUAUCACAUACCAUAAGAAGUCAUAACACAUACUAGUGUUUAUAGGAAUUUAUAAUGUCCAAUCAUAAAUCCACCACUAGGAACUAUUUUAGAAGUAUAGUACAAAGGAUACACGUUUCAUAUUCUCGACAAACUCGAGAAUGUGUUCCUUAACUAUUUUACAUCUUGGACUAUAUUCAUUAAAUUAAUUAAUGAAUAUUGAUAACUUUGCCAUUUUAUAAAUAUCAAAAUGCUAUUCAAAUACGAUAAUUCCCUAAACAAACAAACACCAUUUGAUUGGCCUUUAGGGCAUAUUACUAACAAUAGCUGCUGCGUUGAUUUCUA
rnacentral:lncRNA from 1 species